UCCUUCUCCUCACCAUAACUUCCACUACUUCCAUAGAUUUUCCCGUUAAUGUUGCUGACAUAUUAAACUACACAACAUCUAUUGUAAUUUAUGUCUUAUUAGUAUCAUCACUUUUGUUCUUUAUUUCAAUGUCUAACAUAAUGAUCUGGUUUCAAUUUGCUACAGGCAUUAUUCCCAGACAAUAGCUAUGGUUUUGAUUGUAGCGGUGACUGAAAAAUUAUUCCGAAACUAACAUUUGAGGAAUUCAAGGUUUGUUAGUUAAUUUGUACAUCAGAAUACCAUGACAAACUUUGAAGUUGUAAUUGUUGACCUUACAACGUAUCUUUUGGUUUGGAGCAUUAGACUUAUAUGUGUUGCUUUCACUUGAAGGCUAACUCUUUAUUUUAGGCCUUGGAAUAUAACUAGGAAAUUGUGCCCGCACGUUGUUGCAGGAACGAAAAUAAAACUAUAGAACAUAUCAUGAAAAUCCAAAUGUACAUAAAUGUUGAGUAACACUAUUAACAUAAACAUAAUAAAGACUGCAUAUAAAAUGUAGUCAAUAUUUUUACAGGCCACUGUUUAUAGUUGUACAAUUUAGGCAAAAAACAUUAGGAAACAUUUUGACAUGGAUGUACAAAAGUGAUGAGUCUGAUAUUUCCCCCUGGUAGCUAUGUUAGGUGUUGAUCAGCAUCAGUUGUUCAUGUGCACAAAAAAUAGGGGUAUCAAUGUUAUGGUGGCCUAUUUACACGCAAAAAAUAUGGAGAAGCACUGAUGUUGUUUUAACAAAAGAUGAUCAGUCUCUUUUCUAUAGCAGCAAAAGUUUGUUCCUUCUGGCAAUAACUGCAAAUAAACGAUGUGCAGAUGGUAAAAAAAAUAUGUAAAUGCUAACUGAGCUGUAAUCAAGUGUGUGCAAAUAUGGUUACAUCAUAUAAAAAAUAGGAAUGGAGCAAAGUUACCUAGUUUUUUUUUUUUUUGGUAGAGGGUCUUUUUUCAUGCUUGUUGGAGAAGAUGCUUUUUUUUCAACAAUUUGAUUGGAACCUGACCAAAAUCCUAGACAUCUACUUCAGAGACUUCCUCUGUCUCACCGUACCAAAUAUAUUAAAGAGAUAGGAAAAAUAGAUUUAGAUCAGAUUGAAAAUAAAUUGAGAAUGAGAAAAAAAUGCUGUGAUGCAGAAUAUAACAUGUUUUUAGCCUCUGUAAAAAGGGCUCUCCUGAUGGAAUCUCUUUUCCUCUUGUGCGUUUCUCCGGUUUUUUCAGCUGGUGUAGUGGACGAUGAAACUGUUGUCGAAGACACUGCAAUUUCUUUCAUAAAAGACUGGUGUUGUUGGUUGGAUCAUUGUGUCCUCAGAAACAUUGUAGAUAAGGAGAUCAUUUGAAUUCAACAAAUUUCGUCGGCUUCCAAACCAAAGGUGAAAAUUUUUCCUUUGGCCUAUAAGUCUGAAAAACUCACUUGGUAAUUGCUUGUGAUCUGUUGAUCUUUGAUUGUAAACCAAAUCUUUGCAUGGCAUGCCAAAGACCUUUUCUCCUAAUUUGCCGAUAAUGAGAGCAUUGAUCUCAUUUGUUUCGUCUUCAAGGACCAAGAACACUUUGUACCUUCAUUCAAAUAGAAAAGCCAUUAAUUAUAGAGGAUACACAGUGUAAUAAGUCAAGAACUACAUUCUCAUAGAUUUUUCUAUGGUAUGGUUUAAUGUUAAUACUAAUCAUAUGAAAAAUAAAAGGAUAGGUAUGCAAAGUUUGAUUUCAAAUUUAAUUAAAUUUAUGGCUUGUAAGUUUGUUACGUGAUCAAUGAACUAUUAAUUGAAAAUAUGUAAUUAAAAACAGAAUAAAUGAUAAGUUUCAGUUUAAUAAGGAUAUGAGACAACGAUCAAUUGACAAACGCAAAAUAUAGUGUUUAACUCGUUACCAAGGAGUUGGCAUUUGAUUUAUAUGUUUUUGGCACAUCAGUUGACCAGUUGUUGGGUCCUUGUACAUUUGUUUGGCACAUGUAGGGCAAGCAGCAUACCACCAUUCAUAUGAUGUGUUAAACCGCUUAAUUGAUGCCUUGCACAAAAAUGUAUCAUCCUGUUAAAUAUCCAAAAAGAUGUUUAGAUAGUUAAUAAUCAUGAAAUAGAAAGCUUAUGUAAAAGAAGUAAAAAUAGAAAGCUUAUGUUUAGAUAGUUCAUAUGAUGUGUUAACUCGUCAAGUCCAAAACGCUGGACUCCAACCACAUGACCAAUAACAUCUACAAAUUUGAAAAAAAGAAAGAAAACCAAAACAUAAUUAGGUGAGGAGAAAAUGUUUCAUAAAACAUGUAUCAAUGCAUUGUAACACACAGCUAUAUAUACAUGCGUACAUAUUUAUUACCUGUUAGGAUAUCAGUCUUGUUCAGCCUGGAUACAAUCUAUUAUAAUCUUGCAAAAAAAAAUCUGCGACACAGAAUAGGCAGAAACACACUUGUUAACUUGUUAAAAACUGUUUUGGCAGUUAACACGAGAUGGGUGUCAUGCGGGACUACUUGACACUGGCCUCUUAUUUUGUUGGUACGAAAAUUCAUAAUCUCGUAGCAAGCACCUGCUUCAAUUUUUGGGACUAUUAUAUCAUAGUUCAUUUCGUCAGAAGACGCUUCUAUCGCUUGUUCCUUGAUAACCAAACAUUGAGAAGGGAAGAAAAAGAAAUUGUCAAAGAUAUCAUGAAUAGGUAAAUAACACUAAAUUUGAAACUUAAAAUAAUAUGAAAACAUUUGCAAAUUACCAACAUUAUAGACUAAGAUGAAUACUAAAUACUGAAAGCCAAGUUAUCAUUGUAAUUAACAGUUUAAAGGCAAUGGAUACCCAUAAAAUAAUUACAUGUCACAUAGACUUAACAUGAGAGUUGAUAUAUUUAAUACUUGAAAUAAUAUGAAAAUAAAUGUAAAUCACAAAUAUUAGAGAAUAAGAUGGAUAGUUAACGUCAAGAGUGAAUUUAUUAGUGUAAUUAACAAGUUAAAGACAAUGCAUAUGCACCCAAAAACAAAUUCUUAUCACAUAGAGACAGAAUGAUAACUAACAUGUAAUUUUCCGAUACAAAAUGAAAGAAUACAGAGAUUAGAAAUGAAUUGGAGAUUGUGUUUAUCCCAGAGAGUAAAAAUGUCAUGUGAUAUGUAUUAGAACAAAUACAAAAUUCACAUGUUAAGAGCUUAUCAAACAGUAUUAUUAAAGAUUAAUUACUGACCUUUUCAUCAACUAAUACACAGUGUAGACCUGCAUAUUUAUCAGUCAUGCCUGAAAAUCUUGGUAUCUAUAUUCUGCAGAUACGAACUUUAAUUUUUCCAAUUUUUUCAUAUGGGACCAAUCGAUCAAGAGGAGUUGGACCUCGACCUUCCAUGUUUAACUGCUGAAAUGAGAUUUAAGGUUUGUGAAUUGACAAAUAAUGCAGAAAGAAAUUUCAAAGAGGCUGAACAAUGAUGUAACAACUACACUUUCAAAACUAUAGACCUACAACAGUUUGUUUAAAAGCGUAACUGAUUAAAAGAAUGAGAUUGCCAAAAGAAAACACAGCACGACCACUGCUUAACUGAACCACAUUCUCAACACACAAACAUAAACGUAGUGAUCCUAUACAUCCAUCAUAUUCUUUUUCUCUGUUUCCAUAUCCCUGAUCCCAAUUCUUUAUCCCAUCCUUUCAGUGUUGUUUUUUGCUCACUCUCAAUGUCACGCCCCUAUCUCGACAUACGUCCAGGCUCGACACAUGACGUCACCAACUACUCGUAUCUCUAACAUAUCCCGCCACCAGGAUAUGCAAAACACAACUCGAGAACCAAUUGCGUAAUAAAUUUUUGUAUACUUUAUGGUUGCAUCUAACCUCUUCGUUAGACUGUCUACGUACCCUCAAUAGAGAUCAAGCCAUUCGUAGUUCAACUUCGCUAUAACUCGACAUAUAACACAAUCUAUUCAAGCCAAAAUGCAUAACAUUCCUCAAUCAAACAUUUGGACUUGACGAGCAUGAAUUAUUCGAUUCAAACUACAUAACAACCCGCAUGACAAUCAAGGUUUCUAUUUCAUCCAUCAUAUACAUCAUUAUGUUUCAACAUAAAAUCACUAUUCAUAUCAAGUAAUAUAUCAAAGAAUCAAUAAAGCACAAUAGUAUCCUCUAGUCGCAUUGAUCACUGAUCUAAUCAUUAUAAUAACAAUCAUAUUCAACAUCCUUCCACAAUCAUCUCAAGUAACCCAUUCCAUGAUAUCAAGGAUGCACGAUAUUAACAUUUAAUUAUGUUAAUCAGUCAAUCAGAUCACAUCUCAAUGCACAAAAUUAAUAAAGGACUUCUAUAUAAUUCCCCUGGAUUUCAAGUAAUAACUUGAUAAUUCAAAUUUAUAUUCACAAAAUUUAUUGUGGGUAAUUCUCAUUCACUCGAAUCCAAGGUACAAGUCUAACUUAUAGAAAUGAGCAAGAGUAGGGAUUCCAGACCACUCAACGGAAUCCAAAUCAAGAUACGAUUCCAGACCACUCAACGGAAUCCAACCACAUCGGCUUCCGGAUCACUUAACGGAACCAAAAUUAUCCAUCGGUUUCUUGCAUGUAAAAUUAGUGACAUCGAUGACAAUCUAUAAACAUCAAGUAUAGAAUUAUGCUUUAUGAAAUCAUAAUCAAGUCACUGACAACUUCGAAGGAGUCACCCAGACAUCCAACGACUUUUUUAAUUUAAAGCACAAGAUUCUCAAAAUCCAUCGUUCAUAUGUACAUUAAAAACUAGGGCUAGAUGGACGCAGUUCGGCCGAAGCCUACAUCUUUGAAGCUAUCUCAAUCCAAACUCAAUGAAACCCGAGGUGGAUACGACCCCGGACCAUCACUCAAAAAAAUCACGGAGUAGGAGGGAUUCCGGACCAUCUCUCAACGGAAUCCAAGUGGAUACGAUUUCGGACCAUCACUCAACAGAAUCGCGGAAGGCCAACAACCAUAUAUACAAUGACUCAAAGAAAUGAGACAAGCACAAGUUACUUAAUUUACAAAAGCUUAACCAAGGGAAAUAAGGCACAAAUACUAAAUUUAGAACGAAUCAACGAAGUGGAAGAUGAAACCAUAUCGAAUCAACAAAUCCCCAUCACCACAGUUUAACGGUCUACCACUAGUCCUCACAUUUCAUCACAACAGGCCAAUCAAACCAAUCAAACCAAUCAAACCAUAUUUCAAUAUAUAUACAUGUCAAAUCUCAUUUCAUAAACCUAAAUUAAUAAAGGACUUCUAUAUAAUUCUCUGCCUGGAUUUCAAGUAAUAACUUGAUAAUUCAAAUUUAUAUUCACAAGAUUUAUUGUGGGUAAUUCUCAUUCACUUGAAUCCAAGGUACAAGUCUAACUUAUGGAAAUGAGCAAGAGUAGGGAUUCCAUACCACUCAACGGAAUCCAACCACAUCGGGUUCCGGAUCACUUAACGGAACCAAAAUAAUUUAUCGGUUUCUUGCAUGUAAAAUUAGUGACAUCGAUCACAAUCUAUAAACAUCAAGUAUAGAAUCAUGCUUUAUGAAAUCAUAAUCAAGUUACUGACAACUUGGAAGGAGUCACUCAGAUAUCCAACGACUUUUUUAAUUCAAAGCAUAAGAUUCUCAAAAUCCAUCGUUCAUAUGUACAUUAAAAACUAGGGCUAGAUGGACGCAGUUCGGCCGAAGCCUACAUCUUUGAAGCUAUCUCAAUCCAAACUCAAUGAAACCCGAGGUGGAUACGACCCCGGACCAUCACUCAAAGAAAUCACAGAGGAGGAGGGAUUCCGGAACAUCUCUCAACGGAAUCCAAGUGGAUACGAUUUCGGACCAUCACUCAACAGAAUCGCGGAAGGCCAACAACCAUAUAUACAAUGACUCAAAGAAAUGAGACAAGCACAAGUUACUUAAUUUACAAAAGCUUAACCAAGGGAAAUAAGGCACAAAUACUAAAUUUAGAACGAAUCAACAAAGCAGAAGAUGAAACCAUAUCGAAUCAACAAAUCCCUAUCACCACAGUUUAACGGUCUACCACUAGUCCUCACAUUUCAUCACAACAUGCCAAUCAAACCAUAUUUCAAUAUAUAUACAUGUCAAAUCUCAUUUCAUAAACUUAAAUCAAUGGCUAAGCAUUAAAAAAAAUUAUUCAAUAGAAAACAUAUUUAUAAACCCAAGUCAUAUCCACAUAGGAUAACAAUUACGAAAAUAAGGUAAUCACCAAUAUCACAUAUAUUAAAGUCACUCACCUGAGGUCCACACUAACGCACUCUAGCAUGGAAUUCAAGGCAUCAAGCUCUAUUACCGCCAAAAACAAAGCACAAGUCCACAUUUAGAUUUCUCUCGAUAAAUUCACAUGCCCAAAACUCUCAUAAGUCUCCCACAACGACAUUUAAUGAGAAUCAAACCGUCGAUCAAAGGUAUGGUCCAUGAUCUUACAUCAUUUGCUCCGUAAGAUCCAACCACUAGAUUUUCACUAGUAAGUUCCUAAGGCCCAACAACUGAUAAAUAUGGUGCUCACAAAAUUGUACAACGAUCCAACGAUCAGAUUGUCAUCAAUCACAUAAACAAGUGGUGGUCCAAUUUGAUCGCCAUACCAAACAAUUGAAUUUCGGGAAACCAAGCUAGACAUAGGUUCAUAGGGUCACUAGAAGGUAUUUGGUACUUGACAACACUCGUGGACAAUCUCACGCACCGCCACACGCGAUGGUAGCCAUGGUGAAGGAUUUGAAAACCCAAUUUUUCAACCUUAACCACAAAGGCUCAAAUUUACGUGGUAAUUAGAGUAAAAAUCCAAUUUCAUCAUGGAAAACCGGGUUUCUAGGGUUCUACACACCCAACUCUAAAACGAAUACGAAAGCACCAACUUGAAGAUUAUGAAGAGUAUACUUCACUCGAAGGAAAUGGUUGACGGAAUCACCGGAAAAAUGAUAAAACCGCCGGAAACCCACAGAACUUUGCUGUCUCUAACUGGAAAAAUAGAUAAGAAAAUGGGAAAUCUAACACUACAGAGAUGUAGGGCUCGUCAAGAGCUUUAAUGAACACCAAGAUCACCCAAAACGGAGAUCGGAUGAAGGAGAUAUGAGCGGAUCAAGUUUGCGGGUUAACGGGUCUAAUUCGCCCCAAAACGGGUUUUUCCUUCUUUUCUCUCGCCACCUUCCCGUGGCUUUCUUUUCCUCUCCUCUUUUUAGCCACUCCCGUGGCCUUUUCCUUCUCUUUUCAUUUUUUUUUAAUUUUUAAUUUUUAAUUUUUUUAGCAACAACUUCAAACGUCCGUAACUAUACCGUUAUAAUCUGGACUUGCAAACGGUUUUCGCCUAUGCGUUCGUAAUCUCGAUAUCUAUUCAACAAUAUAAAUUGUGACCUCGAAUGGUCUGCGGAUUUUAAAUAAUUAAUUUUCCAAAAAAUAAUAUAAAAUUUCUAUAAUACCACUAUGUAGAUUAUACUAAUGAAAUCCAGUAUCUAGAUUUCACACUCAAUCCCAUUUUCUUCCAAGUCUGAUAAAACCCACAUGCAUAAACGGGCUACAAAUCUGCCAAACCCAAAACAAAACCUAACUAAAAAUCUGAGAGAUUAAAACUUUCGCUCAAAAAAACAGUCUAUCUCUCCGAUAAAACAGAAAUAUCCCAAAAUAGGAAUGCUUGGUAAUAAAAUAAUGAAGCAACAAAUGGCAUGAAAUAAUCAAAAAACAACCCUACAAAUUCAAAUAACCGAAACAAAUAAUCAUAUGGCCAAUUCAGUUCGAAAAAAAAAAAACAUCGCACAAAAAACUAAUACCUGACAAAGAACCCAAUUGGGGAUACUGGAAAUUGCAACUACACGAUCCUCCAAUUGACGAUCAGACAGCCGUUCAACCACUGCAAAAACAACCAUAAAAAAACACAAAGUCAUAGCCUAUCAAGAGUGUAAGUAAAAAAAAUGAACAAAUCGAUAUUUCCUGUCCCGAAUUAAAAACUGGAAAGCGAAAACAAAGGCGCUGAAAAACAAAAGCUGAAAAUCAAUUGCACAACAGCAGAAACCAACAAGAAAAACGAAAGACAGAAACGAUAACAAAAAGCAUAAGCAAAACGAAAGAAACGGCAAACAAAGCUAACCAAGCAAAUUUGAAACGAAGAAAAAUGCACAACCAGCUUAAACCACGGCAAAAAUAAGAGAGAGAAGAGACAAAGCCACGGCCAAUUCGAUGAUCGACACGUGGCCAUAAGUGGAAAAGGCAAAGCCGAGCAACACGCCGGGGGGGGGGGGGGGAAGAUAACAAACGGUCGCGGUGAUAAGGCAAUCAGAAGGUAACGUAAAAAAAAUUAGGAUUUAAAUUUUUGUGGUAGAUUUCGUUAGCAAAUUUAAUCCAAAAUUAUUUUUUUUUUGUUACUUGUCUGUUAAAUACAGGGAUAAAAAUGUAUUUUAACUAGUACGCAUUCUUCUUCCUCCCUCUGCGUUUCAUCUAUUUAUAUCUUAAAACAACCCCUACCAGAAAACCACAGAAAAUAAACCAUGAUCAUUAAUCUCUCAUCUUCUCCAUCAUCCUCUUCUUUCUCUCUCAUCAAGUUAUCUAAUUCCAAAUCACUCAUCUCUGAUUUUCCAUCAAAACCUAAAACCCACCACCCAAAACCUCUAUCUUCUUCCAUUUGCUGCUCAUUUUCUUCACUAGACCUUGGUUUUCACUGCAAGGAUCGAUUUUUCAUUGAAAAUGGUAGGUGCCCACAUGGGAAAAGGUUCAAGUUUAGGACUUGUGCGAUUCCUGGCUUCGACUCUGGCAACCUCAGUUGGUUUUGGAGGCGGCUGCUGUGUUAACGGCCAUAAUUGUUGUCCAUGAGAGCGGUCACUUCGUUGCAGCUUAUCUCCAAGGCAUCCAUGUAAGCAAAUGGAAGAAGAUGGAGGUUUUGGGUGGUGGGUUUUGGGUUUUGGGUUUUGGGUUUUGAUGGAAAAUCAGAGAUGGGUGAUUUGGAAUUGGAUAACUUGAUGAGAGAGAGAGAAUAGGAGCGUGGAGAAGCUGAGAGAUUAAUGAUCAUGGUUUAUUUUCUGUGGUUUUUUUGGUAGGGGUUGUUUUAAGAUAUAAACAGAUGAAAUGCAAAGGGAGGAAGAAGAAGGAGUACACGUUAAAAUACAUUUUUAUCCUUGUAUUUAACAGACAAGUAACGGAAAAAUCAAUUUUGGAUCAAAUUUGCUAACGGACUCUAUCACAAGGGUUUAAAUCCUAAUUUUUUUUACCACAAGGGCUAUCUUCCGAUUACCUUAUCACCACGAGGACUGUUUAUCCGAUUAGGCCAAAAUAUAAAGGAAAGGGGCAAAAUGACAUUUCAUAUAGCAUCUUCAAAAUGCCAAAAAAGUGAGCGUUAGAUCAGGGGCAAAAUCGGGUGGGCACUGUUAGUGAACAAUGGUUUUCCCACAGGGUUUUAGUAUAGAUAAUAAUUUCUUGGAGAAUCAACAUUGUUGACAAUUUUUUGAGCAAUAUUAUCCCCAAAUUUUCUUUGCAUGUUACCCUCAACGUAGACAUCAUAUAACCAUCCUUGAACUUCUGAACCAAAAAUUUGAGUUUUAUGAUUAUAACUAAACGUCUAUAAACACAUGAUACAGAUUGAGACAAAUGUCAAAUUUAAAAUGGCAUUAAUCAGGACAGCUGCAAACUCUGAUUUGUAGGCUUUGAAAUGGAGAAGUUACUUCUUGCUUCACUUUAGCAUCAUAGUUCAGCUUCUAAGUUCAGUUCUCAACUAUGAGGUUUCUCAGUUACCUCUUUCUUGUAAUAAAACAUUAGGUAAAUUAUACAAAACUACCUCAACUAUUGAGUAAUUAACAGCUUCAUACCUCGUCUUUAAAAAGUUUCAAUGUCAUACCUCAUCUACGAACUUGUUACAAUUUCAUACAUUCCGUAAGUUGUCUGUUAAUUCUUCUGUUAAAAUGCUGACGUGGCAAGUGACGGGAUCCAUUUUCUAUUAAAAAAUAAUAAAUAUUAAAAAAAAAAGACCCAAACCCAGAUCCCCAUCCCCCCUUCCCAUCUGUCCCCCCUCCUCCUUCUCCUCAUCCUCCUCCGCACCCACCUCACACCCACCCUCUUCCCUUCUCUACACACUCCACUCCUUAAAUCCACACCCAUUCCCCCAUUCAAAACCCCCAGUUCGUCUUCUCCCUCACCCGAGCCCAACCUGCAACUAGACUUGGCAGUUUUUGACACGACACGAAAACGACACGAAAAUAACGGGUUUCGGGUCAACACGAUAACUUAUCGGGUCACUAUCGGGUGACCCGUUAAGAACCCGUUAACGGGUUCUUAACAGGUAUACACGCGGGUAACACGUGGGUAACCCGUUUCGACCCGUUAAGAAAAGAAUUAUUUUAAUAAUUUUAAGGUUUAAUUACUAAAAGAUUUAUUAUAAAAUACAAUAGUCAUAUUAAUAUAUACAAUAUAUUCUAUAUUAAAUAUAUAGUUUUGUAUUAUUGUUCUAUAUAAAUUAUAAAAAAAUUAAAAAAAAGUUUUAGUCAUUAUUUAUUUUUAUUAUGAGAGUUCCUUAUUAUCAUUACUAGGAUAAAUUUUACAUAACAUAUUCUUGUCCAAAAUUAAAAUAUACUGGUAUAGUAUUUGUAUAUGCAAGAACUAAGAAGACAUACAUACAAGUAUGAAAAAUGUGAAAAAAUAUAUAAACACUCGUGAUUUAUCAUUAUUCCUCCACGAAUAAAUAAUUGUUACACUUAUAUUAUCGUUUAGAUUUUUUAAAUCCUUCAAACCCUCAUGAAUAAUGUUUUUUAUUUGAGGGAAAAAUUAAUAAAAUUAAUAAUAAUUAUUGUAGAAGUGUAAAAAUGUAAAAAUAUAUAUAUAAAAUCACUCAUAUAUAAAAAAAUGUAAAUGCUUUAAAUAAAAGAUCAAAUUUAUUCAUUACAUUCUUAUAGGGUCGAGGAGUGUAUCUGUAAAAAAAUCAUCAAAAUCAGAGAUAAAAUAACCGUUAAAUUAUGAUUUUUCGUUUAUAACCGCCGAAAACUUUUAUUCCAUUACGUAAUCUCUAAAUGUUUGUUUUUUACGAUUUUUUACAUAUGCGAUCUCGGAAUGUGUACAAAUAAGUUUGACGGUUGGAUCGUUGAAAAAAGUUUCAUAUAAUGCAUAUUGCGUCAAAACGGUAGAUUAAGCAAACACUUAGAGUUAAUAUUAUACUUCUAUUAAGUAUAAAAUAAGUUUUUGUGGUAUCCACUAGUGUAAAUACUUUAAAUUAAAGAUCUAAUUUAUUCAUUACAUUCUUAUAGGGUCGAGGAGUGUAUCUGUAAAAAAUAAUCAAAAUCGGAGCUAAAAUAACCGUUAAAUUGUGAUUUUUCGUUUAUAACCGUCGAAAACUUUUGUUCCGUUACUUAAUCUCUGAAUGUUUGUUUUUUAUGAUUUUUAACGUAUGCGAUCUCGGAAUGUGUACAAAUAAGUUUGACGGUUGGAUCGUUGAAAAAAGUUUUGAAGAAUGCAUAUUGCGUCAAAACAGUACAUUAAACAAACACUUAGAGUUAAUAUUAUACUUCUAUUAAGUAUAAAAUAAGUUUUUGUGGUAUCCACUAGUGUAAAUACUUUAAAUUAAAGAUCAAAUUUAUUCAUUACAUUCUUAUAGGGUCGAGGAGUGUAUUUGUAAAAAAUCAUCAAAAUCAGAGAUAAAAUAACCGUUAAAUUGUGAUUUUUUCGUUUAUAACCGUCGAAAACUUUUGUUCCAUUACGUAAUCUCUGAAUGUUUGUUUUUUACGAUUUUUUACGUAUGCGAUCUUGGAACGUGUACAAAUAAUUUUGACGGUUGGAUCGUUGAGAAAAGCUUCGUAGAAUGCAUAUUGCAUCAAAACGGUAGAUUAAACAAACACUUAGAGUUAAUAUUAUACUUUUAUUCAGUAUAAAAUAAGUUUUUGUGGUAUCCACUAGUGUAAAUACUUUAAAUUAAAGAUCAAAUUUAUUCAUUACAUUCUUAUAGUGUCGAGGAGUGUAUCUGUAAAAAAUCAUCAAAAUCAGAGAUAAAAUAACCGUUAAAUUGUGAUUUUUCGUUUAUAACCGCCGAAAACUUUUGUUCCAUUACGUAAUCUCUGAAUGUUUGUUUUUUACGAUUUUUUACGUAUGCAAUCUCCGAAUGUGUACAAAUAAGUUUGACGGUUGGAUCGUUGAAAAAAGUUUCGUAGAAUGCAUAUUGCGUCAAAAUGGUAGAUUAAACAAACAUUUAGAGUUAAUAUUAUACUUCUAUUAAGCAUAAAAUAAGUUUUUGUGGUAUCCACUAGUGUAAAUACUUUAAAUUAAAGAUUAAAUUUAUUCAUUACAUUCUUAUAGGGUCGAGGAGUGUAUCUGUAAAAAAAUCAUCAAAAUCGGAGCUAAAAUAACCGUUAAAUUGUGAUUUUUCGUUUAUAACCGUCGAAAACUUUUGUUCCGUUACGUAAUCCCUGAAUGUUUGUUUUUUAUGAUUUUUUACGUAUGCGAUCUUGGAAUGUGUACAAAUAAGUUUGACGGUUGGAUCGUUGAAAAAAGUUUUGUAGAAUGCAUAUUGCGUCAAAACAGUACAUUAAACAAACACUCAGAGUUAAUAUUAUACUACUAUUAAGUAUAAAAUAAGUUUUUGUGGUAUCUACUAGUGUAAAUACUUUAAAUUAAAGAUCAAAUUUAUUCAUUACAUUCUUAUAGGGUUGAGGAGUGUAUCUGUAAAAAAUCAUCAAAAUCAGAGAUAAAAUAACCGUUAAAUUGUGAUUUUUCGUUUAUAACCGCCGAAAACUUUUGUUCAGUUACGUAAUCUCUGAAUGUUUGUUUUUUACGAGUUUUUACGUAUGCAAUCUCGGAAUGUGUACAAAUAAGUUUGACGGUUGGAUCGUUGAAAAAAGUUUUGUAGAAUGCAUAUUGCGUCAAAACGGUAAAUUAAACAAACAUUUAGAGUUAAUAUUAUACUUCUAUUAAGUAUAAAAUAAGUUUUUGUGUUAUCCACUAGUGUAAAUACUUUAAAUUAAAGAUCAAAUUUAUUCAUUACAUUCUUAUAGGGUCGAGGAGUGUAUCUGUAAAAAAUCAUCAAAAUCGGAGCUAAAAUAACCGUUAAAUUGUGAUUUUUCGUUUAUAACCGUCGAAAACUUUUGUUCCGUUACAUAAGCUCUGAAUGUUUUUUUUUAUGAUUUUUACGAAUGCGAUCUUGGAAUGUGUACAAAUAAGUUUGACGGUUUGAUCGUUGAAAAAAGUUUUGUAGAAUGCAUAUUGCGUCAAAACGGUAGAUUAAACAAACACUUAGAGUUAAUAUUAUACUUCUAUUAAGUAUAAAAUAAGUUUUUGUGGUAUCCACUAGUGUAAAUACUUUAAAUUAAAGAUCAAAUUUAUUCAUUACAUUCUUAUAGGGUCGAGGAGUAUAUCUGUAAAAAAUCAUCAAAAUCAGAGAUAAAAUAACCGUUAAAUUGUGAUUUUUCGUUUAUAACCACCGAAAACUUUUGUUCAGUUACGUAAUCUCUGAAUGUUUGUUUUUUACGAUUUUUAACGUAUGCAAUCUCGGAAUGUGUACAAAUAAGUUUGACGGUUGGAUCGUUGAAAAAAGUUUCGUAGAAUGCAUAUUGCGUCAAAACGGUAGAUUAAACAAACAUUUAGAGUUAAUAUUAUACUUCUAUUAAGUAUAAAAUAAGUUUUUUGUGGUAUCCACUAGUGUAAAUACUUUAAAUUAAAGAUCAAAUUUAUUCAUUACAUUCUUAUAGGGUCGAGGAGUGUAUCUGUAAAAAAUCAUCAAAAUCGGAGCUAAAAUAACCGUUAAAUUGUGAUUUUUCGUUUAUAACCGUCAAAAACUUUUGUUCCGUUACGUAAUCUCUGAAUGUUUUUUUUUAUGAUUUUUUACGUAUGCGAUCUUGGAAUGUGUACAAAUAAGUUUGACGGUUGGAUCGUUGAAAAAAGUUUUGAAGAAUGCAUAUUGUGUCAAAACAGUACAUUAAACAAACACUUAGAGUUAAUAUUAUACUUCUAUUAAGUAUAAAAUAAGUUUUUGUGGUAUCCAAUAGUGUAAAUACUUUAAAUUAAAGAUCAAAUUCAUUCAUUACAUUCUUAUAGGGUCGAGGAGUGUAUCUGUAAAAAAGCAUCAAAAUCAGAGCUAAAAUAACCGUUAAAUUGUGAUUUUUCGUUUAUAACCGUCGAAAACUUUUGUUCAGUUACGUAAUCUCUGAAUGUUUGUUUUUUAUGAUUUUUUACGUAUGCGAUCUUGGAAUGUGUACAAAUAAGUUUGACGGUUGGAUCGUUGAAAAAAGUUUUGUAGAAUGCAUAUUGCGUCAAAACAGUACAUUAAACAAACACUUAGAGUUAAUAUUAUACUUCUAUUAAGUAUAAAAUAAGUUUUUGUGGUAUCCAUUAGUGUAAAUACUUUAAAUUAAAGAUCAAAUUUAUUCAUUACAUUCUUAUAGGGUCGAGGAGUGUAUCUGUAAAAAAUCAUCAAAAUCAGAGAUAAAAUAACCGUUAAAUUGUGAUUUUUCGUUUAUAACCGUCGAAAACUUUUGUUCCAUUACGUAAUCUCUGAAUGUUUUUUUUUUACGAUUUUUUACGUAUGCGAUCUUGGAACGUGUACAAAUAAUUUUGACGGUUGGAUCGUUGAAAAAAGUUUUUGGACCGCCAGCAAUAGAUAAUUUUGUAGUAGUGAAACCUUAAAUUUAUUUAACCGUUAAUUGUUAUUUACACUUUAUUCUUCUGACUGAAUUUCAUUUUUAAAAUUUUAUUUUUUGAAAACAUGAUCAUCUGGUGGAUGUAAGAAGAUGAUAUCACGUUUCGAUAUUUACGAUUAACUGAAAUAUGAGUCAAUGUCAUAUAAUUUGUAGAAACUUUAUAAACAUCAAGCAAUAUUUUCACUAACCGUAGAACUCUAAAUAUAAUAUCAACGAUUCAACGAUCCAAACCGUUCAUCUACCGGCACCCUCUAAUAGAUCAUGUUUUCAAAAAAGAAAAUCUAAAAAAACGAAAUUUGAUGAGAACAAUGAAGCAUAAAUGUAAACAACAAUCAACGGUUAAAUUUUGAUCUAUGAUUUAUAUGAUUAUAGUGGCGAAUUUCGAAGUUAAGCUCUUCAUGAAAGUUAUAAAGCUUGUCAUUACGAGUGUUUAUAUAUUUUUUUACACUUCUACAUUAAUUAAAAAACUAUUAAAGACUUUAGGUAAGCGAAAAUAUACUUAAAACAAAAUUGCGUUUUUAUGUUUUGGAUGUGAUAAUAUGGAAUGUAUAUACUUAUUUAGUAUUAUGUUUUUCAUUUGAUUAUUUAUUGGUUUAAAAUAUAUUUUCCUUAACGGGUAACGGGUCGGGUCAUAUUACCUGUUAAUAUUAUUGGGUUGAUUUCGGGUCAGGUCAUUUUACCCGUUUAUUUUAACGGGUGUUACAUGACACGACCCGUUAAGAUAUCGGGUAUGACACGAAAACGACACGAACACGGAAAACACGACACGAAUGCCAAGUCUACCUGCAACCCAGAAGAGAAAAUAAAAAAAAAGCUCAGAUCCCUUCUUGCCCGAGUCUCGACCCCCUUCCCUGCACCCACCCUCUCGAGGAAGAUGAAGAUGAUUUUUUUUUCUUUUCUGGGUUGCAAGUUGGGCUCCGGUGAGAAGGGGGAGAGGUUAGUGAAGCAGCAGGAGGAGGAGGAGGAGAAUGAGCACCAUGGGAGGGAGGAGGAGAUGGAGGAAGAGAAGGCGCUAGGGGGGGUUUAGGUUUGGAAAAGGGGGGACGAAUGGGUUUUGCCAGGGGAGUGGGGGUGGGGGGAUGAGGAUCUGGGUUUGGGUUUCUAAUUUUUUUAAAAAUAUUUUUUAAUAGAAAAUGGGUCCCGUCACUUGCCACAUCAGCAUUUUAACGGAGUAAUUGACAAACAACUGACAAAUGGUAUGAAAUUGUAACAAAUUCGUAGAUGAGGUAUGACAUUGAAAUUUUUUAAAGAAGAAGUAUGAAACUGUUAAUGACCUAAUAGUUGAGGUAGUUCUGUGUAAUUUACCCUAAAACAUUUGACCAGUACUUGUCAGGAUAUCCAAUUAAUUAGGUCAAUUUUUGUCAGCGGUAAUAAUUUGUUUUUGCAGUUUUAUAUGUGUCUCUGUCUCCAAAUAUGAUGAUCUCUUAAUUUGCUUCUAUAGUUUUUGUAAUAUGAUGAUCUCUUAAUUUGCUUUUGCAUAUCUUCUUUGCUUCCUCUGCUAGCUCUAUAUCCAAAUAAUUAUUCCUUAUUUCCUAUUUUUACAAGAAGCAAAUCAUUGAAUACACAUGGAAAAUUAAAAGGGUUUUAGUUUUUGGAUUAGUUUAAAAUUUUUGUUGUUAUUGGUUGUAUUGCUUUAAAAUAUUUGAUGGGUAGUUUGAAAUGGAGAACUUAGUUGAUUGAGUAUUAACUUUUAUUAAAUUAAGACUCUAAGGCUCUAAUCUAAUUUUCAUGCUCAACAUCUCCUCUAUCUUUCUACAAUUGGUAAAACUUUUGUAUUAUUAUUCCAAUUUUGGUUACUGGGUUUUGGAAUUUUCCAUUUUUUUUCUGGGUAAUCAAUAUUGUAUAUAUGCAUGACAAGUAUAAACAAUAUUUUAGGGCAAAUUUAGUUGUUUAAUUUUUGAAUUAGAAGUUUUUGGUUUAUCUAUAUUACGUGAAAUAAAAAAAAAUUAUAAAGCUUUCGUUUUCAUGUCUUAAAGCUUUAAGCUUUACUUGAAAAACGAACUUAAUUUUGGGCUCAAAUUAUUGAAUUUCUUUGUUCUAUGCGUUUGAAUUUCAUUAAAUUUUUGUUAACGUUUGGUUAAAAUCUUCAUUACUGUAAUAUGAUCGAAUUUGCGAUUUAAUUUUUAAUUUUUUUUUGUGACAAUGAGAUUAUGGUAGGAUUUCGUUUAGAUUCCUCGGCCCAAGGAGAGUCUCUGCUUUUGAUAAGAUUGGGGUUGAUGCUAUCUCUGUCACAGCCCGUCCCGGAGAUAUGUAUUAUUUUAUUCUCGAUAAUGUGAAAGGACGGUUUUAUCCUUAGACAUUGAAAUUGUAGUGUAUGUGUGUGACAUAUUUUGGUUCUUGGAUGUCAUGUUCUUGGUUGGUUGGUGACCACGUGGGACACACACACACACAAACCUCAUUCUCUCUCUUCUCUCCCGUGCUUUCUCUCUCAGACUCACUAUCUCUCCUCAUUCUUCGUACGGUCGAGCACCAAACUCACCCAUUCACGCACAGAUCGAGAUCGUGCUUGGUUGUAUUGUCUUCAUCUCCUCACCAUGAGCUCAUCCAUACCAGUUUCAGGUAUGAAAACCUUCGAAAACCUCGUGAACCAAGAAUCUCCAAUUUGAACAUUGUUCAUGCUAACGUAAAAACAUGUGUUUUUGGAAAUUCUAAGCUCACAUGGAGCUUUGGAAGGCCCUCUACAGGCUCGGAGAAGUUCGUUUGGUGGUUUUGGACGUCGGAAUCGAGAAGUCGAAGCUUGGCUGGUUUUUCUCGAAUUUUCCCAGCAAGAUCCCGUGGUUUUUGAGGCUUGAAAGAGGUAUAAACUUGUUCUAUUCUCCAUGCACUUCAUUUUGGUAUAAAGAUCGUGAAAAAUGGUGCAAAAAUGGCCGAGAUAUCAUAGUUUAAAAAUUUCUCAGUUUUCCGGCGCCAACGACGGUUGCCAGAGUUCAGAGGUAGGAGACGACGGAAUAUUCCGACGUAGUCAGUUAGUUUGGACGGAUUCCGUUAGGACUUAACGGAAUAUUCCCCAGUAUAUACUUGAUGGUGUUAACUGACGCCGUCAGUAUGCUUGUCACCUGGCCACGCGUGGGGGUGCGUAGGGCCGUGCCCUUGCUUGCGCGUGGUGGCGCGUGGGUGAUCGAAAUUUUUUUCUAAAAAUAUUGGGACGUGACGUUGUUUAGAUCACGUUGGUAUAUUCAAAUACCAAAUUUGAGCAGUGUAUGAGAAGUUAUUAGCUAGUUUUGUGUAUGUGCUUUAAAUAACGUUUUUAUAGUUAAUUCGCAUAUAGAUGAGACUUGUCCCGAUGACGAGCGUGUUCAAGGGCGACUCAGGGGCUACGACCCUUCGACAUACUAGUGAGUGAGAUUUUGGUUUUCAGUAUAUAUUUAUAUACUUGAUAUUUUCCCAUAAAUAUGUGUUUAAAUGAAAGUAUGCCUUAAAUGUCAUGCAUAUGAAUUUAUAUAUCGUAUAUGAAUUGGUAUAUGAUGCACUAUAUAUAAUUGUGGUGUUGUGGACACUCAGGUAAGCUCAGGUGAAUUAUGGUUGGUUAUGUGAAUUAUCGAUGAUGUGAUAUGUGAUUGAAUAACGUUGAGCUCAUAAAACUGCACCUAGGGUGAUUGUGAUUUAGCCAGAGAUAUGGCACAUGCCUGUUUAUAAUGUCACCUCCCGCACCAUAUGCUCAUUUUGGAUCCAAUUUACGUGCACAGUCUUAUCGUACAGAUCUUAUUUAUGGUUUCGACUUGUAGGUGACUAGCGAUUUAUCACCCAACUAUUAUGUGAGAGUAGUAUUGAGCAUAAAUAUAUUACACCCAGUAUUGUCGUAUAGACCUUUUCAUUUGGUUCCAACUCUUGUGCAGUAUAGUGCCGUAUAAGUCAUUGUAGUGAUUCCGGCUAGAUUGACUUUUGAGCUAUGAAUUCAGCCGUACAGACUACCACAGGGUUCCGGCAUAUAUGUUACAUUUCUAUGAAAUUAUUCUUACAUGAAUUGCUUACUAUGUUAUAUCUUGGCAUGGCAUACAUAUGAAUAUGAUUAUGUGAAGCAUGAUUUGAAUUGAUAUAUUUACAUAUAUAUUUAUGUAUAUGCUUAUAUCUUGAUUAUGGGAAAAAUUAUACAUGUUUUACAGCGAGGGGUUAGAUAUGUUGAUAAAUAAAAUGAUUUUGUAAAACAUUUGUUUUUGCCCACUCAUGUUUUCUAUUUUGCGCCUCUCCAUGUUUUAGGUAAGUUUUCAGUUGCUGGGUGCGAGGACUUCGGCGGUUCUAACCUAUCAAAAUAAUUGUAGAACAUCUUAUGGUACUGUAUAAUUAGUACUUGUCCUACUGGACUGCACCUAGACUUUCUAUGCUUUGAUUAGGAGUAUUUACUUUUGUAUUUUACUUCUAACACUUCCUGUUUAAUAAUGCACUCCAGUAGUUUCAGUUUUAAUUAUUCGUAUAUUUCUUAUCUUAAUUGCUUUCGCAUUGUGCACAUGGCUACGUCACCCCCACGUGACGACCAAUAUGCCUUGAUCUCGAUCGGGGUGUGUCAAUAUCAUGAAACAAAACCCAGGUCUAAAUAUUUGAUAAUUUAUAAUUUCAAGAAAGCCAAUAAGCCUACUGUGGACGCCGCAGCGGCCUAGCGCCGUUUUCCAAAAUCCUCUCUUACUUGGGUAAACAAUUAAGACUUUUGGUUCAGUUUUUAUUAUGCCCAAUUUUGUAUUUAAACCUUAAAAAAAUUUAAACUAAUUUGGGGUUACUGAAAUAGGCAUGCUUGAUGAGUGUUGCAGAGCUGCCAUCCCUGAAUCAGAAGAUGUUCAGAAGGAAGAAAAAGAAGAAGAAGAAAGUCGUGGAAUAUCAAAAGCUUUUAGCUUGUGAAUGUAUGCUUUUCCCAACUCACCUUUUGCUUUUGUUGCACUGAAUUGGUAGAUUGGCUUCAAAAACAUAUAUAUGUGAUUUUUCGUGUAACUAUUUUGUUUAUACCAUAUUUAGGGCCUCGUACUUAGACCUCGUAUAAAUACUCGGGGGACUCAAAUGUAAUUAUGCAAUAAGGAAAGGGGCAAAUAUGUAAUAAGUGAGGAAUAUAAUACAAUCAGUGUGUACGUAGCCCAAACCUUGGGAAGAAAAGGUGUCGGCGACACUCUCAAGAAGCCUCGCGAACGCAAGCUUUACUACCCUGCUCUCAAGCUCUCGGAAGCUAUGGAUAGAAGAGGAAUGAACAACACAGUCGGUGAUCAGGCAAUACAUCUUGUUCUUGUUGCUAAAGUCUGGCAUAUUCCUACUGCAGAAAGUUAUUUCAUUGAUCUUCUUGAAUCAGCGAAGACCCAUCUUUGUUACGGGGCCCUGCUCAACUGUGGCCGCCAAAGCAUCAUCUUCCCCACCAUUUCCCAUCUCUAGUACUACCACCUCAUCCAGACGAUUCCCCACUCAUCCACUGCUUUUGUCGGCAAAAGCAGAAAGGGAAACAAAGAACUUGAGUGCCAUCUGCACUCUGCAAAGUAAAAGUAAAAGUUAAAAAAAAAGGGAAGUAAUGAUGGUGCCAGUCAGAUGCACCGAAAGCACUUACAGCUAUGAAUGUCAAUACCAAGAAUGACUGCUGGGUCCGGUCAAUGAUGAAAGUACAAAUACAUCCUCCUAGCGCUAGUCAGGUACUACUUCCAGAUGGGAGACGAUUGGCCUAUCAAGAACAAGGAGUCCCAUCAAAUAACACUCGAUUUUUGUGGUGAUGGCAUUAUGAGCGUGACCCAUUGAGCAGAGGGUCAGAUUUAUUUUUUGAAUGAUGUAAAUUAUUUUUCUUAUCUUUCGGAGACAUCUGUAUACACCCCGUCAGAGGGUAAUAAAAUAAAAAUAAAAAAAGGCAAGCCCAAAAUAAUAGGCUACAAGCCCAAAGUAAUGGGCUGCAAUGUCAUGUGGAGGGCAAACGCCCAUAUGCCCAAAAAUGUCAAACCCUCUAUUAUCACCAACCAGGUGAUCAAAAGUACGCCCAGUACUUCAAAAUUAUUCGGCAACCCACCGCUAUUACCACCAACCCGGUGAUGAAAUGUACAACCCGUACUCUAAUAUCCUUUGGCACCUGGCCACUCAUACUACCAACCAGGUGAAGAAGGAACUUAUCUUCAUGAGCAUGAGCACUACUCAUGUCAAUCAUACAUAAACAUUCAUGAGUAUCACUUAUAUCAAUCAUACAUAAACAUUCAUAAGCAUCACUCAUGUCAACAUUCAUGAGCAUCACUCAUGACAACAUCCAUGAGCAUCACUCAUGUCAAUCAACAUAAACAUUCAUGAGCAUCACUCAUGUCAAUCAGCUUCAAAAGCUUCAUUUACAGAACUCUAGCUUCAAAGCUUCACUUGCAAAGCUUCACCUACAAAGCUUCAGUGCGGGGUAUACAAAUACCGUCUCCGAACAACCGCCACUUCGGCCCAUACAUGGAUUCAAUUUGAAGUCUUCAGCCAACAGACUCUAUUGACCGAAGACUUGGGGGACUACACUAUACACCAUAUAUGGGGCCUCAACUGGGCCUCAUGAAAAAUAUACACCAUAUAUUGGGCCUCAACUGGGCCUCAUGAAAAAUACUCGAGGGACUUAGCCCAUUACUUAUGUAUGAAUGGGCGAGCCCUUAUUCUAUAAAAGGGACUCAUUCACCAUCAUUAGAGAGUAUUGCCGCCAGCUGAGCAACCGCCUCGCCGCGAGCAUCAACUCUAGCACAUUAUUCAUGUAUUGAGGAGCGAGCCCUUAUUCUAUAAAAAGGACUCUCUCACAUUCGUUAGAGAACAUCGCCGUCAGCUGAGCAACCACCUCGCCACGAGUAUCACUCAUAACCCAUUAUUCAUGUACUGAGGAGCGAUCCUUUAUUUUAUAAAAGGGACUCCCUCACCAUCAUUAGAGAGCAUCAACUCUAGCCCAUCAUCUAUGUAUUGAGGAGUGAGCCCUUAUUCUAUAAAAGGGACUCCAUCACCUUCAAACGCCACAAGCCGAGCCAACCAAGGCAACAUAAGCCACAAGCCGAGCAGUCUCGUAGCAUGUGCUACUUCUGGUUGAGCAUCAUUUCAGAUUGAGCACCGCCUUACAUCGAACAUCAGUUCAAGACAACAUCUAAUUACUUCGGCCCACACAUGGACUGAAUUUCAAGUCUCCAGCCAAAAGACUCUCUUGACUGAAGACUUGGGGGACUACUGUUUAUACCAUAUUUAGGGCCUCGUACUUAGACCUCGUAUAAAUACUCGGGGGACUCAAAUGUAAUUAUGCAAUAAGGGAAGGGGCAAAUAUGUAAUAAGUGAAGAGUCAUUAUUCUAUAAAAGGACUCCUCAUCCUCACAAUUAGGGGGAGGCUCAUUCUCACCCUCAGAUGCCAUUUCUGAAGCCUCUCUCACCCUCUCUUAGAGCUCUCUCUCUCUCCCUCACUUCUCAGAGAAAUAUAAUACAAUCAGUGUGGACGUAGCCCAAACCUUGGGGUGAACCACGAUAACCCUUGUGUCAUUUACAUUUUAUGCAGAUUCACGGUCGGAUUUACGUUGUUCCAAGACAUCCAGUUUUGUGCAUCAACAUAUUUCUUUACAUAAUUACCAAUUGAAGCUGAUUUGAGAUCGUGUAACAUUUCCUUGCCCAACCAAAGAUCGCUGUCGCUCAGAGCUGCAUUUCAUGAAACAAGUUUAUCUCCUGCCAAUUUUGUGUACCCACUUUUUAUUCAUGAGGGUUGGUGCUUGCUUGCAAGGCAAGUUGGUGCUAUUAAGUUUUGCGGUUUUACAAUCUGUUCAUGCUUAAACCUCUUUCAAUUUUUCAAUUCUAUGUAAACCUUGCAGGUCAGGACGGCACCCCUAUCUAGGCAAUGUCAGGAUGUCUAGGCUUGGGUGGAGACGUGGACUUAUGGAAGAGGUGAAGUAGCUUAGCUCUAUCUCAUUAGCUCUUAUCUGUUCUAUUAAUGCUAAGAUCAAUGGUAAAAAGUUAUAUUGAUUUUAUAAUCAAAGAUACAUAUAUUAUAAAAACAGAGGGUAUAUCAUUAAUUUCUUGAUGUAAACAACUUCCUAAGUUGGCUCCAUCAUCUUUCUCCUCACUUUCGAUCGGGUACCGCCUCUACUUACCGCGUUUUGUCGUGGAUCUUUGGGAGGGUGUGUAGAGCUUUAGCUCGGGUGUCUGCACCACCACCUUUGUUGGCCCUUGCUGGUCACUCCCGUUGUUGCUCGCCCUUGUUAGCGAUGUUGCCUGUGGGUUCUUUCUACUUGCAUGCUUGUUUGUUCUCUUGGGGGCUAUUCCAGUGCUGGUUUUGGGAUGAUGAUGUGACCUCUGUCCUCACCACUUCUGGGUUUCUUGAUGGUUUAAUCUUAAGUAAUCGUGGCGGGUGGCCGAUUGGGAUGUGGUUCUGUCGGCGAUGGGUUCUGUGUGGUUUGGUUGUUUGUCUUGGGCUCCAAGGUUGGUCUUGGGCCUUUGUUUUCUGUGUGUUGUGGCCCUUUUUCUUUUGUUGUGUUCAUAUGGUUUUGGGCCUUUGUUGUACUUCUCUAGUUGGUAAUGAAUUUUAUCCUUUGUCCCAAAAAAAAAAAAAACAAUGAUAAUUUGAAGAACCAUUUAAAGUAUUUUGGUAAUUAGCAUACUUAAGCUUAAAUGUGAUAUAUCUGUUUAGUAUUUUUUUGGAUAAAUUACACUUUCAUACCUCAGGUUUGGGGUCUAUUUCAAUUCAUUACAAUAUCUUUAAAACAUUUCACUUUCAUACCUUAAGUACUAUUUUAUUUCAAAAUAAUACAUCCGUUACAUUUUCCAUCCAUUAAUCUGUUAAAUGCUGACGUGGCUGCCACAUAUAUGCCACGUGGCUGCCAAAUGUCUGCCACGUGGCAAAUAAAAUAAUUUUUUAAUUUUUUUUUAAAAACCUGAAUUUUCUCAACAAAAAAAAAUUGAAACACACAUCUGCAAGAAGAAGAAGAAGAGGGAGGAAGAAAGAAAAAGAAAAAAAAAACUGUCCCUCAUCCCCCAGCGACCCAGAAGAAGAAGAAGAAAAAGAAGGAGGAAGAAAAAAAAGAAAAAGAAACCCACAUCUGCAAGAAGAAGAAGAAGAAGAAGAAGAAGAGGGAGGAAGAAAGAAAAAGAAAAAAAAUGUCCCUCCUCCCCCCAACGACCCAGAAGAGGAAGGAAAAAAAAAAAUAGAAACGCACAUCUGCAAGAAGAAGAAGAGGGAGGAAGAAAGAAAAAGAAAAAGAAAUGUCCCUCCUCCCCCUAGCGACCCAGAAAAGGAAGAAAAAAAAAUAGAAACCCACAUCUGCAAGAAGAAGAAGAAGAAGAAGAAGAAGAAGAAGAAGAGGGAGGAAGGGAGCUGGGUCGGGGUGGGGGGAGGGUCGCUGGGCUGGGGGGGACGGAGGGAGGGUCGCUGGGCAGGGGGGCCGGAAGGAGGAUCACUGGGCUGGAGGGAGGACGGGAGGAGGGUCACCGGGCGGGGGGAGGGUCGCCGGGGGGGGGUUCUUCUUUUUUCUUCUUCUGGUCACUGGGGGGAAGGACAAAUUUUUUUUUUCUUUUCCUCCUUCUGGUCGCUGGUUGCAGAUGUGGGUUUCAUUUAUUUAUUUAUUAUUUUUUUUGUUGAGAAAAUUCAGGUUUAAAAAAAAAGAAAAUUAAAUUUUUUUUGCCACGUGGCAGACAUUUGGCAGCCAUGUGGCACAAAUGUGGCAGCCACGUCAGCAUUUAACAGAUUAAUGGAUGGAAAAUCUAACAGAUGUAUUAUAUUGAAAUAAAAUAGUACUUAAGGUAUGAAAGUGAAAUGUUUUAAAGUUGUUGUAUGGGAUUGUAAUAAACCUUAAAAUCUGAGGGGCUACUGUGUAAUUUACCCUAUUUUUUUAUACAGUGAUAAUACUCAAGUAUAAUUUACAUCAUAUAUCUUUUGAAGUACAUAAAACUAUGAAGAAAAAUCCCUAAUUAAUCUGAUUAUGGGGAUUUUGUUUUAUAUCAAAAUAUUGCAGCAGAAGUCACACUUUGAAGAGUUCACGCUGCACAUAAAGAUGAUGAAAUGCUACAUGAGGUAUACUUUUGUUCUGCAAUAUGACCCUUUUUAUUUUAUUUUUAAGACAGAUAAGGUUGAAAAGAAAUUAUUUAGUAUUUUUGUAUCAGUUUUGAGUGCCUAUUUUGGCUUCCAUAUUUGGUCUGUACAUGUGAGGUAUAGAGUGUUCAAUAUGUAUUUGGUUUCUAUAUUGUUAAUGGAUCUAUAGCAAGUCCGCUUCCCUCAGUGUCCCUGGUAACAAAAUUUAUGGCGUGUCUUCGUUCUUUCAAUUAUUUGAAAGCUUCCCUGCUCUGCACUCUUGUACAAAGACUUAUGGUGUUUCAUCAGUUCCAUUUGGUGGUUGGGUGGGAAAUGAAAUUAAAACUCUGCAUUUCAAAUGGUCUAAACCAAAUUGUAUCAAAUGUGAAGCAAAGGGCAAGAGGUGUAGAUUGAAGAACAAUGGCACUAAGAGCGAAAUUGAACUUGUUGACAGGAGGAAACCAAGUAAGGAUAACGCGUCUAAAUCUUAUUUCGCAUUUAUUAUGCUCAUGAUGUUUUUAAUGAUGAUGAUCGGUAUAAUGUGCUACAUGCUGUGAUUUGUCUGCUUUCAUGUAAUUAGCGGCUUAUAUUUAUGGUAACGAUAUUGAUUAAUUUCGAGAAAUGACAUUCUAAUUUUCGCAACUGUCUUUUGCAGGCAAAACAAAGACGUUUGCAAGGGUGAGUUGUGUAUGACUGUUGUUUAGCUUUGUUUCAUCUCCAAAGGACAUUGGAGAAUAAAUGUUUACUCAUGGAUAGUAUCUAUCUAUUUGCAGGAGCAACCCUACGUUCAUUUGUUCUGUUACUGCUGGUCAUUGCAACAUAUCACGCCUAUAACGCUGAAAAAGAGAAUCGAAUGAAAAUUGAUAAGUUUUCGGCGGACUACAAAGAUCAUAAGCCAAGCAUAUAUUCCUAUGCAGAUAUUAAGAGGAUUACAAAUCAAUUCAAGUACAAUUGGGCCAAGGAGCAUACGAAGCUGUUUUUUUUUUUUUUUUUCUGAAUGCUUUGUUGCCAUGAAAGUACUUAACAUUUCCAAGGGCAACGGGGAAGAGCUUGUGAAUGAAGUGGGAACAAUGGGUCAUAUUCACAAUGUCAAUGUGGUUCGCUUGGUUGGUUUUUGUGCUGAUGGAUUUAGAUGAGCUCUGGUUUAUGAGUUCUUUCUCAAUGGUUGGCAUAAGUUGCAAGAUAUUGCUAUUAGCAUAGCCAAAGGAAUCAAGGAUGUGAUCUACAAAUCCUCCAUUUCGAUAUCAAACCACAUAAUGUUUUGCUCGACCAAAAAUUCCUGCCAAAAAUCUCUGAUUUUGUUCUGGCCAAGUUAUGUUCCAAGGAUCAAUCAAUGUCAAUGACUUAAGCGAGAGGGACCAUGAGAUACAUUGCACCUGAAGUGUUUUCCAGGAAUUUCAGAAAUUUGUCUUACAAGGCAGAUGUCUUGAAUGUUGCUGCUUGAGAUGGUAGGAGGAAAGAAGAAUGUUGGUUCAACCACAGACGACACGACAAAUGAAAUCUACUAUCCAAAAUGGAUUUAUAAUCUUCUAGAGGAAGGAAAUGAACAACGGAUCCAUAUUGAAGAAGAAUGUUAUGGUAAGAUUCCAAAGCAACUUGUAAUUUUAGGGCUCUGGUACAUCGAGUGACACUCGGUGGAUCAUCCUACCAUGAAAACGGUGGUGCGGAUGUAGGAGGAGGAGAAAACUUAAUGAUGCAAGCAACCCUAAAAGCCUCCUACAGUUAGAAGCAAUUGUUGAAUUAAAGUAACAUGUAUAUAUAUACGCACCAACACAAGUCAAUUCUGAGAUGAAUCCAAGCCAAACAAUUACAAACGGCAGUUAUUCACCAAAUCACUUUAAAGCAAAAAUUUAAUUAAUAAUACAUUACUGCACUUCCUUAACAAUUUGACUAUCACCUAGCUGACAAUGAACACGUUAGUUCCGCGUUAGAACAUAUUGGGUUCAAUUCAUUGUCUUGAAUAUCACCCGCAGUCACAGGCGCUUCUUGUGGGCAUAGAGAAGGCUUGAGAGGCAUCUGCAGACAUUCAACAUCUCCUCCAAGCAUUUCGACAACUUUGGACAUCGAAGGACGAUCACUUGGUUUCAUUUGAAUACACCAUAAGGCUGUUAUAACCAUCUUUCUUAUUACUUUCUUUUCCUCCUCAGUAAUAUUGUUCAUUUCCAAGUCAUUUCCCACAAUAUACUGAUCGUAUACCCACAACGGGAAGUAGAUUUGGCUUGAAUGCUCUACCAUUGCAUUCAAAUUCUUCCUUCUGCUUGCCAUUUCCAUCAACAACAUUCCAAAACUAUAGACAUCGGCCUUGUAUGAGACACCUCCAAUAUUUUUGUAGAACAACUCGGGAGCAAUAUAUCCCAUUGUACCCCGUGCUGCCGUCAAAGAGACAAUGCUAUUAUCUACAGGAUACAGUUUUGCAAGCCCAAAGUCAGAAAUCUUUGCUUUAAAGUUCUCAUCAAGAAGGAUGUUAUGAGGUUUGAUGUCGAAAUGUAGAAUUUGCAUUUCGCAACCUUGAUGUAGAUAUUCGAUCCCUUGAGCCACUCCAAGAGAAAUCUCGUACAUAGUCUUGAUAGUUAAAGGAAGACUUCCUUCUUUAGAAUAAAUGUAUUUAUCAAGAGAACCAUUAGGCAUGAAGUCAUAUACUAGAGCACGCUUUGAUCCCUCAACACAAUAUCCAACAAGUUGCACCACAUUGGCAUGGUGAAUCCUUCCGAUUGUAGCUAUUUCGCUAAUGAAAUCUUGGUCAUCAGCUUUGGGCUUGCCCAAAACUUUAACUGCUACAAAUCGGCCACUACGUAGCUUUCCUUUAAAUACAGAGCCAAAGCCACCUUUGCCCAACCUGUCCUUAAACUUGCGAGUCAUUUUCUUGAUGUCCGAGUAAGAGUACCUUAUAAGCAUGAAGUUGUUAUUGCAUUGCAGAAAAUCUUCUAUUGUGCCAUGCAUUGAUAAAUGUCUUCUGCGCCAUGUGUAGAUUAAAAAUGCAGUCACAACUAGAACUCCAAAAACAAAUCUGGCUAGGAAAAAUAACCCUGCAUGCAUUGACAAUAAUAUGUUAGAUCCACUGCGUAUUACUUUUUCUUCCCUUUCUUUCCAAAUUACUUUGUCCUUGAUAUAAUUAAAGAGAGAGAAUGGGAAAUCUACAUAUGCGGAUAAUACAAUCUCGUAUUAGUUCUUACCGAUGCAUAUGAGUAUAAACCAUCCACGUACUGCAACAAAAUUAAUUGACAAUGAGUUUGAAAAGUGCAUAAAGUGAAAAAUAAAAAAAUAAAAAAAAUCAAAGGGUGCCUUUAUUGACACCCAAAUUUUAGUUAGUUUCACUCAACUAAAAAAUUUUUGUCAUCAAACUUUUUAAUUUGCCGUCGAAAUUGAGUUCACCCAACCCACCAAGCAGCAAGCACCACUCACCAAAAAACACGAACAACACACACCCACAACUCACCAAUAGAAAGAGAAUGAACACACAGACCCACAAAGAGCUGGCAUCGACGCUGUUGAUGAGGGAGGGACCAGAGGAUGGUGUAGUUUCGUCGGGUGCGCGGUAGUGGUUUUGUCUGUUCAUUUUCUCUUUCUUUUGGUAUGUGGAGGCUGGUGUGGAUUUGGGCGAACUUGAAAAUGAGGGGAAACUAUGAAGUUUGACAAAAUGUUUUAGUUAGGUGAACUUAACUAAAAUUUGGGUGCUAAUGAAGGUACCCAAAAUCAAAAGACUUGAGCGUAUGGACUAAUUAAAUGAAGCUCUUACUGAUUUCUAUUUCUUCCAACUUGCCAGCUGCAAUAGAUACAUACCACGGAAAAGUGAGCAAAGACAUACAGUUACUAUGUUUAAGAAGUACAGAUAGAUCACACAAAAAUAAAAGAAUCUUUUGGAGAGAAACUUCUUACACAAUGAGAUGCGUCCAUGACCUACAGUGAAAAAUGUGACGAAGAAUACACAACAUUAGCAAUAGCUCAUCUAAUCUUCAGAAUUUAAAAAAUCAAGUUUGUCGAUCGAAAACUUGUAAAUAAAACAAAAGGAGAACCCCUUACGGAUUUGGUCCCAUUUAUAUUCGAUUAGGUCCCAAAGAUAUUCGAUUAGGUUCCAUAUAUAUUGAAAGAAACCUACAAGAACAAAGAAAGAACAAGACCACAUGCAUUAGCAUAACCAGUGUGAGGUGUAUAAGUCGUUAGAAAAUAAAUUUAAAAUUCUAGUUUUGUCAAUACAUUGAUUAAUAUAUAUAUGUAUUAUUUUUUCUAAAAAUUUAAUCGUCCCCCUCCAAACUCAUUUUUCUAGCCUCUAGCCCAUCAUAUAUAUAUUUAUCUGAAUAAAAUUCAAUGAUUAGGAUCCAACUGAGAAACUUACCAAAUUAAGUUUGUGUGUCCAUUUUUAUUUGUUUUAAUGGAUCAUGUGCAUUGAAUUUGGCAAGGUUUUGUAGCCAUGAAAUAUGGUUCUAGAUGGAGGAAUUAAUUUGGAUUUUUUUUUUAAUUUCGACAACAAAUUUCAAUUUGAAACAAUAUCUAUUGUUUAAUUUUAUGAAAAUAAUUUACCUACUAUGAAAAUUAAUUUUAUGAAAACAAUAUCUAUUGUUUAAUUUUAUACCUACAUGAUAAUUACAUGAAAAUAGUUAACCUAAUAUGAAAAUUAAUUUUUUGAAAACAAUAUAUAUUGUUUAAUUUUAUGAAGAUAAUUUACCUACUGUAUAAUUACGUGAAAAAAUUUACCUACUAAGAAAAUUAAUUUUUUGAAAACAAUAUAUAUUGUUUAAUUUUAUGAAGAUAAUUUACCUACUGUAUAAUUAUAUGAAAACUAAUGUGCCUACUUUUUUAAUUUGUAACAAAACCAAUUUACCUACUUUUUAUGGUAUUUAGUAUACAUAAAUGUAGAAUAUAUGUUCAUAUAUGGGGUUUAGGUGCCUUCCUAUAUAUGACCCUUGAUUUUACUUUAUUUACAGCACUGCAAUCAAAUGUGUGGCUGAGUUGGAGGGUAUUAUUAAAAGUUAGGAGGAUAAUUUUGUCCAAGGGCUGGGGGCGAAUUAGCAUACAGAGGGCGAUGGGAGCCAUGCCCAUUGCACAGAGAGAGAGAGGGACAGAAAAGGAGGGGAUGGGGGAUUUGAUGGAUGGUCACAGAGAGAGAUUGGGUGUGGGAUGUGAGGGGAGAUUACAGAGAGAUAAAUAAAAGGGAGGGAUCGGGGGAUUUGAGGGAUGGUCAGAGAGAAAUAGUGAGGGAGAGGAUGGGGGGCUGAUUUUCGGUUCCUCCUUCCAGAUUUGUUCCGUAAAACCUGUUGGGUACAAUUCAAUUUCCUCCCCCUUUCCCCUGAACGAAAAAUUCGAAACCUACAACUCAAAACUCACUCAUUUGACCCCCCUCCUUGGCUUUCCACCUUACUCAUCUCCUGGUGGUUCUUUCUCUCCAUACGAUUCGAUUUCGUUGAGUUCUUCGUUGCCCUCAUGAUUUCCCAAUUUGAUUUUUUGGGCGUCCUUAGUCGUCGUUUUUAUCUGGGUUUACUGCAUUGUUGCUUUUAGUUUCUGGAUUUUUAUUUUUUUUGGCGGUUUGAUGAAUCGUGGUUAAUAAUUUCACACCAUGGGAUUUUCGCACUUCUGAUGGAAUUGAGCGAGGGGAUUCGAGGUGGGGUUUUACUGAUAAUUUGUCUUCAUUCAAAUGAAUGGUUAAAAUUUAUGAGUAUUAACAAAUUUUGUAAAUUAUUCUUAUGCAUUUUAUUGAGGGAUAUGGGGAUCUAAUCGAUUUCUCUCUGUAGUGGGAUUGAAAUUGGGACUUUGUGGUACUCUCUCUCGCUCUUCCUCUCUCAUAUGUGUAUGAAGUGAGUUCUGAAUUGAGUUCUUUCAAGGGAACCCAUCAACGGUUUGCUUGCUGGGGGAAUUCGGAGACUACCAGUGUAUGAUUUAGUUAUCAUUUAUUUUUUUACUUAAAUUUAUCCAUAAAUAAUAUGUGGGUAAAUUUAUACUAAACAAUUGUGAUAAGCCAGCCAAUAUGCCAUACGACUUUGAAAGCAUUGAUUUUAUGUAUAGUUUGCAUUUUUGCAUUGUGAAUGUUGAAUUUUGUGUUUAAUUUGGAUUUUUGUGUUUGAAUUUGUAGCAUGAUCUUCCACUGCAGCAUCCAAAUUUUGCAUUUGUAAAUUGUCAAAGAAAAACGAAGUAUGAGGAAAUUAUAGGAGAUUGUGUCGGCUUUGGCCAUGAAGGGUAUCAGCAGUUUACCGCCCCCCCCCCAACACAGGUGAUUAAUCGUUUUUUAGUCUGUGUUCUAUAUGGAUGAGAAAGUGAUUGAAAAAUAUGAUUUUUUUUAUUUGUUGGUUGAUUUUGUAAGGACGAUGUAUUAAUUUUUUUUUUUGGGAGCAGCUUCUCCAUAAAUGGGGGUAAGGCUAGCCGACAUUCACCUCUCCCAGACCCUGCGUAAAGCGUGAGCCUUGUGCACUGGGUACGACCUUGUGUAUUGGGUAUUGUGUAGAACCAGCAAUGCAAGAGCAGGAUCUGAUCAGUCACGCCCGAAAAGGGGUUUGUUUCUCAAAUCACAUUCAUUAGUUAGAUUAUUAAUGUGCGUUGGAAGGCUCUUCAAUAUGAUUUUGUAAUUUCUCAUUUCCGGCAUUCUCUUUUUGGUUUUUGGAGUAUGUAUGUGAUUUGUACUUGAUUAUAGAAUAAAAAUUAAUAAAACACGAGAUGCAGCAAUUAAUUUGCAUCCUUAUGACAACACAUAUAUGAAAGUGCAUUCAAAUUCAAUAUGCGAAUGUGUGACAGGAUUUGCCUGCCUGCUGCUGCUGGUAUGCUUGCUGUUGUUUCUCGCGUUGUUAAUUUUUUGUGUGUGUUGAUUUGAUUAACAAUUCAAGCGUAUCUCUUUUCUUUUUUUUUUUUUUUUUUUUUUUGUGUUGGUUAGCAGCCAGUUUUAUUUAUUGGAUUUUUUAUUUGGAUUUAUGGCACUGAGGGUAUAGGUGAACAGUGAAGCGGUUUGUAUGGGCUCAUGUAACUUAAACAUGUAGUGAGAAGCGAGGAUUUUGUUUUAGUGUUUAUGAUAAUCUGAAGGAAUAUGUAGAUACUAUGAUUUGAGGUUGCUUUCUUAAACCAUGAUAAAGCAGUCCAAGUAAUUUUAACAACAACAACAACAACAACAACAACAACAAAGCCUUUUCCCACUAAGUGGGGUCGGCUAUAUGAAUCCUAGAACGCCAUUGCGCUCGGUUUUGUGCCAUGUCCUCCGUUAGAUCCAAGUACUCUAAGUCUUUUCUUAGAGUCUCUUCCAAAGUUUUCCUAGGUCUUCCUCUACCCCUUCGGCCCUGAACCUCUGUCCAGUAGUGACAUCUUCAAACCGGAGCGUCAGUAGGCCUUCUUUGCACAUGUCCAAAUCACCGGAACCGAUUUUCUCUCAUCUCUCCUUCAAUUUUGGCUACUCCUACUUUACCUCGGAUAUCCUCAUUCCCAAUCUUAUCCUUUCUCGUGUGCCCACACAUCCCACGAAGCAUCCUCAUCUCCGCCACACCCAUUUUUUGUACGUGUUGAUGGUUCACCGCCCAACAUUCUGUGCCAUACAACAUCGCUGGCCUUAUUGCCGUCCUAUAAAAUUUUCCCUUGAACUUCAGUGACCUAUGACGGUCACACAACACGCCGGAUGCACUCUUACACUUCAUCCAUCCAGCUUGUAUUCUAUGGUUGAGAUCUCCAUCUAAUUCUCCGUUCUCUUGCACGAUAGAUCUUAGGUAGCGAAAACGGUCGCUUUUUGUGAUCUUCGCUAGAUUGCUCUGGUCAUUAGUAUGGAUAAGUAUAUAAAUGGAUAGAGAUAGGAAAGCGAACACAAGAUGUACGUGGUUCACCCAGAUUGGCUACGUCCACGGAAUAGAGGAGUUCUCAUUAAUUGUGAAGGGUUUACACAAGUACAUAGGUUCAAGCUCUCCUUUAGUGAGUACAAGUGAAUGAUUUAGUACAAAAGACAUUAGGAAAUAUUGUGGGAGAAUGAUCUCGUAAUCACAAAACUUCUAAGUAUCGGAGUGUGGUAUCGUCUUGACGUGCCUUAUCUGUCUCAUAGGUAGAUGGGGCAUCUUCUCUAGAAGUACUCUUCCUCCAUCCAGGGGUGGUAUCUUUAACUGGUGGAGAUGCACAAGGUAAUGUAUCAAUUUCACUUGAAGCUUACUUGUAGUUUCAGGCUUGGUCAAGCGCGAUACAAACCAUGUAGUAGGAGUCCCCCAAGUCGCUGAGCUAGGGGAUCUGCUGAAAGAGGUGACAGGCAAGGUAAGCAAUCAUAGCUCCGGCUGAUUGUUCACAGUCUCCCUAUCUUGCAGGCAGCAUGAAGGAUAAAGAGAAGAAAAUGAGAAGAGAUGAUAUGGGAUACUUUUGCUUUUGAAGAAGUAACUUUCCACAGGCUUAUUCUUGAACUGAGCUGGAGGGUUUUCUGGUUUCCUCCAGAGUAUAAGGCCGACUGAAGAAUUUGAGGAUCAAAACAAGUCCAUCAAAUCUAGAGUACGUUCAACCCUGCUGAUAUGGGAUACUUUUGCUUUGACAGAGUAAUGGAUGUAUCGGCACGUGUGCUGUUACGCUUGUCUCCACAUGCUUCCUUGUAUCCUUUUCCCUUGCCCUAUCUGUUCCUCAGGUAGAUGCAGUAUCUUCCCUGGAAGCAUAAGAUGUUGAAGAUGACUACUCGAGAGCAAUAUCAGGUAAGUAAUCAGGUAAGGGGUUCCAGGCAGUCAGUUCCUGGCUGGAAGCUUGAUUCCAAGUACUGACUGAUUGCUCUCUUUCUCCUUGCCUUGCAGGUAAGAAUAAGGUCAAAGGAAAAGACAGGGAAGAAGCAUGAUAUGGGAUACUCUUGCUUUUAACCCUGAUGAUAUGAGAUAUUCUUGCUCUAGUAUAGCUUGUUUGCAGAGGGAUUAUCGGGGGGAAAGAAAGCUGAAUAUUUCGAAAGGCUUCGUUGGGAGUGCCCUCUUAGAUAUGAGGAAGGGUUGAGCAUUUUUGCAGGUCUGCCUGUCCGUUGAGGAUGGAGGUCGACAUAUAUAGGAGUCUCCUUAACAACAAGUAGUCAUGCUAUUCCUUUACCCUACUUGGUCAUAGCACGGUAGUGGGAGCUGUCAGCUUCACAUGUUUUAACGCUGUCAAAGCACUUUGAAAAAGUGGUUUGUGGUAUCUGGAAAGCUGAUGUUGCGUGUGAAGAUUACAAACAGCUUUAUCCAAGGGGAUCCGGCUCUUGUAGUUGGGAAAGUGUUGCCUCUUCGGUUUUCGAACAAGCAAUCCUAUCGGGUAUCUGGCUCUCGAGAUUCGGAGAACGAUGCCGCUUCGAUUUUUGAGAAAGCAAUCAUGCUGGGGGUCUGGCUCUUGAGAUUCGGAGAGCGAUGUCUCUUCGAUUUUUGAGAAAGUAAUCAAGUUGGGAGUCUGGCUCUCGAGAUUCGGAGGGCGGUGCCUCUUCGAUUUUGGAGCAAGCAAUUUUGUUGGGAGUGUUUUCUCGAAUGUGAGUAAAGGUUGGGCAUGUUUGCUAGUCUACCUUGCCACGAAGCACAGAGGUUGACACACAUGGACUUUCCAAUUAUCCAGCAAUGGUACUGUUCCUUUACCCUCUUCGAUUUUUGAGAAAGUAGUCAUGUUGGGAGUCUGGCUCUCGAGAUUCGGAGGACAGUGCCUCUUCGAUUUUGGAGCAAGCAAUCUUGUUGGGAGUGUUUUCUCGAAUGUGAUUAAAGGUUGGGCAUGUUUGCUAGUCUACCUUGCCACGAAGCACAGAGGUUGACACACAGGGACUUUCCAAUUAUCCAGCAGUGGUACUGUUCCUUUACCCUUGUGGGUAAUAAUAUGGUAGCUAGACCUUCAAAAUUUAUGUGUCUAAACUUUGUUAGUGUUGUUUCUUUGCUAUUCUUUUACUCUUCUUGGUCAAAGCGAUGUAGUGGGAGCUGCAAGCUUCACGUGUUCAACUUUGGCAGAGAACUUUGGCAAAGUUAUCUGUGGUACCCAUGAGCUACUGUUGCGUGUGGGAAGUGGGUGAUUGAACAGUAAGACUCAUGUGCUUUCUACUUCACCAGAAGUCUUCGACCGAAUGCCCAUAAUUUCCGCAAAGCUGAGUGUGCGUGUGACAGGUGCUGACAAGGCUGGAAAAGUAGGUGCCUCUUCGAUUUCUGAGAUCGGCCCUCGUGGUCUCUGAGCAGCCCAGUUUUUUGAGAAAGCAAGCGCCUCUUCGAUUUCUGAGAUCGGCUUUCGUGGUCUUUGCGCAGCCCAGCUUUUGAGAAAGCAAACGCCUCUUCGAUUUCUGAGAUCGACCCUCGUGGUAUCUGAGCAGCCUUGCUUUUGAGAAAGCAAACGCCUCUUCGAUUUCUGAGCAGGCGCCUCUUCGAUUUCUGAAGCUCCGUCGAGUGCAGAUUUUUAUAGGGGCUGGCAUUAAGUUCCAAAGCACACUUGAAUCUCCACCAGUAGAAGCUCCAUUCUUGAACUUCUAAGAUCUUGAUUUGUCCGACCUCUUUUCUCUUCAACACCUUUGAAAAUGUCUGGCCCCUCCGACCGUCGUUUUGACUUGAACCUUGUUGAAGAGGCAGCCCCGCCUUCUCCUGACAACAUAUGGCGUCCAUCAUUCGUCUCCCCUACUGGUCCUCUUACCGUUGGGGAUUCCGUGAUGAAGAAUGAUAUGACCGCUGCGGUGGUGGCCAGGAACCUUCUCACUCCCAAAGAUAACAGACUACUUUCCAAACGGUAUGAUGAGUUAGCUGUUAAGGAUUCUCUGGCUCUCAGUGUUCAGUGUGCAGGUUCUGUGUCUAAUAUGGCCCAACGCCUAUUUGCUCGAACCCGCCAAGUUGAAUCAUUGGCGGCUGAAGUGAUGAGUCUCAAACAGGAGAUUAGAGGGCUCAAGCAUGAGAAUAAACAGUUGCACCGGCUCGCACAUGACUAUGCUACAAACAUGAAGAGGAAACUUGACCAGAUGAAGGAAUCUGAUGGUCAGGUUUUACUUGAUCAUCAAAGAUUUGUGGGUUUAUUCCAAAGGCAUUUAUUGCCUUCGUCUUCUGGGGCUGUACCGCGUAAUGAAGCUCCAAAUGAUCAACCUCUGAUGCCUCCUCCUUCUAGGGUUCUGUCCAGUACUGAGGCUUCGAAUGAUCCCCCUCCGGUGCCUUCUCUUUCUGGGGCUCUACCGACUGCUGAGACUUCUCCUAAGCAACCUUUGUGAAGGCUCCGUCUUGUUUGUUUAUUUUGAGUUAUGUAUAUGUACAUAUAUGUAGCUUAUCGGGGAUAUCAAUAAAUAAGCUUUCCUUCAUUUCAACGUAUUGUGUUAAAUACACCAAAGCCUUCUUCGCUAAGUUCUUUGAAUUUUCUUUUGUUGAAGCUUUGUGAGUGGAGCAUGUAGGUUGAGGUAGUGUUCCCUUAAUUUCCUGAGUGAGGAAAACUUCUCGGUUGGAGACUUGGAAAAUCCAAGUCACUGAGUGGGAUCGGCUAUAUGAAUCUUAGAACGCCAUUGUGCUCGGUCCUGUGUCAUGUCCUUCGUUAGAUCCAAGUACUCUAAGUCUUUUCUUAGAGUCUCUUCCAAAGUUUUCCUAGGUCUUCCUCUACCCCUUCGGCCCUGAACCUCUGUCCCAUAGUCGCAUCUUCUAAUCGGAGCGUCAGUAGGCCUUCUUUGCACAUUCCAAACCACCGUAACCGAUUUUCUCUCAUCUUUCCUUCAAUUUCGGCUACUCCUACUUUACCCCGGAUAUCCUCAUUCCUAAUCUUAUCCUUUCUCGUGUGCCCACACAUCCAACGAAGCAUCCUCAUCUCCGCUACACCCAUUUUGUGUACGUGUUGAUGCUUCACCGCCCAACAUUAUGUGCCAUACAGCAUCGCCGACCUUAUUGCCGUCCUAUAAAAUUUUCCCUUGAGCUUCAGUGGCAUACGGCGGUCACACAACACGCCGGAUGCACUCUUCCACUUCAUCCAUCCAGCUUGUAUUCUAUGGUUGAGAUCUCCAUCUAAUUCUCCGUUCUUUUGCAAGAUAGAUCCUAGGUAACGAAAACGGUCGCUCUUUUGCAAGAUAGUCCAAGUAAUUUUAACAUAGAUAUAAUUUUUUAUGCAAUGCAUGAGUAUAUGAAAUGUUAAGACGAUAAUAUAUCAUGUGAUUUAAAAUUCAAAGAGAGACAAUGAACCAUGUUUGAUAUUUUGUUUGUCUUGUUUCGUUUAAAUUUGGGCGUUUUUCAGUUGGAUUCAUGGGUUUUGUUUAAGAUAUCAUUUUUGGUUUAGCCAACGCAAAAGUUUACAUCUUUUCUAUGUUGGAUUCAUGGGGUUUUCUUAAGCUUUCAAGUUUUCAGUUUUUGUCAAGAAAUUUAAUCUAGGUUUCAUUUAUUUUUCAAACUAGACACUUUUGUGAAGAUUUUCUUUAUAAUUCAGUAAAUGAUUGCUCCUUUACCUGUAAAUUUGACUUAUGUAAAUUUCCAGGUUGUUCAAAACCCGCAGGGAAGCGCGGGCAAUUUUUCUAGUUAAAUGUCUAAAAGAAACGUAUAAGAGAUUUGGUGGCAUGAUUUUGUAAAUGAACACAAAUUCAGGGACAUCUUUUAUCCAACAUGACAUCAUAUUUAAAAUUUGGGUUUUAUUUAGAAGUUAUAAUAUUUAUGUGGCCUUUUGUCUAGAGUUUAAGAGUUGCCAGGAUUGGAUGAAAAUUUGCUGAGUGUUGGACAAAUGAUGCAGCAUGGAUAUUUCCUUCUAUUUGGAUUGAUGAGGUUGCUCUAUUUGAAGAUAAGAUGCUGGAAAAUCAUGUGGUUACAGUACAAAUGACUGGGAAUAGAUGUUUCCCUCUCAUAAUGGAAGAUAAGAAAUUCAAUGUGUUGAAAGCUGCUUUGGAAGACGGUGCUUAAGAUUGGCACAUAAGACUUGGACAAUUGAAUUUUCAAAGCCUGUAGUUACCUGUUAGUCGGGAAAUGGUACUAUGAAUGCCAAAGUUGAAGCAAACACAAACAGUAUGUGAAGGUUGUGCGGUGGGAACGCAUCACAGAGAAGCCUGUAGCAGGGAGAUAAUGUGGAGAGCAAGUCAUCCACUAGAGUUGAUACACUCUGAUAUUUGUGCAGGUUACAACAUCGGGUGGAAACAAGUAUUGCUUGACUUUCAUAGAUGAUUGUACAAGAAGGUAUUGGUUGUAUCUUCUGAAGCACAAGUCUAAAGUGUUCACUGUGUUUAAACAUUUCAAAGCCAUGGUUAAGCUACAAUGUGGAUACCAGAUCAAAAGAUUGAGGAGUGACAACGGUGCAAUAUCUAUUUACUAGACAUCCUUUGGGAUUCUUCCAUAUUAGAACAAGGAUUCUAUUCUAAAAAGGCCCCCUCUCCCACGGUAUAAAUACACCCAUCUAGGGUUCAUCUACGGUAGCACAAUCUAAACACUUUGAAUUCUCUUGCCCACUGCUUGAGUCUAAAAUCAUUCAUUAACUUAACUAACCUCCCCCCCCCACCCCCCCCAACCAAAGGUUUGCUUACGAUUGUUUCACUAUUUUGCAGGUUGUUCCAGACUACAUGAAUUCGUGCUCGACCGCCUCUUACGGCUCCAAACUAAUUAAUAAGUUUAAGGGGGAUAUGAUGAAGAAGUAUGAGAUGACUGAUCUUGGCUUGCUUUAUCAUUUUCUUGGUAUGUGAAUAGUUCAAACAGAGCAAAAGUAUCUUUAUCAAUCAAAAGAAGUACACUCUUGCACUUUUAGACAAAUUUAGUUUUGAAGAUUGCAAGCCUCUCACUAUAACACUUGCAGUGAAUACGAAGUUGAAAGGAGAAGAUGGUGGUGCUCUUGUAGAUAAAGCUCUUUAUAGGUAGAUUGUUGGUAGUCUGUUAUAGUUGAUAGCUACAAGGCCUAACAUUGUGUUUGAUGCGAUCUUACUCUCAAAAUUCAUGCACAGUCCUUCAAAGAAACACUUUGGUAUUGCAAAAUGGGUGCUAAGAUACAUACAAGGAACCUUGGAUUAUGCCAUUGAAUAUUUGAAAUCCAAGGAAGCAAUAUUAUGCUAAUAGGCUAUUGUGGCUGUGAUUGGAGUAGGGAUGAAAAUGAUUUGAAAAGUACUCCUGGAUAUGCAUUUUCAUUUGGCAGUGGAAUCUGCUCAUGGGCUUCAUCGAAACAACACAGUGUAGUAUUGUCUACUGCAGGUGCUGAGUAUGUUAGUGCCUCUGAAGCUAUUACUCAAGAGAUUUGGCUUUGAUUUAUAAUGGAAGACUUUGCUGAAUUACAAACUUAGGCUACUUGAUUGCAUUGUGACAACACAUCUGCCAUUGUCAUGACAAAAACCAUGUGUUUCAUGAAAGAUCCAAGCACAUAAAUAGCAGGUAUCACUUCUUUAGAGAAUCACUACAAAACAAUAUCAUCAAUCUAUUGUAUUGCAGAUCAGAGGAACAAUUGGCAGACAUCUUCAUCACAGCAUUGUCAAAUAAUCUAUUCUUCUAUCUCAGAAACAUGCUAGGGAUCAAAUCAGCAACAAUCUUAGAAGUGAGUGUUAAUGAUUAAGCAUUGGUGUUGAUUCCUUAGACUGCAAGCUUAGAAGGUAUGGACUGCACAGAGAGAAGGAGGGGGAGAGAGCGCGGAGAGAGGAAGAUGACGGAAGGGUGGGUCUUUUGAACAGAGACCUUGCAGACAAAGGGUGAGGGAGGGAUGGGACUGAUCUUAACGAAAUUACAGGUUUGUUUUCAAUUUCUUAUUUACAUGUUUUCAUAUUCAAUGGCAAUUUGGUUUCUUUUAUUUCAAAUUUAACUUCGAAAAUGUCUUUUAAAUUUAGGUAUUUUGUCUUCAACUCUAUCGCUUCCAUGCUAAUUAAGGUAGAUUAAAAAGUAGGUUUUUUAUUCAAAAUGGUCCUUGAGAUUUGCAUCAUUCAUAAGUUUGGUUUUUAAGAUUUAAAAUCAAUAGAAGUAGUCCUUGAGAUUGUCCACCAUCCAUGAUUUUGGUUCUUCCGCUGAAGCUUUUGGCCGGAAGUUUGAGCAAUUUUCAAAGUUUCGUAACUCAAUCGUUUUUUAACCAAAUUCGACUCAUAAUAUAUCAAAAUAAAGAUAGGAAAGUGUAGAAUAAGAUUAUAUCUAUUUGGAAGCCCAAUUAUUGCCGAAGAUGGUCAGAAAAUAGCCUCAAAGUUGACUGGUCCGAGGGAAAACUGGAACCGGAAAUUCGCUGAAAACUGGGUAAACUUUAAACGUUCAUAACUUCUUCAAUACUCAACAAAAUCAAGUGAUUCAAAAACGAAAAUCAUACUUCUCAACGAGAAGAAGAGAAUGGUACCUUUUUCAACAGCUAACUUGCCGUGGUUUGGUCGGAAAACGGCUCGAAAGUGGCUGUUGAAAAACAAGUCAACAACUUUCAAGCCGUUUUCUGGCCAAACCACGGUGAUUUAGCUAUUGAAAAAGGGUACCAUUCUCUUCUUCUCGUCGUGAAAUAUGAUUUUUGUUUUUGAAUCGCUUAAUUUCGUUGAGUAUUGAAGAAGUUAUGAACGUUUAAAGUUUACCCAGUUUUCCCUCAGACCAGUCAAUAUUGAGGCUAUUUUCCGACCAUCUUCAGCAACCAUUGAGCUUCCAAAUAGAUAUAAUCUUAUUCUAUAUUUUCCUAUCUUCAUUUUGAUUUAUUACGGGUCGAAUUUGGUUAAGAAAUGAUUGAGUUACGAAGCUUUGAAAAUUAUCCAAACUUCCGGCCAAAAGCUUCAGCGGAAGGACCAAAAUCAUGGAUGGUGGACAAUCUCAAGGACUACUUCUAUUGAUUUUAAAUCUCAGGGACCAAACUUAUGAUGAUGCAAAUCUUAGGGAUCAUUUUAAAUAAAAAGCCUAAAAAGAAUUGCAACAGAAACAACUAAAAACCAAGUUGGCCUGCAGGGUUAUCUGUAUGUGUAUUAUAUUGAUAAUUCUAGGACUUAUCAUAUCAUGUUCCUAACUUGAUGCUGUGGGCAUCUUCUCCUAUUAAUAACAGUGGCACCUUAAUUUGAUCAACCAAAUUUGGUGAAGCACCAGACAAACAGAAACCCAUGCAUACAGAGCCAACUGCACUGAAGCAUGAAUUUAAAAAAAAUAAUGUACAUGAUUAUUAUUCCACUACUUAAUUUGUUCCAACUCACCACAAAUUUCUCUUCAUUAUGGUUGUUAGGACAAUAGAUUAGGUUGCAAGAUAAAUUUCCAAAGUUCUACUAGCUUAGGUUUUCAGAAAUCAAACAUGCAAAGUUUCUAUGCAUGUUUUGAAAUUGGUUUUAGGAAGUGGGCUUCCAAGUCUUAACAAUAAUGGACACUAUGAAAUCAGGGUAACCAAUUGGGGAUAACUAUAUACUUCAAAAACGCAUAUUUUACACACACACACACACAUUCUGUCAAGAAUCAGAUUUGAUUGGCACAGAUGAAGAUGAACAAUAAGAAUGAACAAUAAGAGGCUAGCUAGGAGCUGAGUAAAUUGAAUCGAUUACCAUGUUGUAAUUGGCCUAGCUACUCUCUAGUUAUUCUUCAAGGUUGUAUAUAAUAUAUCUACCUAUAUAAUCUCACCCUGUUUCCCCCUUUUGUCUCUCUGUGCACUCAGAAAACAAGCCACCCUAAUUCAAGUUCUCUAUCUUCAGAUCACCAGCAAUAACCUCAUCAAGGUCCUAGGAGGAAUCACGAGGAUUCACAGCCGAAUUGGUAUGUACUUAUGCUUUUGCAAAAAGCCCUUUUCUUGCCAUUUUUCUGUUUUAGAAUUGGGACCAAAAUGAUUAUGAGUGAUUUUGAAAAACACCGAGAAAAAAUGGCUAUCAAGCAAGCAGGCUGUGAGUAUUCAAAAUAUAAUUUUCAGUCAAAUAAAAUAUUGGCACCACAAGCUUUUAAGUAGGGAGGGAUGUUUGAUUAUAUAUUUAAAUUAAGCAAAGAAUCUUGCAUAAGAAAACGAUCCAAGUUGAAGUAAACCAAAUAUAUGGUGCAACAACUGUUAGUUUGGUCAGUCUUCAUCACACUAAUCAAAUGGGCCCGAGGGGUUGAUUUUCACAGUAACCACUUACUUUUUAGUAUGUUCCGGAGUAUUUUAGUGUUUAACUAUUUUUUACAUUUUUGAGGUUCGGAGUGAUUUUUAAAACGAGUCAUGAAUUUUAGUUUUCUAAUAUUACACUCUCUAUGCUUCAGAUUUUCCACAUUUUGACUUGGACUUCUUUUUUUCUUUGUUCUGUUUGAAGAACUUAGUACUUUUGAUUUCAGUAGCAAAAUAAUUUGAACAGGAUGAGAGAGAGAGAGAGAGAGAGAGAGAGAGAAAUAAAGCAUCUACUUGAUCUCUGUACUUUCUCUUAUUCUUAUGUGUGGUUAAGGUUGCAUAUCUGAAUUUUAACCUAUCAUCAUGUAAGUAUUAUAGUGUGUUUUAGAAGCGGGAGUGUGUGAAAUGUGUUGAUGCUGAUGAUGGUGUCGAAUUUGGGGACACUUCCCAGCUAGCAGAGCAAGUAACAGAGAGCUUUUUCCAACUCAAAUUUAAUGAUUCAAGCUGCUUAAGACUUGCAUAACAUUUCCAAGUUGUAGUCGAUGUGCCUGAGUUCUUGAGUACUUCAGUCUUCACUAAUGAAUGUAACACCAUUAAGACUUGGAAUGUCUUUGGGGGGUACGAAAUAACAUUGCUCAUUUCGUAUUUUAUGGGUUCGAAUUUUUUGUCGAGUACGUGAUUCUUGCAAAAGAGUUGUAAAUAUCGUUGUAAAUAUGUGUAAGUAGAGUUGUAAACCCUACCAUUGAACACUUAAUAUAGUUGUACAUAUAUAUAGAAAUUUUUACAUGCUUUGUACAGUUUUAAACACCCACAACAUCGUGCGGGCACACUUUCGCUAGUAUUUUAUUGUACUAGUGCACUCAAAUGUCUGUAGCUAAAUAUGUUAUUAUGAAUUAGUGGAACAUAAGAAAAUAUGGAAAAACAUAAGUGUACCAAAAAGUUCGUACUUAAACAUAGUAUACUAAAUUAGUGUACCGGUAUGUUCGUGCCUACCCUAAACUAGUAUACCGAAAUGUCCAUACCUAAACAUGUUAUUCUAAACUAGUGUACUAAGAUGUUUGUACCUAAAUACAUUGUAAUAAAUUAAUGGCACAUAAGAAAAUAUGCAAAAACAUAGGUGUGCCGAAAAGCCUCUACCAAAAUAUUUUCUUAUAUAAGAUAAUUACAAUAAAUUGGUGAUGCAAAAUGUCAACAAAUAAAAGCUAAUUCAUUUGAAUUCAAAUGAGUAUUAAAAUUUAAUUCAUAUCAGCAUAAAAUUAUAAAUAGAAAAAAAGAAAGACAUUGAAUGCAUAUGCUGCCAUUAAAUAGAGUUUAGGAACUAAAAUCAAUUUUUUAAUCUUGUGUGAGACAUUUUUCUAAAUUUUAUUUUAUUUAAGGAUUAAAAAUAUAGUUUUCUAUUACUUAUAUUUCUGACUACAUAUGGUUAUUACUUUAGUCGAGAGUUGACGCACCUGGAAUGGUGUCUGGAAAACAUGAUGACCCAUAAUUCCAGCCUUGGCAGCGUAUUCCAGGCCAGAAAUGAAGCUCAAAGCCAUACACGAGAGCAUUGUGUAUGUCUUUAUAAGAGACGUUGCUGUAGUCCUUAACGGAGUAGUCAAAGUGACCCAAAUUCAUCCAAGCCCUCCCCUCUGCACUGCAACCCUCAUCCAAUUCCCAUACUUCCAUGUACUCCCCGACCAUGACGUAGCUAUACGUUUUUGGUUGGCUCGAAGAAGUAGAACUUGUAUUAUUCAAGCAUGGAGCAGUGUCCACGUACAGAGAAGAAUUCAAUGGAUUCGAACAUUUCAAGUAAUAUAUAGAUGUUAAAUUCCCUCGUGAAUAAUGUUCAUAAUAAUUUAAAGUAUUGUGCGGAAAAUUUCGAGGCAUGGAAGAGCAAUUGGUGUUCACAAGGCCAGGAUCUAGAAGUCGGAUUGUUUUGUCGUUGUAGUUGAUUGCCUGGACGUAGUAUUUUCCGGACGAAGGUAGGUAUAGUACUGUAAUGUUGCUCUCACAGGACAGAGUAUACCUUACGUCGCCACAAUAUUUUGGAUCAUCGUUCAGUCGAAAAGGAUAGCUUAUGUUGUGGACAUGGCCGCAGGAUGAAGUACAGGACUUGGCACUGGUGUCGUCCUUAGCGUUACAAGUUCCACUGCAGAAGCUAAGAAGAAGAAAGGCUAAACUUAAGGUGAAGGACCUGCUUCCACUAAUUUCCAUUGGAGAGAGAGAGAGAGAGAGAGAGAGGUGUACUAGUUCACACCAAGUAGUCAUAUAAUAUAGGAGGGGUUAAGGCACCUUCCGUGAAAUUGCAGUUGAAAUAUCCUAGAGAAAAAUCGGUCGUCAAUGGUAUCCUAGAGAAAAGUCGGUCGAUGGUGUUUGAUACGGUCAGUCAACGGUGAAGACAGUUGUGAAACAAUAAUGCUCUCCCCCGCUCUCUUUAUUAUAUAUGUCUUUCAUUAAUGGAGGAUACUGCGUAAUUACUACGCAUAUAUCUCUGCUUAAUCACACAAAACAAAAAAUACCAUGCGCCUAUAGAAAAUUUGACUUUUUCCCUAAAAAUUAAUUUUCUUUCACCUCCAACCCAUCAUAUAUAUUCUAUAAGAUAAGAAUAACCCAUUGACUAGCUCCAAUUAAGCAAGUUUCUUAACUUGCUUGAUGACUCUGAUCAUGUGUAAUUUUGGGGAAUUGGAUGCUAUUUUGUCUCUACUUUAUUAGGCUUUUUCAAAUGGUUCUUUCACAUUUUUCAAAUGGUUUACAAUCUCUCUUCAUUUUUAUUUUUUGCAAGAAUGUAUUUAGUUUUGGUUUACAAUUUCACCUAGCCAACCAAAUGUCGUAAAUACACUUGUGACUCGUUCAUCACUGAUUCAUGAAAAUGUGUCCUACUAUAUAAGCAACAAAUUCAAAACCAGGUUGAAAACUUAUGUAUGUAACUAAGGACUCAUGAGAAUUGUAACCAUUGUACCUAAGUACCAUAUGUGCUCGAUAGCUUGAGGUGUUUGUCUGACUACGUAAGUACAUUGGAGGUUUGUUGGAUUGCUUGGGUUUUCACUUGAAACCAGUGGCUGGCCAAUAUGCAUCACUUUUCCACAUAACUUUUAUGCAAAAAUCUUUCCUUAAGUUUUUACAUCACAGUUCUUGACUAGCUUCAAUAGACAUAUUGUUGUCAUGCUUGCUUAGUUAUGAUCCUUCAAAGUUUCUAUGUUCUCAGUUUCCCCUUCAAAUCGAUAUGUUUUGUAACUUCUUCUUUUUUUCUUUCUUCAGUACUUUUAUAUACUGAGAGCGAUAAUUCCGCGACUUGGUGAGAUUGGAAUGAUAAAUUAUUAGUGAGCCUUCACUUUUUCUUGAACAAUAAUCACUUUAGGAUGAGUUACAUUACCAACUAGAGAGAUUGGUCUAGUCACAUCUCUUCAGAAUGUUGAAAUAAGUUUCAAGUUUAAUCCAUAGCUCAACCAAAAUAAAUAAGAUAUUGUUGAUUGCACAUUGAUUUAUAUGAGAAAAUAAAUAAACUACUAGUAAGGAAACUGUUGGCAAGUGUUGAAUUGUUCUGGUAUUUAAGGUCUUCUUUUUCAACCUGCUGUACUUCUAGUGUAAACUUUCCUUCUUUUUUAAUGUAGAUUAGCAUAGAAUAUCGCUUAUGAUUAGAAGAAGAAAAAAGAAAAAUAAAAAGGAAACUAUUGAAUUUUGUUCAAAGUCUAGGUCGUAGUUCUUCUCUAGAUUAGAAGAAGCAGUUUUUUUUUUUUUAAGCAUAGCAAUACCAAACUGGCCCCUAAACCAACAUAAGACAAGUGAAUAAAAAACUACCACAUUGAAUUCCUAAGUAGGUAGCAUUUUACACAUCGGAGAUGCUCUUAUACUAUCCUUUUUAUAAUUUUAUAUUAUUCUUGAGUGGCAUCACUCAUCUUUGGUGCAUCCAAUGGAACCCAGUGGAUCUAGAUCGUCCAUCCAUUAAAGUGGAGGUUCAGAUGUUGGAAGGAGAGAACUUAACCAUGCCUCCAAAUUCUUGUGCCUAUACAGGUCUUGCACGAACUAAUACAAGUCCGCCUGCAGUGCCGGUAUAUUAGACUUCCAUGACUAUCGUGGUCUUUGGGGUUAACUGAAGAAUUUCCGAGCGAAUGGAACCACAUGUAACACAGCUAAGCCUAAUUGAUAGCGAUUUUACCACUUUUAAAACAAAGGGUUAAACCAUAGAAAAUUCUUGCAAGAGACAAGUGUUUGUAGUAUAGAAUGGCUCAAGCAAGGUCGAUCUCCUCAGGGACUGAUAUAAACAAUUUACGAGUUUUUGUGUAUUUAACUUAUUUAACUCUAAAAAUUACACUAAUUUGACGAAACUAAAUAUUACUGGAUGUGACUUAAACAAUUAUCUAAAAUGGGAAUUGGUUUAUAGGAAUAAUGAUUCAACUAAACAAAACAAGUAAAUGAGAAAAUUCAAGAUAAAAUAAAUGAUUGAAGAAAAAUAGAUUGACAAUAUGCUAGAGUUCAACCUUUACCAACAACACUCAUACGUAGCUUUUCCAAUUGCUUAAAUAAUUGAAAACACACAUGCUUUGAAAGUUGGAUUUUCCUUGUGUAUGUUUUACUUGUGACAUUCAAGCUAAAACGCAUACCACUACAUGCAACUUAUCCAUGACAUUUGGAUUAAAUAUAAACAUGAGUGAUUCAUUAAUCUUGGUGAAAAUCCUUUUGUUAAACCAUGUAAUCCCUAAGAGCAUGAUAUUUACCUUAGGAGAGUACAAUCCUCAAUCACAAGAAGCACAACCAAUUUUAACGUGACAUUCGUUCAAAAUUGCAUCCGAUAACUUUUCUAAGCAUCCUAAUGGUGAUCAAGCAUCAAGGUACAUAGAUAGUUUAAUUCAGUGAUUGAAAAUAUCAAAGCAAGCAUGUAACAACACUUAAGCAAUUGAAAAAUAAAUCUACGUAUUCAUGUUGCCGCUCAUGGCCUCACUCUAGCAUAAUAAUUUAGUUACACAUAAUUAAUUUGAUACAUAAGAAAUUAUUCAUAAAAGAAAAUAAAUAACUAAGAAAGAAGACACCCGUUUCUUUUCUCCCGUCGCAAGUCUAUGUGAAAUUUUCCGUGUGCACUGCCUUCUCCUGCUCCUCCCUCUGUUUCCGUGCUCUGCCUGCACUCCUGCUUUGCUCCCUCUGUUUCCGCACCUCUCCUCUAUUCCCUGUGCUUCUGCUUCUGUCCUUCUGCUGCUCGCCAGUCCGAGUCAACUGCUUCUUAUUCUUUUAUUUUCUUUUCAGUCCUGCGCACUCCACUUCCUUCCCACUCUUCUCUGUUUUUUAUUUGUUUAUUUUUUUCUUUUCUUUCCACACCUCUUUGUCUGCCAGUCUGUCUUUUUUAUUUGUUUCUUUUUCUUUUCGUCACUGCCUCAAUGCUCUCUCCACUCUGUCAGAAUUCUUCCAUGCUGUUUUUCCACUUUGUUUCCUGCCAUCCUCUCUGCUCCUUUGUCCGUGUCUUCACUUUUCUUCCUUUUAAUUGAAAUUAAUCCUAAAACACAUUUAACUGCACAAUAACACAAGGUAAGGUAAAAUGUCAUAAUUAUAACACAAAAACAUCACAAAGACUUUAAAAAUAGAUGGUAUAAAUGUAUGAAAUAUAUGAAUGAUCACUAAUCGACAAUGAUUCAUACAGCGACAGAUGAGACGCGCAAAGCAGCUUCAAAGAAAGCACUAUACUGCUUUAGUUAUGUGCUAAGUUGCAUGCAUGGACGCUUCAAUACACUAGCGUGUGACGUAUCAGACACAAAAACAAACACAAAACUUCACAGACACUCUUGGACACUUGUCCAACACUCCACAUGGCAUAUCGUUGACUUUGACUGACUGACACUUUAGGGAUACACGUAGGACAUUGUUAAAAAAACACGCCAGUGGUAAUUGUAAAAUUAAAUUAAAAUUUUAGGGUAAAAUUGAAAUAUGAAAAAAUUGUCUUAGGGUAAUAUGAAAAACGGAUUUAGAGGUAAAUGUAAUGUUGUAUUUUGUUUGGAUGAAGAAAUUUAAUAAUACUAAGGAAUUUUAAAAUGAAAUUUUAUUUUCUAGAAUUUCUGAAUUUUCUUAUUUGGUUAACUUAAAAUGAACAAGAGAAUUUGAAUACGGAAUUUAUUUAUUUAUUUUUAAACUCUCACUCAUAGAAAUUUAAAAAUGACACAUAUUUACAUGAAAUUUAAAUUUGGGGAUUCGAGGUCUCAAAUUCCAAGUUUUUUUUUCUUGCAAAGAUUCUAAAUUUCUAUUUUUAUGAAUCGAAAAAAAAGAAAUUGGUUUGUGCCAAUUUAUAAAUUCUAACGUUUGUCAACUUAUAUUGUUGCCAUACUUGCUUAGUUAUGAUCUUUCAAAGUUUUGAGCUCUCAGUUUCCCAUUCAAAUCGAUAUGUUUUGUAACAUUCUUUUUUUUCUUUAGUACCUUUGCAUUUUAAGAGCUUUAAUUGCGCUACGUGAUGAGAUUGUAAUGGAAUUAUUAGUGAGAAUUUCUUGAACAAUAGUCACUUUAGGAUGACUAGUACAAAGAUGUCAAAGUGAAGUGGGCCCUUACCAUUGACCUGCUAGGGGCACAGCCAUCAUUAUUGACCCCGAAAAGUAUGCAUGCCAAUAAAAAAUAAUUUAGUCAAAUUCUUUCUUUUUUUCAAAUAAGUAACUCAAUUUCUAAUAAACUCGAAUUUGCUGACUAGUGGGUUCUUACCUAAAUUAUAUCUUGUUUUGUCUAUGACAUUUUGAACUCCAUAAGCAAAUUUAUUGUUUCAUCUAGUUAUAUAUCUUUACACAUUAGUCACUUAAAAGAGUGUUAUAACAUUAAUUACGUAAAUGAGUGUUGUACAAACAAAAACAAAAGAAUAUCUCUUAGAUUAUUGGUGCAAAUAUCAUAUAUCAUCACAUGAUUCACCCCAAAUGUUUCGUUUUCAAUGCCAAGAGUAAUGAUGAUUACAUGUGUGUCAUUGUUAGAGGCUACCAACAGAGAGCAUUUGUGUAGUGAUUUUGUAUGUUUGCACGAGAUUUGACUUCUCAACCAAACUUUGAGCACCGAAUAGGAUGCUGGUUCGAUUAUGUACUUUUUUAUGCCCUGAGAACUGAGAACUAUGAGUUUCUCUGUGUUCUGCUUGCCUAAAAGCAUACAUUAACAACCUUGGGAUCACCUAAAUUCUAUUAAUAUAGCAUGAUAUCAAUUUAUCAAUAAAAUUAUUAAUUUACAAAGAUUAUUUCUUUUCUUGUGCAUCCAAUGGAACCUAGUGAUCUAGAUCGUCCAUCCAGUAAAGUGGUGGUUCAGAUGUUGAAAGGAGAGAACUUAACCAUGCCUCCCAAUUCUUGUGCCUCCACAUGUCUUGCACGAAAGAAUAAAAGUCCUCCUGCAGUCCCGGUACAUUAGGCUUCCAUGACUUCCGUGGCCUUUGGGGUUAACUCAAGAAUUUCCAAGCGAAUGGAACCACAUAUGAGUAUGACACAGCUAAUCCUAAUCGAUAAUGAUUACUACAGCGACAGAUGAGCGCAAAACAACUUUAAAGAAAGCACUGUUACUAGUACUUUGUUAUGUGCUAAGUUGCACGUGUGAACACUUCAAUACACUAGCGUUUUACGUAUCAAACUCAAAAACAAACACAACACUUAGUCGACACUCUUGGACACGUGUCCAACACUCCACGUGCCGUGUCGUGGACUUUGACUGAAGGACACUUCUUGGGCACUUUUAAAAUUGAAUUAAAAUUUUAGGGUAAAAUUGAAAUAAGGAAAAAAUUAUUUUAGGUAUAAUAUGAAAAAUAGAUUUAGAGAUAAUGCUAGAGAUCGCAAAUUUCUCUCUUGACGUAGGAGGCAGAUUGUCUGCCCUCCUGUUUGGAUGCCCUUCCCAUCCUCUUCUAUUUGUGCAGUCACGGUUAAGCCACGUCAACAUUUUAUAUUCUUAUUGCUUUUUGUCUUAUUAUCUCUAUAAAAAAAUUAAUAUAAAAUGUUGACGUGGCUUAACCGUGACCGUACAAAAUGGGAGGGGAUGAGGAUGACACCCAAACAGAGGGCAGACAAUCUGCCUCCCUUGACGUAAUAACAUGAAAAUUAUUGAUGACUUAAGUGUACGUGAAGCAGCUCUAGUCAAUACUCAAUUGCAAUUUGGCCCAUUUUUCUAAAGCGUGUUUGAAGCCGAGUCAUUGUUGGAAAUCUGCAAGUUCAGUUUCAUAAUUUCAUGCACUUCUACAUGAUAAGUUUCAAAAUUUCUUGCACAUCUACAAGAUUAAUUUCAUAAUUUUUUGCACUUCUGCAAUAGCAGUGUCAAAAGUUUUAGAAUUCUGCAAGGUUAGUUUCAAAAUUCCUACAUUUCUACACAAAUUUCAAAAUUUAUGCAUCAAAAUAAAACUCAAAACCUCAAAUCGAGUACUUUCAAAAUACUAAAAUCAAAACCAAAGAUCAAAAGUUUCAAUCAUUGUCAAGAAAAAAUAAAAAAUAAAAGGUUAUAGAGGACGGUGUCAUUCCACACUACAAGUUUAUACAAGUAUUGUCCUUUACUAAAAGGCUAUUUGAGGACUGAGGAUUUAGGGUUUAAGGUUUCGAAUGUAGGAGGGCAGUAAUCACGGACAACUUCUUCGAAAGAAAGGAGCAAAGAUCUAACUUCAUCCAGCAAGUGCCUUUCCAUACUCAAAUCCUCCUCAUGACAGGAGUCAGUACGAAUUUCACCUAGCCAACCAAAUGUCGUAAAUAAACUUGUGACUCGUUCAUUCACUGAUUCAUGAGAAUGUUUCCUACUAUAUAAGCAGCAAAUUCAAAACCAGGUUGAAAACUAAAUUAUGAAACAAGGGGCAACUUUUAUCUUGAGAAACCAUUUGAAAACUUAUGUUCUGUCGUAUGCAAGAAGGUAUUUCCUUUUGUGUUUUAAUUCUGCACUUAUUUUUAUUUUUUCCACAUAAAUAUAAUGUGCCUACAUUAUUUUUCUAUGGAUUAAUUUACCUACUUUAAUUAUUUUAUAUACCUACGUUAUUUUUUCUUGAAUCUUUUCACACUCGACCAAACUUCUCUUGGAAUUUUAAUUAGAUGAAACAAUAUGAAUCUUGAACAAAGCAACGCAAAACGUAAUACUGAGAGAUUGAAUCAUUGAAGUGACGUGGAGCUGGGUACUCAACACUCAUAGGAAAUCAAUCCAAGAAUGAAAACUCUCUUAUCACUUUCUAUCCAAAAUUUUGGAAUUAUGUGUGUGUUCCAACGAUUAUCCGAAGGAUUAUUCUUCUUUUAUUAAAUUUAUAAGGAAAAUUAGCAUGGGGCAUAAAUGUUGAACUGUGAAAUCCCGUCUCCGGAAUUUCACCAUUCAUUAUGUAUCUCGCAAUUUAAAUUCGUAUUUCACGUUUAUGUUAUUUUUAUUACUUAAUUUUAAUUCCGCAAAUUUUGAGCUUAAAUCGAAUAGUUAUCGGGUUUGAAUUUUCGUAAUUAAUCUUUAAGACUCGUUGACCUUUCGAGGUCACAAGUAACGUUUUCGAAUAGAUCUCGAAACCACGAGCACAUAGGCGAAAGCCGUUUGGGAGUCCGGGUUUUAACGAUAUAGUUACAGACAUUUGAAGUUGUUACUAAAUUAUAGAUUUUAAAUUUAUUUUGAAACUCCCACCUUGUGGGAAAAGGACUAAUGAGAUAAGAGAGUGAGGGACCAAUUAGAAAUGGGAGAGAAAAGGAGAACGAAUCAGGAAGGAAGGGAAAAAGAAAAAAGAAAAAAAAAGGAGGGACUGGAUGCUGCCAGGUGGCAGCGGGAGAGAGAAGAAGAUGAGGUUGCGGGAGAGAAAAGGAAGGGAAGAGUGACCAAUGGAAGGAGAGAGUAAGGAGGGGAAGGAGAGACCCAAAAAUGGGUCAUUUUUCACCCGCGAACUACCAUUUUUGACCUGGCCAUAUCUUCUUCAUCCGACUUCCGUUUUGGGUAAUCUUGGUGUCCAUAGAAAGCUCUUGACGAGUCCUACAUCCCUGUAGUGUUAGAUGUCUAUUUUUCCUUUCCAUUUUUCUAGGUCGAAGCCACAAAGUGCCUAGGGUUUUCCUGCGAGUUUUCUCAUUUUACAGUGAUUCCGACAAUGAUUACCGUCGAUCAUCACUACCAAUAGACUCCUCUCAACCCCUGGACCAAGGCCCAAGCAUUGGAUGAGGCGUCGAAGUUCGUUUUGGCGAUGAAUCGAGGAACACCCAUUUCUAGGGUCUCCAACGUGUUUGGAUGAAAUUGAGACACUUCUCGGCCGAAUUGGACUUGGCCACAGGUAUGAAAAUUGAUCCCCACACUGAGAUAUACUUGCCUGUAAAUUUGGUAAUUUUUUGAAAUUGUUGAAUUUUUCGGCGAGUCGGGGCGGCCGACCGCCACCGGCAGCAGUGCGGGCGGCGGUGCUUCGGCCAGUGGGCCGACGAUGCCUUUCUAAGUUCAAUUAGAUGUGCUGGAUUUGUAUUUGAUAUUCGUAUGACGUGGUUUGAUCGUUUGAACCUAAUUUCAUUAUGAUACAUUACUUGAUCAAAAUAUGAAUUGACGAUCCGACCGUCGGAUCGUGAUGAAAUUUUAGUAUGUUGUUCUAGAGGAAUAAUGUGGAUUUUAGAAGAUUACGGAUCCAAAAUCCAUGUGUAGAUCUUCUGGAUCAAAUUACGUAGAGAUGUGGACCCCACCGUUGAUCUGAAGUUGACUUUUGGUCAAUAGGUAUUGAAUCAUUUAUUUUACUAAAAUUAGUAUUGCUAGAGACUCAAUGAGGCUUUGCGGACUUGUCUUGGUGAGUGACUUUAAUAUAUGUGAUAUGGUUUUUACCCUGUUUUCUUAUAAGUAUCCUUUGUGGAUAUGACUUGGUUUUGUAAAUGUGUUUUCUGUUAAAAUGUGAUUUUAUAAUUGGUCAUCGAUCUAUUUUUAUUAAAUGUGAUUUGAUUUAUGGAUUGGAAAUAUUUGUGAAAAGGUGAAUUGAAGUGCAUAUUGAAAUAUUUAUGAAUUGUGUUAUAAAUAUACAUUUGAAAUGUUGAGAAAUGCGAGGGCUAGUAGGGGACCGUUACCCUAGUGUCACGGGGUUAGGUGACACCGAGUCUGCACCAUGUAGCAGUGGUACAUGGAUGGUCUUACUUGGUUAAUCCGCAAUGGGGGACCAUAUUAUUUAUGGAUCGCACUUGGUUAAUCCGCGAUGGGCGAUCCUUAUGGCCAUGUAUACUUAGGAGUGAUAAUGCUUAGUUAAUUCACGAUGGGUGAUCACUGCCUAACAGUUUUAUAGGUGUGACUUUGCUUGGUUAAUCUGCGAUGGGCGAUCCUUAUGGCCAUACAUACUUAGGGGUGAUCAUGCUUGGUUAAUCCGCAAUGGGUGAUCACUACCUAGCAGAUUCAUGGGAGUGACUCUGCUUGGUUAAUCUGCGAUUGGGGGUGGGGGGGGGGGCGCGGGGAGGGUCACUACCUACAUGGUUACUCAGGGGGUGGCUCUGCUUGGUUAAUUUGCCAUGGGGGGCCACUUCUUGUUUGGUUACUUAUGUAGGCUUCGGCCGAACUGCGUCCCUCUAGCCCUAGUUUUUAAUGUACAUAUGAACAAUGGUUUUUGAGAAUCUUGGGGGUUUGAAUGGGAAAAGCCGUUGGAUGUCUGGGUGAGUCCUUCGGAGUUGUUGAGACUUAACUAUAUUUUCAUAUUUACAAACUUAUAUUUGAGGUUUAUAAACUGUGAUCGAUGGUCUUUUCUUUUAUUGAUUAUCACAUACUUGUAUUAUUGUCACUCACCUGAGCUCCGCAACUUAUCCAAGUUCCGUUUGGCCGGUGCACCAUUCUCAUGAUGGAGGCACUGAUUUUACAUAUGAUAGGUUUGGGUAGAUUAUGAGACACCACUUGAUAUUUUGGUUCCAUUGAGUGGUCUGGAAUCCUUGCUCUUGCUCAUUCCCAUAAGGUUAGUCUAGAACCCUAGAUUCGAGUGAAUGAGAAUUACCCACAAUAGAUGAUAGGAUUUUUACCACCUGCACAAAAGGGUUAAAAACACCUAAAAUACUUGCAAGAGAAACAAGGUUAUCGUAGUAUAAUUGGCUCAAGUAAGGUCGUUCUCAACAAGGACUAAUUUAAAUAGAUUGACGUGAAAUCAAUUCCCAACUAAUUAAUUAAAACAAAGUCUUUGAAAAAGGUGAUUUAACGGCCUAAAUUAAGAAAAACGAAUUUAAUUAAAAAGAUUACUUAAAAACCCCAACUGGAAGGAGGAAGAAACAAUUUUUACAAUUCAAAGUGAGAAAGUACUAGGGUUCUGCCGUCACCCUAACAAUCCUAUGUAACUCUUCUAAAUUACUUAUGAACCAUACAUGCAUAUCUUGAAGGUUAGGUUUUCCUAGAGUAUAUCCUACCUGAAACCUCCAACAUAGAACAUAUAUCUAACAUGCAACUCGUCUGUUGUGUUCAGAUCGAAUGUGAACAUGCAAGACUAAUUAAGUUUUAUGAAAACCCUUUUGAAAAAACCAUAUAACCCUUAAAACGUGUCGUCCAUCCUAAGAGGUUGCACAUAUUAACCACAAGAAGCCUUAGUCAAUUUUAGGGACAGCCCUCUACCAAAAUUGCAUCAAAUUACUUUUCUAAUUAUCCUAAUGGUCGCGAAUCACUAAGAAAAAUAGAUAGUUUAAAGCACAGUGAUUAACAAUCCAAAACUUGCAUGCAUGAAUUCAUAAGCAAAUUAAAAGAGACUACAUAUUCUUGCUAAGGAUCAUGGCCUCACCCUAGCAAAAUAAAAUUAGUUACGCAUAUUCAUAAUUAAAAUCAACAUAAUUGUAUUAAACUAGAAAAAGAAUGAAAACACCUUGUAGAAUAAAAUUUGAAAAUCUCUAAACUUUGUCCCAAAUCUUCUCUCCAAAAAAUUGCAUGCGUUCUCUCUCUAAAAAAAACCCCUAGGUCUGCCAAAAGGCUUAUUUAUACUACUCUAAAUAAAAUCCUCCUAAUAAAAGGUCUUAGAAUAAGACUAGGAAACUAAAUAAAUUGAAAUAAAUUAGGAAACCUAAUCCUAAAUUGGCUUGGUAAAUUUGCCCAAAAUUCUGCACAGCCACGUUCUGGACCCAAAUCAGCUCCAAAACUAGCCCAAAAUUUAUGAACUUAAACUUUGACUAUUCUGAACACUUCUCCAGAAGGUCACGAACCCAUCUGAAGUCAUCUUAGGCUCCAAAAACACAGUUUAAGCCUAGAAACGUCAAUUUCCAACAACGCGCACUGCUCCUUCAUUUAAUCUCCAAAAAAUAACCGCUUGGUAGAAAUUGCUGAGAUUUUGACACGAACAAGCUAAGGAACAUACGAAAUCACUCCAAAAUUCGUCUGUUUGGUCAUGUUUUGCUCCAGAGGAAGUCAAAUUUCCUAUGUUGAAAAUAUAAAGCACAAUAUCAAAAUUCUAUCAAAAUAAUUAUCAAAUUAUACUAAGAAUAGGGUGAAACAUAUAAUAUAAUUUUGACUCAUCAAUAGACCUUGUGAAUAUAAAAUAGAUUUACCAUGUUAUUUCUCAUAAUCCAAGUAGGAAAUUAUUUAGAGUUCCUUGUUUAAAUUUGUGAAAUGAUAUGUUACUACAUUCAUUGAUUAACAUAAUUAAAUGCUAAGAUCAUGUAUCUUUGAUUCAUGAAUUGAUUGAUUGAUGGGAUUGCGGAAUGACCUUGGUUAUGGUUGUUAUUAUUAUGAUUAUUUUAGUUGAUCAAUGUGGCUUGAGAAUAAUAUGUGCUUCGUUGGUUAUUAGAUAUGUUACAUGCUGUGGAUGGAACUAUCAUGCUGAAAACAUGGAAUUUAUAUGAUGGAUGGAAUGAGAAUCUUGAAUGGCAUGUUGGUUUGUUUUGUAGCCUAAACUUGGUAAUGUCAUGCAUGUCAAGUUCUAAUAAUUGAUUACAGAAUGUUAUGUAUUCCUGUUAGAACGCACUAGAAUAAAUGUCUAAAUUAGUGAACGACGAACUAUGAAUGACUUGAUCCCUAAUGAGGGUAUGUAGGCAGUCUAAUGAGGAGGUUAGAUGCAGCCAUAAAGUAUACGAAAAAUUACUAUGCGAUUCGAUUCUCGAGUUGUGAUUUGCCAUAUCCCGGAGGUGGGGUAUGUUGAGAUACGGGUAUUUGGUGAAGUCAUGUGUUGAUUCUGAAUGUAUGUCGGGAUCGAAGCAUGACAUGAACGAAUAAAUUUUCCUCGACUUGGAAAGGGAUUGUGACUUUAACACGCUAUUUUUCUUCAUCUUAUGCAUCAUGUUUAUCAAAAGACAAAUAAUAUGACUUCACAUAAGGAGAGAAUAAGAGUAUUUUCCUUUGUAAAAAUCAACUUUUGUUUAAGAAGAUGUGGAUGCUGAUUGAUGCACCAUGUGAAUACGAAGAACGACCUUGGAGGGAGAUGAGAUAUUCAUUAGAAGCUAGCGAAAAAAAAAAAGUUAAUAAUGAUUUAGUCAAAAAGCAAGAAAGCCUCAUUUUCUAAGUGGUAGUCAUUAACACGAUACUUGAUAAGGAGAAAAGUCAUAGUAUUUUAUUUUACUGGGAACGAGGGUGCAAGGUCUCAAUUGGAAUAUGAGAUGAAGUUUCUACAUAACUAUAUAUGACAAAGAAAGAAGUCUAAGUUUGUAGGUGGUAGGGCUUUUAAUUGAUGUGAGUUUGUUGAGAAAUGAAGAUGAGCAUGAAUACUGACAUCGAUGCGAGUUAGUGAACACGAUGCUUCUCCUUUGGCCUUUUAAUAUGAUAAUACCGGAAAACAAGUUGUUACUAAUAUAUGUAUAUCUGAUUGGUGGACUAAGAUGUACAGUACGAUUUUUGAUAGAGUAAUGUUAUGGAAACUAAAUUUGUAGACUAGAUUUUGAAAACUAAAUGACAUGGAAUCCUUACUUAUGUGCUCAUUUCCGAUUAGUGACACAUCAUUUAGUUUGUAAAUUUAGUCUACAAAUUUAGUCUCCUUAACAUUACUUUUUUUGAUAACUAGCGAAGAUGAACACUCUCAUGACAAAAUUUAUCUAAAUAGACCUAAAGGCAAGACUUACGAACUUCAUAUGCAGUGGGAUAAAAUCUUAAACUAAUUUCCAUUUUUAUUUUGUAGUUGAUAGGGAUUUUACCACCUCCAAAGGUAGAGAUAAAAACACUUAAAAAUACUUGCAAGAGUACAAGGUUAUCGUAGUAUAGCAGCUCAAGCAAGGUCGUUCUCCACAGAGAUUGAAUGAAUAAUUUAUGUAAAUAUCAAAUCUUAAUUAAUUAUUUGAAAACAAAGUUUGGAAAAAGGUGAUUUUAUGACCUAAAAUAGUAAAAAUGAAUUUAAUUAAAAAUAAUUAAAUAAAUUGGCAAAGUAAAGAGAAUAAAAGAAAAUAGUUUUGAAAAUAAAUUUGAGCACUAUAGGCCGUUCUGCCAUCACCUUAACAAUUUUACGUAGUUCUUCCAAUUACUUAUGAAUUACGUAGUUCUUCAAGGUUGUAUAUAAUAUAACUACCUAUAUAAUCUUAGCCCGAGACAUGUAUAUAUAUAUAUAUAUAUAUAUAUAUAUAUAUAUAUAUAUAUAUAUAUAUAUAUAUAUAUAUACAUGUCCUGAGAAAUAUGAACAAUUAAAGGGUUUUCUAUUCAAAUUUACAUGGGUUUUGUUUGCAGCCUCGGAUCAUACAUGUGCAUUUAAUUUGGUUUUGUUUUCAGUUUCAAGAGACCCUGACAUUUUUCCUUUUAUGGGCCUUUUCUUUGCAGACUCGGACGCCCUUUGUGCUCAAGGUAGGGGCGGAGCCACCAAGGGACUAGGAUAGUCCCUGGCCCAUCCUGACUUCAUCUGAGGCAUGAACCUCAUGGAAGAAGAUGAAGCAAAUGACGUCGUUAAACUGUUUUGAUUUUAAAUCUUUUCGGCUGUCUAAUGCAACGAUAAGUUUGGCAGGGGAGUUUUAAAAGAGAUGUGCAAUUUUAAAUGGAAAAAGCAACCCCACUUCUGGUUCGAUUCUCUCACCUAACAGUAAUAUACACCCUAUAAUUUUCUAAAGCAACCCACCUUCUUUAUUUGCAGACCUCUCCCCCUUUUCCUUCUUUUUCUACUUCUUUGUAUUUUCUUUAGCCUUCCACAACCUACCUCUUACUUGGUUGUUUGGGUUUUUACAUUUUUUUCUUCUUAGUAUUGAAUUUAAGAGAAUUUUUUCAAUUUUAUGAGGAUUACACAAAUUGCAUAUGUCAACAUGUUAUGAAUUCAACUUUUUACACACACUUAUAUAUAUAUAUAUAUAUAUAUAUAUAUAUAUAUAUACACACACAUAUUUGUGAAAUACCCCUCCUCAUUCAGAAUUUUGGCUCCGCCACUGGCUCAAGGAAAACAAUUUCAACUUUUUACUUCUAAAGUGUUGCUCUUAUUUAGCAGCAGGUAUUCCGUUGUAUACAAUAAUAUGUUUUGUGUUAUGCUAGGAACCCUGUUUCCUUCUUUUGUCUCUCUGUGCACUCAAAAAACAAGCCACCCUAAUUCAAGCUUUCUACCUUCAGAUUUCCACAUUUUGACUUGCUUUUUUUUUUCUUUGUUUUGUUUAAAGAACUUAGUACUUUUGAUUUCAGUAGCAAAAUAAUUUGAACAGGAUGAGACAGAGAGAAAUAAAGCAUCUAUUUGAUCUCUGUACUUUCUCUUAUUCUUAUGUGUCGUUAAGGUCGCAUAUCUGAAUUUUAACCUAUCAUCAUGUAAGUAUUAUAGUGUGUUUGGGAAGCGGGAGUGUGUGAAAUGUGUUGGUGCUGAUGAUAGUGUCGAAUUUUAUGUGUCGUUAAGGUCGCAUAUCUGAAUUUUAACCUAUCAUCAUGUAAGUAUUAUAAUGUGUUUGGGAAGCGGGAGUGUGUGAAAUGUGUUGGUACUGAUGAUAGUGUCGAAUUUGGGGACACUUCCAGCUAGCAGAGUAGGUAACAGAGAGCUUUUUCCAACUCAAAUUUAAUGAUUCAAGCUGCUUAAGACUUGCCUAACAUUUCCAAGUUGGGGGGGGGUAGGAAUUUAUGGGUUUGAAUUUUUGUCAAGUAUGUGAUUCUUGCAAAAGAGUUGUAAAUUUGUGUAAGUAGAGUUGUAAACCCUACCAUUGAACACUUAAUAUAGUUGUACACUUAUAUACAAUUUUUUACAUGCUUGGUACGGUUUUAAACACCCACAACAUCACGCAGGCACACUUUUGCUAGUAUUUUACUAAACUAGUGCACUCAAAUGUCCGUAGCUAAAUAUAUUAUAAUGAAUUAGUGGAAUAUAAGAAAAUAUGGAAAAACAUAAGUGUACCAAAAAGUCCAUACCUAAACAUGGUAUACUAAAUUAGUGUACCAUUAUAUCUGUACCUAAAUAUAUUAUACUAAACUAGUAUACCGAAAUAUUCAUACCUAAACAUAUUAUAUUAAACUAGUGUACUGAGAUGUCUGUACCUAAAUACAUUUUAAUAAAUUAAUGGCACAUAAGAAAAUAUGCAAAAACAUAGGUGUGCCGAAAAGCCUCUACCAGAAUAUUUUCUUAUAUAAGAUACUUACAAUAAAUUGGUGAUGCAAAAUGUCAACUGUUUGUACCAUACUUGACCAAUCCCGAAACUACUGAGCACCGGUCAACGUUAUACCGUCAAGGACCCAGAAGAGCUUCCCUUCAACCAGGAGGCCAAUCACAAUGCGACACGUGUCGACAUCAGAAGCCAAUCACAGCUCGACACGUGUCAACAUCAGAAGCCAAUUACAACACGACACGUGUCAAUGUUAGAACAAAACUAGAAACUCUCUUCUAUAAAUAGGGAUCAUUCUCCCACAAUAAUCUCUAAUGUCAUUUUGUACUAAACUAUUCACUAGAACUCACAAAAUGAGAGCUUGAACCUAUGUAUUUGUGUAAACCCUUCACAAUUAAUGAGAACUCCUCUACUCCGUGGACAUAGCCGAUCUGGGUGAACCACGUACAUCUUGUGUUUGCUUCCCUGUCCCUAUUCAUUUACGUACUUAUCUUCACUAGUGAUCGAAGCAACCAAGCGAAGGUCACAAACCUGACACUUUCUGUUGUACCAAAGUCCUCGCUGAUUUUGUGCAUCAACAUUUGGCGCCGUCUGUGGGAAACGACACUUAUUCCCACUCUCUUCAGCUUUGUCAAGCUGGUUUCCACUGCUCGUACACUCUCUUUUGGCCAAGCAUCUCUCUCCGACAUGGGGAGCGAAAGAAGCCAUAGCACACAGAAUGACACCCCCAUUGGACCUAGUAUGAAGCAACGAAAGCAGGAAGGAAAUAGAGUUACUCUUCAAGCUAAAGUUGAUGAGUUAGAAGCUCAGAACAACAAGAUAGUGAUGAGGAACGAGGUUCUCCAGGAGCAGUAUGAAAAACGUUUUGAGAUGCUUCACGAGGCUAGGCAUGCUCAAGCACACAAGCUUGUCGCCCCUGCUGAGGUCAACAAUCAUCUGAAUGCCCCCCAACACGAAGGGUCACCGAUAUCCAACACGGACAUCCCUGAUAAGGAUCGAGCUACACAUCAAUGUGAUAAUCAACAUGAGACUUCUCUCAACCCAGCUGCUUCAACCCGAAGCAGAAGGAGUAGAGGAAAGCACCUCCUCACAAAAGGAGUGGAAGGAUCAAAAGCCGUCUAUCGCGAUUGUCGAGACUUCCUAAAGCAACGUCGAGAGAAUCCCAUCCACAUAAGCUCGAAGAUCAAUGACCCAAGAGUUUCUGAAAGACUCGGUCCUCUCCCACGACCCAGGCCAGCAGUUAAUCUAGGGAAUGGGCAACAAGUCCCAGAAGAACAUGAAGGUACAGGGGACUCGGAAAUGUUCCGACAUACUCACUCUAGGAGUCAGUGUGAUGAGUCCAAGGAAAAAUCACGUUAUCUUGAUCAAACUUUCCUACUUACAAGAGGCGAUGGGGACUUACGGAAGAAACCUUCAGUGGUGCACGACUCCACUCAGGACCCCCUUGUCCUACAGCUCCUGGAGGAAGUAAACAAGUUGAAGGCUGAACGUCAAGCCGAGAUACCUGACUGGAACCAACCCAGGCCUGGGCCCCUCACAAGAAGGAUCCUCAACACCCCCCUCCAAGCAAAGACAAAGCAGAAGCUUGGCUUACAACUCUAUACUGGAAAGGAAGACCCGAUUGAACACCUUAACCUCUUUGAGUCCACCAUGGUAUACCGGAGACACACCGACGAAGAACGGUGCCUUCUCUUCCCCUCCACCCUCUCUGGCUGAGCUUUAAAUUGGUAUUGCCGUCUUCCGCCUGAGACAGUAGACUCAUUUGAAGAGUUGAGGAAGCUGUUUGUCUCUCAACACAUCUUCCAGACCGAUCGCUUGCAUUCCGCAGAUGACUUGUACACUAUUCGCCAGAAGCCAGAUGAGUCAUUACGAAAGUAUGCUGGCCGCUUCAGCCAUGAGUAUUCUCGUUGCGCUGAGGCAGAUGACAAGACUGCCCUCAAGGCCUUCACGACAGGCUUACGUGACUGUUUCUUCAAGUACAUGAUCAAUGCCAACACUUGGAAGACUUACUCUGAGGUGAUGACACAAGCUUACAACCAUGCCUCAGCCGAGGCAAGGACAUAUCAAGGGAAACCCCUUACAGUAACCCCUUAUCAGCAAGUAGGGAGUGGAGGCCAGAUCCAACCAAAUGAGAAGACCUCAACCUUCCAAACGGUAGCAGCACACCCCCUGCCUCAUUUAAUGCUUCGCCAAGUCAGCAGACAUAUCAAUCCCAGGGCAAAAGGAAAGAUUUCCAUCCUCACCAAUCUCAUUUUAAUAAAAAGAAUAAGGGGCACUAUCGCGAUAACUCAGGAUAUCGUCACAAUAACGCCCGUCCCCAAGCAGUCAAUGCAGUGGGCCAAUCACGUGUCAAGACAGGCCCUACCCUCGGUAUGAGACAUACACACCUUUGAACGCUACAUGCGCGGCCAUCUACCCCAGUAUAGCUCAUUUGAUACCAAAGCCAAAGCCAAGACAGCCAGAUUACAAGUCCACGAAAAACACGGGCAUGUUUUGCUGCUACCACGAGUAUAAUGGCCAUGAUGGCGAGAAGUGCGUCAUCCUCCGUGAUCAUAUUGAAGCUUUGGCACGUGAAGGAAAAAUUGAUCAGUUCCUCCUUCACCCUCCAAAGGAUAACCGUAACCAACGCCAGGUGAAUGUGAUAUAUUCUAUAAGCGGCGGCAUACCUAUGUCUGAAUCUUCCAAUAGGGCCAUGAAAAACAGUGAACAAACUUUGAGACCUGGCCAUCAAGUGUUUCACGUGGAAGACAUCAGGGGAGGCAAGUAUCAAAAGCCUAACUGGGAUCCAAUAUGUUUCUACCCUGAGGAAGAAAGAGGUAUCAUCUACCCUCACAACGACCCGCUGAUCGUGGAGGCUCACAUAGCAAAUUUUGAUGUGAAACGAAUCCUGAUAGACACAGGUGCUUCAGUCAAUAUCAUGUUUGCUGAAGCUUUCAAGGCACUUAAUGUAGCUGAACACUUGCUCGAUCGCUCGAUUUCUCCUCUGAUAAGCUUCUCUGGCGAUAUCGUGCAACCUUUAGGGAGUAUACACUUACCCUUCACCAUUGGUACAGGCCCCUACACAGCUAUUAUUACCACUAACUUCCUAGUGGUCAAUUGCCCGACGGCAUACAAUGUCAUCUUUGGGCGCACAGGCAUCAAUGAUCUCAAGGCCAUGGUAUCCAUACAUAUGUUGUUGAUGAAGUUUCCAACCCCUUUCGGCAAUGGAUACAUCAGGGGAGAUCAACUUAGUGCUCGAUCAUGUUACAACACUUCAGUUAAGCAACAACACCUGCCUGUCCCCAAGGAGACCCUCUCUAUACAUAACCAGGUAGUAAAGACCAGUCCAGAUGAAGCCAACUUGAAUCUUCAUGAUGGCAACAGUCAACCCGACGACCCUCGAGAUGACUCAUUCACCCAGCAAGCACAACCCGCUGAAGAGUUAGAGAAUGUCUCUAUCUCCAAAGACCAUCCAAAUCGCAUGGUGAAGAUUGGCACCACUUUGUCACCACCCCUUCGGUUGUCGCUGAUCUCUUUUUUGUAAGAGAACACCGAGGUCUUCGCUUGGUCAUAUAAAGAUAUGCCGGGCAUCUCUCCCGAUAUCAUCUGUCACCACUUGAGUAUUGAUCUCAAGACCAAACCAGUAAAACAGAAGCGAAGAUCUUAUGAUGUUGAACGAUACGAGGCGAUGAAAGCAGAAGUGAAAAACUCAAGGACAUAGGCUUCGUCCGUGAAGUCAAUUACCCAACAUGGGUAGCAAAUGUUGUCCUUAUUAAGAAAAAUCCGACCAAGGAAAGUCUCUUGCUUCAGAAGGUCUUGUGGAGAAUGUGUGUCGACUACACCGACCUAAACAAAGGAUGCCCGAAGGAUAGUUUCCCCCUUCCUCUCAUUGAUAGACUUAUAGACUCUACGGCAGGGUGUGAGCUCUUGAGCUUCAUGGACGCUUAUUCAGGAUACAACCAAAUCCUCAUGAACCCCUCAGACCAAGAACACACAGCCUUCACUACUGACAGGGGACUAUAUUGCUACAAAGUCAUGCCUUUCGGCCUAAAGAAUGCAGGAGCAACUUAUCAGAGACUGGUCAAUUCAAUGUUCGCCGAACAGAUUGGGAAGAGCAUGGAAGUUUACGUUGAUGAUAUGUUAGUCAAGAGCAAACAUGCUGACCAACACAUCACCAACCUAUCUGAAACUUUCACCAUUCUAAAGAGGUAUCGAAUGAGGUUGAACCCCAACAAAUGUGCCUUCGGCGUGGGCUCUGGCAAAUUCUUAAGCUUCAUGAUUAGCCAACGAGGCAUUGAAGCUAACCCCGAAAAGAUCAAAGCAAUCCUCGACAUGAAAGAGCCAGUAACUUCAAAAGACAUCCAAAGCCUUACUGGCAAGGUGGCAGCCUUAACCAGAUUCAUCUCUAAGGCCACAGACAGAUGUGCUCCUUUCUUCAAAACAUUCAAGGGAAAUAAGAAAUACAUUACAUGGACGGAGGAAUGUGCCAAGGCAUUCAGGAACCUCAAAGAGUACAUGAGUAAAGCCCAUCUGCUCUCCAAACCAGAAGUUGGUGAUACUCUCAUUAUCUAUCUAUCAGUUUCGGCUUCAGCAGUCAGUUCUGUUCUUAUUCGAAAGGACAGUGGUGUCGAACGGCCCGUCUACUAUGCUAGCAAGGCCCUACAAGAUGCGGAGACACGAUACUCCAACAUUGAGAAAUUAGCUCUAGCAUUGGUCAUGUCUGCUCGAAAACUUUGCCCUUAUUUCCAAGCACACGCCAUCAUCGUGCUUACCAAUCACCCUCUUCGACAGAUACUCCAGAGUCCUGACACGUCUGGGUGAAUGAUUAAAUGGGCGAUAGCAUUGGGUGAGUUUGACAUCUCCUACCAACCAAAACCAGCCGAAAAAGGGCAAGCAGUAGCAGAUUUCAUCGCCGACUUCACAUAUCCUGUUGACAUUGCUUCUACACCUGAAGCAGUAGCUUCAUUACCAUCGGAAACUCAGAAGAUAGAAUCAACAACCCCAUCAUGGAGUCUGUAUGUUGAUGGCUCAUCCAACCAACAGGGCUGCGGAGCAGGAUUAGUCCUCACUACCCCGGACAAAGUGGCGAUAGAAUACGCUUUUCGUUUCAAAUUCAAGGCAUCGAACAAUGAGGCCGAAUACGAAGCCCUUCUAGCAGGCUUACGUUUGGCCAAGCACCUUGGGGUUAAACAAAUUGAUAUCUUCAGUGACUCCCAAUUAGUGGUCAACCAAGUCACGAACAACUUUGAUGCUAAGGAUAGCUCCAUGGCAGCAUAUCUUGCGCAAACACGACUUUUGCUCAAGCACUUCCACUACCAGAUCACCCAAGUUCCUCGAGCGGCAAACAGUCAUGCAGACGCUUUAGCUCGCCUCGCCUCGGCAGUGGAAGACAAGAUUGGGAGAAAAAUUCAUGUCGAAUUGUUGGCAGCACCAAGCACCAUGGUCGCGGAGGUGUGCAAUUUACAACAAUGAGAUAGUUGGAUCACCCCAAUUUAUAAAUUCCUUGCCCAUGGCACCCUUCCAAAUGACAAAGUCCAAGCUAAGCAGAUUCGAUACAAGUCUGCCCGCUACCUGAUCAUUAAUGACUAACUCUACAAGCGCGGUUUUACCCUGCCAUACCUAAGAUGCCUUACACCUGCGGAGGCGGAAAUUGUCCUUCGGGAAAUACAUGAAGGAGUCUGCGGAGAUCAUGCUGGGUCUCGGUCCCUAGCACACAAGACUUUUCGCCAAGGAUACUAUUGGCCAACACUCCACCAAGAUGCCAUCAGAAUAUCUCGCUCAUGUGAUAAGUGUCAACGCUACACAACUAUCCCUCACUCCCCUCCCGAGCCGCUUACUCCUAUGAUCAACCCUUGGCCCUUCGCCCAAUGGGGACUUGAUUUGAUCGGCCCAAUGCCUGUAGGGAAGGGCAAAGUCCGCUAUGCAAUCGUUGCAGUUGACUACUUCACAAAGUGGGCUGAAGUAGAACCCUUGGCAACCAUUACUGAGGGAAAAAUAGAAGACUUCGUAUGGAAGAACAUCCUCUGCAGAUUCGGCAUUCCCAAUGCGAUAGUCACGGACAAUGGGCGGCAGUUCGACAACAAGAAGUUCAAGAUGUUUUGCUCUAAGUUCAACAUCAACUUAUGUUUUGCCUCUCCAGCCCAUCCCCAGUCUAAUGGACAAGUCGAGGCCGUUAACAAAAUAAUCAAGCGCAUUCUGAAAACUAGCUUGGACAAAGCUAAAGGUUGUUGGCCAGAAUUCGUACCCCAAGUUCUUUGGUCAUACCGCACUUCAUAUCGGACUUCCACAGGAGAAACUCCAUUCUCACUUGCUUUUGGUACAGAAGCAGUUGUCCUGGUUGAGCUUGAGCAAGCAACAUACCGAAUCCAGAAUUACAUGCAGAGUGAGAACGACAAACAACUCACCCUCAACCUGGAUCUAGUCGAGGAACACAGAAAUCAGGCUCACCUGAGGAAUGUCGCCUACAAGCAGCGCAUUUCCAACUACUACGACUCAAGGGUCAAACCUCGCUCUUUCAAAGUGGGAGACUGGGUACUGAAGAAAAGAUUACUAUGUGAUAGGGUCCCGAGUGAAGGAACACUCAGUCCUAACUGGGACGGACCGUUCGAGGUCGUCGGCAUCAGCCGCCCUGGCUCCUACAAGCUCAGAAACUCCGACUGCAAGACCCUUGGCCAUCCAUGGAAUGCUGACCACUUGAAGUAUUAUUACAAAUAGACUCACAUUGUACAAGUGUUAAGCUACAUCCGUUCGGCAUCCUAUGUAACAAAGACCAUUUGGUAUGAAUUCAAUAAAGAGGUGAUUUAGCCAACUCGGCCCUAAACUCUUUUACAUUCUGAGCAAUGAAACACUCAAGUGUUGAAGCUUCAACGCAAAUGUUUCCAAUACAAAAUCAAAUCUAAGUAUGUGUCAACAAGACUAUACAAAGGAUCUAUGCAAACAUAGUCAAACAUUCAUCAAUGAUAGGGCAAACACUUGAAGCUUGAUAAUGCAAACACUUGAAGCUUGACAAUACAAACACUUGCUUGAUAAUGCAAACACUCAUAAACAUACAAAACAAAAAAAACUCUCAGGCUUAUAACAUGGCACAUGCCAUACAAACAACAAACUAGUGUAGGUAGAGUACAUGCAGAAAGUGAAAGCACUUCUAGUCAUCCUCAUCUGAGGUUGAACCCCUGAUCAUAUCACUAUGAGUCCUACCGCCAUUUUCUGCAUUUCCAAACUCAUCAUCACCCUGAUGACUCUGCUCAUCAGCACUAGCCUCAUCACCAGACUCAUCUGCACUGCUAGAAUAAACGGCAAGGUUGAAGGUUUCACCUUUUCGAUGAUGCUCAUCUAUUUCUUCACGAUAUUUUCGAAGAACGCUUCCAUCAUCAUAACGAUCAAGGACAGCCAUCCAUUUCCUUUUUUCAAAGUGAACUUCCCGGGUACAGCGAGGUCUAAGGACAUGGAGAAAGGCCGGGGAACCCAAGAACUCCUUCACAGCAGCUUCCUUCUCAGUCGGGAUACUACUCUUCAGCUCAGAAACCUCAACCAAGGCACUAUCCAACUCCCCUUUAACCUUGGAAACCUCGAGCAAAGUUGUCUCCAACUGUUUCUUAGUCGCCUCCAACUGUACUUUGAGUCUCAAGUUCUCACCAUUCCGCCUCUUCAAACUCUCAAAAUGUUGAUCCCUGACUUCAAUGGCCUUAGCCAAAGCUUUGCUCGUCUUCCUGGCAUCAUUCACAAGCUGCUUAUUCUCUUUCAGUUUCACCUUGCACCGCUCAGCCUCUCGCAGUCUGUCGUGAUACUCAGUCAUGACCUGCAUGACAAGACGAUCAUCGCUACCAAAAUAAUGCUAAUAAAGAGGAGAAAACAAGGAAAUGACAAAGUAACACUCACAUAUGAAGACAGCUUCAACAUCCGGUCACAAUCCGAUUCAUCUUUAGCUAAAGGCUCUCCGAGCUCAUCGAAAGUGAAUCGACGCCCUGCCAGGCAAUUGUUGAUAUACCCAAAGUCCUUUGGUCGCAUGGCAACCUUCAAAUCCUUCCAAGGGACACUGCCAACCUCUUCUUUAUCUUUACCCUUGCUGCUAGAACUAGGAUCACCUUUCUGCCCAAUGUGCUCCCUAACUGGAGGAAAGAUAGGAUUGAUAGUAGGAAGAUGAGGCAACAAUCGCCUAUCUUCCCCGGCAACUAUGGCAGCAGCACAUCCAAUGGCCUCAGCUUCAGCUUUCUUCGAGGCAGCAACCUUGAGGACUUCUUCUCGAGACUUAGUUUUAAUGAUUGGUCUCACUCGGUGCUUGCGAGCUUCCUUGUGAAACAGGAUGUCUUCUGAAGGAACUAACAUGGGCAUUCUCCUUUUCUUGGUGCUAGUCUCCACUUUCUUGCCCACCUUCUCCACUGAACAAGGAAAAUCAAAGUAAGGAAUACCACAUUAUAUAUCUAUAUAAAAAAAAAAAGGGAAGAACAAGGAUCAAGUGAGGAUACAACUUACUCGCUCGUCUCUGGCACUCGGAAACUAAGGGCUGGAAACCGUACUUUCGAAACAAGGGUCGUAGCUUACCCAAGUGUCUAUCUUCUUUAGGCACCCUCAGCACUUUCUCUACAUCAGCUAGCUCCUGUCCGGAGAGUUUGAUGGUGCCUCGUGUCACUGCAUGAAGAAAAAUCUUAGAAGCAAGAGAAAAUCACAACAAUAGCAAAUAAUGAGAAAAUGGAUACAUUACAACCUACAGUCUGGAAGUGAGUAGGAACACGUCGCUCAGGCGUGACACCCUUAGCAUGCUCCCAAUCAUUAUAAAGAAAGCACCAACGUUUCUUCCAUGUGCAGUACGCCUUUCUCUUAUCAAAGACAACACGCUCUCUCUCACUCCGACAUGCACAUUCAGCAUAACCAGUACAUGCUUUCACCGGGCGCAUCUUAUAACAGUAGCGCCACUGAUGGAAGGAAGGUUCACCUAAUCCACACUCCAUCCAUAUAAUAUAAAACCCGAUCAAGGUAUCCCAGAAACCGGGGUUGAGUUGCCCCGGUGCAUAACCAAUAAAAGACAGCAUCCGUUGCAACCACGGAUGCAAAGGUAAAUUUACCCCCAAGGUCACUAAUGUCUGGGUAUAGAACAUAACAUGACCCGUGGGCGGCUCAGAAGGCAAUUCUUCACAACGCACCAAACGUAUUCCUACACUACGGGGGAUACUACAUGAUCGCCUUAGGGCCUCAAGCUGCUUUUCGAUAUCUAACAAGUUAUUUUCUAAAUGGUCCGCUGUGAACUCAGAGCGAAAUAUGGGUAUGGCGUCACAAACAACCCCCUCACCCACUAGCAUGGAGGAAGAACCAAUAUUGGCUAAGGUUUGACAAUUGUGAGGAUCAGAACGAAAUAUGGGUAUGGCGUCACAAACAAACCCCCUCACCCACUAGCAUGGAGGAAGAACCAAUAUUGGCUAAGGCUUGACAAUUAUGAGGAUCAUCCAACGUUUCUUUCAUACCAGACUCUAACAAAGGCCAUGAAGACCCUGACAUGGCAGGCUCAAACCUAGAGCUAGAGCUAGGGGAGCCCUCAUCACUAAGACUUCCAGACUCCGACAUCUACAAACAAACAGAAACAAACUCUAUCACUACAUGAAGGAUCAAAACAUAAGGAAGCUCAUAGGGCAUGCAGAAAAGCUCAACCAGUUCCUUAUGUUCUUAACAGAAUACAUGAACACUCAAACAAUNNNNNNNNNNNNNNNNNNNNNNNNNNNNNNNNNNNNNNNNNNNNNNNNNNNNNNNNNNNNNNNNNNNNNNNNNNNNNNNNNNNNNNNNNNNNNNNNNNNNNNNNNNNNNNNNNNNNNNNNNNNNNNNNNNNNNNNNNNNNNNNNNNNNNNNNNNNNNNNNNNNNNNNNNNNNNNNNNNNNNNNNNNNNNNNNNNNNNNNNNNNNNNNNNNNNNNNNNNNNNNNNNNNNNNNNNNNNNNNNNNNNNNNNNNNNNNNNNNNNNNNNNNNNNNNNNNNNNNNNNNNNNNNNNNNNNNNNNNNNNNNNNNNNNNNNNNNNNNNNNNNNNNNNNNNNNNNNNNNNNNNNNNNNNNNNNNNNNNNNNNNNNNNNNNNNNNNNNNNNNNNNNNNNNNNNNNNNNNNNNNNNNNNNNNNNNNNNNNNNNNNNNNNNNNNNNNNNNNNNNNNNNNNNNNNNNNNNNNNNNNNNNNNNNNNNNNNNNNNNNNNNNNNNNNNNNNNNNNNNNNNNNNNNNNNNNNNNNNNNNNNNNNNNNNNNNNNNNNNNNNNNNNNNNNNNNNNNNNNNNNNNNNNNNNNNNNNNNNNNNNNNNNNNNNNNNNNNNNNNNNNNNNNNNNNNNNNNNNNNNNNNNNNNNNNNNNNNNNNNNNNNNNNNNNNNNNNNNNNNNNNNNNNNNNNNNNNNNNNNNNNNNNNNNNNNNNNNNNNNNNNNNNNNNNNNNNNNNNNNNNNNNNNNNNNNNNNNNNNNNNNNNNNNNNNNNNNNNNNNNNNNNNNNNNNNNNNNNNNNNNNNNNNNNNNNNNNNNNNNNNNNNNNNNNNNNNNNNNNNNNNNNNNNNNNNNNNNNNNNNNNNNNNNNNNNNNNNNNNNNNNNNNNNNNNNNNNNNNNNNNNNNNNNNNNNNNNNNNNNNNNNNNNNNNNNNNNNNNNNNNNNNNNNNNNNNNNNNNNNNNNNNNNNNNNNNNNNNNNNNNNNNNNNNNNNNNNNNNNNNNNNNNNNNNNNNNNNNNNNNNNNNNNNNNNNNNNNNNNNNNNNNNNNNNNNNNNNNNNNNNNNNNNNNNNNNNNNNNNNNNNNNNNNNNNNNNNNNNNNNNNNNNNNNNNNNNNNNNNNNNNNNNNNNNNNNNNNNNNNNNNNNNNNNNNNNNNNNNNNNNNNNNNNNNNNNNNNNNNNNNNNNNNNNNNNNNNNNNNNNNNNNNNNNNNNNNNNNNNNNNNNNNNNNNNNNNNNNNNNNNNNNNNNNNNNNNNNNNNNNNNNNNNNNNNNNNNNNNNNNNNNNNNNNNNNNNNNNNNNNNNNNNNNNNNNNNNNNNNNNNNNNNNNNNNNNNNNNNNNNNNNNNNNNNNNNNNNNNNNNNNNNNNNNNNNNNNNNNNNNNNNNNNNNNNNNNNNNNNNNNNNNNNNNNNNNNNNNNNNNNNNNNNNNNNNNNNNNNNNNNNNNNNNNNNNNNNNNNNNNNNNNNNNNNNNNNNNNNNNNNNNNNNNNNNNNNNNNNNNNNNNNNNNNNNNNNNNNNNNNNNNNNNNNNNNNNNNNNNNNNNNNNNNNNNNNNNNNNNNNNNNNNNNNNNNNNNNNNNNNNNNNNNNNNNNNNNNNNNNNNNNNNNNNNNNNNNNNNNNNNNNNNNNNNNNNNNNNNNNNNNNNNNNNNNNNNNNNNNNNNNNNNNNNNNNNNNNNNNNNNNNNNNNNNNNNNNNNNNNNNNNNNNNNNNNNNNNNNNNNNNNNNNNNNNNNNNNNNNNNNNNNNNNNNNNNNNNNNNNNNNNNNNNNNNNNNNNNNNNNNNNNNNNNNNNNNNNNNNNNNNNNNNNNNNNNNNNNNNNNNNNNNNNNNNNNNNNNNNNNNNNNNNNNNNNNNNNNNNNNNNNNNNNNNNNNNNNNNNNNNNNNNNNNNNNNNNNNNNNNNNNNNNNNNNNNNNNNNNNNNNNNNNNNNNNNNNNNNNNNNNNNNNNNNNNNNNNNNNNNNNNNNNNNNNNNNNNNNNNNNNNNNNNNNNNNNNNNNNNNNNNNNNNNNNNNNNNNNNNNNNNNNNNNNNNNNNNNNNNNNNNNNNNNNNNNNNNNNNNNNNNNNNNNNNNNNNNNNNNNNNNNNNNNNNNNNNNNNNNNNNNNNNNNNNNNNNNNNNNNNNNNNNNNNNNNNNNNNNNNNNNNNNNNNNNNNNNNNNNNNNNNNNNNNNNNNNNNNNNNNNNNNNNNNNNNNNNNNNNNNNNNNNNNNNNNNNNNNNNNNNNNNNNNNNNNNNNNNNNNNNNNNNNNNNNNNNNNNNNNNNNNNNNNNNNNNNNNNNNNNNNNNNNNNNNNNNNNNNNNNNNNNNNNNNNNNNNNNNNNNNNNNNNNNNNNNNNNNNNNNNNNNNNNNNNNNNNNNNNNNNNNNNNNNNNNNNNNNNNNNNNNNNNNNNNNNNNNNNNNNNNNNNNNNNNNNNNNNNNNNNNNNNNNNNNNNNNNNNNNNNNNNNNNNNNNNNNNNNNNNNNNNNNNNNNNNNNNNNNNNNNNNNNNNNNNNNNNNNNNNNNNNNNNNNNNNNNNNNNNNNNNNNNNNNNNNNNNNNNNNNNNNNNNNNNNNNNNNNNNNNNNNNNNNNNNNNNNNNNNNNNNNNNNNNNNNNNNNNNNNNNNNNNNNNNNNNNNNNNNNNNNNNNNNNNNNNNNNNNNNNNNNNNNNNNNNNNNNNNNNNNNNNNNNNNNNNNNNNNNNNNNNNNNNNNNNNNNNNNNNNNNNNNNNNNNNNNNNNNNNNNNNNNNNNNNNNNNNNNNNNNNNNNNNNNNNNNNNNNNNNNNNNNNNNNNNNNNNNNNNNNNNNNNNNNNNNNNNNNNNNNNNNNNNNNNNNNNNNNNNNNNNNNNNNNNNNNNNNNNNNNNNNNNNNNNNNNNNNNNNNNNNNNNNNNNNNNNNNNNNNNNNNNNNNNNNNNNNNNNNNNNNNNNNNNNNNNNNNNNNNNNNNNNNNNNNNNNNNNNNNNNNNNNNNNNNNNNNNNNNNNNNNNNNNNNNNNNNNNNNNNNNNNNNNNNNNNNNNNNNNNNNNNNNNNNNNNNNNNNNNNNNNNNNNNNNNNNNNNNNNNNNNNNNNNNNNNNNNNNNNNNNNNNNNNNNNNNNNNNNNNNNNNNNNNNNNNNNNNNNNNNNNNNNNNNNNNNNNNNNNNNNNNNNNNNNNNNNNNNNNNNNNNNNNNNNNNNNNNNNNNNNNNNNNNNNNNNNNNNNNNNNNNNNNNNNNNNNNNNNNNNNNNNNNNNNNNNNNNNNNNNNNNNNNNNNNNNNNNNNNNNNNNNNNNNNNNNNNNNNNNNNNNNNNNNNNNNNNNNNNNNNNNNNNNNNNNNNNNNNNNNNNNNNNNNNNNNNNNNNNNNNNNNNNNNNNNNNNNNNNNNNNNNNNNNNNNNNNNNNNNNNNNNNNNNNNNNNNNNNNNNNNNNNNNNNNNNNNNNNNNNNNNNNNNNNNNNNNNNNNNNNNNNNNNNNNNNNNNNNNNNNNNNNNNNNNNNNNNNNNNNNNNNNNNNNNNNNNNNNNNNNNNNNNNNNNNNNNNNNNNNNNNNNNNNNNNNNNNNNNNNNNNNNNNNNNNNNNNNNNNNNNNNNNNNNNNNNNNNNNNNNNNNNNNNNNNNNNNNNNNNNNNNNNNNNNNNNNNNNNNNNNNNNNNNNNNNNNNNNNNNNNNNNNNNNNNNNNNNNNNNNNNNNNNNNNNNNNNNNNNNNNNNNNNNNNNNNNNNNNNNNNNNNNNNNNNNNNNNNNNNNNNNNNNNNNNNNNNNNNNNNNNNNNNNNNNNNNNNNNNNNNNNNNNNNNNNNNNNNNNNNNNNNNNNNNNNNNNNNNNNNNNNNNNNNNNNNNNNNNNNNNNNNNNNNNNNNNNNNNNNNNNNNNNNNNNNNNNNNNNNNNNNNNNNNNNNNNNNNNNNNNNNNNNNNNNNNNNNNNNNNNNNNNNNNNNNNNNNNNNNNNNNNNNNNNNNNNNNNNNNNNNNNNNNNNNNNNNNNNNNNNNNNNNNNNNNNNNNNNNNNNNNNNNNNNNNNNNNNNNNNNNNNNNNNNNNNNNNNNNNNNNNNNNNNNNNNNNNNNNNNNNNNNNNNNNNNNNNNNNNNNNNNNNNNNNNNNNNNNNNNNNNNNNNNNNNNNNNNNNNNNNNNNNNNNNNNNNNNNNNNNNNNNNNNNNNNNNNNNNNNNNNNNNNNNNNNNNNNNNNNNNNNNNNNNNNNNNNNNNNNNNNNNNNNNNNNNNNNNNNNNNNNNNNNNNNNNNNNNNNNNNNNNNNNNNNNNNNNNNNNNNNNNNNNNNNNNNNNNNNNNNNNNNNNNNNNNNNNNNNNNNNNNNNNNNNNNNNNNNNNNNNNNNNNNNNNNNNNNNNNNNNNNNNNNNNNNNNNNNNNNNNNNNNNNNNNNNNNNNNNNNNNNNNNNNNNNNNNNNNNNNNNNNNNNNNNNNNNNNNNNNNNNNNNNNNNNNNNNNNNNNNNNNNNNNNNNNNNNNNNNNNNNNNNNNNNNNNNNNNNNNNNNNNNNNNNNNNNNNNNNNNNNNNNNNNNNNNNNNNNNNNNNNNNNNNNNNNNNNNNNNNNNNNNNNNNNNNNNNNNNNNNNNNNNNNNNNNNNNNNNNNNNNNNNNNNNNNNNNNNNNNNNNNNNNNNNNNNNNNNNNNNNNNNNNNNNNNNNNNNNNNNNNNNNNNNNNNNNNNNNNNNNNNNNNNNNNNNNNNNNNNNNNNNNNNNNNNNNNNNNNNNNNNNNNNNNNNNNNNNNNNNNNNNNNNNNNNNNNNNNNNNNNNNNNNNNNNNNNNNNNNNNNNNNNNNNNNNNNNNNNNNNNNNNNNNNNNNNNNNNNNNNNNNNNNNNNNNNNNNNNNNNNNNNNNNNNNNNNNNNNNNNNNNNNNNNNNNNNNNNNNNNNNNNNNNNNNNNNNNNNNNNNNNNNNNNNNNNNNNNNNNNNNNNNNNNNNNNNNNNNNNNNNNNNNNNNNNNNNNNNNNNNNNNNNNNNNNNNNNNNNNNNNNNNNNNNNNNNNNNNNNNNNNNNNNNNNNNNNNNNNNNNNNNNNNNNNNNNNNNNNNNNNNNNNNNNNNNNNNNNNNNNNNNNNNNNNNNNNNNNNNNNNNNNNNNNNNNNNNNNNNNNNNNNNNNNNNNNNNNNNNNNNNNNNNNNNNNNNNNNNNNNNNNNNNNNNNNNNNNNNNNNNNNNNNNNNNNNNNNNNNNNNNNNNNNNNNNNNNNNNNNNNNNNNNNNNNNNNNNNNNNNNNNNNNNNNNNNNNNNNNNNNNNNNNNNNNNNNNNNNNNNNNNNNNNNNNNNNNNNNNNNNNNNNNNNNNNNNNNNNNNNNNNNNNNNNNNNNNNNNNNNNNNNNNNNNNNNNNNNNNNNNNNNNNNNNNNNNNNNNNNNNNNNNNNNNNNNNNNNNNNNNNNNNNNNNNNNNNNNNNNNNNNNNNNNNNNNNNNNNNNNNNNNNNNNNNNNNNNNNNNNNNNNNNNNNNNNNNNNNNNNNNNNNNNNNNNNNNNNNNNNNNNNNNNNNNNNNNNNNNNNNNNNNNNNNNNNNNNNNNNNNNNNNNNNNNNNNNNNNNNNNNNNNNNNNNNNNNNNNNNNNNNNNNNNNNNNNNNNNNNNNNNNNNNNNNNNNNNNNNNNNNNNNNNNNNNNNNNNNNNNNNNNNNNNNNNNNNNNNNNNNNNNNNNNNNNNNNNNNNNNNNNNNNNNNNNNNNNNNNNNNNNNNNNNNNNNNNNNNNNNNNNNNNNNNNNNNNNNNNNNNNNNNNNNNNNNNNNNNNNNNNNNNNNNNNNNNNNNNNNNNNNNNNNNNNNNNNNNNNNNNNNNNNNNNNNNNNNNNNNNNNNNNNNNNNNNNNNNNNNNNNNNNNNNNNNNNNNNNNNNNNNNNNNNNNNNNNNNNNNNNNNNNNNNNNNNNNNNNNNNNNNNNNNNNNNNNNNNNNNNNNNNNNNNNNNNNNNNNNNNNNNNNNNNNNNNNNNNNNNNNNNNNNNNNNNNNNNNNNNNNNNNNNNNNNNNNNNNNNNNNNNNNNNNNNNNNNNNNNNNNNNNNNNNNNNNNNNNNNNNNNNNNNNNNNNNNNNNNNNNNNNNNNNNNNNNNNNNNNNNNNNNNNNNNNNNNNNNNNNNNNNNNNNNNNNNNNNNNNNNNNNNNNNNNNNNNNNNNNNNNNNNNNNNNNNNNNNNNNNNNNNNNNNNNNNNNNNNNNNNNNNNNNNNNNNNNNNNNNNNNNNNNNNNNNNNNNNNNNNNNNNNNNNNNNNNNNNNNNNNNNNNNNNNNNNNNNNNNNNNNNNNNNNNNNNNNNNNNNNNNNNNNNNNNNNNNNNNNNNNNNNNNNNNNNNNNNNNNNNNNNNNNNNNNNNNNNNNNNNNNNNNNNNNNNNNNNNNNNNNNNNNNNNNNNNNNNNNNNNNNNNNNNNNNNNNNNNNNNNNNNNNNNNNNNNNNNNNNNNNNNNNNNNNNNNNNNNNNNNNNNNNNNNNNNNNNNNNNNNNNNNNNNNNNNNNNNNNNNNNNNNNNNNNNNNNNNNNNNNNNNNNNNNNNNNNNNNNNNNNNNNNNNNNNNNNNNNNNNNNNNNNNNNNNNNNNNNNNNNNNNNNNNNNNNNNNNNNNNNNNNNNNNNNNNNNNNNNNNNNNNNNNNNNNNNNNNNNNNNNNNNNNNNNNNNNNNNNNNNNNNNNNNNNNNNNNNNNNNNNNNNNNNNNNNNNNNNNNNNNNNNNNNNNNNNNNNNNNNNNNNNNNNNNNNNNNNNNNNNNNNNNNNNNNNNNNNNNNNNNNNNNNNNNNNNNNNNNNNNNNNNNNNNNNNNNNNNNNNNNNNNNNNNNNNNNNNNNNNNNNNNNNNNNNNNNNNNNNNNNNNNNNNNNNNNNNNNNNNNNNNNNNNNNNNNNNNNNNNNNNNNNNNNNNNNNNNNNNNNNNNNNNNNNNNNNNNNNNNNNNNNNNNNNNNNNNNNNNNNNNNNNNNNNNNNNNNNNNNNNNNNNNNNNNNNNNNNNNNNNNNNNNNNNNNNNNNNNNNNNNNNNNNNNNNNNNNNNNNNNNNNNNNNNNNNNNNNNNNNNNNNNNNNNNNNNNNNNNNNNNNNNNNNNNNNNNNNNNNNNNNNNNNNNNNNNNNNNNNNNNNNNNNNNNNNNNNNNNNNNNNNNNNNNNNNNNNNNNNNNNNNNNNNNNNNNNNNNNNNNNNNNNNNNNNNNNNNNNNNNNNNNNNNNNNNNNNNNNNNNNNNNNNNNNNNNNNNNNNNNNNNNNNNNNNNNNNNNNNNNNNNNNNNNNNNNNNNNNNNNNNNNNNNNNNNNNNNNNNNNNNNNNNNNNNNNNNNNNNNNNNNNNNNNNNNNNNNNNNNNNNNNNNNNNNNNNNNNNNNNNNNNNNNNNNNNNNNNNNNNNNNNNNNNNNNNNNNNNNNNNNNNNNNNNNNNNNNNNNNNNNNNNNNNNNNNNNNNNNNNNNNNNNNNNNNNNNNNNNNNNNNNNNNNNNNNNNNNNNNNNNNNNNNNNNGCUCUUCNNNNNNNNNNNNNNNNNNNNNNNNNNNNNNNNNNNNNNNNNNNNNNNNNNNNNNNNNNNNNNNNNNNNNNNNNNNNNNNNNNNNNNNNNNNNNNNNNNNNNNNNNNNNNNNNNNNNNNNNNNNNNNNNNNNNNNNNNNNNNNNNNNNNNNNNNNNNNNNNNNNNNNNNNNNNNNNNNNNNNNNNNNNNNNNNNNNNNNNNNNNNNNNNNNNNNNNNNNNNNNNNNNNNNNNNNNNNNNNNNNNNNNNNNNNNNNNNNNNNNNNNNNNNNNNNNNNNNNNNNNNNNNNNNNNNNNNNNNNNNNNNNNNNNNNNNNNNNNNNNNNNNNNNNNNNNNNNNNNNNNNNNNNNNNNNNNNNNNNNNNNNNNNNNNNNNNNNNNNNNNNNNNNNNNNNNNNNNNNNNNNNNNNNNNNNNNNNNNNNNNNNNNNNNNNNNNNNNNNNNNNNNNNNNNNNNNNNNNNNNNNNNNNNNNNNNNNNNNNNNNNNNNNNNNNNNNNNNNNNNNNNNNNNNNNNNNNNNNNNNNNNNNNNNNNNNNNNNNNNNNNNNNNNNNNNNNNNNNNNNNNNNNNNNNNNNNNNNNNNNNNNNNNNNNNNNNNNNNNNNNNNNNNNNNNNNNNNNNNNNNNNNNNNNNNNNNNNNNNNNNNNNNNNNNNNNNNNNNNNNNNNNNNNNNNNNNNNNNNNNNNNNNNNNNNNNNNNNNNNNNNNNNNNNNNNNNNNNNNNNNNNNNNNNNNNNNNNNNNNNNNNNNNNNNNNNNNNNNNNNNNNNNNNNNNNNNNNNNNNNNNNNNNNNNNNNNNNNNNNNNNNNNNNNNNNNNNNNNNNNNNNNNNNNNNNNNNNNNNNNNNNNNNNNNNNNNNNNNNNNNNNNNNNNNNNNNNNNNNNNNNNNNNNNNNNNNNNNNNNNNNNNNNNNNNNNNNNNNNNNNNNNNNNNNNNNNNNNNNNNNNNNNNNNNNNNNNNNNNNNNNNNNNNNNNNNNNNNNNNNNNNNNNNNNNNNNNNNNNNNNNNNNNNNNNNNNNNNNNNNNNNNNNNNNNNNNNNNNNNNNNNNNNNNNNNNNNNNNNNNNNNNNNNNNNNNNNNNNNNNNNNNNNNNNNNNNNNNNNNNNNNNNNNNNNNNNNNNNNNNNNNNNNNNNNNNNNNNNNNNNNNNNNNNNNNNNNNNNNNNNNNNNNNNNNNNNNNNNNNNNNNNNNNNNNNNNNNNNNNNNNNNNNNNNNNNNNNNNNNNNNNNNNNNNNNNNNNNNNNNNNNNNNNNNNNNNNNNNNNNNNNNNNNNNNNNNNNNNNNNNNNNNNNNNNNNNNNNNNNNNNNNNNNNNNNNNNNNNNNNNNNNNNNNNNNNNNNNNNNNNNNNNNNNNNNNNNNNNNNNNNNNNNNNNNNNNNNNNNNNNNNNNNNNNNNNNNNNNNNNNNNNNNNNNNNNNNNNNNNNNNNNNNNNNNNNNNNNNNNNNNNNNNNNNNNNNNNNNNNNNNNNNNNNNNNNNNNNNNNNNNNNNNNNNNNNNNNNNNNNNNNNNNNNNNNNNNNNNNNNNNNNNNNNNNNNNNNNNNNNNNNNNNNNNNNNNNNNNNNNNNNNNNNNNNNNNNNNNNNNNNNNNNNNNNNNNNNNNNNNNNNNNNNNNNNNNNNNNNNNNNNNNNNNNNNNNNNNNNNNNNNNNNNNNNNNNNNNNNNNNNNNNNNNNNNNNNNNNNNNNNNNNNNNNNNNNNNNNNNNNNNNNNNNNNNNNNNNNNNNNNNNNNNNNNNNNNNNNNNNNNNNNNNNNNNNNNNNNNNNNNNNNNNNNNNNNNNNNNNNNNNNNNNNNNNNNNNNNNNNNNNNNNNNNNNNNNNNNNNNNNNNNNNNNNNNNNNNNNNNNNNNNNNNNNNNNNNNNNNNNNNNNNNNNNNNNNNNNNNNNNNNNNNNNNNNNNNNNNNNNNNNNNNNNNNNNNNNNNNNNNNNNNNNNNNNNNNNNNNNNNNNNNNNNNNNNNNNNNNNNNNNNNNNNNNNNNNNNNNNNNNNNNNNNNNNNNNNNNNNNNNNNNNNNNNNNNNNNNNNNNNNNNNNNNNNNNNNNNNNNNNNNNNNNNNNNNNNNNNNNNNNNNNNNNNNNNNNNNNNNNNNNNNNNNNNNNNNNNNNNNNNNNNNNNNNNNNNNNNNNNNNNNNNNNNNNNNNNNNNNNNNNNNNNNNNNNNNNNNNNNNNNNNNNNNNNNNNNNNNNNNNNNNNNNNNNNNNNNNNNNNNNNNNNNNNNNNNNNNNNNNNNNNNNNNNNNNNNNNNNNNNNNNNNNNNNNNNNNNNNNNNNNNNNNNNNNNNNNNNNNNNNNNNNNNNNNNNNNNNNNNNNNNNNNNNNNNNNNNNNNNNNNNNNNNNNNNNNNNNNNNNNNNNNNNNNNNNNNNNNNNNNNNNNNNNNNNNNNNNNNNNNNNNNNNNNNNNNNNNNNNNNNNNNNNNNNNNNNNNNNNNNNNNNNNNNNNNNNNNNNNNNNNNNNNNNNNNNNNNNNNNNNNNNNNNNNNNNNNNNNNNNNNNNNNNNNNNNNNNNNNNNNNNNNNNNNNNNNNNNNNNNNNNNNNNNNNNNNNNNNNNNNNNNNNNNNNNNNNNNNNNNNNNNNNNNNNNNNNNNNNNNNNNNNNNNNNNNNNNNNNNNNNNNNNNNNNNNNNNNNNNNNNNNNNNNNNNNNNNNNNNNNNNNNNNNNNNNNNNNNNNNNNNNNNNNNNNNNNNNNNNNNNNNNNNNNNNNNNNNNNNNNNNNNNNNNNNNNNNNNNNNNNNNNNNNNNNNNNNNNNNNNNNNNNNNNNNNNNNNNNNNNNNNNNNNNNNNNNNNNNNNNNNNNNNNNNNNNNNNNNNNNNNNNNNNNNNNNNNNNNNNNNNNNNNNNNNNNNNNNNNNNNNNNNNNNNNNNNNNNNNNNNNNNNNNNNNNNNNNNNNNNNNNNNNNNNNNNNNNNNNNNNNNNNNNNNNNNNNNNNNNNNNNNNNNNNNNNNNNNNNNNNNNNNNNNNNNNNNNNNNNNNNNNNNNNNNNNNNNNNNNNNNNNNNNNNNNNNNNNNNNNNNNNNNNNNNNNNNNNNNNNNNNNNNNNNNNNNNNNNNNNNNNNNNNNNNNNNNNNNNNNNNNNNNNNNNNNNNNNNNNNNNNNNNNNNNNNNNNNNNNNNNNNNNNNNNNNNNNNNNNNNNNNNNNNNNNNNNNNNNNNNNNNNNNNNNNNNNNNNNNNNNNNNNNNNNNNNNNNNNNNNNNNNNNNNNNNNNNNNNNNNNNNNNNNNNNNNNNNNNNNNNNNNNNNNNNNNNNNNNNNNNNNNNNNNNNNNNNNNNNNNNNNNNNNNNNNNNNNNNNNNNNNNNNNNNNNNNNNNNNNNNNNNNNNNNNNNNNNNNNNNNNNNNNNNNNNNNNNNNNNNNNNNNNNNNNNNNNNNNNNNNNNNNNNNNNNNNNNNNNNNNNNNNNNNNNNNNNNNNNNNNNNNNNNNNNNNNNNNNNNNNNNNNNNNNNNNNNNNNNNNNNNNNNNNNNNNNNNNNNNNNNNNNNNNNNNNNNNNNNNNNNNNNNNNNNNNNNNNNNNNNNNNNNNNNNNNNNNNNNNNNNNNNNNNNNNNNNNNNNNNNNNNNNNNNNNNNNNNNNNNNNNNNNNNNNNNNNNNNNNNNNNNNNNNNNNNNNNNNNNNNNNNNNNNNNNNNNNNNNNNNNNNNNNNNNNNNNNNNNNNNNNNNNNNNNNNNNNNNNNNNNNNNNNNNNNNNNNNNNNNNNNNNNNNNNNNNNNNNNNNNNNNNNNNNNNNNNNNNNNNNNNNNNNNNNNNNNNNNNNNNNNNNNNNNNNNNNNNNNNNNNNNNNNNNNNNNNNNNNNNNNNNNNNNNNNNNNNNNNNNNNNNNNNNNNNNNNNNNNNNNNNNNNNNNNNNNNNNNNNNNNNNNNNNNNNNNNNNNNNNNNNNNNNNNNNNNNNNNNNNNNNNNNNNNNNNNNNNNNNNNNNNNNNNNNNNNNNNNNNNNNNNNNNNNNNNNNNNNNNNNNNNNNNNNNNNNNNNNNNNNNNNNNNNNNNNNNNNNNNNNNNNNNNNNNNNNNNNNNNNNNNNNNNNNNNNNNNNNNNNNNNNNNNNNNNNNNNNNNNNNNNNNNNNNNNNNNNNNNNNNNNNNNNNNNNNNNNNNNNNNNNNNNCAACUUGGCGGGUUCUAGCAAAUAGGCGUUGGGCCAUAUUAGACACAGAAGCUGCACACUGAACACUAAGAGCCAGAGAAUCCUUAACAGCCAACUCAUCAGACCGUUUGGAAAGUAGUCUGUUAUCUCUGGGAGUGAGAAGGUUCCUGGCCACCACCGCAGCAGUCAUAUCAUUCUUCAUCACAGAAUCCCCAACGGUAAGAGGACCAGUAGAAGAUAUGAAGGAUGGACGCCAUAUGUUGUCUGGAGAAGGCGUGGCUGCCUCUUCUCCAAGGUUCAAGUCAAAACGACGGUCGGAGGGGCCAGACAUUUUCAAAGGUGUUGAAGAGAGAAGAGGUCAGACAAAUCAAGAUCUUAGAAGUGCAAGAAGGGAGCUUCUACUGGUGGAGAUUCAGGUGUGCUGUGGAACUUAAUGCCAGCCUCUAUAAAAAUCUGCCCUCGACGGAGCUUCAGAAAUCGAAGAGGCGUUUGCUUUCUCAAAAGCUGGGCUGCUCAGAGACCACGAGGGCUGAUCUCAAAAAUCGAAGAGGCGCUUCCUUUCUCAAAAGCUGGGCUGCUCAGAGACCACGAUGGCCGAUCUCAGAAAUCGAAGAAGCACCUGCUUUUUCAGCCUCAUCAGCACCUGUCACAUGCACACUCAGCUUUGCGGAAAUUACGGGCAAUCUGUCGAAGAUUUCUGGUGAAAUAGAAAGCACGUGAAUCUUACUGUUCAAUCACCACUCUCCACACGCACCAUCACUCCUCGGGGUACCACAUAUAACUUUGCCAAAGAUCUCUGACAAAGUUUAGGCACGAGAAUUUCGAAGUUCCAGCUACCCUACUAUUACCCACAAGGGUAAAGGAACAGCACCACUGCUUGACAACUGGAAAGUCCCUAUGUGUGUCGACCUCCGUGUUCUGCGGCAAGACAGGCUGGCAAGAACGUCCAACCUUUACUCACAUUCGAGAAAAGACUCCCAACAUAAUUACUUUCUCAAAAACCGAAACAGCACCGCUUUCUGAAUCUCGAGAGCCAGAUCCUCGACGGGAUUGCUUGUUCGAAAACCGAAGAGGCACAGCUCUCAGAACUUCGAGAGCCAGAUUUCCUUAGAUAAAGCUUGUCUGUAAUCUUCACACGUAACAUCAGCUUUCCAGAUACCACAUACCACUUUUUUCAAAGUGCUCUGACAAAGUUAAAACACGUGAAGCUGGCAGCUCCCACUACAUUGUUGUGACCAAGAAAGGUAAAAGAAUAGCAUUACUACUUGUUAUUGGGAAAUCCCUAUAUACAUCGACCUCCCUCCUCAACGGACAGGCAAACCUGCAAAAAUGCUCAACCCUUUCUCGCAUUCGAGAAUGCACCCUCAACAUAACCUCUCGAAAUACUCAGCUUUAUUUCCCCCGAUAAUACCUCAAGCAAAUAAGCCACACCAAGAACAAGAGUAUCUCAUAUCAUCAGGGUCGAAAGCAAGAGUAUCCCAUAUCAUGCUUUCUCCCUGUCCUUGUCUUCGUCCUUGUCCACACCUGCAGGACAAAGAGAAAGAGAGCAGUCAGUCGGAACCUGAAAUCAAACCUCUAAUCUGGAACUGACUGCCUGAGACCUUUGCAUGGUUGCUUACUUAGCAUUGCUCUCGAGAACUCAUCCUCAACUGCUGUCAAGGUCAUGAAUUCCACCGGCACAUACCUCAUGACAGGUUGAUCAGAUAUUGGCUCUUUACACUGAAGCUGCCAAGCGUGGAUGAGUCACUAUGAAGGAAUGUUCUGAAGGACCAUUUAAAUGCAAAGGUUGCACACCACUUCUUCCAUGCAAAAGAUUGAAGCAGAAGGUUCAACGGUGAGCUGAAACAGAUCACUACAGCACGACACCUUUCCAUACCACAUUCAUUAUUCCGUCAACAGCAAAAAGUAUCCCAUAUCAUCAAGGUCGAACGUACUCUAGAUUUGAUGGACUUGUUUUGACCCUCAAAUUCUUGAGUCGGCCUUAUACUCUGAAGGGAACCAGAAAAACCCUCCAGCACAGUUCAAGAAUAAGCCUGUGGAAAGUUACUUCUUCAAAAGCAAAAGUAUCUCAUAUCAUCUCUUCUCCAUUUGCUUCUCCUUAUCCUGGCAGCUGAAUGAGAGACAGGAGGAAAGGAGAACAAUCAACCGGAAGCCAAAGUCGAACCUCCGAUCCUGGGUUGCUUGCUUGGAAGUUUGACUGCUUACCUUGUCUGUCACCUCUUUCGGCAGAUCUCCUAGCUCGGCGACUUGGGGGACUCCUACUAUAGGGUUUGUAUCGCACUUGACCAAGCCCGAAACUACAAGUAAGCUUCAAGUGAAAUUGAUACAUUACCUUGUGCAUCUUCAUCGGUUAAAGAUACCACCCAUGGAUGGAGGAAAAGUACUUCCAGAGAAGAUGCCACAUCUACAUAUGAGACAGAUAAGGCACGUGAAAAUGAUACCUCACUUCAGUACUUAGAAGUUUCGUGAUUACUCAAUGGCUUGGAUCUUGCAAGUCCCCAACCGAGGAGCUUCCCUCACUCGGGAACUUAGGGGAGCACUAUUUGUACCAUACUUAACCAAUCCCGAAACUACUGAGCACCGGUCAACGUUAUACCGUCAAGGACCCAGAAGAGCUUCCCUUCAACCAGGAGGCCAAUCACAAUGCGACACGUGUCGACAUCAGAAGCCAAUCACAGCUCGACACGUGUCAACAUCAGAAGCCAAUUACAACACGACACGUGUCAAUGUUAGAACAAAACUAGAAACUCUCUUCUAUAAAUAGGGAUCAUUCUCCCACAAUAAUCUCUAAUGUCAUUUGUACUAAACUAUUCACUAGAACUCACAAAAUGAGAGCUUGAACCUAUGUAUUUGUGUAAACCCUUCACAAUUAAUGAGAACUCCUCUACUCCGUGGACGUAGCCGAUCUGGGUGAACCACGUACAAUUAAUGAGAACUCCUCUACUUAUCUUCACUAGUGAUCGAAGCAACCAAACGAAGGUCACAAACCUGACACUUUCUGUUGUACCAAAGUCCUCACUGAUUUUGUGCAUCAACAUCAACAAAUAAAAGCUAAUUCAUUUGACAGCAGGAUUCAACGUUUAUGUGUGCAUUAUAUCUUAAAAGUAAUUCAGCAUUAUAAGGAACAACAAAACCAUUAUCAAUUUUGAUCCAUUUUUUAUGACAUAUUUUGUAUCAUCAGUGUCUAUAAAUAGGAAACCAUUGUCUUAAAAAAUUGUCUCAUUUUUAUAUGGCUUAGGAAAGUUUUUGGAACACUUAUUUUCCCACAUGCAAGGAGAAUUUUGAUUAAUAUGUCCACAUGGACCAUGAAUCAUAAAUUGGUUAACAAUUUCGUAAAGCUGAGGAUUGACAAAUUUGUUUGGCAACUCAGCAGAAAUAAUUGAAUCUAUAUCUGAUGCCAUAUAACAUUUGAAAUUUGAUUUCAAUCAUAUUAACAUAUGAGAAUGAGGCAAACAUAUUUUUUGAAAUUCAAUUGUACAAACAUCUGUUUCCAAAAAUAAUUGAAACAGACAAAAACCCAAAAAAAAAAAAAAGUUAGCAUGAUAAAGCAAAAAAAGGGAAACAAAUUUCAGAUAAGGGAAAAAAUAAGUUUUUAGAAACUUACCUGCCUCAACUUGUCCAAAGGGUUUUCUAGAUUUAAUGAAACCGAGCAUAUCAUCAAGUUUCAUUUUAAAUAUUCUAGAAAUUAUAUCAGGCCUGUCCUCAGGUUUGUAUCCCAUUUUUUUUUUUCAAUUUCUCUUAUAAUUUCUGGCCAUUUUACUUUGCAUGUAAAGGUUAUGAACAAAUCAGGAUGACCAUAUUCUCUACAAAUAGCCAUAGCAUCUUGAUAAUUAUUAAUCAUAUAUCUAGGACUUCCUGUGUAUGAAGCAGGCAACACAAUUUUUUGGCCUAACUUGUUUGCAUCAUUGUCACCUCUUGACAUUGCAUCGUAAAUUCCCUUGUAAAUUUCACUUCUUAAAUUUUUCAGAUUUUGUCUAAUAUAAUCCAACCUAUCUUCUUCAAGUGUUGCAUAGGAAUCUACCAAAUAUUGUUGAAAAAGUCUACCACAUUUUAACAGUGUAGUUAAGUAUGGAUCUCUUUCUUGAAUUUGGUAAGCUAUAUAAGUUCUCAUAGGUAUUCUUUGUCUCUUCGUUUUUGGACCGUUAUAAUUUUCAUUCCAUUGUAAAUCUGGUCUAUACUCAACUUCACCAUAUGGAAAAAGAAUAGGAUACUGAAGGGCCAUAAAUUUUGGAUUCAAUUUUGUAACACACUUUAAUCCUUUUCUUUUACAAUCUACAAUAAUAUCUCUAUUAGAGUCAGAUAAACCUAUAUCACCAAUUAUUAAACCACCUAUUUCAUCACUUGUUGGUUGAUCAUAUUGCUUGCUAUCAUUUGGUUGUCUCCCUAACAACGUAAGUUUUAAAUUGGUCAAACCAUCAGUUUCAUAUUUGUCUCUUGUUGUUUGAAAAAGUUUGACCAACUCAUUUGAUUCAUCAAACAUUUUAAUCAAGUUUUCCACAAUUUUUGAAUCAAGUUUUUUAUUUGUUCCAUCACAAUCAAAAGCUCUAAGUUGAUUCUGUAUUUCAUUAUAUAUAUCAUAAACAUAUAACUGAGCAAAUUUUGGAGACUCAUUAUCAACAGGUAAAAGAGAACCCAUCAAAUGACAAAUUUGACCACUAAUCUUAAAAAUGUAAGGACUUGAUCCGUUAUUCAUUGAGUGAUCAACUUUUGCUCCCAUUGAAGUAAAUGAAAACAUAGAAUUGUAAGCUCUAAUAUUUUCUCGAAAUGAUAAACUCUUUUACUUCCUUUUGGAUCAAGCAAGGAAUCUAAAAAAGAUGGUGUUGGCUUUGGACUUGAAAAUUUAAUUUUUCCUUGUUGACAACAAAGAGUAAAAAUGGGUUGAUUUUUUUUUUUCUAGCUUUGUUUAAGAGGCUCUUUUAACCAAAAAUAUGCACCACAAUACACGCAUUUAUAACUUUUAUCACCCAAAUCCAUAUCUUUCACAACCCCUACAAAAAAAACAUAUAUAAAAAGAAAUGUAAUCAAUACAUGGAAGUAACUUAAUCCUAAAACCAAGCCUAAAGAAAACAAUUAUUGCAAAAAAUUAAAAACAUACCGUUUCUAUUUUUUUUUUUUGGAAAAAGGCCUGACCCUUCUUCAUGAGACAACAAUUGUCAGCAUCUACGGUAUUGAACAAACUCACAACGUUUUUCCCUUUUUUAUCAAAGGUGUACAUGGUUUUUUCAAACGGGAUGAUGUCCAACAUUUCAUUAUCGUUAACAGAGUCAAUCACACAGUGGUUAGUAGAAGAUCUACCGGAGGAACAUUGAUAUUCAACUGAUGAAUAUUCGCAAAUAAAUAUGUCAAUCGCAUACAUAAUAACAUCUUCAGAAUUAUGCCUAUAACUCGCUCUACACAUUCUUUUUCGCUGGUGACCAUCGUCAACCAAUGUAUUACAUUCACUAUCAGUAACGCUUUUGUUUCGUUUUAUAGCAUCUUUUGUUUGAUCAUUUGUACAUUUUUAGACAUGAUGGAAACCAACCGUUACAACUUUUUCAUAAACAAACAACUGGACAACAGAUUAAAAAAAAUGAAAAAAAUCAAUAAAAAGAUAAGAUAUAUAUGAAAACAAUAAAGAUCACACAAAAACUAAUGACAUGUCUGAAUCAAAAGUUUCAUUUCAAUUUAACAAAAUGCAAAAGAAAACUGCAUUGUUAAAGUUUUAAUAAAUAAUUUCAGAACUUUAAAAAAGUUACCUUGAGGACAAAGCGCCUUGGAAGUUGAGGACAAAUAGCUUUAAAUCCAAAAUACUCAAGAUUUUUCAAAUUCUGUUAAAAAAAAAAAAACACAUCACCAGAAAACUCAUUACAACAAAUAAACACUUAUUUGUUCACAGGAACUAUCUAUUGUAAUAUAUGAUGAUGGUGCACGGUUGAGUGUUUAAGUUUAUUAAAUAACUGAAAGUUGGGGGUGGCUGGGUACAUGUUUUCCUUUCCUUUCGUUUUUUUUUUUUUUUUUUUUGGUGUUUAUUUAAUAUCUCCAAGUCAACGGUAGUAGUUCCUAGGAAAACAAAAGUUGAGUUAAUUAUUAAAACAAGGAAUACCAUAGUUCACCAAUGUGACAGAGAUGCACUGUGUGUGCAAGAUUAGGGAUGAGUGCGGAUGUACUUACGCUACCAAAAAAUCUAAGCAGAAUUGAUUACUGAUUUUAAUAAUUAAAAUCAGAUACAAUUUUUCAAAAAUAAAUGCAAGGUGAUGGGUAAGUUUGUCAAUGAAACGAUUUGAAGUCAUAUCUUUACAGGUAGGAGAUAGCAGAUAUUUGCAUUGCAUAUCUUAGCAGAAUGAGCAGAUAUGAAGGAAAAUUAGAUUUAUUCAAUUUCGAUAUAAAGAGAAUUAAUUAAUGCAGGAACAACGUUUGUGCACAUUGAGAAUCAAAUUAACUAAUUAACUUACUAACCCGUAUUGUAAAUUUCACACCUAUACUCAAAACAAAUUUUGUAACCAAUGUCCCAAAAAAGAGGCAAAAGGAAAGAAAAAAAGCCUUUGUAUGGUAUACUACGGCGUUAUCUGUGUAACCGAACUCAACCCAGCAACCUUCUUGUAUACUUGGAAAUUUGUUACAGAUGUUAUGGCUGCAGAAGAAAAUAUAUCUUUCAGCAUUAAUAUCAUUAAGACUUAAGUAUAAUACCAUAGUUCACCAAUGUGACAGAGACACUGUGUGUGGAAGAUUAAUGAUGAGUAUGGAAGUAAUAAUGCUAUCAAGAAAUUUAUGCAGAAUUGAUUACUAACUUUAACAAUUAAAAUCAGAUACAACUUUUCAAAAAUAAACCAAGGCCAUGGGUACACUUUGUCAAUGAAACAAUUUUAAGUCAUAUGUUUACAGCUAGGAGAUCGCGGAUAUUUGCAUUGCAUAACUUAACACAAUGAGUGAAUAUGAAGGAGAAUUAGAUUUAUUCAAUUUCGAUACAAAGAUAAUUAAUUAAUGCUCCUUAGACAUCAAUUUGAUUAAGAUGUGUGCCUGUCUUCUCAGUUUUUGGCAUUAUAGAUGUGGGUGGUAUAAAUUUUUACUUAAAAAAUUGAACUCGAAAUGAAAACCUAGGUGAGAAAGCAUGGAAACAACUCUUGUGUACAAAUGACUUGUACGAAUGAAUUUUCUUGAGAUUUGAUCCCAGCUUUUUGAUAAUUGUCAGCUUUUAUAACUCAAACCAUUUCCAAUAACUAUUUGGUUAUAGGAUGAAUAAUUAAGCAUAAAAAAGUGAGUUCAUGCUUAUGAAAUUGAGAAGGCAGGCACACAUCUUAAACAAAUUGAAAAAUGAUGUCUAAGGAUUACAUAUAGCAUAUUUCAGCUAAUGAUACAACGGCCAUUGAAUUCUGUAUUGCAAAUUUGGCUAUUCAAAAGCCUCUGAAUUUAUAGACUAAAUCAGGAUCGCAUUAUUAAAUCAUAUUAUCAAAUUGGAAUACAAACAUUGAAAAAUACAUGAACUCAUGCGCAACUUUGAUUAAUCCAACAUUAAUAUCGGAUCUAUCUUGAGAGAGUACCUUCUCACAGAUCAAAAUAGUCACAUCUUACUUUCUAACUCUUUCGUAUAGGACCUCAUCCUUCUCACAGAUCUAUAUCUACUUCUAGAUAGCCUUUAGGAUUUCCCUGGCUUAGCACAAGAAUUCUAUCCUUAAAAGAACUCUCUACUGACUGGUAUAAAUACACCAUUCUAGAGUUCGUCUCUGGUUGCGCAAUCAUCGCACUCUAACUCUUUUGCCCACUGGUUAAGUCUUAUACUUGCUUAUUAACUUGACCGUCGGAGAGUCUUUGGCUAACACACACCCCUUAGGUCUUAGGCUUGCUCACGUUGUUUGCUGUUUUACAGGUUACUCAAAUUUGUGCCUCCACCAUCUGCGAUAGUGACGAAUUUGGUUCCAACAAUUGGUUUUUUCAUUGAGAUAGAACUCAUAUUCCUCUCGACUAGAUCACUCUACCCAUUGAGGCCCCUCUUAAAUGAUUGAGAUGUGACUGUGCCAUCUUCCCACAUGAAAAAGAUAUUUCCUUCAUGGAAAAUGUAUGGGAAAACAUGUUAUAGAUACAUGCGUCUAUAAAAGGGCUUCGAAGAAGUUCACGAGCCAAGGAAUAGGCAAAACUCAUUAACCUUGAGAUGCGAGUAAAGGCUAUUGAAGUUAAGGAAUGGGUAAAUGACGGAUCAGAAGUCAACAUCCUCUUUAAGGGUGUAGCUAAGAGGAUCGGCAUUCUUGGCAACAUUAACGAGGGUAAGACCAUCUUCCAAACCCUUAACGAAGCCACUGUCCAGUCGUUGGGAACGGUAAAACUAACAGUUCAAGCAGAAUCACAGUCACCUGGUGACCUUUCAUAUUAUGGUCUGCCUAAUCUUUACAAUGCCAUUCUCAGCCGAAACUGGUUGCACGAGAUGAAAGUUGCUCCAUCAACCUACCACCAGCUGCUUCGCUACCCCAUAGUGGAUGGAGUUUAUAGAGGGCGGAAUGUUUGAGAAGGCAAGGAAGCUGACAGAUACCAAAACCUUUUAACUCUGAAAUGGGGGCAGGAAGAACAUACAAAAACAAGAUAAGAGCUGGAGCCCAUCCCAGACACAAUACGACAGUUUUCCAUCCUUUAUCCGAUCAAUACACUAAGACAAGUGGAAAGCAAAAGAUUUUCCAUGGGUUUAAUACCUAGUACCAAAAUAAGGUGGUACUUCGGCUAUUGUGAUGGGAAUCUUUAUGAACGCAAAGUUUGGAAGGUAAUGUUUGUCCGAAUCAACAUUACCAGGGGGCUUCGAGCUUUGUGUUCUGCUUUAUUACUCAUUACUUCGAAGUUAACGUACUUCGGAAAAAUUGUCGGAUUAAAUCAUAUUCUACAAUUUUAAAGCAAAGGAUGGAAAGUCUCCCAAGCACUUAGUAACUUGGGUAAGAGCUAUUUAGACACAGGCAUAAAUGUCAUCCAAAACACCAUGCAUUCACAAGUAAAUUGCAACAAAAUAAGAUAUCCCAGAGUACCAUCACUAGGGAAAGGAUGUUCAAGUUAUAGAAAGGACAUGCCCUCAUCCUAGCAAAUAACAAAUUAACGCAAAACAUUGCCAACAACCUUUUUUGGCAACAACUUCCCUUUUGGCAGUAGUUAAAGGAUAUGCAAAAGUAUUGGCUGAUGGAUCACCACUGGAAGCAUAUCCUCUUAUUCGAAUGCCUCAAAGUCAGAAAUUUCACUCAGUAAAUCUUUAAGAGCAGCAAAAUCAGCAUCCCGGAUUUCUUUCAGAAUCUGGUAGUUGUCCCAACCUCCCAAAUGAUCUUGCUACGUGUAGCCAAAGAUAUACCCAAAGUUGUACCCCUCCGCAUAUUCUUUUGCGAGCACUUUCUUGUGAGAUGCACGCAGGCCCAUUAUUUCUGACUCAUGCUCAUCCUUGAGUUGUUGAAGAUCUGCAAGGUGAAUCAUCUCACGGAAAAGUCUUUCCACCUCUGAUUGGAGACUAGUCCACUCCCCUUCUUAAGCAUUCCGUUUCGAAGACAACGUUCGCAUUGAUUAGGCUUCAAGGCGCACCAAAGUUUGCUCCGCCUCAACUUUGGCUCCAACUUUUCCUGCAGUUCAGCAAGAGUUGCCUUGUAUUCAUUCGCUUUAACAUAUUCAAGAGUGGCUUCAUUUAAGAAUUUCUCUACCUCUACCUUAUGGGCUACUCUCAUAGUUUAUUGCUCUACUUGUACCCUCCUGAGCUCCGCCAAUUGAGCUUGCAAUUGUUGCUCGAGCUGCAUUUGGCCUCUAAUUCGUGCAAGAAAGACCGCUCAAGAAGAAAAAUUCACUUCGCUUGGUCGAAAAGAGUCGCCUUUGUUCAGACAUCAGCCUGACCAACACAAGUAAGGGAAAGGAAAAACAAAAUUACUAAAGUUAUUUUGUAAGAAAAGAAUGAAUGAUUACCUCAUAUCGACUUUCGUGACAUUGCAUCAUGGCAUCUUCAAAGGACGUGCGAGCUUCCUUGUAGUUUGCAGAAAAAAACUGCAGAGCCAAGAAGAGCUCAGGUAAAGUCUGCGUUUUGAAGUCUAUUAGUGUCCAUUAAGAAGGCAACGUGAUUUAUUGAAGGCUUAAUGACAAUCGAGGGCAGCACGCCCCCUUCAAUUCUGGUUAAAGUCGCCAGCAAGGGAAUGUUAGCUUCGAAAGGCACCUUGACAGGUUCGGGUAAACUCCUUGUCGCUGGAGGUGUCAGAACUGGGAUAUAAAAAGGUUUAAGGACUCGAACAUCAUUCAAAAGUGGAGGCAAGCUUGGAUUCAGGUGGUUGUUGUUGCGUUAGUUCUUGAGAUGGAAGGAAGAAAGGUUGAGAUUCUCUUAUGAGAGGAUGCGGAGCAGAAGUAUCUGGAGUUAUAUUUAUUGAAACAGUAUGACUUCUCUUUCUCCUCACAGUGGAAUUUCUUCCUUUUCUUUGGGAUUCUCUGGUACCACCUCUAUUUUUGGUAGUUCCCCUUCUUUGGGAUUCUCGGGUACCACCUCUAUUUUUGGUAGACGUAUUUGAAAAGGUGUAGCUAAUGACAUUGAGGAAGUUUUGCUGGACCAUUUUCACUUUUUUUUUGCUGGAGUGGGAGAAAUUUUGGGUUUAGGAUGAUGGGCCCCCUUAUAAACCUGUUUCACUUCGAUCCAAUUAGGAUUCAGAAUAGGGAAAAUAGAGCAAUGAUUGAUGACUAUAUUAUUCCCCUAAUCUCAAAAUCGAACUGGGGAAGUCAUCCAAUUCCAAUUAUGGUGCUUAAUAAGGAUUUGCAUUGCCUGAUUGAUCAACUCUGGUCAACACGCGCCAAUAUUCUUUAGGUCAUUGUUCAGACAAGGGUUGCGAGAAGUGAUGUUUUUAACUCUAACCCCUAAGAUGUCACCCUCUCAAUCACCAUCGACUACCCAGACAUCCUUGAACCAAUCUUUAUCUUGCCAAGGAAAAUCUAGGAUAUAUGGCGUUCAUAAUAGGCUGGGUUUUGGCAUGAAAUAGUAAAGGUCGUCAGAGGUUCUUCGCACGUUGUACAUCAUCCUGAAUUCUUGGAGCCCGAGAUCAGACCUUUACCAAUGAUUAGACAAAGCACGUGAUAAGUUUGAAGGCAGCUAGGGCCAAGUCACAUAUAGCAACGUCAUAACUGAUCAGAAUACCUUUUACAAGAUUAGACAAAGGGAAUCUUAGGCCUAGGGAUUAGACGAAGCAGGAAGAUCGACUUGAACAUUUUGCUCAGGUUCCCACCAAACCCUACAUUGGUUUAAUAGGUCUUGAUGGCUUUGAAUGAGGGCCUUGCCUUCUUCUUGACUACAUAAACUCAUCAAUGGAAGAUUGUACGGAAAGUUCUUUGAUGAUUUUGAAGUUUUGCUCGAAGAAACAGCCAUUAGAGAAGACUGAAAGGAUUUAAAAAUUUGAAUGUGUGGGUGAAAAAGUUGAAACCUUUUUCCUUGACUGAUUUGAGGAUUUUUUGAAAGAUGAAAGGAAAGAGCUUGAGGUUAUAUAGGUGGAAUGUUGCGAAGUAGUCCAGCCGUUAAAUGAAGUCCCACCUCUCUAGGGAUUAAUAAAUUCGACAAGUAUUUUUGACAUAAAUUUCUCCUUUUUCAUGCAUAUGCAACAAAGAUAAACUUCAUCAUUGGGACCUUUGGUGCGUUUGGUACGUGGGACGGGACGGGACGGAACGGGACGAGGCGUUCCGUCCCGCGUUUGGUGCGCCAAAAAUGGGUGGAACGGGUUGUUCCACAGGACAGAUUUUGGGUGUUUUUGCGUCCCACCUCCCCCCCUGGAACGGGUUUGUUCCACGUAUGUGGAACGCAAUGUUUUACCAUUUUAAGACAAAUAUACCCCAUGUCUUUUUCAAAAAUUACACCUUCAUUCCGUCCCGUUCCGUUUCGUCCCGUCCCGUUCCGUCCCGUCCCGUCCCGUCCCGUCCCGUUCCGUUCCGUCUGCGUACCAAACGCACCCUUAUGGCACAAUACUCGAGACAACACAUCUCAAUUUGGAAUGUCUCGUCGACUCUAUAAAAAGGGAUCACCUAAUGAAGAUUGAAGGCUAAACAAUCCGUAUUCCAGCUUACUUUGAAAGGCAUGGUCUUGGUCUUUGAAUAACUAUCCAUCCUCAAGGGGAACAAGUUCCUUUUAGAUACAUAUAGUUAGGGGCAAUUGGGGGACCAUGAUUUGCCAGAGCCGAAGUCGGGCUAAUCAAAAUAAAGUUACCUCAAAAGUUCGGUUAUGGUCUUAACAUGUCAAAGCGGAGCUAGAUUAACCGAGCUGUGGUGCCACCAACAUCCUGUUCCGGAGCAGUGUCCAAAGUCCAAACGAUUUCACUGAGAAUGACCAUACUUGUUCCGCAAGACACUGGGAUAUGAUCUGGUAUGGAAUCAACCAAAUCUUCUAUAUGUCUUGGAGUUCAUACAAUCUAGGAAUUGGUAUGCACCACAAGUAAUCACACUCCUAAAGAGGAUGCAAUAUCUACUUCUAGAUAUCCUCUAGGAUUCUCCCAGCUUGACACAAGGAUUCUAUCCUAAAAAUGUCUCUCUCAUGACUGGUAUAAAUAUACCCUUCUAGAGUUCGUUUCUAGCAACACAGUCGUCGCACUCUAAUUCUCUUGGCCACUGAUUGAGUCUUAUACUUGCUUACUAACUUGAUCGCCGAAAAGCCUUUGGCCGGCACACAUUCCCCCUGGGCAGUUUUAGGCUUGCUCACGAUUGUUUGUUAUUUUACAGGUUGCUCGGAUUUGUGCUUCACCAUAUGCGAUGGUGUGCGAAUUUGGUUCAAGCAACCGUGUUGACAAAAAAAGUCAACAUAGGUUCAAGAACUGGACCGAACCAUUCAGACCGUCCUGACAUAAUCGCUCCAAACUAAACCGAACUAAACCGUGACUAUAAAAAAUUUGUAAAAAUAAAAAUAACACAAUUGGCAACCUGAUUCUGACUACAACUCUAAAAUCAUCCUCCAGUGAUCGGUGUAUGUACUUUUGGAAAUUGAAUGCAUUGUUGUUAAGGCAGAUGAGUCUACAAAAUUUGUGAAAACAUAUUUUAGAUAUAAACUACUGAAAUGUGAGAAAUAAGAACCAAAUAACAGUGAAAUGAAUGAUAUAAGACUUAUAUUUCCGAACAACAAUGCAUUCGAUUUCCAAAAGUACAUUCAACGACCACUGGAUGAUGAUUUUAGAGUUGUAGUCGGAAUCAUCCUCCAUUGAUUUGAUAUAAAAACAUAUUUGAUGGGAUUUAGUAGCAAAUGUUGGAUUGUAGAAUCUAAAAACGGAUUGAGAGGCUAAAGUGUAAUUCGGAUAUUAGUACUACAGCCUAGUAGCGUACUUGUAAGUGAGAGAUCUUAGGUUUGUAUUUCAGGAAUAAGGAGUUCAUAGCGAAUUUAUUCCAUAUAUAAUUGUGCAUAUAAAAUAAUGUAAUUCGAAAAUUAAUUUAGUGACCAUGCUACAAUUAAUUAUAUCAUCAAUUUUGGAAUCCCUUUCUUGGCUUAUGUCAAAAUUCAAACAAAUUUAAACCUGUUGUAGGCCUAUUUAACUAAACUACACUAAGGUGUAGAGAGAGAGGGGGCUGGCAGUAGCAAGAGAGAGAGGAGAGAUUUAAUUGUGAGAUGUGUAUUGUAUCACCCCAUUGUGCCUUUAUUUAUAGUAGUAGGAUAGGUAAAAACUUUACCUUACUAGGAUUACAAUUUUUAUUAAGUAAUCAACUCCUAAUAGGAAUACAAGAGAUAUUCCUAGAUUCACUAGGAUUUACAAAAUCACAUUCUUAUUCUAAAUAUGACUGCAACACUCCCCCUUGAGUGUGUAAAUACUCAACAAGCCGUCGCAUCAGAUCUUCAGCAGAUAAGGUAGAAUAGUUGAUGAAGUCAGUGGCACAAUGGGUGAACGCAACUCUCAAAUUUAAGAAAGUAUCCAUUGGUAGUAAAACUCAUAAAACCUCGCUAUAGUAAAACUCAACAUGGGAGAAAAACUCAUAGACUAAGGAGAAAAGUGAGAAGUAUGCAUAAUGUCUAAAACAAACGUCACACAAGAUGAAAUUAGUGAACUCAACGGAGUAUGAUCAUCCCAGGAUAGGUGCCUCAUCAAAAUCUUGUUAGGUAGCAAUAACCCAGUAGGAAAAUGCUCUUAAUCAUAGGAAAAAGAGUUCAUUAAGGUCAAGUGAGUAUGCUUCUGGAUACUCCCCCUGAGUUAGACAUAACUUCUAAAUAAGAAAACUACAAGUGAUUCAACUCAGAUAAUUUAAGCAUAUCGAUUCCUUGGACGAGCUUCUGAAAAGUAGACUUAGGUAAUGACUUGGUGAAGAGAUCAGCCAGGUUGUCCUGGGAACGGAUUUGCUUGACUUUAAUGUUCUGAUGUUGCUGCUGCUAAUAAGAGUAGAAGAAUUUCGACACUAUGUGCUUGGUGUUGUCUCCCUUGAUGUAUCAAUUUUUAACUGCUCGAUACAUGUUGCAUUGUCUUCAAAGAUCAUCGUAGGAAGGUCAACGACGGAAGUAAAACCUCUAGAGCUUCGAAUAUGUUGCAUGGCUGCUCUCAACCAAAAGCACUCACACGAUGCUUCAUGCAGGGCGAGGAUCUCAGCAUGGUUCGAAGAAGUCGCAACUAGCGUUUGCUUGGUAGACCUCCAAGAUAUAGCGGUGUCUCCAACGGUAAAGACAUAAUUGGGAACGUGUCCUAUAUAGGUCAGACAGAUAUCCAGCAUCUGCAUAACCAACAAAGCAAGAAUCAAUCCAAGAACUGAUAGGGGCUGCAACACUCGAAGAUUCGGGGGUAUAAAACAAGCCCAAAUCCAUCGUACCCUUGAGGUAGCAAAAAAUGUCUUUAACAAUAUUCCAGUGCUUGCAUGUGUACGCAUUACCGUAUCUUGCCAAACGAUUAACAACAAAGGAAAUGUCAGGUCUAGUGCAUUAAGCCAAGUACAAUAUAGCCCCAAUUGCACUUAGGUAUUGAACUUCGAGUUCCAAAAUCUCUUCCUCAUCCUCCUUUGUAUGGAAGGGAUCUGGUUUAACAUCUAGAGUCCGAACGACCAUAGGUGUACUCGAAGGCUUUAUCCUAACAUCGCAACACCUUCUGGGUAUAGUUUGGUUGAUGUAUUAGGAUUCCAUCUGAACAAUGCUCGAUCUCCAGGCCGAGGCGAUAUCGAGUUUUCCAAAGAUCUUUCAUCUCAAAUUCCGAUUUCAAGUGUGUAGCAAUUUCUUCAAGCUCUGUGAGAGUUCCAAUGAGGUUCAUGUCAUCGAUAUAAACUGCAACGAUUGCAAAUCUAGAAUGUGGUUUCUUUAUGAACAUGCAUGGGCAUAAUUCGUUGUUCACAUAACCCUGACUUAUCAAAUAUUCACUCAGACAGUUAUACCACAUCCGCCCGGAUUGUUUUUGAAUCCUUAGAGUGACAUCCUCAUUCUAAUAGAGAAAGUGUUCCGUGGUUUAGAACUAUUUGAACCAGUCAAUGGAAGUCCUUCUAGAACUUUCAUGUAUAUUUCUGUAUCUAAAUCCCCAUAGGAUACGCGGUUACCACGUUCAUAAGCUGCAUAUUCAGCUUUUCAGAAACUACCAAACUGAUAAGGUAGCGGAACAUUAUGACGUCUAUUACGGGGGAAUACGCCUCCUUGUAAUCAAUCCUAGGGCAUUGAGAGAAGCUUUGCUCUACGAGGCAUGCUUUGUAUCGCACUAUUUCAUUCUGCUCAUUACGCUUCCUCACGAAAACCCACUUGUAGCCAACGAGCUUCACAUGUGGAGGAGUAGGAGCUACGAGCCCAAACACCUUAUGUUUUGCAAGUGAAUCAAGUUUGACCUAGAUUGCUUGUUUCCAGUUUGACAAAUUUGUUCUACAUCGGCAUUCAUCAACAGAACGUGGUUGCAUGUCAUCACUAAGCAUGAUGUCAGUAGCUACUAAGUACGCGAAUGCAUCGUCGAUGAUCAUCUCAUUCUUAUUCCAAACCUCAUCCAAUACUGCGUGGUGGACCAAAAUCUCACGAUUCUCAAGAAACCAGUUUAUCUCAUCUAAGACAUCACCGUAAUCUAGAAUAACCUUCAUGCGUUGGAACGGAUGAGUGAGUGAUGGUCAGAUUCAAACUGGGGUCACUAGUUGGUGCUGAUUUCCUCUUUCGGGUUUGUGAAUCCUUUGAACCAAGGGGUCUACCACGCUUCAGGAUUGGAGCAUAUGAUUGGCUAGCUGCCAAUGUACUAGGCCACGUGGAAGGUACAGCCUCCCCACCAUCGGGGACGGUCCGGCCUUCCCAGGCAGGAUAGUGACGUAUAUGGGAUACGUAUAUCCUUGCAGGUGCGUUUGCAGCGGGUAUAUGUGAUAUUGUCACCUUUGCUAGAUUGGUAAAAGCAUCUAGUAUGCUCUAAGCAAUGCUCUGAAGAUCUAUAAUUUGGCGCACCUCAGUUUCAAACUGAGCAGUGCGGGGUUCUAAAUAAGACAUAGUGGGAGCAUACCAUGACAAUUCGUGGCAUUCUCCAGGAACAUUAGCAUGUUUAUCUCCUCCUAACGACAGGAAAACUGUCUCAUCAAAGUGACAAUUUGCAAAAUGUGCAGUAAAGAGUUCUUCUGUUAAGGGUUCUAAAUAGUGAACAAUUGAUGGCGAAUCAUAAUCGACAUAGAUUCUCAUUUUUCUCUGAGGACCCAUUUUGGUACGUAGUGGCGGCGUUAUUGGCACAUAAAUAGCGCACCCAAACACCCGUAAAUGAGAGACGUCAGGCUCGUAUCCAAUGACCAACUGUAAUGGUGAAUGUGGUUGGGUAGCGGUGGGCCUCAGGCGGACCAACAUAGCUGCGUGCAAUAUUGCAUAGCCCUUGGCAGAUACCGAUAGUUUGAUUCACAUAACCAAAGUCUGAACUAUUAACUGAAGGUGCUUUAUGAAAGCAUUUGCCAGGUCGUUUUGGGUGUGAACAUAGGGUACAUGAUGUUCCACAUCAAUCCCUACUAACAUGCAAUAAUCGUCAAAAGUUUGUGAUGUAAACUUUCCAGCAUUAUCCAGUCGAAUCGACUUAAUCAGAUAAUUAGGAUGGUAAGUGUGAAAUCCCGUUCCUGGAUUUCACUGUUAUCACCUACAUAUUUGUAUUAUUGAGAUUUUAUAUUAUUUCUCGAUAAUUUAUUUUAAUUUGUUGAAUUUAAAUUUUAAUUAAAUUAGUUAUUAACGUUUGAAGUUUGGGGCAUUUUAAAAAUAAAUAGAAAAAUCUAGAAUUCUCUUAUCAAAUAUGGUGUGCCACAUGGGUGGCCCAGAUUUAAUGAAAAGGAAAAUGGAUGGUGGAGAUGCAAAGGAAAGGACUUGAGAGAGGAGUGGAGAGCAUGGGCACUGCCCAAUUAGAAAUUAAGAAAAGAGGGAAAUGAGAGAAGAAAAAAAUGAGGGAAGAAAAGGAAGAAACGGGUUUGUACGACCCGUGGGUAUUGCCGGCCACCCAUCUCCAUUUUCCGACGAAUUUCUUCAAACAACCACUUGGAAACACUCUCUUGACCUUCCCUCUACAUGUUUCACCCUAAAAAUCAAAGGUUUUGGACUUGAAUUAGGGAGAAACCGCAUUAAGGGUGCGGCGGGUGUGUGUGUCAAAUCUCCCAAAUCCCAAAUGUUUACACACAAUGACCAAUCAAAAGACUUCCCUUAAGCCCCUGAACAAAGCCCAGGCAGUGGUGGAGGCGUCGGAGCAAGUUUGGAGGUCGAAUUGGAGCACACCCAAUUCUAGGGUUCUUACGGGUUUUAGAGAAAUUGGAGCACUUCUUGAUAAAAUUGGCCUUGGUCACAGGUAUAAAUUUUACUCUACUCAUUGAGAUCUUCAUUUCUGUAAUUUUUGGUAAUUUUUAAAAAUAGUUGAAUUUUCCGGCAAAUCGGGGCGGCCGACCGCCACCCGCGGCGGCGACCCGGCCAGCAGGCCGACGAUGUCCUUUUAAGUUCAAUUAGAUGCCUUGAUUUCAUAACUGACAUCCUUAUGAUAUAGUUUGAUUGUUUGAACCUAAUUUCAUUACGAUAUGUGGUUAGGUCAAAAUGUGAUUCGACGAUCCGACCGUUGGAUCGUCAGCAAACUUUAAUGCGUCAUAGAAUGUAAUAUUUGAGGAUGGUUUGAAUUGAUGGAUUGGGAAUCCGAUGUACUGAUCUUCCUAAUUUGGAUUUCUAAGUUUGUAAAAUCAAACGUUGGUCGCCACUUGAAAUUGUAAUUAGCGGGGAUCCGACCGUCGGAUCAUGAUAAAAUUUUGGUAGGUUGUUUUAGAAGUAUAAUGUGGACUUUAGAAGGUUACGGAUCUGAAAUCCAAUGUGCGGAUCUUCCAUAUUGAAUUGUGUAGAAUUGUGGAUCCUACCUUUGACCGAGAGUUGACUUUUUGUCAACAUGUCUCCAAACGUUCUUAAUGCUAAAUUUAGUACUACGAGAGACUUAAGUGAAGUCUAGUGGACCUCCAUUGGUCGGAGAGUGACUUGAAUAUUUGUGAUACGGUUAUUACUUUAAUCAUUUAUGUUAAAAUCAUUUAUGAAUAUGAAUUCGUCUUAUAAAUAUGAUUUCUAUUGAAAUGUGAUUUUCAUAUAUUUAGCCAUAGACUUAUGUUUAUUAAACAUGAUGUGGCUUGUGUACUGAUGAUAAUGGUGAAUAUGUGUGUUUAAUUAUUUCUAGUAAUGCAAAGGAUAAGUAUGAUAGAUUUUAUGGCAAUGUGAUCUUAGAAUCCUAUUAGAAGUAUUUUGUAGAACUUAUAUGCUUGUGAGACCUAUUAGGUGGUGGUCAUGAGAAGUGGAUAUGGUAGGUGACUACGUUGUAAGUAUAGAGGGGAUGAGGGUUAGAUAUACUUGGUACAUUCAGUGGGUACCAUAUCCACAUGGAUUCCGUUGAGUGAUGUUCCGGAAUCAUAUCGUUGUUUGGAUUCUGUUGAUGAUGUUCCGGAAUCGUAUCGUUGUUUGGAUUCCGUUGAGUGAUGUUUCAAAAUCGCAUCGUUGGUUGGAUUUCGUUGAGUGAUGUUCCGGAAUCGUAUAGUUGUUUGGAUUUCGUUGAGUGAUGUUCCGGAAUCUUUGGAUUCCGUUGAGUGAUGUUCCGAAAUCGCAUCGUUGGUUGGAUUCCGUUGAGUGAUGUUCCGGAAUCGUAUCGUUGGUUGGAUUCCUUUGAGUGAUGUUCCGGAAUCGUAACUUUAAUAUGUGUGAUAUUGGUGAUUACCUAUGUUUCAUAAUUAUGACCCUCUGCAGAUAUAAAUUGGUUUUAUGAAUAUGUUUUCUAUUGAAUUGUCAUUUCCAAUACUUAGACAUCGAUUCAUGUUAUGAAAUGGGGUUUGGCGUGUAUAUUUGAAUUAUGGUUUGAUUUGUAUGAUUGGCAUGUUGUGACGAAAUGUGAGGACUAGUAAUGGACUGUUAACCAUUGUGAUGGAGAUUGGUUGCUUCGAUAUUGUUUGAUUUUCCGCUUUGUUGAUCAGUUCUAAAUUUGGUACUUGUGCUUAAUUUCCCUUUGUUGAGCUUUUGUAAAUUAAGUAACUUGUGUUUGUCUCAGUUAUUUGAGACGUCGUACAUUAUGGUUGUUAGCCUUUCGUGAUUCCGUUGAGUGAUGAUCCGGGAUCGUAUUCACCUUGGGUUUUAUUGAGUUUAGAUUGUCAUAACUUCAUAGAUGUAGGCUUCAGUCGAACUGUGUCGCUCUAGCUCAGCAUUCCGAUGAAUUGUAUGUGUUAUUGAUGAUAUGGUUAUUGGCAUUAUUGAUUGAUGUGAUAAUUGGAUGGUGUUGGAAUGCAUAUGUGAGGGUGAAUGACAUUAUGACUAGAGAUUAUUAUUGUGCUUAUUUAAAUGUUCCUUGAGGUGCCACAUAAUUGAAUUGUGGUAUUAUGUUGAGACCUAGUAGUCUAUGUGAUAAAUGUUCGAGAGUAAUGAAAUGGUGAACUACGAAUGGCUUGAUCCCUAUUGAGGGUACGUAGGCAGUCUAAUGAGAAUGUUAGAUGCAGCCAUAAAGCUAGAAAAGAAAAAAAAUUAUUGUGAAAUUUGGACCUUGAGUGGCCUUCUUUCAUAUCCUGGAGGCAGGGUAUGUUAGAAGUUCGAGUUUUCAGUAACAUCACGUGUCGAUCCUGGGCGUAGGUCAGGAUCGGGGCGUGACAGUAAGCCCUUACCUUAAUAAUUUGUGCUAGGUGUUUAGCAAAUGCAGCAUUGCGUGUGGACAAUAGGCAAACAUGUGACCAUCGUGUCGAUGCAUCAACCAACACCAUAAAAUAUCGAAAUGGUCCGCAUGUUGGUUGGAUAGGUCCACAAAUAUCCCCUUGAAUCAUCUGAAGAAACUUAGGAGGGGGUCAUGAAGAAACAUAAGGAGGUAACUGAUGCCCAUGUGAUGAUUUGAGGAUACAACGCAUCAUGUCAUGUCCAGGAUGUACUAAACUAUCAUGCCAAAGUAGCAAAAUGUUCUGGAACUCAGGCAUAGGGUCGGCCAUAUGAUGAGCUUCUAUGCCACGAAUGGUUGUGAUGUACAACCCAUUCGGGAGACGUUCCAACUUCUCAUGAAUACGUUUUUGGGCCAUAUUCGUAAGAAGUGAUACAAAGAAAUUCAGAAUCAUUAUCUUCAGUGGUUUCAAUAUGAUAUUGAUUAUCUCAAAUAUCUCUAAAGCUUAGCAACGUUCUUCCGAAACAUGGAGAAUAAAGUGCCUCCUUAAUGGUUAAGAUUGUACCAUUGGACAACAUGAUACAGGCUUUUCUGUAUCCUUCAAUCAGGUUGGAUGGGCCUGAUAGAGUUGUCAUCAGAGCAUUCUUGGGUAUUAAGUUAGUAAAUAAUGUCACUCACGCAAGAUGGUGUGCAUGUUAGCAUUAUCAGCCAGACAAUUAACUUCCCCACUAGACAUACCUAGAAAGAAUUUAAUUGAAUUGGUCACAUGUAUAAAUGUAAGUCCAUUCAUUAAAAUAAGCAAUUCGAGAAAAUAAUAUCCAUCAAAUAACAAUCCAUAAUUCAAAACAAACCAAAACCAAACAAAUUAUUCCAAAUACUUAGAAAAAUUGUUCAAAAUUAAACCAUGAACCUAGAAAAAUAGGGGGGAGGGUUCGGCCACUCCUAGUGAGUUUGGCCACUAGGGGUAAAACACCCUAAAACAUGUCUAAAAUUCAUUCUUCCAUCGGAGCUGAUGCCUCCUGAAAAUCCAAUAUCUCCAUUGAUGUAAUAGUAUCUUCCGAAUGUUCCACAUAUGCAAAGUUAGACUCACGACGGGAAUGAUACUUGGCAAUAGCCUUGGGGGUAGCUCGGCAUACGCAUGACCAAUGAUCCUUUGGUCCACAGCGGUAGCACAUGUCCAUUUCAGUGGAAGCAGACUGAACGGGAGCUUUGCCCUUGUUCUUGAAGUUUGGGGCCUUAGGGGCAACAGGUGGAUGCUGCUAGGUCGGAUUUCCUCCCUUAGGGCCGACACUCUAUUGACUUUAGGCCCGUUGUUGGGCUUACCGCCUAUUAUCAUAGCCACGACAAUUCUUUCGUCGUUUGUGGCUGCUAGAAUUUCUCGUAUGUACUUCAAGCGAGGUGUUUAAGCUAGUCGGUCAGGCUUGAUGAUUCUUCAUCAAAAGUUGGUUCUACUUUCAACAAGAAGUAGUACAGAGAUCAAAUCCAAAAAUUUGGUGAAUUUAUGUGCCCUAUAUUGUUACUGCAGGACAAUAUUGGUUGCAUGGAAGGUCGAAUAGGUCUUCUCUAUAAGAGAUCUGAUUCGAUUAGUUCCACUUUACAGAACUUUAGAAGUGAUCGGAUUCUACAAACUUCAUAGUUGUUUCAUUCAUGGACUUAAAGUCUUGGAAGCAAAGAUGUCGCCAAACGUGUCUUGCUUCAGGCAAGUAGAGGUCUUUCUAGUGAUCAAAACGGUUGGCCAGAACAAGCUAGAAGGUGUGUGGGUCCUCCUUAAUGAGGUACUCGGUCUACAGUGCAUCAUGGAUGUGUCUUCGAAUGAAGAUCAUUGCAGUAGCUUUUUCAUCUUUGUCGAUGGGUUCAUCAUCAAUUGGUUCCUCGAUAGCGGCUCGAAAACUCUUUGCAGUUAGAUGGAGCUUCACAUCUUGAACCCACCUCAGGUAGUUUCUUCCAGAUACUUCCAGAGCGGUGAAAUCAAGCUUUUUUAAGUUCGACAUGUCCCUAAAACAAAGGGUACAGAAAAAACGUGAUUAGUCAUAUGGUGAUCCAUAGACAUAUAUCGUAGAACAUUCAGGUUCUAUAGACAUGUAUUGGUUUAAUUUAUGCAUGAAAGUUAUAGGUUUCAUGUGGUAAGUUUUGAAUGAAAACUUCAGGUUUCAAAGGCACUAAAUAUGAAACUACAGGUUCAAUUUAGUUUUAUGAACGAUUAGUUCAUGAGUGAAAGGUUUCUGCAAGAAACACAGAAUGCAAUAUGUUGAUUUAAGUAUAGUGGAUUUGAGUUUCUUCGGGAACUCAAGUGUGAGAGCUUCGUUACUACGAAAGUAUGCCAACGGUUCAAAGUAUAAAAAUAAAUUAUUAAAUUGUUAAUGUCCAAAAGUGAUCUUUAGGUCAAUAAUUUUGGAUUCAUUAUCAUAUUAAUGGACUGCAUGUCACUUUUAAUUAAUGCAAUAGAUCGGGACUAAACGGGGUCGAUCGUGGACGCAAAAUUAUUUGGGAAAAUGCCUUGCAGGUUCGGCUGCAAGCAUGUUGGGCCUCGAUGAGGCCAACAAGCCUCAGGCUGAAAGGCUUUGGGGAGCCCAAUAGCCAAGGCUGUUGGCUUUAGGUCGAAAAACAUAGCCCAAAAAUUUGGGCUUGGGUUGGCUGCAGAAGGGCAACCCACUGGUGGCUGUAGGCCACGAGCCGAGAGGGGACACAGGUGCAGGCCUAGCGGAUUGCUGGCCUUGGGUUCAAGUAGGGAACCCAGUCGAGGCUGGGUCCGGGUAGGGGCAAGCUUCAACCCAGUGCACAAGGCUGCGGGAAGCGGGGCAGGGCUCAGGACAAAGCCUAGCAGCCUUUUGCUGCUUGCAGUUUUGGGCUGAGAAUAGAGGGAAAAAUCCAGGGAAGGCUACAAGCUUCCGUUUGGAGGUAGGUUAGGCAUAAGGCCCGAGUUAAGCUAGCCAGGCUGAGGCCUGGUGUGUCCAUGUGCUCGCAACAAAGCCUAGAGGGCUGCUGCCAAGGUCCAAACGUCAAAACGACGUCAUCCUGGUGGCGUGCUCCACACGGCUGAGCUUCAGGUCAAUGGUGGUAGUGUGGCGGAGCCACGGUGGUAGUGUGGCGGCUGUGCCGCAUGUUCCCAAUAUAUAUUUUUUUACAUCCAUAAGGUUUGAAAAACCCUAUAUUGCUUCUAAUUUAUUUAUAUAUUUUGACUCACAAUUCCACAUUGCAAUUUAAUUGGUUAAUGCAUGAAACAUAUAUAUAUGUAUAUUGAAAAAAAUAUGAAACAUAUACAAUAUAUAUAUAUAUAUAUAUAUAUAUAUCGGAAGGAAAAUAUAACCAUAGAGGGGUUCAUACAUCAUGGGGAGUGUUUUCAUGCAUCGUGGACGUUUCAAAUAUCUUCCUUUAUUUUAAGCAUACCUGAUUUGCAGAAAACUAAUAAGAGCCUUUGAAUUUUGUGGAAGAUAGCCUUCUCCUACAAUCCGUCAGUUCCUCAGCUUCUGGCAAGAGCUUGUUGAUAACGUGUUGUAGGUCUAUUUAACUGAACUAUACUAAGGGGUAGAGAGAGAGGGGCUGGCGGUAGCGAGAGAAAGAUGAGAGAUUUAAUUGUGAGGUGUGUGUUGUAUCACCUCAUUGUGGCUUUAUUUAUAGUAGUAGGAUAGGUAAAAACCUUACCCUAUUAAGAUUACAACUCUUAAUAAGUAAUCAACUCCUAAUAAGAAUACAAGAAAUAUUCCUAGAUUCACUAGGAUUUACACAAUCACAUUCCUAGCUAUUCUAAAUAUGACUAUAAACACGGAAAUUCCUGAGAUGAAUGAGACAAGAACACGUGUAUAAAAUAAUAUUUUUGUAUUAAUGAUUUUGGGGUUACAAUCUCUCAGAUUUAAUCCUCUGAUUCGAUCUCUAUAAGGUGUUGAUUUGUGGAUGGGCUGCUGAUCCAAAGGGUCAUCGGGGCUUGAUCUUUAGGAUGAGCAGUGGUGUAUGGAUCUUCAAGGGCUUUUGUGCUUGAUCUUGAAGAACAGUGGUUGAAUUUAUUAAUGUUGUUGAUCCAAAGGGCCGUCAAGGGCUUGAUCUUAGGAUGAACGGUGAUGAACGAUGAACACUUUCUUCAAGGGCAGUCGGGGUUGGAUCUUAAAUUGGUGGAAGUUCUUCAAGGGUCAUUGGGGCUUGAUCUUGAAGGAGGAUUUGACGAAGAAUGGAGAGAGCUUUCUUGAUCCUUCGGGAUUUGCUUGGAAGAUUUGGAGUUUCAAAGCUUCAAGGUUUUGGUGUGAUGUGAAUUGGUUAUGAAUUGGUCUCUAAAAUGAAUGCCUUGGCUUCCUAUUUAUAGAAUUCCAAAACUUUAAUUUUUGGAUUUAAAUGAUCAUUUGAAAUAAAUCAUUUCUGCCAAAUGUUGACACAUGUCAUGUUUGAUGACUUUUCUGAUGAUUCUUGAUUUUUCGUUAAGUCACAUGCUAUGUGUAAAAUUUAUGUGACACGUGAACGUUGAAAUUUUAAUUAUUGAUCAACAUUUAUUUCACCGAAAUUUCGAUGUUUACGAUGACUACAGCAAAACCCUCAUUUUUUCAGAUUUUGGAAAGAAUGGCGUCAUUGAAUUCAAUAUCGUGAUAUGGGAGAUUGAGUAAGCUAAAUUUGGAGUAUUUUAAUGUCACACUAAAUAUGGCACCGACAAUAGACGUAAGCCAAAGUCAUAGGUUUAAUGCAGACAAAAGUGAAUACUAAAUACUAUAUACUGGAUACUGAAUGGAGGGUGGCUUUAAAGCUUUCGGCGUACCAAAUUAUGAUACUAAUUGACUUGAUUCCUUCACAUGGUAUAUAGGCAAUCUAGCUCGAAUGUUGGAUGUAACCAUAAGAUUGAAUAAAUUAAUAUUUUAUCAUGUUCCGAAGUUCAGCACAUGACAUUAUUGUGAGGUCUAGGUAUAGUCCUUAGAGUGAUAAAAACAAGGCUCCUCCAAGGAGGGCUAGUUGGAGGUGUGAAUUGACAUUUACUUCACACUCAUAGGAAAUCAGUCCAAGAACGAAAGCUUUCUUUCCAGUUGCUAUCCAAAAUUUUGGAAUUAUAUGUGUUGUCCAAAGGAUUAUUCUUCUUUUAUUAAAUUUCUAAGGAAAAUGAGCAAGAGGCGUAAAAGUUGAACGAAUGAAAUUUCAACAAUCUGGAAAGGGAUUGUGAGUUUGCCACACCAUUUUUCUUUCUUUUAUGCCUUCAUGUUUAUUAGAAGACAAAAAUAAAUGACUUUACAUUGGAGAAAAAAAAAAGUAUUUUCCUUUGAAAAAAAAAUCAACUAUUUAUUUAAGAGGAUGUGAAUGAUUGAUGCAUAAUGUGAAUACAAAGAACGACCUUAGAGGGAGACGAGACAUUUAUUAGAAGCCAAAAAAAAAAAAGUUACAAUGAUAUAGUAAAAAGGCAAGAAAACCUCGUUUUCUAAGUGGCAGUCAUUGACACACUACUUGAUUAGAAGAAAAGUCAUAGUAUUUUAUUUACUUUUGUUGGAAUGUAUAUUAAUAAUUAUAAUAUUUAAUUCAAAAUAUUGAAUGAAAAACACAUAACCGUUUGAAAGGGAUCAAGGCAUUCCUUGGUAAAACGGUAUCAUCUAAUAGAUGAAUGUUUGUAUCUCUUAAUCAACCAAUAUCUUAGGUUUUAUAUAAACUCAUGUUAGUAUAGCCGUGAAAGAUAUAGAAAAUUAGAGUUAAUUUUUAUUCUUGAGAAAUAGGGUUUCCCCGCUUUGUUUCUCUCAUGCUUCGUAUGUCAAAUUCCAAGUCGUGUCUUGAGAGUACGGAAUAUAUAAAGUUCGCCAGAGUCCGAAGAUUGAAGUGUUUUGACUUCGAAUUAUAAAUUGUUGAAUCCUGGGAGAUGGACGCCUACCAAACUACAAGCACAAGAGUAAGGGCGAAAUUCUAUCUUUAGGACAUUGCAUUUAUGCAAGCCUCAAUCUCCAAAUUUAUCAGUUUUUCUAACUUUAUCUUUAGUUGUUUAUAUUAAUCUUGUAAACUAUUGAUGUUGUUAUUUACUUUAUGAUUAUUAUCAUUGGAAUUCUUGUGUUGUUAUCAUAUUUUCUAAUAUUGCCUCAACAAUCUAAAGAUAGAAGUUUUAUCCCUAUGGAACAAUCAGAAAAAUAUGAAUGUUCGCAGUUCUCAUAUUGAGAGUUUAAAGCUGUGGCUUUAAAAGUGUUGGACAACAUAAGGUGUCGUAUUUGAUGUGAAGCCAAGAAUUGAAUGUUUCUUGACAUUAUACUGUGAGUUUACUCUCGUUAGUUUCUGAUUUAGGUGAGAAAUAAAUAUAUGUUUAUGUGGACUGUAUGCAAUAGGGUAAAUCUAGGUUUGUAUCUCAUAAUUGAAAAGGAUUCGAUACAGAUAUGUCUCAGAAAAUGCAUUCAAUUUGUAUGGGCAUUGCCACAUUCAAUAAAAAGUCAUAUUGGUUGACUGCAAGGGUCAGAUGGUUUGUGGUCAGACCAAUGGAUAUUUGGGCAUCCCCGAUGACUUUUCUCAACAGAUGCCUUGCUUGAUCAGUUUGGUUGGCGAUUGCCGAGCAAAAUGUCUGCAUCAUAAACUUUCAAUUCAUUCCCACAAGGACUAGAUAUGCAUGAUACAAAUGAUCGAAGAUUUUGAUUUUCGCAUGGGUUUCAUUAAUGUCAGAUUUGAAGAUAAUUUGAUGAAACCAAAAUUUUCCUUCAAGACUGAUCAAAAGGAUUUGGAAUGUUUCGAAUGCAUAUACACAUGGCUAUUAGAAGAUAUGUAUAUAAUGAAUGAUAUGAUGCCAAUCCAAUUCUAGGUUGGAACUUGAGCAUGAUGGGAAUAUUUAGAAGAUUAUACUUCUAAAAUCUUUUUAAAGGGAAAAAUUAUGACGGAUCUUGGGUGAAUGACCAAACUGCCUAUUUCAGAUAGGUGCAUACCAAAUGUUUAUUGGUUAAUAAAGAAAUACAAUAGUAAUAUGCAUAUAUUUAUCAGAUUUAUGUGUGUAUUCAUAAAAUCCAUGCCUGCAUUACCAGGUAUAUAGAAAUGCAUUUAUUAUCGUUUGUCAUAUCAUUAUUGCAGAUUUGUAUUUCUCCAUUGUAUAUCAAGUGUUGUACUAUGGAGAAUUAUGAGUACUUUCUCGAAAGAGGAGUAAUGUAAUGGGAACCAUGUUCUUCAUGGUAAGACGAUGAAAUUUGACUUUGAGUAGUGACAAUCAGUCGUGAUGUUGAGACGAUCAGUCGUGAUGUUGUCCUUAGUUAAAUUGUAAAGCAUGAAGUCAUUUUGUUUGAGUUAUUCGUCUUGAAGAUGACGCUUCAGUUGUGGGGGCCAAAGUCUGCUUUGAAAGGUUUAAGCACUCUAAGGUGAGGCUUACUGUGGAAACUGUGUACAUGCUACAGACAAACCCCUAACAAUUGAAGAUAGACUUAAAAAUGACUUGUGUGUUCUUCAUGCCACAAUGCGAUUGUUCUUUCUUCGGGAUAGAGAAGAUAGCCCUCCUUAUGUCCGUAUGUGGCUAUGAACUUUGGUUUGUGACAAAGAGAACCAUUGAUUUCAAGGUCAUUGAAAUGAAAUGGGCAUGACAAUAUCCAUAGGUGAGAUCAAAGGCCAAAGAUAUAAUUGGAAAGCCUAACCAUAUUGUCUAUAAAGCAGAUUUAUGCCGUGUUUACAAACCACAUGUACAUGGUUUUUGUUUGCUCCCUAAGUCCGCCAUGGUGCCUUGCGGGCAAGCCAGGGAUUUACUUCACAUACGAGAUUGGUGGGUGCGGGCGUGCCACUACUAGAUGCCGCUAGUAGACGGGAUUUGAAUGAUUGAGGUUGCGCCUUUGGACUUCAAAUCAAGAGAUUGUGCCAUUUGAGUGGGAAUUGCUCAAAUUAAGGUUCUUUGUUUGCCUUGAAAAUAAGGACUUUACUUAUAUGGAGAGAUAGAACAAUAUGUAAAUGAUAAGGUUGCUUGGAAAUAUAAAUGACAGAGGAAAAUGACUAAUAUUGCAGAUUGCUUGUGACUGGAAAUGAGUACAUAAAAGCUACAAAUGAGAUCGAUACCGCAAAUGAGCAGCAGAGCUAAUAAACUUAAAUAAAAGAAGGCUUUUGGCAAAUCUGGUUUGAGCAGAGUUUGUGCUUUUGUUUGUUUGUUUGAGUGUCCAUAAUCCUUCUCCAUCUACUUCUUUAUAUAAGGAUCUGGAAGAGCCCCCUUAUUGAGAUCUUUGUACUUGCCCGAAAGAAGCUUGGGCAGCUUGCAUUUCCUUACUUGGGUAGCUUGCAUUGCUUUUGCCAACUUGCAUGUAGAAACAAUAUUAAAAGGGGAACUUGCAUCUCCACCAUAUGUUUUAGCACAUGUUUUCCUACUUGUAAUAAACUAACAUUUAAAAGAAGCAAGUUGGCUUCUUUCACAUAUUUUUUGCAUCCACAUCCGUAAGUUGCCUUCCAACCCUUUUGCAAGGAUGCAUGCAUCUUGAUUAAACAAAGCUUGACAAAUCUCCACCACCAAAACAAAUUGGAAGAACAAUAUUAUAGUGUCAAACCCCUCCACUUGCCUCUAAAUAUCUUUCCAAAUUAGCUUUCUUGCAUAUUAAUCCUCUAAAUGCCAUAUUUUACCCAAAUUACCCAAAUAAGUAAAAAUGGGUAUAUUUUGAGUGCAAACAGUUUUAUUACAUUCGGGCAAAAGAUUUGGUGAAAGAAAAUAACCAACCAAGUCAUUUGGGAUAAUGGGAUUUCACGAGGAUGAUGGAGGAAGAUUUAGUCUUCUUUAUAUCUUGUUCAACUAUUAAUAAUUAAAUGUGACAAAAAAAAAAGAGUUUUGCUCAUAAGCCAAGUUAGUCAUGGAUAAAACCAAAGGACAUUCCUUUGAGAGAAAUUAUACACUGAAAAUGUGGGGGUCUUUUGGAAAGAAAAGAUGAUACAUUGAAAAUGUGUGGAGCAUCUUGCAAAAUUAAAUUAGACAUGAUGAUGCUUAUUAAGUAAGCAUAUGAAUAGUCAUGCAUGGUAGUCAUAAUAUGGAAAGGAUGAAAGUCAAGAAGUGCUUUUCCCAUAAUAGCUAGUGAGGCAUGAAGGCCUAGGAAGAUAAAUACAUAAGGUCUUAUCUUUAGUUGUUUCCUACUUUUUAAAGAACAAAACAUGAUCGAUUUAACAAUAACGUUAGAAAUUAACCACAAUUAUCGAAGAAUUGUGGGGGUAGCUUAACUAUUUUUGAGAUAUGAGAUUUACUUACAAAGAAUGGAAACAUAAUUUGCUAAUCAAAUGAGACAAUCAAGAUGUCAUCUCUUGUAAUGAGUAAUUGUUUAAGGUAUGGCAAGGUUAUAGACCUUCUAUAGAUACCUUAAAUGUGGGGGAAGUCUACUUCGGUAUGGCAAGGUUAUAGACCUUCUAUAGACACCUUAAAUGUGGGGGAAGUCUACUUCCUAGUGUUAGCAAAUUAUUACAUAAGUCCUAACAUAUGUUUCGAGGACUUAACAUUGGAAAACAACUAUUCUCGUAUGAAAAAUAAUUUCAUAAUAUGGAAGUGCACACCAUAAGAGUAGUCAACCUUAGUGGUACCAAUUAGUAAAUGUUUGACUAGGGAGUAAGUUAAUCAUCGAGGGGAAUGAGGCUGAAGCCAACAUAACUAAUGAAUCAGUCGGGCGAAAACCUAACUUAGUUGAUUGGGGAUCCCAUGGUCUAAGUUCAAUAGGCAAACUAGUUGGGCAUGAUUCAAAGAAGUUAACAUACUAUAUACCUCAUUCCUAUGAUGGAAGAAGUGUGUUGUCUGCAGAAGUUUUAGGGUGUAUAUUUAUACUUAAUGACAGUGAUAUCUUAUAAAUAAGAGGAAUAGAGCAGACUAUUUUUUAUCAGUGGUUACCUAUGUGAGAAUAGAAGUGGGUCGCUUCUGUGAGAAUGAGAUGGCUAAAUUCUCUAAAGCUCUCAUGAAUCCGAGAUUUGUUCAUGACCAAAAUAAACACAACCGUAUGAACCAGAAUAUAUUAGGAUUAGGGAUGUAUGUUGCUUAUUGUCUCGGUUUACUGCUGCGGUGAACAGUUCAAGAUUCCAUAUCCACUGCGUCACCAAGUAAAUCCGAUAAGUAUUCACUAGGGUAGGUUCAAGUCCAAAAGACACCUCUCCUGAUGCAUAUCUUGUCCGCCUGUACUCUCAAAUUCUUCCUAAUUUUUCAUUCAUGUAGGGGAUUGUUGGAAUUUAUAUAUUAUAAUAUUAAUAAUUAUAAUAUUUAAUUCAAAAUAUUGAAUGAAAACCCCAUAACCGUUUAAAAGGGAUCAAGGCAUUCCUUGGUAAAACGGUAUCAUCUAAUAGAUGAAUGUUUGUAUCUCUUAAUCAACCAGUAUCUUAGGUUUUAUAUAAACUCACGUUAGUAUAGCCGUGAAAGAUAGAAAAUUAGAGUUAAUUUUUACUCUUGAGAAAUAGUGUUUCCCCACUUUGUUUAUCUCAUGCUUCGUGUGUCAAAUUCCGAGUCGUGUUUUGAGAGUACGGAAAAGACAAUUUCUAUGGGGAAAAAGUUGAAAUAGGGGAUGAAGAUUCCCGAUUUUAAUUUCGUUAAAUAGGUGUAAUUUCACAAUUCCAACUACAACAAGAAUCACAAAUUCAUAUGCGGAAAAAUCUUGCGAGCACCAAACUUUACUAUUAGGGCGCCAAAUUUCAUGAUAAAACCUGAUAAGGGGUUUAGGGCUGCAUCUUUCACUCUAUUAACUCUCCAAUCUUCGAAGGGAUUUUCGGCUCUUGCAUCAUCUCUUGCUUUUGUUCUAGGUCAGCGUCUCUACUCUCUUCUUUCUUGAAUUAUUUUAGCUUUUCGGGUAUACUCUUUAUGCCAAUUGUGAAUUUUGCUAGUUAUUUUUAUUUUAUGAUAGUCAUAUGUUUGCUGUGCUUUUUUUCUUCCGAUUGAAUUGUGUAUUGGUUGGAUCUGUAACACAAUUUUUCAGUUUUUUUUAUGGACUUUGGUGUUAGUUCCUUGUUAUAGAUAUUGUGCUUUUGAAGGUUUAACAAUAGGCAAGGCUGAAUAUGAUGAUUUCGGUGUUAAUUACUUUCUCAUGGUACUAUACCAGAUUGUUCUCUCUUUGCAUUUACAUGUAACUAACUGUUCAUUGUAGAAAUGUAGUAUUUGGAAGACCUUUUUUUUCUGAUUUAGUGUAUGUUUGUUGGACAAAAGAAACAUGUAGAAGAGAAAACAUGAUUAAUAACAUUGUGCGUCUAUUUUUUUUUUUUUUUGACAGAAGCGAUAGAGUAUUCUAUUACUAAAAACAACCAAAUACAAGAGGUGUCAUGGCUACAAUUUCUCCAUGGCAAAUUUUUUGCAAACAUUUUGUAAACGCUCUACGGCUACCACAAUAGACCAUUAUAAACAGAGAUUCCGGAUAAAACUGUCACAAGGACGGCAGACACGACAAUCCUCACACCCGUACCCUAACAUAAGAGCAACUCCAUCCAUGGAGCCCUACCCCCUGGCAAUCCACUAUUCAAUCCACCAUAUUGAACAGUAACUGCCUUAAAUGAAUAGUAAUUACCAUUAAUGAACAGUAAUUGCCAUUUACAUCUUCAUCCUUGGAACCCUCCCCCUAGCAAUAAGCAAUUAAAAUAAUAGUUUUUUUUGUUUGUUUAAAUAAUAAAAAAUUGCAAAAGCUCUGGUCCCUCUCUCUCUCUCUGACACAAAAAAAAUAAAAAAUUGCAAAGCCCUCGGGCCACAUGCCCAUCGACUCCCCACCCCCCCCCCUUCGCUCGGGCUCUCACUGUCGCUCAACCUCCACACGGCUGGACCUCUCUCCACCGGCCCUCGGGCCCUUUGUCCUCGCCUGUCGCCCGAGCAACCAGCCUCCGCUGGAGUUGCUCUAAAGCCAUCGACAAUGAGGCUAAAUAAAUCGCUUAAGAGAUACAAACAAAUCACCGCAAUAACACAAUCUACUUAACCCGCCCAAGGCGCUACAAACAAAAUCUUAAACCUAAAGUCGAUGACAUGUCCACAUGCAUGUCCAAGGGGAAGAGACGUUGCAGGAGGCAUGGGUUGCCCGACCAUGUGGGUCUGUCGGUGGCAAGGACAACAAAGCAAUACCAAACUACUUCUAUCAUUCUCCUUAGCGCUAUAUUUUUCCUUAGCGCCAUAAAUUUCGCUUAAAAAGCAUAGGAAGGAAGGCUAAAAUUAAGGCGAAGAACCUGCCUCCACUAAUUUCCAUAGGGGAGAGAGAGAGAGAGAGAACACCAAGCAGUAUUAUAAUAUAGGUGGUCUUAAAUAACCUUCCGUGGAGUCGCAGUAAGGACUUCAAAUAUCCCAGAGAAAAGUCAGUCAAUAGUUUUUGACAGAGUCAGUCAACGGCGAAGACAGAAUUGUGUAUCAUAAUGCUCUCUCCCUCUCUCUCUCUCUCUCUCUCUCUGUCGUCAAUGGAUAACACCAUAUAAUUACUACGUGUAUAUCACUGCUCAAUUACACAAUAGAAAAAUCCUUGCGCAUUAUUUUUGUUCUUAUUAGCUCAGAAAUGCAGAAAUUGAUCAUCUCUUACUUUUGCAUAUUGUUACUGGUUUUCUUCAAACUAGUUGGAGCAAGCCAUGCGUGCCUGGAAUCCAAGUGUAGCGAUGAUCAAGGCGCAGCUAUCCAUUUCCCAUUGCGCAUCAGCCGCAAACAUCAUUGUGGAAAUCCUGGGCUUGAAUGCAAUGUAAGAUAUGAGCAGCAAAUACUAGUAAAAUUAUUUGUCAAACACAUAGAUUACAAGCGUCAGGAAAUCCAAGUGUAUCCCCCAAGUGAUUGCCUGCUGCUGAAGCCUGUCGAAGUCACAAACAUAGAUUACAAGCGUCAGGAAAUCCUAGUGUCUCCCCCAAGUAACAACUUGUCAUAUUCUUUCAUCAGAAACUUAACCUUAUUCAGUUGUCCUACUUCUGUUGCAAGAGAUACAUAUGCGUAUCAAGUCCACUGCCUCGGUGACCCUGGCAGCAGAAUUUAUGCCCUUGAUUCUACAUAUCAAUUAGAAAAUCUCUUCGAGAAUCUACAAUCUUGUUCAAAGAUGUAUGAUGUUUUAUCUGGCAAUUGGGAGGGUAAUGGUUCUGUUCUUCAAUUCAAAUGGUCAAAACCAAAUUGUACAGAAUGUGAAGCGGAGGGAAAGAUGUGUAGAUGGAAGAACAAUGGCACCAACAGUGAAAUUGAAUGUCAACGCGUGAGGAAACCAAGUAAGGAGAACAUUAUAUUCAUUGCUAGUUUUAAACAUCGUUACAUUUAUGUCUGAGUAAUUAUUAUUUGAAGGAUGUUGUCCGAUCCAUUUUUCUGAGGAUAUUAAUUGUCAGUCUCGAUUUAAUUUGCAAUUCUUUUACAGGCAACACAUGGAAAUUAGUGGUUACAGGUGGAAUUCUGGGUGCUUUGCUUCUUGUUCUACUGAUGAUUGCAGCAUAUCGGGUAUAUAGCACUGAUAGGAAGGAAAAAGAGAGUCGAUUAAGAAUUGAAAGAUUCUUGGAGGAUUAUAAAGCACUCAAACCAAGCAGGUAUUCGUACGCAGAUAUUAAGAGGAUUACAAAUCAAUUCAAGGACAAGUUGGGCGAAGGAGCCUAUGGAACUGUCUUUAAAGGAAUGCUCUCUUCUGAAUUCUUUAUUGCUGUCAAAGUCCUCAACAGUUCAAAGGGAGAUGGGGAAGAGUUCGUAAAUGAAGUGCGAACGAUGGGUCAUAUCCACCAUGUCAACGUGGCUCGCUUGGUUGGAUUUUGUGCUGAUGGAUUUGUACGAGCUCUUGUUUCCCUGCAGGAUUUUAUUUCAUCUGCAGAUAGUAAGAAUUCACUUCUUGGUUGGGAUAAGCUGCAAGAUAUUGCCCUAGGCAUAGCCAAAGGAAUUGAAUAUCUUCACCAAGGAUGCGAUCUACGAAUCCUGCAUUUCGAUAUCAAGCCCCAUAAUGUGUUGCUAGACCAAAACUUCACUCCAAAAAUUUCUGAUUUUGGUUUGGCCAAGUUAUGUUCCAAGGAUCAAAGCUUGGUGUCCAUAACUACAGCUAGGGGGACCAUGGGCUAUAUUGCACCUGAAGUGUUCUCCAGGAAUUUCGGAAAUGUGUCUUACAAGGCAGAUGUCUACAGCUUUGGAAUGCUGCUGCUUGAGAUGGUAGGAGGAAGGAAGAAUAUUGGUUCAACCACGGAGAACACUACAAAUGAAAUCUACUAUCCACAGUGGAUUUACAAUCUUCUAGAGGAAGGGGAUGACCUACGAAUCCGUAUUGGGCAAGAAGAAGAUGGUAAAAUUCCAAAGAAACUUGCUAUUAUAGGGUUAUGGUGUAUCCAAUGGCACCCGUCGGAUCGUCUUUCCAUGAAAACAGCCGUUCAGAUGUUAGAAGGAGGAGGAGGAGAAAGCUUGACCAUGCCGCCUAAUCCCUUCAUGCCUACAGGUCCUACAACUAGAAAUGCAAGACGCCUAGAGCGAGAAGCAAUUGCUGAAUUAGAGUAAAACGUAUAUGACAGAUAUGUAGAUUCGUAUUGAAUGUGUAAUGAUUCAAACCUAAAGGGAUAUUUUGAUAACCAUUUCAUUUUGGCACCAAACAAAAGAAAUUUGUUUCCACUCCAUGUUUAAGCAAUAGAUGCCGAUUAUUGUUUAUCAUUUAUUAAAUUUUAUUUUUGGUUACGGUAGAAGCCUAGAAGGCAAUCGAGCACCGGACUUACCAAAUUCUAACUCAUUUCUACACACCAAGAGCUUGAUUUCGGUUCUUAUUUUUACUAUUUAAGCUAUAAGCCGUGAUAAUAAUUAGAGCACUAUCAUUUGUUGUGAGCUUCAACUGGUUAUUUUGUAUGUUUUAAACUUUUAAUUAGAAUUUAUUUUUCACUUAGACUUAUCUUUCCGUAUGGCAUGCCAUCCCAACCCUAGUUUUUCUCCUCGCUUGGAGUUUGGGAUACGAAAACUUGCCAAACAAAGUAGAUUGAUUAGUAACCGAAGCUAAUUAUUCGACUGAAUAUUGUUUAGAAUUUUAAUUAACAGAAACAAUAUGAAUCUUUUUUGUUUGUUUUGAAAACUAGAGAUUAAAUUGUUACUUGUUAGAAGUAGAGUGAUUGGUAGACAUCGAAUCCUUACAUAAGUGCAUAGGCAUUAUUGCGUGAGGAUGACGUGAGGGCAAGGGAAGUAGCAGCAGACCGUGUGGGCUGCUGUGGUUCAUCUGCUCGGGUGACAGGAUAGCCUUUUUGACGAAAUUAUAAAGCGCAUAAACUUUUUGACCAAGAGAGUGGUCAACUAGGGGUGGGCACUUGAAAUCGAAAACCGAAACCGAAACAUGAACCAAAUCGGACCGCACCGAACGAUUUGGUUUUGCGGUUUUGAAACCGAACCGCAUUGUAGGAAACGGUUUGGUUUUGGUUUUGGCUUUUGAAAACCGCACCGAAACCGAAACCGUAUCUCAAAUUAUAUGCCAUGUUUUAAUUAGUUGUUUGUUAGAGUCCAUACAUUUAGUAUGUACAUGUCAUAAUAAUGAUUAUUUUUUCCAAGUUAUAUCCCUCAUCAAGCUUGGCAUCUCAAUGUUUCUUUACAGGAAAAGAAGAAAACUUUGUCACAGUUAUAUCCUUAGAACCCUAAUUUUCAAGUUUAGAAUGAUAGCCUAUAUAAUAUAUUAAUCAGAAAUGCAAAUGAAAACUCAAAAGGAACAAUGAGCAUCAAAUAAGAGUAGUCACAGAAGGAGAGAUACAAGACCGAAUCUCUAAUCAAGUAAUAAGUUGCAGCACUUCAUUUGGGUACUUUUUCCUGCUCACAGAGUUUAUCACUUGUGCAAGAGUUUAUCAUCUGUGCAAUUAGCUAGCUAGAGUAAAGAAAAGAAUUCUCAUGUGGGUGGUUAAUUAAUGUAUGUGUGGAAAAUGAGACUGUGGUAUGUGUAAAUAAGUAUAAAUUUUAAAUUGUAGAUUUUUUUUUCUAAAAAGCCAAACUUAAACCGUUUGAAACCGCACCGAACCGAUCGGUUUUGACUUUAAAACCGCACCGAACCGCACCACAAAAAGUUGUGAUUUCGGUUUUGGUUUCACUCAAAACCACACCGAACCAAACCGUGCCCACCCCUAUGGUCAACAAAUGGGACAUGGAUUCGUCGAAUCCAAAUCCUAAGAAUUCAUUAAUCUAUAUUAUUGAAAUUUGAUCAAAAGAUUAAAAUUAUUAUAAUUUUAAAAUAAGCUCGUAUUUGUAACUGUUGAAUCAACCUUUAAUGAUCCAGAUUGAUAAAUCCUUAAGAUUAGGAUGUAUGAAUCCGAAAAGGAUCAAUGUCCCAAAAAAUAUGCAACGUUUUGCAAGGGUAUUAAAUUUAUGAGUGGGAUAGACACAAAUAGCAGACCGUGUGGGGUGCUGUGGUUGAUCCACUAGGGUGGCAGGAUAGCCUUUUUGACCAAAUUAUAAAGCAGACUUUUUGACCAAGAGGGUGGCCAACAAAUAUGCAACGUUUUACACGGUAUUAAAUUUAUGACUGAGGAUUUGGAUCCUCUCCUGAGCUAAUGGAGAUGAUCUUCCUGACCAACCAUUAUGGGUUGUUGGAUUUUUAUCCAACGGUUAUAAUUAUUAUAACUUUAAAGGAACUCCCUUUUUAUAACCGUUGGAUAAAAAUCUAACAGUCCAUAAUGGUUGGUCAGGAUGAUCCUCUCCAUUGGCUCAGGAGAGGAUCCAAAUCAGAUGGACACAAGUAGCAGACCGUGUGGGGUGCUGUGGUUCCUCCACUAGGGUGGCAGGGUAACCUUUUUGACCAAAUUAUAAAGCAGACCUUUUUGACCAAGAGCGUGGCCAAUAAAUAUGCAACGUCUUGCACGGGUAUUAAAUUUAUGACUGGGAUGCACACUCAUCUUCUUCCUCAUUCGUUGUUUAUGUAAAAAAAUGUAAUAAAUUGUAAUAAUGAUCUUUCAACUUUAAUUAAAUUGAAACAAUAGUUUUUUAAUUAAAAUUCAUUAUUAUUAGUCUAUUAACUCAUUAAAACGUGUAGCUAUAGUCAUUUUCGUCAACUCCUUCAGAAUUCUGUCAAAAUAAGUUAUGUUGAAAGGACCAUUGCUAUAAUUGGGUUAAAGUUAGGGACCAUUGCUAUAAUUGGGUUAAAGUUAGGGACCAUUGCUCUAAUUGAGUUAAAUUUGAGGAAUCAUUUCUCUAGUUGGAUUACAGUUGAUGGAUCAUUGAUACAAUUUUUCUUAUUUGAUUUUUCAUUGUGCCCCUUGAUUUAGCCUCAAGUGCAUGACAUGUGACUAUUUUGACGGAAGUUCUAAUGGAGUUGACGAAAAUAAUCAUAGUUGCACGUUUUGAUGAGUUAAGAGACCAAUGAUAAUGAAUUUUUAGUUGAGGGAUCAUUGCUCCACUUAGAUUAAAAUUAAGAGAUCAUUACUAUAAUUUACUCUGAAAACUAAAGGCCUCCUAUUUUAGUUAUGUUUGUACCAUACUUGACCAAUCCCAAAACUACUGAGCACCGGUCAACGUUAUACCAUCAAGGAUCCAGAAGAGUUUCUCUCAAACCAGGAGGCCAAUCACAACACGACACAUGUCGAUAUCAAAAGCCAAUCAUAGCGCGACACGUGUCAACAUCAGAAGCCAAUCACAACACGACACGUGUCAAUGUCAGAACAAAACUAAAAACUCUCUUCUAUAAAAGGAGAUCAUUCUCCCUCAAUAUUUCCUAAUGUUCUUUGUACUAAAUCAUUCACUAGUACUGACUAAAUGAGAGUUUGAACCUAUGUACUUGUGUAAACCCUUCACAAUUAAUGAGAACUCCUCUACUCCGUGGACGUAGCCAAUCUAGGUAAACCACGUAUAUCUUGUGUUUGCUUCCCUGUCUCUAUCCAUUUACAUACUUAUCCACACUAGUGACCGAAGCAAUCUAACGAAGGUCACAAACUUAACACUUUCUGUUAUACCAAAGUCCUCACUGAUUUUGUGCAUCAACAAGUUGCAUUGGAGAAUCCUUUCAACCAUCCAAAUCCAAAACAUGGAUCUAAGGAGCCAAGAAACAAAGAGGAGUUCGUCCAUAUUCAUGGAUACAAGAAGCUAUGAGCAAGGGAAUGAGGACCUCACUUUGGGUGACUAUCAUUUACUUCUGCAAAGAGGACCUACAAAAAUAUAAAGUCAACUCACUUUGCUUUGAAUUUGAGUUGAGUCUUUGACUAACUACUAGACUCUGAAUUUCAUGAGUUAAGUUUUGUUUUUGAAUGCAUAUAAGCAUGCUAGAGCCUUUAAUUGUUAAUUACAUGUAUAUGUGUUGCUCAAAUGAACUUAGUUUAUCAAAUUUUUCUCUCAAGACCAAGGUAUUAAAUAUCGAUGAUAUCGGAAAUAUCGGUAGUCCAAAAACACGGAAAUAUCGAUGGAAAUAUCGAUGGAAAUAUCGGGAUAUUAUCGAUAUCGAUAAAAAUAAUAUGGAAACCACGGAAAUUGUAAGAAAAACUUGGAAAUUUUUAUUGAAACUUUGCAGAAUGUUUAUUUAGUCAAUUAUCUAUUAGUUUAUCACAAAAAUUUGGAAGGAAAUGCAUUGCAUGAUGGAUUUAACUGAUUUAAGUUGAUUAUAUAGCGAGCUGGCAAACAUUGUGAGUGUAGAAAAUAUGUAGUAAUUAAUGAAAGAAGUUUAAACACACCAUAAUCAUUUAUAUAUAAUGAAUUAGUACAAUAUUUUACACUUUAUACAUUGCAUGGUAAGAUACAUGAGUGACUAAGUACCACAUAGAGUUCCUAUGAGGUUCAAAAUUUUCACUAUCUUCAUCAUCUCUAUGUGUAGAGUAAGUGUAUUGUGAAGAGUAGUCAGCAACCAUGGCAAUGGCUUUCAAGAACCGAAAUCCAAAAGUCAAUAGGAAACCGAAUACUUCGGUAUUUUUCGGGAUUUCGGGAUUACCAAACAAAUGGGAUUUGGAAACCAAUCCCAUAUCGAAAAUUUCGGUAUUUUUCGGGAUGGGAUUCCCGAACUUCGGGAUGGUUUUGGUUUGGGAUUUUUCGGUUUGGGUUUGGGACUUUUUCGGUUUGGUUUGGGAUUUUCGGGAAUUUUUUCCAACCCUACAUGUAAGUGACCAAAUAAAAAAUAGAAAAAUUAAAAACCACAUGCCAUUGACUAAGUAAUUAAUUGACACAAUUUAAAAUAUAAUACCACAAAAAAUUUGGAAUAUGUGCAAAUUUGUUUCUUGCAAAAAGAAUUCAAAACAAAACCAUAUAUAUAAAUAUUUUAGCAUGUUUUCACAAAAACAUAAGUGGUAUAGUGGUCAAGGCGCUGAAGGAGUUAGAUGGGAGGGGUUUGAAUCCCUCUAUGUGCAUGUUUGAGACUUUUCAGAAAUUUUCAAAUAUUUUUAGGUUCAUCUCGCGAUAAUAUCGAUAUUAUCGCGAUAUAUUAGCGAUAAUUAAAGGAAUACUCGUGAAAUAUCGUUAUAUGAAAAAAACGAUAAUAUCGGCGAUGUUUCGCUGAUAUUAUCGAUAUUUUCUUCUAUGUUCAAGACCAACUUCUAUGGCAUGCGUGGUGUGUUUGAGACUUUUCAGAAAUUUUCAAAUAUUUUUAGGUUCAUCUCGCGAUAAUAUCGAUAUUAUCGCGAUAUAUUAGCGAUGAUUAAAGGAAUACUCGUGAAAUAUCGUUAUAUGAAAAAAAACGAUAAUAUCGGCGAUAUUUCGCUGAUAUUAUCGAUAUUUUCUUCUAUGUUCAAGACCAACUUCUAUGGCAUGCGUGGUGUCUCAUGCCAAUCACACAAAUGUUAUGUAAAAAGAAUUUACACGUUGUGUUGCAUGAUUGACAAUUAACGACACAAUAGUGUUAUAACCGUGUCAAUGUUAUGAAAGUUUUUAUGCAAAGUCACUUGAUAUGCCGCAACAAUUAGUAAACAAUAUUAGAAAGACCUAGAGGAACCCACAAUUAAUUCCAAUUCAUUAAGUAGCUCAUGUGCAAGCAAAGUAUGGGCUUCCCAUGGGCAGGAGCUGGAAUUUACCCAUAUUUGGUAGUUAUGUAGCAUUAUACGAGGAGCCUGCUCAGCAUUCAAUAUGUUCACCCACAUGAUGUUGAGUGUAAUCCUUCUUAAGGUUCAACGAUAUUGUUUCUAUUAACAAAUAUAAAUAAAAAAAUAAGCGAAAUACUAGAGAGAUUACACGUUUAUAUUACAUUGUUGUACCAUAUUGUGAUAUGGCUGUGUACAUACCACGUCUUGUAAUGAGUUUAUCUCAUUAGAUGUUAGACUGUUGGUUAUUUGUAUUACUUAUUACAUCAUAUGGUACAUCAAUGUGGUAUAAAUAUGCAAUCUCUCCAACAUUACCCUUAGGAAAAUUUUAUUUGAACCCAUCUAACCUCUUUCUACACCCAACUUAAAUUCUAAAUGUGAAUUGUCUAUUUUAUCCUAAUGCAUAAUUACCAUCAAGUACAAGAUGAAAUUAAGAAUAAAACUAAAAUUUAUCAAUAAACCCAUACUCAAUAAUUAAGUUCUACCAUCACACAAUUUUUAUCCUACAUUCAUUUUGAAUAAAUUCCUAAGGGCUGCAAUAAAACCCUACGAUCACCUAAUAAUCAAAUCCGGUUGCUUUUUGUUUCCUCUCUAGCUUCAUGUUAACUCGAUCAGUAAAAACAAAGUAUUCAAAGUAUUCAUGUAUAAAAUAAGCCAACUUGGACUGGACUUGCUAUAAACCUAAAAACAUAAGCAGAAUCCCAGUUGCUAAUUCCACAAGAACUCGACUUGCGACCAUUCAAAACCCAAUAAAAAUUCAAGAAAACCAGAACUUACCAAGUGAACGUUGACGGCUGAGCCAGAGCAGCAACGACGAAAGGAAGCAUUGCAGAUAAGACCUGAGACGACGAGCCGUCGGAAGCCCCUUUGGAUAUUUCAGCUGAUGGGUUUAUCCCAAACGACAGCAUCAACGCGUUGCCUUCCUUCCUCUGCGACCCGACUCUGCUGAUGUGCAAUGUGCUUACUCUUGUAAUCACUCCAUGUGCCAUGUGCAAACAAUCGAAGCACAUCGAGGUAGACAUAAUUUUCAGUUCCUUCAAGCUGCACAUAUUCCACAGUAAAAAAACAAAUGCAUAUGAAACAAGACCCUAUAACAAUCAACAAUUUUAUUUUGACUUUGGCUGCAACAAAAUUCUGAUUAUACAUCCUUUGCUCAAAUCCAGAAACUACACCACCAAAAUAUACACAGAAAAAUGAAACUUCCACAAUAAAUAAAUAGAAACAUGGGAACCUGAAGAACAUUAGGGACAUCGAUAAUUUCCGAAAAGGCAAAAAGGGCAGGGUGGGAGGUGACUUCUGCGACGAGGGGGCCGAGGGCGGAGCCAUCGAGUGAUGAGGCUUGCUUCACGAAGUGAUCAAAGGCCUCCUCUUGCUUUUGCUUUCUAAAAGGGUGUAAAGAUGAAUUUUUAUAUAUUGAAUUGAGUUUGUGAGGGUAGUUUAGAUAGUAAUUUGGGUUUAGAGAGAAAUUGAUUCUUUAAUUAAAAAUAAUAUGGGUGUAAAGAAUAAGUUAGGUGUAGCAAGAAGUUGUAUGGGUUCAAAUAAAAUUUCCCUUACCCUUAUCAGAAACCCUAAAAGACAAGAAAUGCUCUAUACUAAGACGUGUUUAUCAAACCGGAAUGAAAGUGUAGGAAAUGGAAUUGCACGAACUCCAAGUCAUUUUAGUGUUUACUAAACCAGAGGGAAUCAACAUUCAGGUGGGACCCACCCAAAAUCCGGAAUACAAUUCCUUAAAUACCCGGAAAUGGAUUCUUGACUUGGGAGGUGGGAAUUGAGUUCCUGAAAAUAGAUUCAUCAGGGAUCCAAGUUUUCUACCCAUACUAUCCUCAUGCUUUUUUGGUAAACCCAAAUAUCCCUCACAAUUUCACCUCCCCAGUUCCAUGACCAGUGUAUAGACCCAUCUCUCUUCUCCCCAAUCCCACCAUUUCCUAACAGAGGAGCUUCGACUCCAGUGAAAUCCCGACCCCUUUCUCCUUGCCCCGUCGCCGCAGACUAUCCAAAAUACAUGCAUGAACGCACAAAGAGAGGGGAAAAUGUAUGGCGUGGCCGCAUGGUCAUCUAAAAACAGGGGGUGGGGACGGUUGUGAUAGGUGGUGAGGAGCUGGGUUUGGGGAUGUAGGGGGGAGAAGAUGGCAUCGCAGCUUUUUGUGUUUUGGGUUUUUUUAUGUUAUUUUAUAUUUUUAAUAAAUUUGUUAAUUAUUUAUUUUGCUGAAUAGUUAUGUUUUCAUGUAGCUAAUUGGAUUUUAUGAGCAUAUGUGGUUAUCAAAAUUAACCAUUAACUAGCAUAUAAAAAUAUAAUUUAUAACAAGGGCAAUUUAGUAAUCAAAUAGGUUUCAAUUCCGAUUCAUGUGAGUGAGUAAAUAAUUUUUAUGUAAUCAAUAUCAUUUUUAUUCCGAUUCCAGAUAGUUUAGUAAACAGAUUCAACAUGAAUCCAAUUCUAAUUCCACUUCAUUCCAUCUUCUUCUCAAUUCAAUUCAAUUCCUCAUACUCUGAUUACGGAUUAGUAAACGGGUCAUAAAACGGAAAGAGAAAAACAUUGUUCAUAACCAACAGUGUUUUUACUUUUUUGCCCUCAUUUUUAAUGUUUCUGUGUUCCCACUUUUAUGCCUCUAUACAGUGAAAUCCCCAAUUGCCCUAUGGGCAUAGGUGUGUAAAAAAAUUGUUUUGCACACGUGGCAUGCUAGGGAGAUUUCUCUGCUGCACCGUUUCCUUCCAGCUCCACUCCGAAUCGAUACUGAAUACUGCUCAACCAAAUUUUUUCAUCAUUUCAUUCCGUCCUUGUCAACCUCUUCAUUCUUGCUCCACCAUGAAUCGAAACAAAAAAUUGCUCAUCCAAAUCAAUUUCAGUUAACUCAAAUCCCUAAAACCCAAAUUUCUCCAGAUCUUUGGAUUUAGUUUACUUUUUGUUGUUGCGUAAAGCUUAAAUUUACGUACAAUUUUUUUAUUUUCUUGAUUGGAAUUUGGAAAGAAUCAAUUGUUCUUUGAAGGAAUUACAGAAAAUUGGAAAGGGGAAAUGGGAAAUGGGAAAGCGAGGAAAUGCGGGCAAAUGGGUUUUGGGAAAAUGACUUUUUUUUUUGGCAUUCGCUUUUGGCUUUCAUCCUUUCUGCGUUUGCUUUUCCUCAUUUUUUUUCUCAAGAACCAAACAUAAAAUAAAAAGAACCUAGAAAAAAGAAAAGGAAAAUCACAAGAUUAAGAAUCUGGGAUUGCAACAAUGGAGCUUCUGUGCCGAAAUAUCAAUUGGGUUCCGUUUGAUCUUCGGUGCUUCUUCUGCAUUCAAAAAGUUGGGGUUUUUUUGCGUGAUGGGAACACAUUUCCAAAUUCGACCUCAAUCCCAAAGGAACCAUCCACCAAAUAACCCUUCCUCCCUUUCUAUUUCUCUCUCUGUAAUUUCCCCUGACCGAAUCACACAAUCCAACCAACUCUCUGUGUAAGGCUGCCUCACAAAUUCCAUGGAUUUCAUGGACUUACCCUCUCUAUGAGCCUCCCUCGCCGAAUCCAACUAAUUUCCUUAGGCCCGUUUGGGAUUGAGGUGAUUUUAAAAAAAGCAAUUGUGAAAAAAAGCUGAGGGUCAUUUUUGUGUUUGGUAAACUGAAAAAAAAUGGCUUAUUUUGAAAGCUGCUGUGAGAAUAAGCUGAAAAUCAAAGGAAAAGCUGAAGCUGCUAUUUGCUGCUUUGAAAAAAAGCCAGUUUUUUCAAAGCACACGGAGCUACAAUGCUCCUUUAAUGAAAAGACACACUAUCAUCCUGCUUUUUUUUCCAAAAGCACUUUCACAAAAAAGUUUACCAAACACUCUACUGGCUUUAUUUCACAGCCGCUUAUUCUCACAGCAGCUUUUUUUCAAAGCACAGCAAUACCAAACCAGCCCUAAUUCCAUCGAUAGCCACACCCACCCCUCCCAACUGAAAAUGACAAUAAUGCCCACCCAACUUUUAUUCUCUGCCUUUAGAUCUCAAAUUAAAAUGGGUAAUAAAGUCCUUUUCACACCAAUACCCGCUAUUUAACAGCUCAAAUGUACACAACCCAAACAAACACAUGGCCUAAAGGGCCUACCCCAGACCCCCGGCCCAAAAAUAUAAAGGAAAACUAAUGAAAAUUGCUUGAAAACUUUGAGUUUUAAUGAUAAGGACAAAAUAAAGGGUAAAGUGAAUAGUACCAGGAUUGACUUUUUAGUGUAAAAAUGUGGUUUUUCGUUAAAGUGAACAGUACCGGGUGCUUUUCGUUAAAGUUCCCAAAAAAUAAUUGGAAAAAGAAGUGGCAAUUUGGUAAAUAAAAUGUUACCUUUUCCAUUGCCCAUUCCUUUUGGAAAAAGAAAUGAAAUUAAAACUCUUCAUUUAAAAUGGUCUUAAGCCAAAUUGUAUUGAAUGUGAAGCAGAGGGUAAGAGGUGUAGAUUGUAGAACAAUUACACCUAGAGCGAAAUUGAAUUUGUUGACAGGAGGAAACCAAGUAAGGAUAACGCGUCUAAAUCUUAUUUCGCAUCUAUUCUGCUCAUGAUUUUUCUGCUUUCAUGUAAUUAGCGGCUUAUAUUUGUGGUAACGAUAUUGAUUAAUUUCGAGAAAUGACAGUCUAAUUUUCGCAACUGUCUUUUGCAGGUAAAACAAAGACGGUCUAAUUUUCGCAACUGUCUUUUGCAGGCAAAACAAUGACAGUCUAAUAUUCGCAACUGCCUCCUACAGUUAGAAGCAAUUGUUGAAUUAGAGUAACACUAGAAAAUGCACCCGCGCUUUGCUGCAAGCAUUGAAUAAUUAGUCACAACAUUCAUGAAUAGCAUUCCAAUAAAGCAACUAAAAAGACGUCGUAAUACGUAAGAACCAUCGAAGUCAAAUUUUGCUUGCUAUAUAUGGAUAUGCAUGCUAUAAGAAACAUCUAUUUAUAGAUUGUAUUGUGUCAUCAAUAUCAUAGUUGCAAGUAAUCAGCCUACUACAUGGAAGAAAAACACAGAAAAGGGAAAGUAGAAAAGUAGAAACAUAAUACUUGAGUACCUGGCAAGAAUAGUAAGUUCUUGAAAAAAUUGCUAAACCGUCUAACAAAUUCAAUCGUUAAACGUUAUACUGUAACCCAAGACAAAAAUAAAGUAUAUUGUUUGUUUACAAAUCAAAACGAAGUGCUGCUACAAUCCUCAACAGCUAUGAAUCAUUUUCAAAUAAAGAUACUCAGAUUUGACGGCACAUCAAAUAACCACCAAGCGAAGCAAAUUACGCCAUGUGCUAAUAAGAAACUAAAACAAAAGCAAGAUUAAAUAUCGAAAUUUUUUUAUAAGGCAUCAAUUGACAAAAUGCUUCUUAAUGUGGUCUUCCAAGAAAUGAAUGCAGCUCACAAACAACUUAGAAAUCAUUGUCACCUCAAUCUUACUAAAUAGAAGCAUAAAUGGACAUGAUAGCUCCCUAAUUUUGUAAUAGAAACUCUAACAAAGAAUAUCAGGCUCCAAAGGCCCUAACUUUUCCUAGGCAUAAAUCUAUACAUUGCAAGUUUAAUUCCAACGAAGCAAAUAUGCGUGCAAAGUAAAAGGCAUCAACACUACAUGUACUGCUUACAAUCGUCUCAAGUUGCUGACAACAACAACAACAACAACAACAACAAAGCUUUUUCCCACUAAGUGGGGUCAGCUAUAUGAAUCCUAGAACGCCAUUGCGCUCGGUUUUGUGUCAUGUCCUCCGUUAGAACGCCAUUGCGCUCGUCUCAAGUUGCUGACACAAUGUUUAAAAUAUUCCAAGACUCAAAGAUUUUCACACAAAUAGAGCACCUUACCAAAACAAUAACCGAGGUUGUCGUAUUUGAAUCAAGCAGAUGCUUUGCAAGGCCUUCUUCAAUAUCGUCUCAUAUUCCCUUUUCAUUUUUCGUAUAUGAUACAAUAAACUAUUCAAAUCUAGACAUAAAUAAGAGAAUCUGCUACACCCUACUAUCACAAUUGUCAGUCCUGAACAAUAAUGCAAGUCUAGUGGCAAAAACCACCUCAAUGAACAACUCACACACACUGAUCAUACAUCUCUAACUCUCUUUUUCAAAUAACACACACUCUGAUCCAAAACAGGGUAAAUAAAAUGCACAUCCUUAUACAUUUCUAACUUUCUUUUUCGAAAUCCAAAAUAGGGUAUUCUAACUCUCUUUUUCAUUCAUUUCUUACAAACCAAUCAUACAUUUAAAAUAGGCUUUGAAUAAAAAUAGGGUAUAUAAUUAUAUACCUCAAAAUGCCUAGGAACCAACUUCCCCCUCCAACGAUUCAAAUUCUUGAAAUUGCCAACACAGUAAAUCCAUUAGUACUAUAUAAAUGAAAACACAAUUGAAACCCAUCAAACAAAACAAUCCCACAAUUUAAAUGAUUCAAUCCUACUACAAUUGAAAUUCACAGAAAGAAUGAAAAACCAGAACAAAACUGCAGCACCUAAAAAGUUGUCAUACAAAAAAACAUGGAAUGUAAAAAUAUGUUAAGAAAUCUAGUUCGUUAAUUUCCAGCUGCUAAGUGGCAUUAUGUAACUUUAGUAGUAUAACUAAUUAACUACUUAUCUGGUGGGUUGCACUUCUAUCCAAUUGGUAAGGAAAGGAAAAUAAAAAUCAACCCCUUGGUCUUAGUUGUGGCUGCAAAGUGCAGGCCACCACCAAGUCUCAGUGUUUGUGUUUUAGCAAAACACUUAAAUAAAUUAAAUUCUGAAAUGUAAAUUAUAUUCCUAUAACUUUAAGAUGCACAUAUAGUAUUGUUGAAGUCGAACUGAAAGCACUGACAAUUCCAAGCAACAGAGCAGCAAUUAUUAAGAGCCAAAACUCAUUCCUAGUCUCCUCAUCCUGGUACUCAACUCUAAUCUUCGGUCAGCAUCAUUGACUGAAAUUAGGAGAGAAAAAGAAAAGGAAUUUCAGAAAUUGUCUAUGAAGCAAAGGAUACUGCAGUUACUUCAAGACAUGUAAAUUGCAUAUGUAUAAAGUAAUUUUCUACAUAAAGGAAUGAGGCAUAACUUUCUCUCUCCUCUUCAAACCCUAAACAGUGCAAAGCCACAAACUUUACAGAGAUUAGAAUGAGAACUGGAAUUAAUAGAACAAUGACUGAAAAGUAACAUACUUGAGGAGUGAAUGAUUUAGUGUUUCCAUCAUCGGAACGCCGGAGUAAGUCGCUAAGAGAGGUCGCAAACAGCCCAAAGGGACAAACCCAGACCCCCGGCCCCGAUCCAUACCCUUCCCCCUCAAAUCCCGACGGCCCCCAUACUUUUCUCUGACUGUACACCCUCUCCCACUCAUGAAAUCGAGGAUCUGCAGCAAUGGUACUGAGAUCCCCACUCCUCCCUCUCCCUUUCUCUCUGUCGCUCUGUCUCCCUCUCCCACUGUCUGUCUAUCUUUAUCCCAGAGCGGCAUGGUCUCCCAUCCCUGAAACCCUCACCGAAAGGUGGCAAUUUUGUAAAUAACUUGAAAUCCACCAACAGCAGGAGCAGAGAAUUGAAACAAACAUUUAGGCUCGUUCGAUAACCAUUUAGGCCAAAACUGAGCACACCUAAACCAUUCCUACUCGUGCCAAAUGUUAGUGGGGAAGCAAGAUGAUGACUUUAUUGUUCAAAACCAAAAGAAAAAAAGAGAGAAAACAAAAUAACAAAUCUAAUGGUUGUAGUGUAAAAGCUGAGAACGUAAAUAAACAUGCAGAGAAAAAAAUUGAAGAUACAAAGUAGCUGCAUCAUGAAACACUUACUCCAAUUAGACGCAAAAAGUGAUGGUGAUGAGAAGAGAGAGAAAAUGCAAUCGUUUUGAUUUUUCUGGCUUUUAAAGGGAGCAGCUUUCUUCGACCACCCAAAAAAGGAAGCUGCUUCGUAUGGUUGUGAUUUCCUGAGUGUAUGUGAGCGGGUCUAUGGCACUUGCACUUUUUGUGUCGGUUACGGUAACCGGGCGAGCUGAACACGGCGGCAUGGGACUGAAUUCGGAGAGGUGAGAAAAAUUAAAAACACAAAAAGAAGGUGUUCAUUUUGUCACAUUUUUAUUACUAAAAAUUCAAUAAAGUACAUUCAUUAGUAUGGUAACUUAACUAUUUAAUUCCAUCUCAUUAAACUAAAAAAAACAAUUACAAAAAAAUAAGGGAAACCUUGUCCAAAGAGACCUGAGAGAAAGUGACGACUUCUCCUCUCAUUCCACUCCAUACUUGAUCUCUAAAGUCCAUUUGGCAUGUAAUUGAUGUUCAAUUUCAAAUUUAGUGGUAGCAAUUAGCAAAGCUAAUGAAAGAAUCAAAUAAAAUGAAAGAAAAAGCAUCAUGAAAUAAAUCAAGAUGAAGAAUGAAAUUUUGGCAACUCCCCAUUCUCUUCUUUUAUAUAAAAGAUACAUCCUAUUUGUAGUGAAAACAGGUCCCGACAAGCCCAUUUAUCCUCAAGAAGUAUUUUCUAUGACUUUAAAAACAUAAUCUGUGAAAUUAUCUCUUGGCAGAGAACAACAACAAAUCUUCAUGCAUAGCUUGUAGAGAAAGACAUCAGGCAUACAAAAGAACACGCAAGCAUAAAAUAAACGACGCAGGGAAAACAAAAAAUACAAUUAAAUACGCUGUCAAAAGAACAUGAAUAAAUGAAAAUUACAAAACAAAGAAGUGAUGAGAAACCAAAGUACCCAUUUCAUAAUCUAAUUGUUUUUUAGUUUGCUGCCAGCCAUCCCUGAGUAAUGCAUUCACUUCUGAACCCCAAACACACUGAAACAAAAAUUCACACACAUGAACUACAACUCCGCUAUGUAACAAGAAUUAAAAGCAUCUCAAAACAAAAUGGCAAACUAUAAGAGCACUGUAAAAGUAAAAUUGCAAGAAAUCUAAUACUUGGAGGGCAAGUACUAAUCAGACGAAAAUGAAAGAUUGAACUACUUCGCGUGGAACUGUGCCUUGGUUUUUUCCCAUGCUUACAGGAAGCUUUGCACUGAGCCCUUAUAGCCCAAAUUUUCUCUGAAGGAAAAAAAAACACAAUUUUGAAAUAAGAUUUUCAUAUUAUACCUUAAAGAGAAGAAUUAGACAACAAAAAAGAGAAGAAUUAGACAACAAAAAAGAGAAGAAUGAGUACUAUUCAUCAUAUAUUGUUAGAGUAUGUGGUCCUCUGGUCCAAUGGUCCUGCAGCCAUAUUUACUUUAUAACUCUUUCUUUUAGUCUUAAAAACAUCUUGGAUCUCAAAUUAACAUGUUAGCUAUGCGUUAGAACAUAUUGGGUUCAAUCCAUUGUCUUGAAUAUCACCCCCAGUCACAGCUGUCUCUUCGGGGCAUACAGAAGGCCUGAGAGGCAUUUGCAGACAUUCAAUAUCUGCUCCAAGCAUUUCGACAACUUUGGACAACGAAGGGCAAUCACUUGGUUUCAUUUGAAUACACACAAGGCGGUUAUAACCAUCUUUCUUAUCACUUUCUUUUCAUCCUCUGUAACAUUGUCUAUUUCCAAGUCAUUUCCCACAAUAUAUUGAUCAUAUACCCAUAACGGGAAAUAGAUUUGGCUUGGAUGCUCUACCGUUGCAUUCAAAUUCUUCCUUCUGCUUGCCAUUUCCAUCAACAACAUUCCAAAACUAUAGACAUCGGCCUUGUAUGAGACACCUCUAAUAUUUUUGUAGAACAACUCAGGAGCAAUAUAUCUCAUUGUACCCCGUGCUGCCGUCAAAGAGACAAUGCUAUUAUCUACUGGAUACAAUUUUGCAAGCCCAAAGUCAGAAACCUUUGUGUUUGCACUCAAAAUAUACCCAUUUUUACUUAUUUGGGCAAUUUGGGUAAAAUAUGGUAUUUGAAGGAUUAAUAUGCAAGAAAACUAACUUGGAAAGAUAUUUGGCUGCAAGUGGGGGGGGUUUGGCACUAUAAUAUUGUUUUUCCCAUUUGUUUAGGUGGUGGAGGUUUGUCAAGCCUUUGUUUAAUCAAGAUACAUGCAUGUAUUGCAAGUGGAUGGGAGAGCUUUCGGGCAAGAACGUGUAGUGAAAGAAGCUAGUUUGCUUCUUUUAAUUAUUUUAUUGCAAGUGGGAAAAUACAUGUGGUGGAGAUGCAACUUGCUUCUUUUUUAAUUGUUAGUUUAUUACAAGUGGGGAAACAUGUGCUAAAAACAUGUGGUGGAGAUGCAAGUUUCCCUUUUAAUAUUGUUUCUACAUGCAAGUUGGCAAAUGCAAAUGCAAGCUGCCCAAGCUUCUUUCGGGCAGGUACAAAGAUCUUAGCAAGGGGGCUCUUCCAGACCUCUAUAUAAAGAAGCAGAUGGAGAAGGAUUAUGGACACUCAAAACAACCAAUCAAAACUCUACUCAAAUUAGCUCAUCAGCUUCCUUGUAGACAUUUAUUUUUAGCCAAGCAUCCUUUGCUUUUCUUGUUUAUUAGCUCUGCUACUCACUUGUAGUAUCGAUCUUAUUUGUAGCUUUUAUGUACAACCCUCUUUCAGUCAUUUAAUCUACAAGCAAUCUGCAAUAUUAGUCACUUUCCUCUGUCAUUUAUAUUUCCAAGCAACCUUGUCAUUUACAUAUUGUUCUAUCUCUCCAUAUAAGUAAAGUCCUUAUUUUUAAGGCAAACAAAGAACCUUAAUUUGAGUAACUCUCACUCAAUGGCACAAUCUCUUGGUUCGAAGUCAAUCUCAGGCGCAACCUCAAUCAUUCAGAAUCUGUCUACUAACGGUAUCUAGUAGUGGCAUGCCCGCACCCCACCAAUCUCGUAUGUGAAGUAAAUCCCCGGCUUGCCCGCAAGGCGCCAUGGCGAAUUUAGGGAGCAAACAUAUUUUGGCACACCCGGUGGGAUACCUUAAAUAGAGUUAUAUUAUGAGCAAUCCUUAUGUUCAUGAUUUUUCUCAAUAUGCUUUUUCGGAGUAUGAGGAGGAUGACGGUGUUGAAGAGCGCCCAAGCUAUGGCUAUCACAUAGAGCCAACCUAUGAGUUGUCAACUUAUGGGUACAUGGCUGAAAAGUACUCAAGUCCCAUGGAACAUGAUUGUCGGCCAACUAAUGGCCAUCAAAUAAAUAAUAAUCUUGAAGAUUGGCCAACUUAUGGCUAUGAUGAAGGUUAUUAUUCUUUUGAAGACAAUCAUAUUCAUGAAUACUAUGAUAGGCCAACAAAUGGCUUUGAGUAUCAAAAUGCUUCCAAUGAGUACAUAGAGCCAAUAUAUGAGAUACCAACUCAUGAUCAUCCAGAUGAAAAGCUCUACAAAGAGGAUGUGGGCAAAUUAGAGAAGGUGUCCAAACUCCAUGUGGCAAGCAUCGAUAUGGUGAAGAGGUGACCAAGUGUUUUAGAAAGGUGGAGGAAAGCUAUACCACUUUUGGAGAAACUUUGAGAAAGUUGAUAGAUCAAAUGUGUCAAAUCCCCUCUACAAAGCACACUCACCCUACUACAACCAAGGAAGAACAAAUCAUACACGUUGAUGAAGGCCAAACAAUGGCCCCACCCAAUGAAAAAUCCAUGAAAAUGGAUAUGGUUGUAGAAGGCCAAGCCGACAUAUUGAAACCGAUAACGGCUAAGAUGGAGCUUAUGGCUAUUGUAGGCCAAACACCAACGCUCGGGGGGCUCGAACUCACACCUCAUGUGGAGCCCGAAGAAGAAGAAAAUAUUUCCCACUCUCUUCUCCGCCAACACAAGCAUGUCAUCCAUACCAAGAUCUCAAGAAGGGCAAAGCUUGGGAUCAAACAUAAAUGGCCACCUCCUAUUGUUUCCAAGCUAUAUGGUAUGGCUAAUUUAAAUGGUGGAUCUAAUCUCUCUACACUCAAUUUUAAAAAGAGAAAAAGAUUUGAGUGUUAAGAGAUAUCUGGGCAAUCAAGGGGCUUAACCAAUAUGCCCAAGUGGGGCUUAUUUUGUUGUUUCCUCUUUUGCCUGAAGUUGAACUCCCAGUCUUCCUUUUCUUCUUUCCUUCUCUCUUUCCUUUUCUUUCUCUCCUGUUUCCUUUUGCCCGAAAGUAGGUGCCAAAUCCCUCCUCUAUUCCUUUUUCUUUAUUUCUUUCUCUUUGUCUUAUCUUGUCUUUCACUUUUCCCAAAAGGGCUAUAUAUAUACAGAGAGCUUAAGGGGAGGGAUCCCCAUUUUUUGAAAAAAAUGGGGAUUAGGUGUGGGGCCCACUUCACAUUGAACUUCAACAAUCCGAACCGUCUAUUUUGUUAGUCUCGAUUCAUAGAUCAUCCUUGCAAAAAUUCAAUUCAAUCCGAAACCAUUUGCCUAUUUAAUUAUCAAGAUCAAAUUUCAUUUUUUCUUAUAUAACAAAGUAUUCGUUUAUUUCAUUGAACCCAAUUAGAUGUCUUAAACAUUUCCAAUUUAGCUAAUAUUUUGCAAGGAUGAUCUAUGAAUCGAGACUAACAAAAUAGAUAGUUCGGAUCGUUGAAAUUCGAUGUGAAGUGGGCCCCACACCUAAUCCCUAUUUUUUUCAAAAAAUGGGGAUCCCUCCCCUUAAGCUCUAUAUAUAUAUAUAUAUAUAUAUAUAUAUAUAUUAUAUGUGAAAAGAGGGGAAUGGAAGUACUUUGCCCGAGUGGGCUUGUUAUAUAUAUUAUUUUAUAUAUUAUAUUAUAUUAUAGUUUUGAAAGUCAUUCAAAAAAAAAAAAAAAAAAAAAUCUGAGCAGUUUGCCCGAUUCCCUUUUCUUCAAAAUUUGCCCAAAUUGGUUCUUUCUUUUACUUUGGUCUGUGUUACCCGAGAGGGCUUUGUCCCUUUUUGUUUCUCUUGCUUUGGUUGCCUGACAGUCUUCCCUUUUAUUUGUUCUUUCACUUUUUCCAGCCAACCCAACAGGGCCUUUAAUUUCCUUUUUCUGUUUGCCCGAAAGGGCUCUGUUUUUUUGUGUGUUUCUUGUGCUGUUACAAAGAAAAAGAUAUAAAAAUUAAAAAUUCCAAAAAUCACAAAAACAUUUUGCUUUCUUGCUUUUGUUUUUUCUUGCUUUCUUUCCUUUUUUGUUUUCUUGCUGGGGAACUUUACAGAAAAUAUCAAAAAGUUGGGCAGCUUGUGAGUAGCCAUUUUUACCUUUCUUUCCACUUUUCUCUUAUCCAAUGAGUGUAUUUAGCCCGAACCCAAAAGUUGAAAUUAGAAAACCAUCUAGUGGCUGUACCCAAAUUCAUGGAAUGAGGAGUUUCAUAAAAAGCCGAAUCUAUGGCUUUCUUGCUGAAAAGCAUGUCAUCUGUGUCUCAAUGGCUAUUGCAAGAAAGCAUGGGGCUAUCUUGCCCAACUGGUGGUGCCCGAUGGAACCAUAACCAUGCCUGACGGUAAUGACGUCUUCCCUACUCACCACCAACAGACUCUGCAUGUCUCCCUAACGCUCACCAGUUCCUACAACCAAGGGUCGGGCUACUUUGACGACUACCAUUAGAGGCUACAGUAAGAGCUUUUGAUGUGGCUACUAUUAAUCACUGGAGACUAGUUUUCAUGGGUAAGAAAAUAGAAAAAUGGAGCUGCAUCUAAAUGUGAAAUCCGAAAGCUGGAGGAAGAUGACAGAAAAUUAUGUUGCUGUUGCCCGAGGAUGCUACAAUCUUGCCCGAUGAGCAUGACAUCUUCUCUGUUGCAAUUUGUUUAGAUGUUGUCAAUCAUAUAUGGGGCCCCAUGCUUGAUCUGGCAAACGUAUUUGAAGUGUUCAUGCCACUACAACCAGCAAUAAAUCAAGACCAGAUCUCUGAAGGAUUCUGCAGAUCGGUCGGUUCACUCAGACAUAACCACCUCCCUCCGAGCGGAACAAAAGCAACAGUGCAAAGUAGACAGCAUUACCUUGAUUUGGGAAGCAGAAUUCUGAACCUCAAGCAGGAUCUCUUGAUACGCAGGAGUUGGAGUAAGGAAACAAUGGCAGCCAACAUAAUAGCCGCAGCUUCGAAGCCAGACCUACCCGGCCUUCGGUCGUCAUCUUUAACCCCUUGGAGCUUCACCACUGGUUGAAGGAAGUAUGCAGAAAUUUACCUUUGCAGACGGAGCUUGGUUUACAUUUGCCCAGUUAAAAAGGAGGAGGAAGGGAUUGGAUCUCCAACAAACACUAAUAGCUUUCCGUUCUUUCUGCAACAAUCAAUUUUCAUGAUCCGUGGACUUGGGUUAUUUUCUUCACGCACGCACAAGGCAUACCCUUUCAUAGCUCCAGGAAAAAUCACCACUCUCUUCUCAUUUGACCAGCAGCUCUCUCUCUCUCUCUCAGACUUGGAUUAUGGUUGCCGCACCUUGAUCUUUAAGUGAUACCUCGAACAGAGAAACAACUUCUCUUUUGGAGAAGAGGAAAGGCUAGAGAACGACCCACGUUCAUCUUUUUCUCUCUAUCUCUCUCUCUCUCUAUCUAUCUCUUUCUUUUUCCUUUUCUUUUUCUUUUCUCUUGCUUUCUGUUCCUUUUCUUUUUCUUUUCUCUUGCUUUCUGUUCCUUGUCCCUUUCUCAAGGUAUGUCCUUCACUUGGCCCGAAAGGGCAGCAUACUAUAUAUAUUAUAGUAUGUGGCCUAAGAAAGAAAGUCUAGUCCUUUUUAUUAUUUCUUUUCCUCUUAUCUUUUUGUCUCUCUCUCUUUCUUUUCCUUCCUUUCUCUUUCUUCCUGUCUAUUUUUUCUUUUUGUUUUGAGUUGCCCGAAAGGGCUUUAUAUAUAUAUAUAUAUAUAUAUUAUAUUUGAAAAAGGCAAAAAGAAAAAGAUAAAAAAUAAUAGUUGCCAAAGUUUAUUUAUGUUUUAUCCUUCUUUUCCAGUUGUCCGACUUCGGGCAUUUUCAGUUUAUUAUCUAUGUAACCAGUGAAGAUGCUCUUAUGUUUUUUGGUAUCAACAAGAAGGAUGCACAAGUCAGACAACAUUUUUUUCCAAUGCUAGUUGCACUACCAAUUGCCUUGCUCCUCUUGCCAAAGUUUAUCAACGACGGCAGGACCGAAGAGGUAGACGUGCCUCUUCCUUCGACAUCAUUCUUGGCAGCAUUAGAGUUGUAAGUUUCACAAACUUUGCUCAAAUUUGUAAAACUUGGGGGGCACUGUUUGCACUCAAAAUAUGCCAAUUUUUACUUAUUUGGGCAAUUUGGGUAAAAUAUGGUAUUUGAAGGAUUAAUAUGCAAGAAAACUAACUUGGAAAAAUAUUUGGCUGCAAGUGGGGGGGGGGUUGGCACUAUAAUAUUGUUUUUCCCAUUUGUUUGGGUGGUGGAGGUUUGUCAAGCUUUUGUUUAAUCAAGAUACAUGCAUGUAUUGCAAGUGGAUGGAAGAGCUUUCGGGCAAGAAUGUGUAGUGAAAGAAGCUAGUUUGCUUCUUUUAAUUAUUUUAUUGCAAGUGGGAAAAUACAUGUGGUGGAGAUGCAACUUGCUUCUUUUUUAAUUGUUAGUUUAUUACAAGUGGGGAAACAUGUGCUAAAAACAUGUGGUGGAGAUGCAAAUUUCCCUUUUAAUAUUGUUUCUACAUGCAAGUUGGCAAAUGCAAAUGCAAGCUGCCCAAGCUUCUUUCGGGCAGGUACAAAGAUCUUAGCAAGGGGGCUCUUCCAGACCUCUAUAUAAAGAAGCAGAUGGAGAAGGAUUAUGGACACUCAAAACAACCAAUCAAAACUCUACUCAAAUUAGCUCAUCAGCUUCCUUGUAGACAUUUAUUUUUAGCCAAGCAUCCUUUGCUUUUCUUGUUUAUUAGCUCUGCUACUCACUUGUAGCAUCGAUCUUAUUUGUAGCUUUUAUGUACAACCCUCUUUCAGUCAUUUAAUCUACAAGCAAUCUGCAAUAUUAGUCACUUUCCUCUGUCAUUUAUAUUUCCAAGCAACCUUGUCAUUUACAUAUUGUUCUAUCUCUCCAUAUAAGUAAAGUCCUUAUUUUUAAGGCAAACAAAGAACCUUAAUUUGAGUAACUCCCACUCAAUGACACAAUCUCUUGGUUCGAAGUCAAUCUCAGGCGCAACCUCAAUCAUUUAGAAUCCGUUUACUUGCGGCAUCUAGUAGUGGCACGCCCGCACCCCACCAAUCUCGUAUGUGAAGUAAAUCCCCGGCUUGCCCACAAGGCGCCAUGGCGGAUUUAGGGAGCAAACACUUUGCUUUAAAGUUCUCAUCAAGAAGGAUGUUAUGAGGCUUGAUGUCGAAAUGUAGAAUUUGCAUUUUGCAACCUUGAUGUAGAUAUUGUUGACUUUUGUAUUUUAGGUAGGAUCCCUAAUUGAUAUGUAAUCCCAUGUAAUCACUUGUAAUUAGUUUUUCUUUCCUUUUAUGUUAGGGUUGUACACCUAUAAGUUCCUCUUAUUGAGAAGAAUAUAUCAUCAUUCAAAGCAUUCUCUUCUUGGCACCAGAGCCUAGGUUUUGAAAAGAAAAAAAAAAGAAAAGAAAGAGGAGACGAGAUCGUGCUCUGUACGGAAAACCAUAACUACCAGCCGCACAGCCAGUUGUGCAGCGCCGUCCGACCAGCAAGCGACGCCGUCGUUUCUGACCCGAGAACCCGAACUACCCGCCAUGCACCCAGGUGUGCAGUGUGCCGAUCAACCAGCGAGCGACGCCGUCGUUGCUGAUCCGAGUUCACCGAGCCACUCCCUGCAUCUACCACCACGAACCGAGAUUCAACCCACUGCCUGAAAUUUGUCCCAGAUUUCGGCCUGUGUAUCUGUUUUGCGUGCCCAGAUUCGAUUGAACCGAGUGCACCCACUUCACAAUGGCUCCCUGUGCUUGUCCUUUUUCAAAUGGAUUUGACCGAACCGGACAUGAGAGUAGGACCGAUCGAGACCAGUUCAAGACUUGUGAUCCCCACUGUAACAAGUCGUGUACCUCGAUUGUCGAAUCGAAAAUAGAUUCUAAUAUAGGUAACAAAGGUAAGGCUUUAAAAGUUUCUGCAUCUGUUACGAAUAAUACAUGGAUAAUUGAUUCCGGUGCUACUGAACAUAUGACUUGUGAAUCUAGGCAGGUACAAAUCCUAAAACCACCCACCAAAACUGUUGUGAGUGUUGCCAACGGUAAUGUUGUUCUCAUUAUUGGAGAAGGCACUGUCUCCCUGUCAAAUACCCUUAGUCUUGAUACCGUGCUUGUUGUUCCUUCUCUUGACCAUAAUUUAUUAUCUGUUGCUCAAAUAACUGUCGCCCUGCAUUGUCUUGUGAUUUUUUGGCCUUCCUUUUGUGUUUUUAAGGACAUUCGGACUCACAAGACGAUUGGUUAUGGUAUUAGGAAGGGGAAGCUCUAUUACUUGGAGCUGACAUCAAACAGUUUUCGAAUGUUGACUCACGCUCUUGCAGUGGACGGAAAUUCGGGGGAUAGGAAUAAAGCUUCGGAGGUUUGGUUGUGGCAUCGUCGACUUGGACAUGCUUCUUUCGGCUAUCUACGGAGGUUGUUUCCUAGCCUAUUUGUUAAGCAUGAUGUUUCUAGCUUUAAAUGUGGUGUUUGUGAACUAGCUAAAAGUCAUCGUGCUUCGUUUCCAUCCAGUUUGAAUAAAAGUUCUGUUCCAUUUAUGAUAAUUCAUUCUGAUGUUUGGGGUCCAUCUAAAACUGCUACAUUUGGUGGUGCUCAUUGGUUCGUUACUUUUAUUGAUGAUUGCACACGUAUGACUUGGGUUUGUUUGAUGAAAUCCAAAGGUGAAGUUACUUCUUUGUUUCAACAGUUUUACAAAAUGGUACAAGUACAAUAUAAGUCACAAAUACAGGUUCUCAGGAGUGAUAAUGGUGGCGAAUAUGUUAACUCUGAACUUCGUGCCUUUCUUGAUCAUCAUGGGAUUGUUCAUCAAACUACAUGUCCAUAUACUCCACAACAAAAUGGGGCUGCCGAAUGCAAGAACCGUCAGCUUCUGGAGGUUGUUCGUGCUUCUUUACUCGAGGCUCGUCUCCCGUUAUCCUAUUGGGGAGAAGCUCUCACCUCAGCUGCGUAUCUCAUUAAUCGUGUUCCAUCCCGAUCGGUUGAUUUUCAGACACCCCUUCAGGCAUUUUCUUUACAUGUUGAUGCUCCUGCAUUCCCUAAUCUUCCACCUCAUGUGUUUGGAUGUGUGGCCUUCGUUCAUCUUCAUAAACAACAGCGAAGUAAGCUUGAACCUCGAGCCUUACGAUGUGUGUUUGUGGGGUAUGCAUCAAGGCAGAAAGGAUACCGUUGUUAUCACCCACCGACGAAUAAGUUGUUUGUCACUAUGGAUGUUGCGUUUCAUGAGAAUGAUAUGUACUUUGCCAAUCUCGAGUCUUCACUUCAGGGGGAGAAUCAGAAAGAAGUUCAAACUCUUGAUUAUACUAUUCCAGAUAUAGAUAGAGUGAAUGAUUUGGAUUUAAGUGGUGAUGUCUUGGAAAUAAGUGGUGAUCAUUCACACGAAAAUAAUGAUGUGAAUGAAUUGGAAUUAAGUGGUAAUGUCUUGGAGACAAGUGGUGAUCAUUCACAUGGAAACAAUGUUGAAAACCUUGAAAGGGAUGAGUCGACAUCGCCAGAUAACUCACUGCCUGAUAGCUCACUGCCAGUUUCCUCACCACCGGACAACCCUGUGUCGCCAGCUACCUCACAGUCGAUCUUGAGUCCCAAUAACCAUAAUCAAUCGUCUUCGAUCCCGGAUGCACCACCACCACGUCGUCUCCCUGAUCGCAUCAACCGAGGUAUUCUUAAACUUACUUAUGAAGCCGACCCUAAAUGCAAAACUAGGUAUCCGGUGAGUAAGCCCAACCCUGAGUCUAAUGUGUUAUACCCGUUAAGUAAUUAUGUGUCUACCAGUCACCUGUCAGAAUCAAAUAAGUCAUUUGUGCAUCAAUUAUCUACUGUAUCUAUUCCUAACAGUGUGUAAGAGGCUUUAACUGAUCCACGUUGGCAAGUAGCAAUGAAUGAAGAGUUGAAGUCUUUGAAGAAGAAUGCUACCUGGGAGAUCACAGAUUUGCCAGCUGGCAAGAAACCUGUGGGAUGCAAAUAGGUCUAUACUGUGAAAUACAAAGCAGAUGGGACGGUGGAUCGUUUCAAGGCAAGACUGGUAGCAAAAGGAUAUACUCAAAAAUAUGGAAUCGACUACACAGAUACAUUUGCAGGAGUAGCCAAGAUCAACACAGUUCGUGUUUUGUUGUCCUUGGCUGCAAAUCUUAAUUGGCCUUUACAACAGUUCGAUGUGAAGAACGCCUUCUUGCAUGGAGACUUGACAGAAUAAAUUUAUAUGGAUCUUCCACCGGGAUGUAAUGCUCCAGAUAAAUACAAAAGAAAAGUGUGCAGAUUGAAGAAAUCUUUGUAUGUCUUGAAGCAGUCCCCUCGAGCAUGGUUUGGAAGAUUCACAAAAUCUAUGAAAGCAUUUGGUUACAGACAAAGUAACUCUGAUCAUACUUUGUUCCUGAAAAGACAGAAUGGGAAGCUUACUGCACUUAUUGUGUAUGUAGACGAUAUGGUGGUAACAGGUAAUGAUCCGGAAGAACGUGCGGCCUUGCAAAGAUACCUGUCUACAGAAUUUGAAAUGAAUGACCUUGGAUCCCUGAAAUAUUUUUUAGGGAUUGAGGUGUCGAGAAGCAGUUCUGGAAUUUUCUUGUCUCAGAGGAAGUAUAUUAUUGAUUUGUUGCACGAAACUGACAUGUCAGCUUGUCAGCCAGUAGCUACACCAUUAGAAGAAGGAUUGAAGCUUAGUGUUGAUCCUAAUCAAGUACCAAUUGACAAAGGAAGAUACCAAAGGUUAGUAGGCCGUUUGAUGUAUUUGGCACACACAAGACUGGACCUUGCUUAUGCCUUGAGUGUAGUGAGUAAAUACAUGCAUGAUCCUGGAGAACAACAUAUGAAUGCCGUGACGAGAAUAUUGCGAUAUUUGAAGGGAAGUCCGGGCAAAGGAAUUUUGUUUAAGAGGAAUAAUCACUUUAGUGUUGAAGGUUAUACUGAUGCAGACUGGGCAGGUUCCAUUGAUGAUAGACGCUCAACAUCAGGUUACUUUACGUUUGUUGGGGGUAACUUGGUUACAUGGAGAAGUAAGAAACAGAAUGUGGUUGCCCGUUCCAGUGCAGAAGCAGAAUACAGAGGUAUGGCUUUGGGGAUUUGUGAAAUUUUGUGGCUUAAGCUUCUGUUAAGCGAUUUGGGUAUACAACAUGAUCAGCCCAUGAAAUUAUUUUGUGAUAAUAAAGAUGCUCGUGACAUUGCACAUAAUCCGGUACAACAUGAUAGAACAAAGCAUGUUGAAGUUGAUUGGUUCUUCAUCAAAGAAAAAUUGGAAGGGAAAAUAAUUGAAGUACCAGCGAUAAGAACAGAAGAUCAGUUGGCAGAUAUCCUCACAAAAGCUGUUUCGAGUCACAAGUUUUCAAGUUUCUUACACAAGUUAGGCAUGAUCGACAUAUAUUCACCAACUUGAGGGAGAGUGUUGACUUUUGUAUUUUAGGUAGGAUCCCUAAUUGAUAUGUAAUCCCAUGUAAUCACUUGUAAUUAGUUUUUCUUUCCUUUUAUGUUAGGGUUGUACACCUAUAAGUUCCUCUUAUUGAGAAGAAUAUAUCAUCAUUCAAAGCAUUCUCUUCUUAUAUUCGAUCCCUUGACUCCAAGAGAAAUCUUGUACAUAGUCUUGAUAGUUAAGGGAGACUUCCUUAUUUGGAAUAAAUGUAUUUAUCAAGAGAGUCAUUAGGUAUGAAGUCAUAUAUUAGAGCGCUCUUUGAUCCCUCGACACAAUAUCCAAAAAGUUGCACCACAUUGGCACGGUGAAUCCUUCCGAUUGUAGCUAUUUCGCUAAUGAAAUCUUGGCCAUCAGCUUUGGGCUUGCCCAAAACUUUAACUGCUACAAAUCGGCCACUGCGUAGCUUUCCUUUAAAUACAAAGCCAAAGGCACCUUCGCUCAACUUGUCCUUAAACCUGCAAGUCAUUUUCUUGAUGUUCGAGUAAGAGUACCUUAUAGGCAUGAAGUUAUUGCAUUGCAAAAAAUCUUCUAUUGUGCUAUACAUUGAUAAAUGUCUUUUGCGCCAUGUAGAUUAAAAAUGCAGUCACAACUACAACUCCAAAAACAAAUCUGGCUAGGAAAAAUAACCCUGCAUGCAUUGACAUUAGUAUGUUAGAUCCACUGUACUACUUUUUCUUCCCUUUCUUUCCAAAUUACUUUGUCUUUGAUGUAAUUAAAGAGAGAAUGGGAAAUCUACAUAUGCUGAUAAUACAAUCUCGUAUUAGUUCUUACCGAUGCAUAUGAGUAUAAACCAUCCACGUACUGCAACAUAAUUAAUCGACAAUGAGUUUCAAAAGUGCAUAAAGUGAAGAAAAAAAAAUUUGAAAAAAAUCAAAGGGUGCCUCUAUUGACACCCAAAUUUUAGUUAGUUUCACUCAACUAAAAAAAAAAUUCAUCGAACUUUUUAAUUUGCCUUCGAAAUUGAGUUCACCCAACCCACCAACCAGCAAGCACCACUCAACCAAAAAAUGAACAACACAAAGAGCUGGCAUCGACGCUGUCGAUGAAGGAGGGACAUGAGGAUGGUGUAGUUUCGUCUGGCGCGCGGUAGUGGUUUUGUCUGUUCAUUUUCUCUUUCUUUUGGUAGGUGGAGGCUGGUGUGGAUUUGGGCGAACUUAAAAAUGAGGGGAAACUAUGAAGUUUGACAAAAUGUUUUAGUUAGGUGAACUUAACUAAAAUUUGGGUGCUAAAAAAGGUACCCAAAAUCAAAAGGCUUUUGUUUACCCAAUGCUAUGUACAGGUUUGACUUUUGUUUAUAUUCUUGGAUCUGUUGCUUGGUUGUAUAAUUUGGAUGUGGUUUUGUUUCAAGAUAAUUUGUUCUUCGUUUCUUGAGGCUUUUGUGUGUAGAUUUGAAACCGUUUAGCUUUCAAGCCGUUUAUACUCAAGGUAAAUAAUUUCGUUUUUUUCUUUUUAACCUUUUUUGUAAGAAUUUUUUAUUUAAUUUUGUGAGAGUUGUGUUUUCUAUAGUAUGAAAAUUGAAUCUUUGUGAUCUUAUAUCCUUAGAUAUGUUGCUUGGUUAUAUGAUUUGGCUGUGUGCAUUGUUUCAGGACAAUUUGUUCUUCGUUUUUGGGGCUUCUGUGCGUAGUUUUGAAGCCUUUUGUAGUCAACAUAAAUAAUUUUAUUUUUCUUUGUUUCUAGUCUUCUUUGUAAGAAUUUCUUAGUUAAUAUUUUGAGAAUUAUGUUUACUAUAGUAUGAAAACUGAAUCUUUGUGAUCUUCUAAGUGAUGUAACGUCAUUGCACCAUGUAUGACUGCCAUUAUCGAACAUGAAAAGCUUUUUUAUUUCUGUACUCCGUCCUUUCAUACGAUCUGCCUCAAAAAUGGUUUCAUUACAAGUUCUAACAUGAUUUUUGCGAUGUCUUAUGAAAAAACAAUGUCCACCAAAACAAUAGGAAAACGUCGCCGUCUGCUCUUCUUGGCUGAGCUUCAUGACUGGCCGAAUUCCCCUAUUCCCUUCCUCUUAUACUUUUUUGUAUUCGUUCACCAAAACAAUAGGAAAACGUCGCCGUCCGUUUGAUUGACGGCGAAAGAAAAAGACAGAGAAUAAAAGCCUGACGGAAUAUUGCGAUUUGAGAAAAAAAAGAAAGAACCACGUUGACAUAAUAUACUCACAAUAGGUGUACAAGGUUAAUAAAGCUUUACUGUGGUUCCAUUUUUUUGCAUACUUCAAAGGCUCUGAAUUGCUAAUGGAAUUAGCCUUUAGUUUUAGGAAGAAACUUGGAACCCCCUCCGUCCGUUCUAUCCCCAAUGGAAUUAACACUUGGAUAGUACUAUGACAAUGUGUCAUUAUUUGAUGCAUACCUGUAUAAAUUUAGGCUAAGUGUUUUAUACACAAAUUGGUACAGAUUAAGCUUCUGGGAGCAAAAUCAUAUACGGGAGAGCUAACUAUACAAUGAUACAUUCUUAUCUGUUAAUUAUCUUUGGUUACCAGCUAUCCAUGUUGCUGACAUAUUAAAUUACACAACAUCUAUUGUAAUUUAUGUCUUAUUAGUAACAUAAUGAUCUGGUUUCAAUUUGCUACAGGCAUUAUUUCCUGACAAUAGCUAUGGUUUUGAUUAUAGCUGUGACUGAAAAAUUAUUCCGAAACUAACAUUUGAGGAAUUCAAGGUUUGUUAGUUAAUUUGUACAUCAGAAUACCAUGACAAACUGUGAAGUUGUAAUUGUUGACCUUACAAUGUAUCUUUUUUGGUUUGGAGCAUUAGACUUAUAUGUGCUACUUUCACUUCAUGAAGGCUAACUCUUUAUUUUAGGCCUUAGAAUAUAAUUUCUUGGAGAAUCUACAUUGUUGUUGAUAAUUUUUUGAACAAUAUUAUCCCCAAAAUUUCUCCGCAUGUUACCCUCAACGUAGACAUCAUAUAACCAUCAUUGAACUUCUGAACCAAAAAUUUGAGUUUUGUGAUUAUAACUAAACAUCUAUAAACACAUGAUACAGAUUGAGACGAACGUCAAAUUUAAAAUGGCAUUAAUCAGGACAGCUGCAAACUCUGAUUUGCGGCCUUUGAAAUGGAGAAGUUACUUCUUGCUUCACUUCAGCAGCAUAGUCCAGCUUCUAAAUUCAGUUCUCAGGUAUGAGGUUUCUCAGUUACCUCUUUUUUGUAAUAAAACAUUUGACCAGUACUUGCCAGGAUAUCCAAUUAAUUAGGUCAGUUUUUGUCAGCCGUAAUAAUUUGUUUUUGCAACUUUAUAUGUGUCUCUGUCUCCAAAUGAUGAUCUCUUAAUUUGCUUCUAUAGCUUUUGUAAUAUGAUGAUCUCUUAAUUUGCUUUUGCAUAUCUUCUUUGCUUCCUCUGCUAGCUCUAUAUGAGAUUCCAUCUCCAAAUAAUUAUUAUUAUUUCCUAUUUUUACAGGAAGCAAAUCAUUGAAUACACAUGGAAAAUUAAAAGGGUUUUAGUUUUUGGAUUAGUUUAAAUUUUUUGUUUGUUAUUGCUUGUAUUGCUGUUAAAUAUUUGAUGGGUAGUUUGAAAUGGGGAACUUGGUUGAUCGAGUAUUAACUUUUAUUAAAUUAAUAUUCUUAUUCAAUAUUGAAUUAAGACUCCUCUUAUUAAAUUAAGACUCUUAAGGCUCUAAUCUAAUUUUCAUGCUCAACAUCUCCUCUAUCUUUCUACAAUUGGUAAAACUUUUGUAUUAUUAUUCCAAUUUUGGUUACUGGGUUGUGGAAUUUUCCAUUUUUUUCUGGGUAAUCAAUACUAUAUAUAUGCAUGAAAAGUAUAAACAAUAUUUUGGGUCAAAUUUAGUUGUUUAAUUUUUUAUUUUUUUUGUGACAGUGAGAUUAUGGUAGGAUUUCGUUUAGAUUCCGUGGCCCAAUGGGAGUCUCUGCUUUGAUAAGAUUGGGGUUGAUGCCAAGAAAGCCUUUCUACUGUGGACGCCGCAGCCGCCUAGCGCUGUUUUCCAAAAUCCUCUCUCACUUGGGUAAGCAAUUACGACUUUUUGGUUCAGUUUUUAUUAUGCCCAAUUUUGUAUUUAAACUGAUUUGGGGUUACUGAAAUAGGCAUGCUUGAUGAGUGCUGCAGAGCUGCCAUCCCUGAAUCAGAAGAUGUUCAGAAGGAAGAAGGAAGAACAAGAAGAAAAAGAAGAAGAAAGUCGUGGAAUAUCAAAAGCUUUUAGCUUUGUGAAGGUAUGCUUUUUCCCAACUCAUCUCUUGCUUUUGUUGCACUGAAUUGGUAGAUUGGGUUCAAAAUAUAUAUAUAUGUGAUUUUUUGUGUAACUAUUCUUUACAUAAUUACCAAUUGGAGGUGAUUUGAGAUCAUGUAACAUUUCCUCGCCAGAACCGAAGAUUGCCGUCGCUCAAAGCUGCGUUUCAUGAAACAAGUUCAUCUCCUGCCAAUUUUGUGUACCCACUUUUUAUUCAUGAGGGUUGGUGCUUGCUUGCAACAUAAUUUGGUGCUAUUAAGUUUUGCGGUUUUACAAUCUGUUCAUGCUUAAACCUCUUUCAAAUUUUCAUUUCUGUGUAAAUCUAGCAGGUAGGUCGACACACCUAUCUGGGCAAUGUCGGGAUGUCUAGGCUUGGGUGGAGACAUGGACUUAUGAAAGAGGUGAAGUAGCUUAGUUCGAUCUCAUUAGCUCUUAUCUAAAAAGUUCUAUUGAUUUUAUAAUCAAAGAUACAUAUAUUAUAGAAACAUAGGGUAUAUCAUUAAUUUCUUGAUGUAAACAAUUAUAACUUGAGCAACCAUUUAAAGUAUUUUGGUAAUCAGCAUACUUAAACUUAAAUGUGAUAUAUCCGUUUAGUUUUUUUUUUUAUACAGUGAUAAUACUCAAGUAUAAUUUACAUCAUAUAUCUUUUGAAGUACAUGAAACUAUGAAGAAAAUGAUAAACCAAAUCCCAUUCCAUCUCCGUUUGCUACUGCACAAUCACAAUCCAAUUCCAACAUGGAAUCCUCAGACGACAUGCCUACUGCAGAACAAGUUUCAUCUUGACUUAACUUCUAUUUAGUCCACUUCUUGUUUAGAUUGUAAUCCUAGUUCUACGUGUGUUUGUAUAGUACUCCUAUAAAUAUCAAUGAACAUCGCUCACUCUAAUUAAGAGUUGAGAUUCUGCAAAUCAUAUUUACUAUCUUUCAUGGUAUCACGAGCCAGGGUCUAACGACAACAGUUCAUGUUAUAAUUUUUUUCUCUUCUGCAGAUCCUAAACUAUGGCAUCUUCUUCCUCCUCCGCUGCUCCCUCCGUCUCAAAUUUUCUUACGAUUAAGCUCGACCGCAACAACUACCCUCUUUGGCGUGCUCAAUUUCUUCCCUUGCUGCGCAGCCGCAACUUACUCUCUUAUGUUACUGGCGAAACUCAAUGCCCCUCUGCCUUUCUUCUUGAUGACAAUGGUAAAUUCACAGACAAAGUCAAUCCAUUAUAUAAUGAAUGGAUCCAGACUGACGAGAUGAUCCUAUCUUGGAUUACGAGUUCUCUUACUCCCAAGGUUCUUGCUACGAUCGUCAACAAAAUUGAUAAAGCCUCUGCUUGGUCGUCAAACCCGAAUUAAUCUGAUUAUGGGGGUUUUGUUUUAUAUCAAUAUAUUGCAGCAGAAGUCGCACUUUGAAGAGUUCGUGCUGCACAGAAAGAUGAUGAAAUGCUACCUGUUGAGUCUAUCAUUGCUCCAUUGGAGACAGAGCUGAAGCUUGCUGCAGGAGUUAUACAUUUGUUAUGCAAUAUGACCCCUUUAAUUUUAUUUUAAAACUGAUACAAAAAUACUACAAAAAUUUAUGUAGUAUUUUUGUAUCAGUUUUGAGUGUCUAUUUUGGCUUCCAUAUUUCGUCUGUACAUGUGAGAGGUAUAGUGUUCAAUAUGUAUUUGGUUUCUAUAUUGUUAAUGGAUCUUCUUUUUUUUCUUUUUUUUUCUUUUUUUUUAAAGAUAACCAAGUUGCAGGAUGACAGCAGAACACUUGAUCUGCAGGUAAACCUUCAAUUUCCAUAUGAAGUUUGCAUGUUCGUUGUUUCUGGAAUUUGAGUUUUUAUUAUUUAUCAAUUCUAUCACAUAGAUUACGAUUUCACAUAUGGGAUUAUUAAUGGCAAUUAGAUGAUAGAAGAAUUGGGAUUGGAAGAAGAUAUUGAGUUGUUUAUUUAUGGGGAUUAGAAAAUGAUUAUCAUACGAGUGAUAUUUAUUUUUGUGUGGAUUGUUAAUAUAUAAAACUAUAAGCUUUUGAGAUUGGGAGACAAAACCCACACAUUCAAAUCAGACAAAAUAAAUAAAAAAUUUAACUGACUUAAAGAUCAAACUCCAAAAGGGUAUUAAAAACAAGGCUUAUUUGAUCCAUUGAGUGUGAAAGUUUUGAGCUUUGAAGAAGCAGAGGAGGAGAGUUGUUAACCAAGCUGCAUUAUCCAUGUAUUAGGAUGUUGAAGGUAGGCAGGAAAAUUACUUUUUGACGCCAUAUCCAGAGGAGCAUAACGACAGGCCUGCAUUUUUGCAGCAAUGACCAAAACAAGUAGAAGUGAAGGCUUGACUGUUUGGGUAUUCAUCCUAAACCUAAUUAUUCUUAUUUAGGUUUAGGAUAAAUGAUUGAGUGUGUCUCGAUGAUUGUAUUACUAUGUUUGAUGAAUGAUUUGAGGAGUUGGAAAUGGUUUAUUGCUUAUCUUUUUUUUAGGUGUGUACUUUGGUUAUUUCCGAGCUUUUCAUGACUUUUGAUACCUAAUAGAGAAUAUGGAAACCCCAACUUUAAUUUUAUGAAUUGGUUUUGGUGCCUAAAAUGAAAUCUAGCAUAGUGAAAUCUUGCAUAAUGAAAUUAUGACAAAUUUCCCUUCAUCUUUAGAUUUUCAUUUAAUUCAAUUCGUAUGCAAUUUAGGGUUAUUCAAUUCAUGAGUGAUCAAAUUAUGUUUUUAAUUCCUUCUUUUGAUUUACAGUUCAACAUUGUCGUACAAAAUGAAAAAGGCGCCAGUAACAGAGUUAUGGAUUUGGAUGCCUUUAGUGGAAUAAAACUGAAUUUUUUAACUUUGUAUAGUUGUAAACAUAAAAUACUCCAUGAGAUAGACUCAUAGCUUUUGAAAACAAUCCUUGAGGAUGGCAUAACAACAUCUCCAACUUUUGUCAUGUAAUGUAUGAAUGUCAAUAGCACUUCGUAAACAUAUGGAUGUAAUAUAUGUAUAUAAACACUCUUUAGCAUGUAUAUUUUUCAAAACUUUCUACAUCUUCAACAAUGUUUCAAUGAUUUCUUGAUGUAAACAAUGAUAAUUUGAAGAACCAUUUAAAGUAUUUUGGUAAUCAGCAUACUUAAGCUUAAAUGUGAUAUAUCCGUUUAUUAUUUUUUAUACAGUAAUAAUACUCAAGUAUAAUUUACAUCAUAUAUCUUUUGAAGUACAUGAAACUAUGAAGAAAAAACCCUAAUUAAUCUAAUUAUGGGGGUUUUGUUUUAUAUCAAAAUAUUGCAGCAAAAGUCACACUUUGAAGAGUUCACGCUGCAUAGAAAGACGAUGAAAUGCUAUCUGUUGAGUCCAUCAUUGCUCCAUUGGAGACAGAGCUGAAGCUUGAUGCAGGUGGUAUACUUUUGUUCUGCAAUAUGAUCCCUUUAAUUUUAUUUUAAGAUAGAUAGGGUUGAAAAAAAUUUAUGUAGUAUUUUUUUUUUUCAGUUUUGAGUGUCUAUUUUGGCUUCCAUAUUUGGUCUGUACAUGUGAGGUAUAGAAUGUUCAAUAUGUAUUUGGUUUCUAUAUUGUUAAUGGAUCUAUUUUUUUUUUUAGGUAACCAAGUUGCAGGAUGAAAACAGAACACUUGAUCUGCAGGUAAACCUCCAAUUUCCAUAUGAAGUUUGCAUUUUCGUUAUUUCUGAAAUUUGAGUUUUUACAGGAUGAAAACAGAACACUUGAUUUGCAGGUAAACACUUGAUUGGUUAUUUCCGAGCUUUUCACGACUUUUGAUACCCAAUAGAGAAUAUGGAAACCCCAACUUUAAUUUUAUGAAUUGGUUUUGGUGCCUAAAAUGAAAUCUAGCAUAGUGAAAUCUUGCAUAAUGAAAUUAUGACAAAUUUCCCUUCAUCUUUAGAUUUUCAUUUAAUUCAAUUCGUAUGCAAUUUAGGGUUAUUCAAUUCAUGAGUGAUCAAAUUAUGUUUUUAAUUCCUUCUUCUUUUGAUUUACAGUUCAACAUUGUUGUACAAAAUGAAAAAGGCGCUAGUAACAGAGUUAUGGAUUUGUAUGCCUUUAGUGGAAUAAAACUGAAUUUUUUAACUUUGUAUAGUUGUAAACAUAAAAUACUCCAUGAGAUAGACUCAUAGCUUUUGAAAACAAUCCUUGAGGAUGGCAUAACAACAUCUCCAACUUUUGUCAUGUAAUGUAUGAAUGUAAAUAGCACUUCGUAAACAUAUGGAUGUAAUACAUGUAUAUAAACACUCUUUAGCAUGUAUAUUUUUCAAAACUUUCUACAUCUUCAACAAUGUUUCAAUGAUUUCUUGAUGUAAACAAUGAUAAUUUGAAGAACCAUUUAAAGUAUUUUGGUAAUCAGCAUACUUAAGCUUAAAUGUGAUAUAUCCGUUUAUUAUUUUUUAUACAGUGAUAAUACUCAAGUAUAAUUUACAUCAUAUAUCUUUUGAAGUACAUGAAACUAUGAAGAAAAAACCCUAAUUAAUCUGAUUAUGGGGGUUUUGUUUUAUAUCAAAAUAUUGCAGCAAAAGUCACACUUUGAAGAGUUCACGCUGCAUAGAAAGACGAUGAAAUGCUAUCUGUUGAGUCCAUCAUUGCUCAAUUGGAGACAGAGCUGAAGCUUGAUGCAGGUGGUAUACUUUUGUUCUGCAAUAUGAUCCCUUUAAUUUUAUUUUAAGAUAGAUAGGGUCGAAAAAACUUUAUGUAGUAUUUUUUUUUUUCAGUUUUGAGUGUCUAUUUUGGCUUCCAUAUUUGGUCUGUACAUGUGAGGUAUAGAAUGUUCAAUAUGUAUUUGGUUUCUAUAUUGUUAAUGGAUCUAUUUUUUUUUUUAGGUAACCAAGUUGCAAGAUGAAAACAGAACACUUGAUCUGCAGGUAAACCUCCAAUUUCCAUAUGAAGUUUGCAUUUUCGUUAUUUCUGGAAUUUGAGUUUUUGCAGGAUGAAAACAGAACACUUGAUUUGCAGGUAAACACUUGAUUGGUUAUUUCCGAGCUUUUCACGACUUUUGAUACCCAAUAGAGAAUAUGGAAACCCCAACUUUAAUUUUAUGAAUUGGUUUUGGUGCCUAAAAUGAAAUCUAGCAUAGUGAAAUCUUGCAUAAUGAAAUUAUGACAAAUUUCCCUUCAUCUUUAGAUUUUCAUUUAAUUCAAUUCGUAUGCAAUUUAGGGUUAUUCAAUUCAUGAGUGAUCAAAUUAUGUUUUUAAUUCCUUCUUCUUUUGAUUUACAGUUCAACAUUGUUGUACAAAAUGAAAAAGGCGCUAGUAAUAGAGUUAUGGAUUUGGAUGCCUUUAGUGGAAUAAAACUGAAUUUUUUAACUUUGUAUAGUUGUAAACAUAAAAUACUCCAUGAGAUAGACUCAUAGCUUUUGAAAACAAUCCUUGAGGAUGGCAUAACAACAUCUCCAACUUUUGUCAUGUAAUGUAUGUAAAUAGCACUUCGUAAACAUAUGGAUGUAAUAUAUGUAUAUAAACACUCUUUAGCAUGUAUAAUUUUCAAAACUUUCUACAUCUUCAACAAUGUUUCAAUGAUUUCUUGAUGUAAACAAUGAUAAUUUGAAGAACCAUUUAAAUUAUUUUGGUAAUCAACAUACUUAAGCUUAAAUGUGAUAUAUCCGUUUAGUAUUUUUUAUACAGUGAUAAUACUCGAGUAUAAUUUACACCAUAUAUCUUUUGAAGUACAUGAAACUAUGAAGAAAAAACCCUAAUUAAUCUGGUUAUGGGGGUUUUGUUUUAUAUCAAAAUAUUGUAGUAGAAGUCACACUUUGAAGAGUUCACGUUGCAUAGAAAGACGAUGAAAUGCUAUAUGUUGAGUCCAUCAUUGCUCCAUUGGAGACAGAGCUGAAGCUUGCUGCAGGUGGUAUACUUUUGUUCUGCAAUAUGACCCCUUUAAUUUUAUUUUAAGACAGAUAGGGUUGAAAAAAAUUUAUGUAGUAUUUUUGUAUCAGUUUUGAGUGUCUAUUUUGGCUUCCAUAUUUGGUCUGUACAUGUGAGGUAUAGAGUGUUCAAUAUGUAUUUGGUUUCUAUAUUGUUAAUGGAUCUAUUUUUUUUUUAGGUAACCAAGUUGCAGGAUGAAAACAGAACACUUGAUCUACAUGUAAACCUUCAAUUUCCAUAUGAAGUUUGCAUUUUCGUUGUUUCUGGAAUUUGAGUUUUUGCAGGAUGAAAACAGAACACUUGAUCUGCAGGUAAACACUUGAUUGAUUAUUUCCGAGCUUUUCACGACUUUCGAUACCCAAUAGAGAAUAUGGAAACCCCAACCUUAAUUUUAUGAAUUGGUUUUGGUGCCUAAAAUGAAAUCUAGCAUAGUAAAAUCUUGCAUAAUGAAAUUAUGACAAAUUUCCCUUCAUCUUUACAUUUUCAUUUAGUUCAAUUUGUACGCAGUUUAGGGUUAUUCAAUUCAUGAGUGAUCAAAUUAUGUUUUUAAUUCCUUCUUUUGAUUUUCAGUUCAGCAUUAUCGUAUUUUGGAUGCCUUUAGUGGAAUAAAACUUAAUUUUUUUAACUAUGUAUAGUUGUAAACAUAAAAUACUCCAUGAGAUAGACUCAUAGCUUUUAAAAACAAUCUUUGAGGAUGGCAUAACAACAUCUCCAACUUUUGUCAUGUAAUGUAUGAAUGUAAAUAGCACUUUGCAAACAUAUGGAUGUAAUAUAUGUAUUUAAACACCACUCUUUAGCAUAUAUAUUUUUCAAAACUUUCUACAUCUUCAACAAUGUUUGAAGCCCCGCAACAAUGGGCGGGUACACUUGCUAGUAUACAUCUAAAAUUAUAAGACUAAAUCCUUUAGUUCUUGGAUUCAUCUAAGAACUACUUAUUCCAGCAGAUGUUAUGCUUGCACUACUAGAAUUUAUGGCUUGCCCUGUCAACUAUUGCGCGACAGAAGACUUCGUCGGUUUCACCUUUUUUAACCGACAUAAUAUAAGUUUAGUAGGGCAAAAUCAGUCAACAAACUGGGUUGACUGAAUAGAUUUACAGGAUGUCUAGAGUUCGUAGGUUAAGACAUCAGUCGUUGGGCAAACAUUUGGAGCGAAGAUGUGAGUGUUUUAACUGACGAAUAAGCUGGUCGUCAUGUAGAUCUUCUUUCCCGACUGAUGGUUCAACGAGUAGCUCUUUGGAUAACAAUUCAUCUUCAAGGGGAACAGGUUGCCCCUCAAAUGAAUGGUUAGAGGCAAUUGUGAGACUAUAAUUUUCUAGGGCCGGAAUAUCUAUAACCAUCCACCAAAUACCCCUUCUUCCCUUUCUAUUUCUCUCUCAGUAAUUUCCCCUGACCGAAUCACACAAUCCAACCAACUCUCUUUAAGCCUCACUCAUCGAUUCCAUGGAUUUCAUGGACUUAUCCCACCCUCUCUCCUUCCCCCUAUAUAUAGCAAGUCCCCUUGCCUCAGUGUCCCUGGCAACAAAAUUUAUGGCGUGUAUUCGGUCUUUCAAUUAUUUGAAAGCUUCCCUGCCUUGCAGUCUUGUACAAAGGCGUAUGGUGUUUCAUUAGUUCCAUUUGGUGGUUGGGUGGGAAAUGAAAUUAAAACACUGCAUUUCCAAUGGUCUAAACCAAAUUGAAUCAAAUGUGAAGCAAAGGGCAAGAAGUGUAGAUUGAAGAACAAUGGCACCAAGAGCGAAAUUGAACUUGUUGACAGGAGGAAACCAAGUAAGGAUAACGCGUCUAAAUCUUAUUUCGAAUCCAUUCAGCUCAUGAUGUUUUUAAUGAUGAUGAUCGGUAUACUUUGCUACAUGCUGUGAUUUUUCCGCUUUCAUGUAAUUAACGGCUUAUAUUUGUGGUAACGAUAUUGAUUAAUUUUGAGAAAUGACAGUCUAAUUUUUGCAACUGUCUUUUGCAGGCAAAACAAAGACGUUUGCAAGGGUGAGUUAUGUAGGACCAAUGUUUAGCUUUGUUUCAUGUCCAAAUGACACUUGAGAAUAAAUGUUUACUCAUGGAUAAUAUCUAUCUAUUUGCAGGAGCAACCCUGGGUUUAUUUGUUCUUUUACUACUGGUCAUUGCCGCAUAUCACGCCUAUAGCACUGACAAAAGUAAAAAGAAAAUCGAAUGAAAUUUGGUAAGUUUUCAGCGGACUACAAAGAUCUUAAGCCAAGCAUAUAUUCCCAUUCAGAUAUUAAGAGGUUUACAAAUCAAUUCAAGUACAAGUUGGGCCAAGGAGCAUACAUAAUUGUUUUUAAAGGAUAGUUUUUUUCUGAAUGCUUUGUUGCCAUGAAAGUACUUAACAUUUCCAAGGGUGACGGGGAAGAGCUUGUAAAUGAAGUGGGGAACAAUGGGCCAUAUUCACCAUGUCAAUGUGGUUCACUUGGUUGGUUUUUGUGCUGAUGGAUUUAGAUGAGCUCUGGUUUAUGAGUUCUUUUCCUUUGGUUCACUCCAGGAUUAUAUUUCAUCAGUAGAUAGAUUUCUUUCCUUGGUUGGCAUAAGUUGCAAGAUAUUGCUAUCAGCAUAGCCAAAGGAACCAGGGAUGUGAUCUACAAAUCCUCCAUUUCGAUAUCAAACCCCAUAAUGUUUUGCUCGACCAAAAAAUCACGCCAAAAAUCUCUGAUUUUGGUCUGGCCAAGUUAUGUUCCAAGGAUCAAUCAAUGUGACUAAAGCAAGGGGGACCAUGUGACUAAAGUACCCGAAGUGUUUUCCAGGAAUUUCGGAAAUGUGUCUUACAAGGCAGAUGUCUUGAAUGCUGCUGCUUGAGAUGGUAGGAGAAAAGAAGAAUAUUGGUUCAACUAGAGGACACAACAAAUGAAAUCUACUAUCCAAAAUGGAUUUAUAAUCUUCUAGAGGAAGGAAAUGACCAACAGAUCCCUAUUGAGGAAGAAUGUUAUGGUAAGAUUCCAAAGCAACUUGCAAGUUUAGGGCUCUGGUGCAGCCAGUGACACUCGGUGGAUCGGCAGUCCAUGAAAACGGUGGUUCGGAUGUUAGGAGGAGGAGAAAACUUGAUGAUGCAAGCAAUCCUAAAAGCCUCAUACAGUUAGAAGUAAUUGCUGAAUUAGAGUAACAUAUGUAUAUGUAUACGCACCAACACUAGUCGUUCUUAGAUGAAUCCAAGCCAAACAAUUACAGACAACAGUUAUUCACUAAAUCACUUUAAGGCAAGAAUUUAAUUAAUAAUACAUUACUGCACUUUCUUAACCAUUUGACCAUCACCUAGCAGACAAUGAACACGUUAGCUCCGCGUUAGAACAUCUUGGGUUCAAUUCAUUGUCUUGAAUAUCACCCUCUGUCACAGGCGUCUCUAGGGGGCAUAGAGAAGGCCUGAGAGGCAUUUGCAGACAUUCAACAUCACCUCCAAGCAUUUUGACAACUUUGGACAUCGAAGGGCGAUCACUUGGUUUCAUUUGAAUACACCAUAAGGCGGUUAUAACCAUCCUUCUUAUUACUUUCUUUUCCUCCUCUGUAACAUUGUCCGUUUCCAAGUUAUUUCCCACAAUAUACUGAUCGUAUACCCACAUUGGGAAGUAGAUUUGGCUUGAAUGCUCUACCGUUGGAUUCAAAUUCUUCCUUCUGCUUGCCAUCUCCAUCAACAACAUUCCAAAACUAUAGACAUCUGACUUGUAUGAGACACCUCCAAUAUUUUUGUAGAACAACUCAGGAGCAAUAUAUCCCAGUGUACCUCGUGCUGCCGUCAAAGAGACAAUGCUAUUAUCUACAGGAUACAAUUUUGCAAGCCCAAAGUCAGAAACCUUUGCUUUAAAGUUCUCAUCAAGAAGGAUGUUAUGAGGCUUGAUGUCGAAAUGUAGAAUUUGCAUUUCGCAACCUUGGUGUAGAUAUUCGAUCCCUUGAGCCACUCCAAGAGAAAUCUUGUACAUGUUCUUGAUAGUUAAGGGGACACUUCCUUCUUUGGAAUAAAUGUAUUUAUCAAGAGAACCAUUAGGCAUGAAGUCAUAUACUAGAGCGCGUUUUGAUCCCUCAACACAGUAUCCAACAAGUUGCACCACAUUGGCAUGGUGAAUCCUUCCGAUUGUAGCUAUUUCGCUAAUGAAAUCUUGGCCAUCAGCUUUGGGCUUGCCCAAAACUUUGAUUGCUACAAAUCGACCACUGCGUAGCUUUCCCUUAAAUACAGAGCCAAAGCCACCUUCGCCCAACUUGUCCUUAAAUCUGCGAGUCAUUUUCUUGACGUCCGAGUAGGAGUACCUUAUAGGCAUGAAGUUGUUAUUGCAUUGCAGAAAAUCUUCUAUUGUGCUAUACAUUGAUAAAUGUCUUCUGCGCCAUGUGUAGAUUAGAAAUGCAGUCACAACUGGAACUCCAAAAACAAAUCUGGCUGGGAAAAAUAACCCUGCAUGCAUUGACAUUAAUACGUUAGAUCCACUGUGUACUACUUUUUCUUCCCUUUCUUUCCAAAUUACUUUGUCUUUGAUGUAAUUAAAGAGAAAGAAUGGGAAAUCUACAUAUGUUGAUAAUACAAUCUCGUCUUAGUCCUUACCGAUGCAUAUGAGUAUAAACCAUCUACGUGCUGUAACAAAAUCAAUCGACUAUGAGUUUGAAAAGUGCAUAAAGUGAAAAAUAAAUAAAUAAAUAAAAUCAAAGGGUGCCUUUAUUGACACCCAAAUUUUAGUUAGCUUUACUCAACUAAAAAAAUUUUGUCAAACUUUUUAAUUUGCCGUCGAAAUUGAGUUCACCCAACCCACAAAGCAACAACUACCACUCACCAAAAAAACCAACAACACACAUCCACCAGUACCACUCACCAAUAGAAAGAGAAGGAACACACAGACCCACCAAGGAGCCGGCAUCGACGCAUCUACGAGGGAGGGACCGGAGGGUGGUGUAGUUUUGUUGGGCGCGCGGUAGUUGUUUUGUCUGUUCAUUUUCUCUUUCUUUUGGUAGGUGGAGGCUGCUGUGGAUUUGGGCGAACUUAAAAAUGAGGGGAAACUAUGAAGUUUGACAAAAUGUUUUAGUUAGGGGAACUUAACUAAAAUUUGGGUGCCGAUAAAGAUACCCAAUAUAAAAAAUACUUGAGCGUAUAGACUAAUUAAAUGAAGUUGAUCUUACCGAUCGGGUGGCUGUAUGAUGAAUACAACUUGCCAGCUGCAAUAGAUACCACAGAAAAGUGAGCAAAGACAUACAGUUACUAGGUUUAAGAAGUACAGAUAGAGCACACAAAAAUAAAAGAAGCUUUUGGAGAGAAACUUCUUACGCAAAUAUAUGUAUUCAUGACCUACAGUGAAAAUUGUGAAGAAGAAUACACAACAUUAGCAAUAGCUCACCCAGUCUUCAGAAUUUAAAAAAAUCAAGUUUGUCGAUCGAAAACUUGUAAAUAAAACAAAAAGAGGACCCCUUACUGAUUUGUUGCCAUAGAUAUUGAAAGAAACCUACAAGAACAAAGAAAGAACAAGACCACAUGCAUUAGCAUAACAAGUGUGAGGUGUAUAAGUCGUUAGAAAAUAAAUUUAGAAUUCUAGUGCUGUCAAUACAUUGAUAAUAUAAUAUAUAUGUGUUAUUUUUUCUGAAAAUUUAACUUUCCCCCUCCAAACUCAUUUUUCUAGCCUCUAGCCCAUCAUAUAAUAUUUAUCCGAAUAAAACCCAAUGAUUAGGAUCCAACUAAGAAACUUACCAAAUUAAGUUUGUGUGUCCAUUUUUAUAUUUUUUGGAUCGCUAAUAUACCCCAUCUAAGCCAGUAUGGAAAGUUCUUGUAAUUUUGUUUUAAUUGAUCACGUGCAUUGAAUUUGGCAAGGUCUUGUAGCCAUGAAAAAUGGUUCUAGAUGGAGGAAUUAAUUGGGAUUUUUUUUUUAAUUUUGACAACAAAUUUCAAUUUGAAUAUACCUAAUUUAGUGUUUAUUUUCAACAAUAUCUAUUGUUUAAUUUUAUGAAAAUAAUUUACCUACUAUGAAAAUUAAUUUUAUGAAAACAAUAUCUAUUGUUUAAUUUUAUACCUAUAGGAUAAUUACAUGAAAAUAGUUUACCUACUAUGAAAAUUAAUUUUUUCAAAACAAUAUCUAUUGUUUAAUUUUAUGAAAAUAAUUUACCUACUGUAUAAUUACAUGAAAACUAAUGUGCCUAUUUUUUAAAUUUGUUACAAAAUUAAUUUACCUACUCUUUAUGGUAUUAGUAAUAUAUGUCCGUACGUAUUUGAUCUAAUUAGGUUUUGGAUUGGAGGAGUUGACACAAAAUUAUAAAUAUAUUAAACAAAUUUAUCUAUCCUUAAGUUGGAGGGGAAUUGGCCUGCACAUUGCUACGGUAAACAAAUGCCACUCGAUUUCACGUUAUUUACAACAAAGCUAUCAGAUUUGGGUUGGGUUGGAGGGUAAUUUUGUGCAUAGGGUUUAGGUGCCCUCCUAUAUAUGACCCUUGAUUUUACUUUAUUUACACCACUGCCAUCAAAUAUGUGGCUGAAUUGGAGGGUAUUAUUAAAAGUUAGGAGGAUAGUUUUGUCCAAGGGGUGGGGGCGACAUUCGCAGACAGGGGGCGAUGGGAGCCAUGCCCAUUGCACAGAAACAAAGGGAGUGAUGGGGGAAAUUACAGACAGAAAAGGAAGGGAUGGGGGGAUUUGAUGGGUGGUCACAGAGAGAUUGGGUGAGGGAUGUGAGGGGACAUUACAGAGAGAUAAAUAAAAGGGAGGGAUCGGGUGAUUUGAGGGAUGGUCAGAGAGAGAAAUAGUGAGGGGGAUGUGGGGCUGAUUUUCGGUUCCUCCUUCCAGAUUUGUUCCGUAAAACCUGUUGGGUACAAUUCAAUCCCUCCCCCUUUCCCCUGAACGAAAAAUUCGAAACCUACAACUCAAAACUCACUCAUUUGUCGCCCCUCCUUGGCUUUCCGCUUUAUUCAUCUCCCGGUGUUUCUUUCUCUCCAUACGAUUCGAUUUCGGUGAGUUCUUCGUUGCCCUCAUGAUUUCCCAGUUUGAUUUUUUGAGCGUCCUUAGUCGUUGUUUUUAUCUGGGUUUACUGCGUUGUUGCUUUUAGUUUCUGGAUUUUUAUUUUUUCCGCGGUUGGAUGAAUCGUGGUUAAUAAUUUCACACCAUGGGAUUUUCGCACUUCUGAUGGAAUUGAGCGCGGGGAUUCGGGGUGGGGUUUUACUGAUAAUUUGUCUUCAUUCAAAUGAAUGGUUAAAAUUUCUGAAGUGAGUGUGCAGGUGGGCCCGUUCACUAACUAAGCUUUCAAGGGAACCCAUCAACGGUUUGUUUGCUGGGGGAAUUCGGAGACUACCAGUGUAUGAUUUAGUUAUCAUUUAUUUUUUUACUUAAUUUUAUCCAUAUAUAAUAUGUGGGUAAAUUUAUACUAAACAAUUGUGAUAAGCCAAUAUGCCAUACGACUUUGAAAGCAUUGAUUUUGUGUUUAGUUUGCAUUUUUGCAUUGUGAAUGUUGAAUUUUGUAUUUAAUUUGGAUUUUGUGUUUGAAUUUGUAGCAUGAUCUUCCGCUGCAGCAUCCAAAUUUUGCAUUUGUAAAUUGUCAAAGAAAAACGAAGUAUGAGGAAAUUAUAGGAGAUUGUGUCGGCUUUGGCCAUGAAGGGUAUCAGCAGCUUGUUCCCCCAUACAGGUGAUUAAUCGUUUUUCAGUCUCUGUUCUAUUUGGAUGAGAAAGUGAUUGAAAAAUAUGAUUUUUUAUUUGUUGGUUGAUUUUGUAUGGACGAUGUAUUAAUUUUAUUUUUUUUGGGAUUUUGUGUAUUGGGUAUUGUGUAGAACCAGCAAUGCAAGAGCAGGAUCUGAUCAGUCACGCCCGAAAAGGGGUUUGUUUCUCAAAUCACAUUAAUUAAUUAGAUUAUUAACGUGCGUUGGAAGGCUCUUCAAUAUGAUUUCUAAUUUCUCCUUUCCAGCAUUCUCUUUUUGGUUUUUGGAGUAUGUAUGUGAUUUGUAUUUUUUUAUAGAAUAAAAAUUAAUAAAACACGAGAUGCAGCAAUUAAUUUGCAUCCUUAUGACAACACAUAUGAAAGUGCAUUCAAUUUCAAUGUGCGAAUGUGUGACAGGAUGUGCCUGCCUCCUUGAAAACACUUUAUGUGAACAAGUGUGAGGUUCUACAUAAAAACAGGGCCAGUAAUACCCUGAACGUGGAAUCCUUACGAGGAUCUCUUGAAAAACUGACAAUAAAUGGAUGCCCGGGUCUCUCAUUGUUACUAGAGUCGACGGAGACGCUGCCGUCGCUUCAGAAGCUUGAUAUUGAUAGUGUUGGUGGGAAAGAGUUGUUGGCGCAAAUGGUGCACAACAGCAAUCGUCUUCAAAGUUUGACUUUAUAUAAAUGUUACUCACCCUUGUCGUUCCCUACAAAUGGUCUGCCCACCACGCUGACGUCACUGAGCAUAACAGAUUGCAAGAAAUUAGAAUUCCUAUCACGUGAGAUGAUGGCCAAAUUGACUUCCCUUCGGUCUUUGCGUCUAUCCAACAGCUGUGAACGCAAAGGCUUGAGUAUUUGCAGUUUAGUUUUUUUUUUCUUCAUUUUAGAGAUUUUUCUACUGUUUGGUUUUUGGGUUUUGUCUAAUUUUUGUGGUCUGCUUUAUAGAUUGUUCUCUUUGGAAGCUUCUUUCCAGCCUUGACCUUCUUCUUGCCUGGUGCCUUCUCAUUGAGUAUUGGAGGAGCAUUAAAACACAGGUGUGUGUGUGUUUUGUCGACGUAAGAGAUGAACGACAUAAAAACAUCCAUCUCUGUAUUUUUUUGUGCUUUUUCUAACCCAUCAAUUUCUUUUGAGUCAACCAAAUAGUCCCAAAUUGCAACUUAUGUUGUGAGGUAUUAUUGUCUAAAAUUAAGUAUGCAUGUAUAUUUUAUGUUUAUGCCCGCGCACACCUCCGCAUGGUGUUAAUCUCUGUGGGUCAUCUAUGUAUAUGUAGAUAUAUCUAUAUGUGUAUGUGUGGAAUGCAACAUAUCGGAUUUAGGUUAUACUGUGCAUAGUUUUAUUGCCUGUUAUUAUCUACGAUAUCACUAUGCCAUUUCUAUACUGGCUCUGAAAGUUAUUCAUGAGCUUAUAAGCACUUACCAUAAUUUAAGCAGUCUGUUUUGGGUUCUUUUUCAUUAGGUCAUUAGCUACAGAUUAAUGGAGAAACGAGGACCAUGCCACUGAUUUGGGUUCUUUUUCUAAUUUUCUGAUUUUGGGGUUUUGCAGGGAGUACUGAUGUACUGAUUUUCUGGGAUUUUUUUUUGUCCUUGCAGGAUUUUUGGUCUUUGAAAUGGGUAUGUGUUGUUUUUAAUGUUUCAGUUCUAGCGUGUUCCGUUCUUCGUUGCUUCGUGAUUCUCAUUUUUCAGUGUUGGGUGAUGGAAAUUUGUUAAAGUAGUUGGUAGUUUUUUGAGAAAGUUGGCAUUUUUAGUUAUAUUUUCUGUUUAAUCCUAAAUGUAAGACUGGAAAAUCAUUGAAAUGAUGGUUUUUUAAAAACUCAUAAUUUUUUUGUUCUGGGAUUUAAAAGCAUCUUUUCCAGAUUGGUUACAAGGGUUAUGUUCUCUUCAAUUGGUUCACCUAAUUUUGAUUAGUUUUAAGUUUUGUCCUUUUAAGUUUGUCUUUUAAGUUUUGUUCUUUAAGUUUUGUCUUUUAAGUUUUGUUCUCUAAGUUUUGUCUUUUAAGUUUUGUCUUCUGUGCUGUAAUGAGAGAUUUCUGUUGGCUUUUCGGAUUUUGGCAUGGGAAAGUUCACUUAUUUGUCUAAUUAGAUUGUGUAUGCCUUCGAUUCUUUAUUUAAUUGUUCUGUUUGCGUUCGGGUGUGAUGAUCUAAAUUUCAUAUGUUUGGAAUUAUUUACUUAACACCAAUUUGUUACAUUCAGAUCUCCACCCCACAUUUCACUAGUUGAAAUUCCAUAGAAGUCGGUUACUGCAGAUUGCGUCUACAAUUAGAUCAGAGAUCAACUGCUCUUUUGUUAUCCUGCAGAAGAUUGCUUUUGGGAAGGAUCUGAAGUAGUUUCUCUCUGUAUGUUUAUUCCCAUGUAGCUCUGUCUUUUCUAAUUGUGUUGAUAUUACACUGUAAUUCAUGAUGAUGAUUUAAUUGUUUAUUGAUUUGUAAUUGAUUGUGAAUAAUGUGGCAUAUAUGAAUUGCAAUCUGUGUUUGUAUGAAAGGGAUGGCAUAUUAUGUUGCUGACUUAAUUGUUUAUGUUUUUCAUAUUUGCAAAUGGUGUUAUGAUCAAUUAGGUGAUUGCUGACCUGUGACUUUGUUUGGAGCUCAAAUUUUGUGAGCAUUACAUUGGAUUGUUUUGAUGUUGUUUUGGUUAACAAUGCAGCGAUAGGAGAAACAAAGAGGAUGACACUUAUAACUGCCCUUCCCCAUCGGCCGUCUUCAAAUUUGGAUCACAAGAAGGGAGCAACAUAGGUGUUUUCCUUCUUCAUUUAGAUAUGGUUAGUGUAAAUAAUUGGACAAAAGAGCCAAACAAACCCUGUUCUCUCAAAUGGAGUCGAUGAUGUGGUCGACGGCCACCAGCCCCAACUCAAGAGUUUGGCCUUCAUAUAAUUGGAUUGUAGUAUAAUUUUAUUUUGGUUCAUUUCUUUUUUCCUUUAUAUAAGUGCAGGUGUUGUGAUGUUUUGAAUAAAGGGUGAUGAAAGGUGGUUCACACACUUCCUCCUUACUUAAAGCAAGUGGAGAUGACGGUUUGUAUAAAAAGAAAAACUUGCCACGUACUUCAAUUUUCUAUUUUAUUAAUUAUUGUUUGGUUUUCCAAAUGUUGUAUUCACUAAGAGACCAAUUAUGUCUUUGAGAAACAAGUUUCUUUGUCUACAUUGCGAGAAUUUGCAGUUUGCAACUUUCAUUGGUUAUUAUAUUUGAUUGAGUUAAACUUGGAUUUCUGGAUUUUGACUUUUUCGUUUGUUUCUUUGUUGCAGAGUUGGCUUCAUUUCAUUCCAGGAACUGUCUAAAUAGGGCCAAGAACUCACUAAUAGGUAGUCAAGAAGAAUUCAGUGUUGCCUUCAAUUUUUGCCUUCUGUUUACAUUCUUCCUGGAUGCACUCUCACCGCUUCUCUCGCUUACCACUUUUGUCUCACUCACCGCUUCAUCUCUUCUGUUGCUUACAAGGUCGUGUCAUAUAUUUUUUUAAUUUUGUGUGGUUUAAUUUAUUGAAUAUUUGAAAAAAGAGAUAAAAUUUUCAAUUUACAAUUACUGAUAUGAUGUUUGUUUUGAAAAUCAUUAAGGUGAAUGGAGAGAUUUACAACCAUGAAGAGCUGAGGAGCCGUUUGCCAAAUCAGAUUUAUAGGGCUUCAUCAAUUAUAAAUAAACGACUUUUCAUUCCCAAUGACCUUUAUCGUUUUUCUUAAUGGGUUAGCUGAACAUGAGGUAGAUGCUGACUUUAUCAAAUAUGAGAAUGUUUUAGGAUUUCAUUCUAAUUUUUUGGCUGUUUGAUUACUUUGCUUUUCGUAAUUUGAUUUGCUUAUCGUCAAUUGGAUGGGAUAAAACAUAUUUUUGUAACCAGUUUGUACUUUUUUUUUCUUUUUUUUGUGGAAACUAACCAGUUUGUACUUUUACCAAUUACCAUAUCGGUUUUGAUGGAAUUGGAGCUUUCAGUAAUGGGUUCUGAGGGAAUUGGAGUUCUGAGUAAUGGGUUUUUUUUAACAACUAUAGUAUCAUUUGUGAUUCAUUUAUUUAUAAGAUAUUAUAUAGGAAACUGUUUUUAGCACUCUAAAAAUCUUAUUCUACACUCUCGACAAAUGUAUUUUUCUUUCUAAUUAUGAAAAGUUUGGAGGGCAAAAUGAGAAUUGUGGAGUGCCAAUAACAAUUCCCUAUUAUAUAUAGCUCUACUAGGAAGGCGACUGUAUGUCUUCAUCCUGUUAAAUUGUAUAUGGCUCUUGAUGUCGGCUGAAUUAAAUCAAAAUGAAAACCAAGCUGCUGAUCUUACCAGCCCAUAUCACUUAUCACUUGCUUAUUUAAAUUAUUUGAAGAUGCGUAUGUGGAUUGGUGAUUUUGUUGGAUUCACUUGGCUCAAAUAUAUGUUAUCUGAGUCGCUACAUUUGAGAAUGUGAUUUUGUUCCUACCACCAUUUUGCCCACUUUUUGUGGAAAUUAUUUCUGCUUGUUGUGAAUGAUACAUUCAUCCCCGGCAGCAAAGUGCGAAGUGCGGGCGCAUUUUCUAGUUUAAGUAAAUCACACAAUGGGUCAUCAAUAAUAACAAACUUGUCAUUUAUGAGAGUCAAACAUGAGGCCACCUACCUACUAGUUUAGUGGAAUACCACAAGUGACAUGUUGAUACCUUUAAAUCUCAUAUAAUGGAUUGCAGAAUUAGGAUAUUCCUAGACUAAUUUAGUUAGUGCGUGAACCCGAACAAUUAACAAGGGUUUUAUUCUUGCUUGAAUGUUUGUUAUAUGUUCCUAGUUUGACAAGGCAAUUAUAUUUCCGACUACAAGUUAUUAAUUUAGUCGAGAAUUGACGCACCUGAAAUGGUGUGAGGAAAACAUGUAUCCACAUGAGCCGCAGUCCACUGUCCUUGGCAUCUAUCUUUAAAAGGCUCGAAAUGAAGCUCAAAGCCAUACAUGAGGGCAUUGUGUAUGUCUUUAUAAGAGAAGUUGCGGUAGUCCUCAACGUAGCCGGCAGCCAAACUCAUCCACUCUACACUGCAACCAUCAUCCAAUUCCCAUACCUCCCUGAACCUGUCCCCAACAUAUUCCCCGACCAUGACAUAGCUAUUCGUUUUUGGUUGACUCGAAGAAGAAGAAGAAGAAGAAGUAUUAUUCAAGCAUGGAGCAGUGUCCACGUACAGAGAAGAAUUCGAUGGAUUCGAACACUUCAAGUAAUAUAUAGAUAGAGAAUUAAUGUCAUAGGCGGGCCAAUAUAGAGAAUUGAUGUCCUCGGUGGUGGGCGGAAUAUUUUGAGACAUGGAAGAGCAAUUGUUGUUGUCAAGCCCAGGAUCUCGAAGUCGGAUUGUUUUGUUAUUAUAGUUGAUUGCCUGGACAUGGUACUUUCCGAAAGAAGGUAGGUCUAGUACUGUAAUGUUGCUCUCACAGGACAGAGUAUACGAUAUGUUGCCACAGUACUUUGGAUCAUCGUUAAGUCGAAAAGGAUGGCUUAUGUUGUGGAUAUGGCCGCAGGAUGAAGUGCAGGACUUGGCACUACUGUUGUCAGCGUUACAAGUUUCACUGCAAAAGCAAAGAAGAAGAAAGGCUAAACUUAAGGUGAAGGACCUGGUUCCACUAAUUUCCAUUGCUCUGAGAGAGAGAGAGAGAGAGAGAGAGAGAGAGAGGGUACCAUAGCUUAAACACCAAGGAGUUAUAUAAUAUGGGAGGGGUUAAAGCACCUCGCUUACAGUUGCAGUAAGCCCGUCAAAUAUCCUAGGGAAAAGUCGGUCAAUGGUGUCCUAUAGAGAAAAGUCGGCCUUGGUGUUUGACACGGUCACUCAACUCUCUCUCUCUCUCACAUUGACGAGGGACACUGUAAUUGAAAAAAAAAAAUGUUCUUCAGAGAUAGAUCUUGAAAUUCUUAUUUUAUAUAAAAAAAACACCUAAUAUUAAAUUAUUAAUCAUUCAAAUGAAAUUCUUAAAAUUAAGUAUAAAUAAUACAUAACGAAAACUGAGCACAUACAAUCAACGGUCACGAUCGUGAAAUCCUCCGGAUCCUCAGAAAAAAAUCCGACGAUGAUCUUUUUCUGUGUAAAAUAAUUUGAGGGUAUAAUACUGGAUGUGGAGCCAAAAAUAUUCGCUAGGCGACACGUGGACUUUUGGACAAAAGAGGACAAAAAUACCCUCGAAGCAUACAAGGAUUCCUACGCGCGAGCAGUGGGCAAUCAUCUUUCAAUCAAGUCAAAAGUGCCCAAAAAAGGUAACAAUUAAAAACCUCUCUCAUCAAAUCCUUUCUAUAAGGUAUUUCCCAAAACCUAGUAUUUUCUAUUUCAUUAUUUAGCUAAUCAAUUAGCUAAAUAAUAUAAACCUACCAUAUCUCCUAAAAUCACCCAAUUAAUAGCCCAAAACCGGCCCCCACUAUUCACAUCCUCAUCUUUCCCAUUUUCCUUAUUAAAAUAAUCAUUCAUUUUUAUAAACCACCCAUUUUAUUAUUUUCAUAUUUAAUUAGCCAAUAAAUUGGCAAAUUAAACAUGAAAUUAACCCCCACAAAAACCCUAUGGCUGGCUACUAUUAUUCAAAAUAGGGCAAACCCUAACUCUAUAAAUAAACACAUAUUCUCACCAAAAAUUCAUUCCAACUCUCUCACAAAAAAUCACAAAUACUCUAAACACUAUUUCUCUCUAAAAUUCUAACUUUGGCAUCAGAGGUUCUUCGGCCAAAGCCCCCCCCAUUCAUCGUGGGCGCGUGAGGCUCUUGGCCUUAACCUAAGGUGCUAGUUGUUUUGUAGGUGCAAAAUCGUCCAAGAUCGAAGAGGAGAAAAUUUGCAUCCACAAAUUGGUGCUUUCAUUGAGAGUUGAAAUCCAUACUCGUAGAAGACUCUCGCACAAAAAGGUUUUUUCUUUUAUUUUCUAGUCCAUUUGAAUAUUUUUCAUACGUUCUUAUUAUUAGAAUUUUUUUACUUGCAAAGGUUCUUUGAUAAAACGUAUAAGCAAAAUAUAAUGGCUAGAAAUUUAGAAAAUUCCACAAGUGAAAAUUCUAAUGUUCAAGAAAUGGGAUUGCGGAGAUCCGUGAGGCUAAAUGCGACAAUAAGGGGAGCGGCAUCAUCAUCACGAGCUUCCACCAUGGGAACCACCAUGGUGGCUACCUCGGUAGCCACCCGCGGCGAGGUCCAUGGUGCCUUCACCACGGCCACCAUGGGAACCACCGCGGUGGCUACUUUGGUAGCCACUCGUGGCGAGGUCCAUGGAGCCUUCACCACGGCCCGGAGAUCCGUGAGGCAAAAUGCGACAAUAAGGGGAGCGGCAUCAUCACCACAAGCUUCUACCAUGGGAACCACCGUGGUGGCUACCUCGGUAGCCACCCGCGGCGAGGUCCAUGGUGCUUUCACCACGGACACCAUGGGAACCACCGCGGUGGCUACUUCGGUAGCCACUCGUGGCGAGGUCCAUGGAGCCUUCACCACGGCCCGAGCCGUGCCAUCCAAGGCUCACGGUACCAAGACCACGAUCCAAGCCGUGCCAUCCAAGUUUACGUGGACCCAAGCCCAAGCCUCGCAUUCACAUGCACCGCGCAUUGAGCAGCCUGUUCCCGUGAUCCAGCCUGUUCCCGUCAAGCAACCCACUCUCACGGCCCAACCUGCUCAUGCCGAGCAGCCUGCUCUCGUGACACAGCCUGCUCCCGACGAGCAGCCCACUCCCGUGGCCCAGCCUACUUUCGUCGAGCAGCCCACUCCGGUGGCCCAGCCUGCUCCUGCUAAACAGCCCACUCCUGUGGCCCAGCCUCCUCUUGCUAAGCAGCCUGCUUUCGUCGAGCAGCCCACUCCGGUGGCCCAGCCUGCUCCUGCCAAGCAGCCCACUCCGGUGGCCCAGCCUGCUCCUGCCAAGCAGCCUACUCUCGUGACCCAGCCUGCUUCCGACGAGCAACCCACUCCCGUGGUCCAGCCUGCUUCUUUCGAGCAGCCCACUCUCACGGCCCAGCCUACUCCUGUGGCUUUCCAAGCAGCCCAAGUCGGCCCAAGACUAUCUCCCGGACCUACCAUCGAGCCGAGGGCAUUCUCACCACAUUUUUUCACGGAUUUGACAUUUCCCAACUCAAAUCUCGCGCCCGGAGUCUACCACAUUUCCACUGCCCAAGGAGGCGCAUUCCUUCCAAGCUCUUCCAAUCCAAAUGGCGAACAACACUUGUCUCGACAAGUCAUAGAGUUGACGAGCGCCCUUGCACAACAGAAAACCUUGGUGAAUCAACUUUUGCAACGUAUCGGGAUCCAACGUGCCCCGGACGAGGUAUCCCGAAGUAGGACAAGGGCAAACGAACAUUUCCAGCAGCCACUCGACCAGCCACGAGCCGAACGUUUGGGCAGUGUACAUUCCCGUCUUAGAGCGCGAGGGAGCAUGCACUCUCGACUAGGCCCACGGAUGAGCAUACAUUCACGGUUGGGGUCAUACUCCGAUAGUCAACAUGAGCAACCUUCCGGGCAAAGUGUCUAUUCGCAGCUAAGCCCACAAGGAGCGUCAUCCACCUCACAUCAGAGUAGGCAGCACGACGGACGGAGAGAAGCAGUCACUCAAUCCAGCUCAAGUUCAACCAGCAGCCUGCGAAGAACUCGCUCGCCUACUAGGAACGCACCACAUGCACUGCAUUCGCGGCAUAGACGAGCCAAACACAUGGAAGAGCAGCUUAGACCAGCAAGUCAUGACUGGAGGCAGCCAAGAGCUCCGCUACCCCAACAAAGGCAAAUUCAGGAAGAAGUAGAGAGACUCUUGACCAAGCGAUUGCAUGAUUUCCAACGCAACGAGGUCACCGACGAGGCACUACGACGGAACAUGACCAACAUAAGCAAGCAGGUCACCCUUCACGGACGAGAUCGAGCAGGCAGAGCCUCCACGAGAGUUCAGCAUGCCACAUUUCACAUCUUUCAAAGGGGAUGAAGACCCGGAGAGACACUUAAAGCGCUACCGAAGCGCAAUGAUCCUUUAUCGAAACAACGAUGAGCUUAUGUGCAAGAUAUUCGCCACCACUCUACAAGGCGAGGCGCAAGAUUGGUUCUACACCCUGCCGUCACAAUCCAUCCGGAAUUUCUACGAACUUUCUUUGGUUUUCACCAAAGAAUAUUCAUCCUAUCGCUCGAUCAAAAAGAAAUCUGAUCAUUUGUUCAACGUCAAGAAGAACCCAAAGGAGUCAAUUCGCGACUAUGUGAGGAGGUUCAAAGUAGAGAAGGCAAAAAAUAGUCGGAUGCAACGACUCGAUAGCUAGAGCAGCCUUCCAAAAAGGACUUCCAGCAGACCACCCGCUAUUUGGAAAAUUGAUCAUGAAAGAAGAUCUAACUCUGGCAGACUCUUUUGCUUUGGCAGAGAAGUAUGCACUUUGGGAUGAGGCUCGCCAAUGCACAUUCAAGGACUUGAAGAAGUACCCGACAUCACCUCCCUAGAAGCAGCGGAGGACUUAUUCACAUGUUUGACGAUAUCUAAAGUAGCAAUAAGCUCUACCAUCAUGCGAGAAGAGAUGGGGGCCCGACUACCUGUAUUCCACAGUUACCUGUAUUCUACAGUUCAAAAGCUCUCCUCGAUGUUAUUAAAAAUUCAAAAGCUAACUUUGGUGAUAGUUGUUGCAACCCAGAAGCACAAGUUUUACUUUCAAACGCAUGCAAUCAUCCUAAUGACGUACUAUUCUGCCCAAUCCAGACGCGCGACGAUAAAGGUGUAGACCAUGGCGGAUGUAAAGUUUUCUGACGAACGCAACACUAGAAGGACACACUCGAAAGCAAGUUUUGUCCUCGUCACCCUAAAAGAUUCUACAUAGGAGCAACAUGUACCGGCAGUUGAGUACCAUUUCUUGCUGCGCAUCACACGGCCCUAGCCGACCCUUGCUCAAUGAUUCAACUCUAGAGUGGCCCAAUACCGGCAGUUGAGCAUCUCCUGUUGCGUAUGACAUGGCCCCAUCUCCACAGCUCCCUACUGCGUCUUCACGCCGAGCCUAAGUGACGUAACAGAGCAGCCCAACGAUGCCUCAGAAGUAGCCGAGCACACUCUAGCUGCGCCUACUCCACCCGAUGGAGACUUUUGGCAUUUGCAUGUCGACGACGCAGAAAAGCCUUCAUCACUGCCGGCAGAGAAGGCUCCAAAAAGAUGGAUCCCAUCUGGGAAGGUCCGUACAAGAUCAGCAGAGUAGGGGGCAAGAGUAAUUACACCCUCACCACCAUGAAGCAGCAAAAAUAUUGAAAAGAAAUGGAUGGCCUACAAUCUGAAGAAGUACCAUGUGUGACCUCCCGCUACAUCAAAACCCGAAGACUCAAUAAGCUCGACGGGCACCACCUCACAAGCUGGGGACUAUCCAGUUGUUAUGCAGUUCCUACCUUACAGCUAAAGUUCUCGUUCGUUUCACUCGUUUUUCAAUGAGGAAUUUAGAAGUAAUCACAACUUGGCUUGGUUGCAUGCUUACAACAACUAAUCACUCCUGCACUUCAAAAGAAGAUUGCGCCCUUCUUAGGGACUCAUCGCAGGAAUUGCGCCCCCCGAGGGACCAACCAUGCUCUCCAGUGCGAGAGGGUAAACCAAUUCUCCGACACCCAUAUGGGUCAGCUCUCCAAGACGGGAGGAUAAACUUUACACUCCGAAUAUCCAGACGUGGAUGAGCCUGGCUGCCCUAGUAUAACUAGAUGCACGAUGGCUUGCGCCGGGAUUCCUAGAAGUAGCCGCAAUGGUCUUUUUCAAGGCUUAGCUAACUGAAGGAUUUUGGGUCUCUUGGCCUAAUCCGUGGGGAACCGGGCCCUAGAGACGGAGAGGGCACAUUACGCAGUACAUCCGAUGGACGGCUGCCCUGGAAUCCUAAAGCUGCUACCGAGUGCACUAAGGUAGCCUACGGAUUCCGGAAGACUGCCUACGGCUUGCCCUUCGAGCAGUGAAGCCGCACUAGACUUAUACAACCGCACAUUCUUGUGAAAGGUUAAACAAGCUAGCGCGCAUAUACGAAGUUUUAUCCACUGCCGACAUGCUAUGUAGUUGAUAAGCUUCACCUCUGCCAAGCGCGGAACAACCUACACCAAGUCCUAAAGUGUUGUGAUACUUGCUACGCAACCUACGGAAUUGAAAAAAGUCAAGGUUAACAGCCGAGUGGUUACGCGGACUUGUCUACUUCUGUAAGUAAGGCAUCCGGCUGCCAACCCUAUGGCUAACAACUUUGCAAAGUUCUACACCAACACCUACGGCUGCAUAGGCUACGCGAGUUUGUCUGCUUAUAAAAAAGUAGCAUGCCUGCCACUGGUCUAUCAAGUCUAAAGGUUAGGGCAUGAACAAAAGAAGUGAAGAUGAAGAAAAACGAAGGAAAACAUGUUUAUAAACAACUAGCAAAGGCCGAAUGAGUUCAAGCAAAACAAGAGCUACAAGGAAAAACAAAGAAAAUCCUAAAGGCUACCUAAAAUACUACACUACAGCAGCUUGGACAUCCCACGACUACUCGAUCGCCACACCUUCAACAGCCGUAACGCUCUUAGCAGCGGCAUCAUCCGGCGCUUCACCCCCCGGCUGCCCUAGUCUGGGCACUAACUUCUCCAACUACUUCACCAAUGGAAGCCUUAAAAGUAAAAGCAAACAAGUCUUCCGGAGAAAUAGAGAAGGUCUUAAAACCUCAAGCCCAUCCUUCUCACCCUUCAGCUGCUCAUUCUUCUUAAGCAGACUAACACGGACGCGCUACAGCUCAUCCACUCUCUUCUUAGCAUAAGUAGCGAAACGAAGCUCAGAAAUUGCAAGCUUAAGAUCUUGAAUCUGAGGCGAAUCAAUCUCAGCAGCAAAGGGAGCAGGCUUUGGCGCCACUUUAGCAGCAGAGUCCACCUUACCACUCUUCAUAAUAGCAAGUCUCUAAAAAGGUGAACCGGACUUGGCUCCCAAAGAACGUCCUGGUACAAACUUCGGCACUGGGGGCAUGAUAAAACCUUUACGCUGAGUAAUCUUAUCCACAAUUGUACUAGCCAUUCUCAACAUGGAAGACGCCACAUGCUCAGAUCUAGCAGCCUUACAUUUCUUCCCAUUGGAAGAAGUCAUGUCAAUCACAUACCUCUCGGUAGCAAGUGGACCAUCAUGAGCAGCAGAAGAAGUCUUCAAUUUUUUCUUAACUGGCAUCUCAUGAGCAGGUGGGGAAGAUCUCUUCUUUCCAUCUUCAUUCAUAGUAAGCUCCACGAUAGCGAUCAGAUGAGCCAAUGCAUCCGCCUUGAUCCUCUUUACCUCCUCUUUCCGGAGCAGCCCACAUUUCUUUCAGCAAAUAGGACUAAGCAGCCAACGACAUUCAUGGUACUCAGCAGGGGAGCUCAACCCAGUAUUCCAGCAGGCAGGAGGCCUGCAUGCCCAACAUUCCAGCAGCCCGUGAGACCCGCAAUCUCCUUAUUUCUCUCAAUCGCAAGCCUGGCCUGAGUCAAGUCCAAUAGCCCAAAGGACAUGAGUCAUGCGAUUCGCCUAACACUGCGCCUCAGCGCCACAAUCCUCGACCCCAGCUGCACAAGCUGCCCUUGGUUCUAGCCAAGUCAAGCAGCUUAAAACAGUGGUCCCUACCACAAUACCUCAUCGGCCCAUGUCGAGCCGACUCCUGGCCUAUGCCAGCCGACGUGCCGCACCACCCCGAUGGCUGCCCUGCAAUAGCACUAUCCAAGAAGAAGGCAAGAAAAAUUAAAUUUUUCUUACAUCGGUGCGGCACGAAAAAGACGAAGAAAUCAACGAAAGACGGUCUUUUGCACAGGCAAGACGUAGAAGAUUGCUAGAGGAGAGGGAACAAAUAUCCUCUAACUUUCUCUCUCUUGUUGGGUAGAAUAAAUCGCUCUCCAAAGUUGAUUUAAUAACCCACUUAAGGUGGACUUAAAUAGGCUUUGAGAGAAAUUUAUUUCCCUUUCCUAGAAGGAUCUAAUUUCCAUUUAAAGAGAGAAUCAACAACAAAAUAGGAAUCAAUUUAGAGUUGCCUAAAGCGAGAAAAUCUCUACACCUGUUGCCCUUUUCUGCAAGCAGCCCAACAGGUGUGGGGGCAUUUGUGGAGCCAAAAAUAUUCGCUAGGCGACACGUGGACUUUUGGACAAAAGAGGACAAAAAUACCCUCGAAGCAUACAAGGAUUCCUACGCGCGAGCAGUGGGCAAUCAUCUUUCAAUCAAGUCAAAAGUGCCCAAAAAAGGUAACAAUUAAAAACCUCUCUCAUCAAAUCCUUUCUAUAAGGUAUUUCCCAAAACCUAGUAUUUUCUAUUUCAUUAUUUAGCUAAUCAAUUAGCUAAAUAAUAUAAACCUACCAUAUCUCCUAAAAUCACCCAAUUAAUAGCCCAAAACCGGCCCCCACUAUUCACAUCCUCAUCUUUCCCAUUUUCCUUAUUAAAAUAAUCAUUCAUUUUUAUAACCACCCAUUUAUUAUUUUCAUAUUUAAUUAGCCAAUAAAUUGGCAAAUUAAACAUGAAAUUAACCCCCACAAAAACCCUAUGGCUGGCUACUAUUAUUCAAAAUAGGGCAAACCCUAACUCUAUAACUAAACACAUAUUCUCACCAAAAAUUCAUUCCAACUCUCUCACAAAAAAUCACAAAUACUCUAAACACUAUUUCUCUCUAAAAUUCUAACUUUGGCAUCGGAGGUUCUUCAGCCAAAGCCCCCCAUUCAUCGUGGACGCGUGAGGCUCUUGGCCUUAACCUAGGUGCUAGUUGUUUUGUAGGUGCAAAAUCGUCCAAGAUCGAAGAGGAGAAAAUUUGCAUCCACAAUGGAUGUGCGAUUAAACCGAAGAACCCACCACCUCCAUCUUCUCCGACCAACUUGAACCCAGCCACUACUACAUGUCAUCCCGACAACCCACUCUCAGCUUCCCAAACCGCCAUUUUUCACCCACUCACUUACCUCUCUCUCUCUCUCUCUCUCUCUCUCUCUCUCUCUCUCUCUCUCUUACCCAAGCCACUGCCAUUAUUCAUUCAAUCAACCCAAAACACGAGAGCCACCCCAUCUCACCACUCGAACAGAUGCAGCCACCCACCCAUUUAAUCCCAGUCCAAAAUCAAACCCUCUCCUAAACCCACCCCAGAAUCCAAUAAUUUCAAAAAAUGGCUGAUUAUAUCAUUUCAAGAACCUCACAAUUCCAAAAACUAAAAACCCACUUCAAAGAUGUAAUAUUUUUCUCUCUUCCUCUUUUUGGGUUUUUUUUUUUUAUCAAUUCUCUUCUGGGUUUUUGUUUACAGUGUAAAAUCAACACUAAUUUACUAAUUUUGCUUUGAUUUUUCAAACACUAUUGAGGCGUGAUAACCUGUUGCAAGCUCAGCCAUGGCGGCUACUGCAAAAUCUAACGGAAAAACCAUCACAGACUCUGCCAUUUCAUCCAAGGUUCCGACAAUAGCAAACCCUUUAACGAAUAGCUGUCGCAGAUUUCUUCCAACAUCAAUCACCACGCGAAAUUAAUUGUCAAUGAAGACGAUCCCAUUCCCCUUCGAAAUCUGCUGGGGGAAAGAGGCCUUCUUUCAUAUCUGCUCUGAGACCUGUUUAUGCGAGAGAGUGGUGAGCCUGACGACAGAGAGAAAGAAGGGCAGGAUUGGAAAAUUGGAAAGUUCAUUUAUUGGUUACUGUUUAUCCGUGUUUCUUCGAAAUAAGCUGCUUUUUCCAGCUUUGGGUUUUCAGUAUUUUUUUAACCCAUAAUUUUGAAAGAAAAAAAACUGAUUUGAAAUGUUAUCAAACACUUAAAAUGUUCCAAUCUUUUUUCAUACCUAUUUUUUUUAUUAAAAGUUAAGCUAAACAAAAACCAGGAUUAAGUUUACUACUUUGAAGUUUCUUGCUUUUCAACAUUUCAUACAUUGAAUUUUUCUCAUCCAGUGUCAUACCUAAGGUGAGAAUUGUGGGACACUUUUAUACAUCCGUUAGAUUUUCUGUGAAUUAUGGGACACUUUUAUACAUCCGUUAGAUUUUUUGUGAUAACCUUCGCUGACCCACGAUGCGGCAUGCAUGUGGACAUUAAAAAAAAUUCAAAAAUUCAAAAAUUCAAAAAUUUUAAAAUUUAAAAUUCAAAAAUACUAAAAACCUAAACUUUUCAUAAUAUUGAGUUGAGAGACUGAAUCUUUUCACACUCGGCCAAAUUUUCUUUGAAUUUUAAUUAAAUGAAACAAUGAAUCUUGAACAAAGCAAAACAAAACGUAAUAUUGAGAGAUUCAGUCAUUGAAGUGGACGUGGAUGUUGGGUACUCAAUAGUCCAAGAAUGAAAAUUCUCAUAUCAGUUUCUAUCCAAAAUUUUGGAAUUAUGUGUGUUGCAACGAUUGUCCAAAGGAUUAUUCUUCUUUUAUUAAAUUUCCAUGAAAAAUGAGCAUGGGGGCAUAAAAAUUGAACGAAUGAAAUUUCAACGAUUUGAAAAGGGUUGUGAGUUUGACACGUCAUUUUUCUUCCUUUAAUGCAAUCAUGUUUAUUAAAAGACAAAAAUAAAUAUGACUUUACAUAAGGAGAGAGAAAGAAUAGUUUUCUUUGAAAAAAUCAACCAUUUAUUGAAGAGGGAUGUUGAUAAGGAGAUGAGACAUUCAUUAGAAGCUAGAAAAAAGAAGUUAAAAGUGAUUUAGAAAAAAGCAAGAAAGCCACAUUUUCAAAGUGGUGGUCAUUGCACAAUACUUAAUUAGAAGAAAACUCAUAGUAUUGUAUUUACAAUUUCAAGUCUUUAUGGGGAACGAGAGUGCAAAUUUUCCAAUUGGAAUAUGAUAUGAAAUUUCUAGAUAACUAUAUAUGACAAAGAAAGAAGUCUAAGUUUCUAAGUGGUAGGGCUUCCAAUUGAUGUGAGUUUGUUGAGAAAUGUAGAUGAAGAUGAAUAUUGUUGUUGAUGUUAGUGAACAACAGAACAAGUUGCUUCUCCUUUGGCCUUCUAACAUGAUAUCACGGAAAACAAGUUGUUGCUAAUAAAUGUAUCUGAUUGGUGGACUUAGACGUGCGCGGUACGAUUUUUGAUAACGAGAAAAGAUGGACAGUGUCAUGACAAAAUUUAUCCAAGUAGACCCAAAGGAAAGACUUAGGAACUUCAUAUGCAGUGGGAUAAAAUCUUAAGCUAAUUUCCUUACCUAUUUUAUAGUCAUUAAGUAAAAUGUAUAUGUAUAUUUCUAGAUGCUGACACACCAAUGUACUUACUAUUAACUCCUUUCAAAUACCCAUUCGCAGAAACGCAAAUCUCUCUUGCAUGCUUGUUGUAAUGCUCAUGUAGUGCGUAUCUAAUAUCUUAUGUGUAUAAUUUUUUGUGAUCCAUUUUUUCAUCACUAUGCCAAAAUCCCUUUAGAAUUUGCAAUUUAUCCAUUUGGUUAUGGUAAAAAAAAAAACUCGGAAUUUCAUUUAAACUCAAAAAUCUAGAAUUGGGAAAGCAAUUUUCCCUUGUUCGGCAACUUGUAGCGAUAGCAAAGGCAAAUUGUACAGGAAAAAAGUGGAAAUUGGGGAUGAAGAUCCAAUUUUAAUUUCGUCAAAAUAAGUGUAAUUUCACAAUUCCAACAACGUUGAGAACAAAUGCAUUGCGGGGAAAUCUUGCGACCACCAAACUUUACGAUUAGAGGGCCAAAUUUCAUGAUAAAACGUAAUAAGGGUUUAGGACUGCAUCGUUCACUUUGUUAACUCUCCAAUCUUCGACGGGAUUUUCAACUCGUGCAUCAUCUUUUGCUUUGUUCUAGGUCAAAGCCUACUCUUUUCUUUCUUGAAUUAUUUUAGCUUUGAGGGUAUACUCUUUAGGCCAAUUGUGAAUUUUGCUAGUUAUUUUUAUUUUCUGAUGGUCAUAUGUUUGUUUUGUUUUUUUUUUCUUCCAAUUGAGAUGUGUAUUGGUUGGAUCAGUAACUUUUUUUUUGGAUUUUUAUUUUUAUUUUUAUGGAUUUUGGUGUUAGUUCCUUGUUAUAGAUGUUGUGGAGCAAAAAAUAAUCUCAAAAAUCGUGGAGGUGACACACGGAUUUUUGGACAAGAAUGACAAAAUUAUCCUCGAAGCACAUCAGGAUUCCCACGUGCAUGCAACGGACAAUAACGGCUCAAUCAUGGAAGAGUCAAAGGUGAUCAAUAUGGUAUUUAUUCAAAUCCCUCUCAUCACUCCUCAUCAAUCCCUUUUUUAUUUUAUUCAAAAGGUAACUCCCAAAACUUCCUAUUUAAUUUAGGGAUCAUUGUCAUGUUAAUUGCAAGAUAUUAUUUCACAAAAUAUCUUGUAAUUAUUCUUCAAUUACCACCAUGUAUGGCCGGCCACUCCUCACAUUAUGGGCCGGUCACUCCUCACCCUAUGGGUCGGCCACUCCCUAUAAAUAGCCCUAUUAUUCCACUAAUAAGGAAGCCAUUUGCUACCCACAAACUCCUAAACACAUUCUUUCAGAAUUCUAACUUUGGCAUUGGAGAUUCUUAGGCCAAAUCCCCCCUCCCAUUCAUCAUGGGCGCAUAAGGCUUUUGGCCUUAGUCUUAGGUAUUAUUAUUUUGCAGGUGCAUUUUUGUCAAAGACGAAGAUGGUGAAAAUUUGCAUCCACAAAUUGGUGUUUUCAUUGAGAGUUUGAUUCAUAAGCUCGAAGAAGACUCACAUUCAAAGUUUCACAUUUCUCAUUCAUAAGUAAAUUUUUCAUACGUUCUUAUUCCUAAAAUUUUUUAAAUCUUUGAAUAGACGUAUGAGAGAAAUACAAUGGCUAGAAAUUUAGAAACCACGACGAACGAAACUUCCUACGUUCAAAGAUCCAGAUAAAAUGAUGGAAAUUGCGAUGUAGCCCCACCACGACGAUCCACGAAGCUCAACGUGGUGGCAAAAUGAGUAACUUGGCCACCACGGAGUACCACCACCACCAUAGCCAAGGCAACCCAUGUUGCAGUGGGGAGUGGGACAGCUUCAUGGCAGCAAAGCCACGAAGCAACAAUAAAUGCCAUCUUGCAGUAAUGAGCCCAGGCCCGUGUCACAAGGCAGUCAACCCAGCGCUAGGUAACCUAGAUCUAGUAGGCCCACGACGUUGCCAUAGCAGCUGAGGCCUAAAGCAAGGCCCAAACAGUUGCGGUUGCGGCAAAUGGAGCAGCACAACACUGGCGGGGCCAAUGCACCCUUGGCCUAAUGCUAAGCAGGCUAAAUCGCACCACACCCACUAUUCAAACUAACCCUAAGUUGAGUAAGUAGCAUUGAAGGUUGUCAACCGCAAGGCGUUGAAGUACGAAUAAAGUUACACACCCCGCACAUGACUUGGCCCACUUCCGCGGCCCAACUUGCUCGCAAGGUCCACCUAGUGAUCCCGACUAGUCGAAGGCCAGUUUAAUCAUCCCAUCUUCAGAUUUCUGGACUGACGAUUGAAUCGGGGGUAUUUUCACCCCGAUUUUCUACAGAUUUGACAUAUCUCAACUCAAAUCUCGCACUUGGAGUCCAUUGCACUUCCAUUACUCAAGGAGACGCAUACCAUUUAAGAUCUUCCAUCCCAAAUGGCGAACAACACUUGUCUCGACAAGUCAUAGAGUUGACAUGCGCUUUUGCGCAGUAGACGACCUUAGUGAAUCAGCUCUUGCAACGCACAUAGAUGCAGUGUGCCCCAGACGAUGUGUCCCGAAGUAAGACAAGUACAGAUGACGAUUCUCUCCAGCAGCGUCCCAACAAGCAGCCGCUCGACUAGCCACGAACCGAGCGUUCUGGCAGUGUACACUCCCGUCUAGGUCCUCAAGAAAGCGUAUACUCUCGUCUUAGCGCGCGAAUGAGCGUGCACUCAUGGUUAGGCCUAUGGACGAGCAUACAUUCACGGUUGGGACCAUACUCUUAUAAUUAACAUGGACAACCUGCUAGACGAAGUGUUCAUUCGCGGCUAGGCCCGCAAAAAGCAUUUUCCACCUCAUAUUGGAGUAAGCAGCACAGAAGACGAAGAUAAGCAGUCAAUUAAUCUGGCUCAAAUUCAAUCGGCCACCUGUAAGUAACCAGUUCGCCUGCCAAGAACGUAUCAUAUGCAAUGUAGCCACGACAUAGACUAGAUGAGCACAACGAUAAGCAACCUAGACUAACAGGUUACGACUGGGGGCAGCCAGAAGCUCUGCUGCCCCAAUAGAGGUAAAUUUAGAAAGAAGUUGAGAGGCUCAUGACCGAACAAUUGUGCGAUUUCCAACGCAACGAAGCUACUGACAAGGCGCUUAAACGAUACACGACCAACAUAAAUGGGUCACCUUUUAUUGACAAGAUUGAGCAGACAGAACCAUCCUACAUACACUGGCGGAUACAAAGAUUACAUCUAUUUUAACAUAUGCAUCAACUCAGCCUAAUGGCGUGUCGAGGGCAAAUGGGUACCAGAAUGGCACACCAGCCCAACCACCAAGAACCAGGGCCAAAUCUUAUUUUCAUCACUCCACACGAUUCAAUACUUGAGCAGCACAUCACCAGUAAUCGAGCACCGCAGACCUAAUGGUCCAAUUCCUCCUGAUGCACACAAGCUCACCCCAGCUCCACGCUCAAAGCCUUGCCUACCUGCUCCACAACACUCAGCCACCCUUGAUUUGUCACCAUGGCUCACAAUUAUGCCAAUUUUGCACCACAGCUCAUAGCCGUGCUAAUCUUGCCAUGCGGCUCUUAACUACGUUAACCAAGCCCACGAUACUUUAUACUUCAAAGCAUCCAACGACGGAGUAGAACACGAGGCUCUACUAGCAGCCCCUGCUAGUGAAAGACUUUGCGGUGAAGAGGCUUCCAAUCCAUUCAAAUUCUCAGUUGACCACCUGUUGGGUUUUACGACUCAAAAUUAGGAUGAUGCAAAAAAAAUUGUGUUACCUAUUUGGUUUUGGUGUCGUAUUUGGGUUUGGAUUUUGACCUCUUAGUUGGUUUCCGUGGUGGAGAGAUUUUGUUAAUUACCUAUUUGAUUAGGAUUUGGAUUUACUUCCUAUUAAGAUUCUUAUUGUAACCUAAGUCUUAUGCACUAUAAAUAGGACCUCAGGGUUAGUGUAUUUUGUGUGGCUCAUUCGUGUGGCAAUUUGGUGAGAGUCAAUUUGUGAGUUUGUGAGUUAGAGAGCAAUUUGGGAGAAUCUUCUCCGUUAGUUUUGGGUUCUCUACUCGUUUGGUUUAGGGUUUGUAAUUUGUGGGAUUUGGAUUGUGAGAGUCUGAACACUAUUUUGUAAUCUCCGUUUGUUUAGUGAAAUUUCUUGUCAUGCUUCGCUCGUGGACUUAGAUUUUACACCGAACCACAUAAAUCUCUUGUGUUAGUUUGAGAUUGUUUGUUUUAGUUUUCACCUACGACGUUGAUAUCGGUACUUUGUUAGAAUUCGCUUUCCUUUGCUCAUAAAAGUACAACAAGUGGUAUCAGAGCCCGGCUUUCGGCUUGGGCUUUGCUUGGCAAUCACUAUGAAGCCUUCUGUGUCGUCGGUGAAAGUUGAUAUUGAAAAGUUCGAUGGCAAUGACUUUGGUAUUUGGCAAUUGAAGAUGCGUACUUUGUUAAUUCAACAAGAGCUUUUAAAAACGCUAAAGGGUGUGAAGGCUUUCCUGAAUUCGUGGACUGAUGAAGAAAAAAAAAGAUGUUAUGGAGCGGGCACUUGGAACAAUCCUGCUAACUUUAUCGAAUGAAGUCUUGCGUCAAGUUGGUAGCAUCAAAUCUGCACCGAAGUUGUGGCUAAAAUUGGAGAGUUUGUAUAUGACCAAAUCCCUUGCUAAAUGGUUGUAUUUGAAGAAAAGUUUGCGUACUCUUCGUAUGGAUGAAGGUACGUCAAUUCAUAAGACCAAAUCCUUAUUGCUGCCAAAAGUCCUCAACAGUUCCAAGGGAGAUGGGUAAGAGUUCGUAAUAGUGAGAGAUUGAAUCUUUUCACACUCGGCCAAAUUUUAAUUUUAAUUAGAUGAAACAAUGAAUCUUGAACAAAGCAAAACAAAAUUUAAUACUGAGAGAUUGAAUCAUUGAAGUGGACGUGGAUGUUGGGUACUCAACAGUCCAAGAAUGAAAACUCUCAUAUAAGUUUUUAUCCAAAAUUUUGGAAUUAUGUGAGUAUUGCAACGAUUGUCCGAAUGAUUAUUCUUCUUUUAUUAAAUUUCCAUGGAAAAUGAGCAUGGGGCACAAAAGUUGAACGAAUGAAAUUUCAAUGAUCUGCAAAGGGAUUGUGAGUUUGACAUGCCAUUUUUCUUCCUUUUAUGCAGUCAUGUUUAUUAAAAGACAAAAAUAAAUAUGACUUUACAUAAGGAGAGAGAAAGAGUAUUUUUCCUUGAAAAAAUCAACUAUUUAUUGAAGAGGAUGUGGAUGUUGAUUGAUGCGCAUUGUGAAUAGGAAAAAAAUAACCUUGAAGGGAGACGAGACAUUCAUUAGAAGCUAAAAAAAAGUUAUAGUGAUUUAGAAAAAAAAAGUUUUAACGAAACAUUUCCGGUACUGUUUACUCUUUACGAAAAACCACAUUUUUACCUUUCCUAACUACUAUUCACUACAUCUUUAUUUAUCAUUUUUCAUUAAAACUAAAGUUUUUGUUUUAACUUUUCGUUAGUUUCCUUUAGAAAAAAGCAAGAAAGCCUCAUUUUCAAAGUGGUAGUCCUUGAAACAAUACUUGAUUAGAAGAAAAGUCAUAGUAUUGUAUUUACAAUCUCAAGUCUUGAGGGGUAACGAGAAUGCAAGUUUCUAAUUGGAAUAUGAUAUGAAAUUUCUACAUAACUAUAUAUGACAAAGAAAGAAGUCUAAGUUUCUAAGUGGAAGGGCUUCCAAUUGAUGUGAGUUUGUUGAGAAAUGAAGAUGAAGAUGAAUAUUGUUGUUGAUGUGAGUUAGUGAACAACAGAACAAGUUGCUUCUCCUUUGGCCUUCUAACAUGAUAUUACCGGAAAACAAGUUGUUACUAGUAAAUGUAACUGACUGGUGAACUAAGACAUGCGGUACGAUUUUUGAUAACUAGAGAAGAUGAACAGUGUCGUGACAAAAUUUAUCCAAGUAGACCCAAGGGAAAGACUUAGGAACUUCAUAUGCAGUGGGAUAAAAUCUUAAGCUAAUUUCCUUUUUAAUCUUAUAGUCAUUAUGUAAAAUGUAUAUGCAUAUUUCUAGAUACAUACACACCAAUGUACAUAAUAUUAACUCCUUUUAAGUAGUCAUUUGCAAAUCCCUCUCGAGUGCUCUUUGGAAUGCUCAUGUGGUGCCGUUCUAAUCUCUUAUAUAUAACUUUUUGUGAUCCAUUUUUUCAUCAAUAUGCCAAAAUCCCUUUAGAAUUUGCAACUUAUCUUUUUGGUUACGGUAAAAAAAAAACUCGGAAUUUCAUUUAAACUCGAAAAUCUAGGGAUGUGAAAGCAAUUUUCUCUUGUUCGGCAACAUGUAGCGAGAGCAAAGGCAAAUUGUACAGGAAAAAGUUAGAAAUUUGGGAUGAAGAUUCCCAAUUUUAAUUUCGUCUAAAUAAGUGUAAUUUCACAAUUCUAACUACGAUGAGAAUCACAAAUAUAUUGCAGGGAAAUCUUGCGACAACCAAACUUUACGAUUAGGGUGCCAAAUUUCGUGAUAAAACCUAAUAAGGGUUUAGGGCUACAUUGUUCACUCUGUUAACUCUCCAAAUCUUCGACGGGAUUUUCGGCUCGUGCAUCAUCUUCUUGCUUUGUUCUAGGUCAACGCCUCUACUCUCUUCUUUCUUGUAUUAUUUUAGCUUUUCAGGUAGACUCUUUAUGGCUGUUGUGAAUUUUGCUAGUUAUUUUUAUUUUCUGAUAGUCAUUUGUUUGUUGUGCGUUUUUCCUUCCAAUUGAAUUGUGUAUUGGUUGGAUUUGUAACAUUUAUUUUUUUUAUUUUAUUUUAUGGAUUUUGGUGUUAGUUCUUUGUCAUGGAUGUUGUCCUUUUGAAGGUUAACAAUAGCCAAGACUAAACAUGAUGAUUUUGGUGUUAAUUACUUUCUCAUGAUACUAAUGCCAUAUUGUUCUCUAUUUUGCACUCACAAGUAAAGAGAAAUAUCCUAGACCCUAACUGGAUAUGUUAUUGUCAUGGUCAUGCAUUGGUAUGGUAACAAUAUGUUUGGAUAAGGAAAAUAAACUUAGAAUUUGACAAAAGAUAAAAUUUAUAAAUUGAUACAAUCAAUUCCUUUGUUUAGAUUCAUAAACAUAGAAAUUUAAACUUUCCGCGUGAGAAAAAACUUGGAAUUUGGGACCUUCAAUUCUCAUGUUUAAAUUUUAUGUAAAUAGGUGUCAUUUCUAAAUUUCAGUAAGUGAGAAUUUAAAAAUAACAAACAUGUAUUCAAAUUUCAUUCAUCUUUUAGGUUAACCAAACAAGAAAUUUUAUAAAUUCUAGAAAAUAAAAUUUCGUUAUUUCAAUUUCUGUUAUUUUAAAAUUAGUAAUCUUAAAUUUUCUCAUCCAAACAAAAAGUUUCCUUGUCAUAGAACUUUCAAUUGGGAUCAAGGAAGACAAUCUUUUCACAACUGAUUAUUCUCACCAAAUUUUAUUAUUAUUUUAAAGCAGAUCAAUACCAAACUUCAAAAGCAAAGUAGGAAGGCUAAAAUUAAGGUGAAGAACCUACUUCCACUAAUUACCAUGGGAGGGAGAGAGAGAGAACCAAGCGAGAGAGAAGAGAGAGAAAACACCAAGUAGUAUUAUAAUAUAGGUGGGGUUAAAUCACCUUUCGUGAAGUUGUAGUAAGAGCAGCUCCAGCGGGAGCUCCAACUUGAUGUACCGGUGAGAUUUCCUACCCAAUAGCCCCAGCUCCUUGCUCCAGUCCAUGCGGGUGAUUGGGCUGAGGGGGGCCGAGUGAGAGGCCUGACUCGAAUCGGUGGCCUGAGAGCCUGAGACCAAAAAUUAUCUUUUUGGAUAAUGACACGUGGUGCAACGAGAACGAUUAAAAAUCUUAUCCGAAAUUACAAAUAGAAUUAUUUUGUAUUAUUUUAUAAAAUAAAAAAUACUAAUAUUUUAUUGCUUAUUGACAUGACUAUUCAAUUACGGGUGGAGAUGCAGAAGACAAUUAUUAUUCAUUAAAGGUAAUUAUUGUUCAUUGGAGGGGAUUGAAUAUGAAGUUGCACUAGAAGGCCUUUGUCACGGCAAUAGGCAAUUACUGUUCUAAGGACUUCUAUCCUAGAAGAGAGACAAAAACACCAAGUAGUAUUAUAAUAUAGGUGGGGUUAAAUCACCUUCCGUGAAGUUGCAGAUAGAGUAAGGACUUCUAUCCUAGAAGAGAGACAAAAACACCAAGUAGUAUUAUAAUAUAGGUGGGGUUAAAUCACCUUCCGUGAAGUUGCAGAUAGAGUAAGGACUUCUAUCCUAGAAGAGAGACAAAAACACCAAGUAGUAUUAUAAUAUAGGUGGGGUUAAAUCACCUUCCGCGAAGCUGCAUUAAGGACUUCUAUCCUAGAAGAGAGACAAGAACACCAAGUAGUAUUAUAAUAUAGGUGGGGUUAAAUCACCUUACGUGAAGUUGCAGUAAGGACUUCUAUCCUAGAAGAGAGACAAAAACACCAAGUAGGAUUAUAAUAUAGGUGGGGUUAAAUCACCUUACGUGAAGUUGCAGAUAGAGUAAGGACUUCUAUCCUAGAAGAGAGACAAAAACACCAAGUAGUAUUAUAAUAUAGGUGGGGUUAAAUCACCUUCCGUGAAGUUGCAGUAAGGACUUCUAUCCUAGAGAAAAGUCGGUCAAUGGUGUUUGACACAGUCAGUCAACGAUAAAGACAGAAUUGUGUAACCAUAAUUCUCUCUCUAUCUCUUUUUCAUUAACGGAGGACAGUGUAUAAUUACUACGUAUACAUCUCUGCUCAAUUAUUGAAAAGAAAAAUCCAUGUGCAUUAUUUUUAUUAUUAUUAUCUCAGAAAUGCAGAAAUUGAUCAUCUCUUCCUUCUGCAUAUUGAUACUGGUUUUCUUCAAACUAGUUGAAGCAAGCCAAUAUGUGUGCGCGAAAUCCAACUGUAGCAAUGAUCAACGCCCGGCUAUCCAUUUCCCAUUGAACAUCAGGCGCACACAUCAUUGUGGAAAUUCUGGGCUUGAAUGCAAUGGGAGAUAUGGGCAGCAAAUACUAAUAAAAUUAUUUGUCAAACACAUUGAUUACAAGCGUCAGGAAAUCCAAGUCUAUUCCCCAAGUAACUGCCUGCUGCUAAAGCAUGUUGAAAUCCCAAACAUGCCACCCUCUCCCUUCAACGUGUCAGUCGAUGACUACAUGAGUACCCUUACCUUAUUCAGUUGUCCUACUUCUGUUGCAAGACGAGAUACGUAUCAAGUCCCCUGCCUCGGCGACCCUGGCAAGAAAACUUAUGCCAUUCGUUCUUACUAUGAUUUUGGAACUCUCUUCCAGAAUCUACAAUCCUGUACAAAAAUGUAUGAUGUUUUAUCAGUUCCAAUAGCCUAUGAAUAUUAUGUUUUUCGUUUCAAAUGGUCUAUACCAAAUUGCAGAAAAUGUGGAGAGGGAAAGAAGUGUGGAUGGCAGAACAAUGAAAUUAAAUGUCUUCCCUGGAGGAAACCAAGUAAGGAUAACAUAUGUAUUCAUUGCUAGUUUUAAACAUCUUUACAUUUAUGUCUUAGUAAUUAUUAUUUGAAGGAUGUUGUCCAAUCCAUUUUUACUAGGAAUAUUACCUGACAGUCUCGUUUAAAUUCGCAAUGAUCUUCUACAGGCAACACAUGGAAAAAAGUGGUUACAGGUGGAAUCCUGUGUGCUUUGCUUCUUGUUCUACUGACGAUUGCAGCAUAUCGGGUAUAUAGCGCUGAUAGAAAGGAGAAAGAGAGUCGAUUAAGAAUUGAAAGAUUCUUGGAGGACUACAAAGCACUCAAACCAAGCAGGUAUUCGUACGCAGAUAUUAAGAGGAUUACAAAUCAAUUCAAGGACAAGUUGGGCCAAGGAGCCUAUGGAACUGUCUUCAAAGGAAUGCUCUCUUCUGAAUUUUUUAUUGCUGUCAAAGUCCUCAACAGUUCCAAGGGAGAUGGGGAAGAGUUCGUAAAUGAAGUGCGAACGAUGGGUCAUAUCCACCAUUUAAACGUGGCUCGCUUGGUUGGAUUUUGUGCUGAUGGAUUUGUACGAGCUCUUGUUUACGAGUUCUUCCCCAAUGGUUCCCUGCAGGAUUUCAUUUCAUCUGCAGAUAGUAAGAAUUCAUUUCUUGGUUGGGAUAAACUGCAAGAUAUUGCCCUAGGCAUAGCCAAAGGAAUUGAAUAUCUUCACCAGGGAUGCGAUCUACGAAUCCUGCAUUUCGACAUCAAACCCCAUAAUGUUUUGCUAGACCAAAACUUCACUCCAAAAAUUUCUGAUUUUGGUAUGGCCAAGUUAUGUUCCAAGGAUCAAAGCUUGGUGUCCAUGACUACAGCUAGGGGGACCAUGGGCUACAUUGCACCUGAAGUGUUCUCCAGGAAUUUCGGAAAUGUGUCUUACAAGGCAGAUGUCUAUAGCUUUGGAAUGCUGCUGCUUGAGAUGGUAGGAGGAAGGAAGAAUAUUGGUUCAAUCACGGAUAACACUACAAAUGAAAUUUACUAUCCACAGUGGAUUUAUAAUCUUCUAGAGGAAGGGGAUGACCUACGAAUCCACAUUGGGGAAGAAGGAGAUGGUAAAAUUCCAAAGAAACUUGCAAUUAUAGGGCUAUGGUGUAUCCAAUGGCACCCGUCGGAUCGUCCUUCCAUGAAAAUAGCGGUUCAGAUGUUAGAAGGAGGAGGAGAAAGCUUGAGUAUGCCGCCUAAUCCCUUUGUGCCUACUGGUUCUACAACUAGGAAUGCAAGACGCCUAGAGCUAGAAGCUAUUGCUGAAUUAGAGUAAAAUGUAUAUGCAGAUAUGUAGACGUAUAGAUAUAGUAAUAUUUAUAUUGAAUAAGAGGCCGUUUGAUAACCAUUUCGUUUUCAGCUUUUAAUUUUUAUUUUUCACUUUUUUGAAAACUAAAAACUAAAAUCUUGUUUGGUAAAUACUUUUAGUUUAAAAAAAUUAUGAAGACUGAGAACUAAAAUGUGAAAGCUCAAAGGAAGUAGAUUAAAAGUAGUUACCAAACAAACUGGAAUCUCAAUAAUAAAAAAAGAUUGAAUUGCACAAUGCAAUCCAAACCAAUCAAAACAUUAAAAUAGCAAAAAAAAAUUAAAAUUCUAGUUGAUUAGAUUCUAAACGUAGUAAAAAUGAACAGAUCCAAUGAAAAAACAAAAAAUUCUCAAAUAAAAAUAGGGAUAAAGUAAAAUAUUUAUAAAUAGCUCUUUGUCUCUUAUGUCAUCAAUUAUUUCUAUAGUAUAUACAGGUUUUUGGAAAAAUUAGGUUCUCAUCCCUUAUUUUCAUAUUACAUUGAUUGAAAUCUUAUUAUUUUUCUAUUUUAGAUCAAGGUCCCUUGACUUAUUCCAUGUCAUCAUUUUAGUAUUUAAAAUAUUACACGUCAUCAUAAACGAAAUCUCAUCCCUUUCUGCAUUUAAGGCAAAAUAAACUAUAUGAGUAAGUUUAAAACAAGGAAAAUCCAUUUGAACUCCUCCAUUCUUCUUCUUCCCUUAUGCACAUCUGGAAUCUACAACACCCCAAACCCAAUUUUCUCCAUUUUUUCUCCAUUCCUGAAUUGAUCCAAUGCAUAUAUGUUGAAUAAACCUAUUGUGAUUAAAAUACAAAUUAGCAUCAAUGGUUUUAUCGGCUUGUGAGAUUUGUGUGGCAUAGGCAAGGCAAUGCAGGCAUUGCUUUCUCAAGGAAUCUGGUUGAUUCAAACAUGCAGAGACUGUAGAGUGAGCGGGCUAUGUGAAAAUUGUACCAUUCUGAAGUCAUUUUCUUUUGUUCUUUAUAUUUUUUUUCUUUUUCUUUUAUUAUUAUAUAUUAGUCUUGGUUAUUCAAUGUCUGGUUGGCUACACUUAUAUCCAUGGGUACAUUUUUAAUCUACAUGUUUCGUUCUAAUAUAUCUAUUGCUAUAAUAUGUUUUGGUUGGUUCAAAUUUGUUUUACAUAAAUAUAUGGGUACAAAGUUUUUGGAGAAUAUUAUGUAAAAUGGUUUUUAAGGUUGCUGCAUUUUACGUUCCCACAUAUGCAUGUCUAUAAAACAAUGUGGUAUGAUGUACAUUCUUUUCUUUGAGUUUUUAAAUGUACCCAUGAGUUUUCUUGUAAAUUCGUAUGUACCCAUAUGCUAUUUAUGUUAUGGGUACAUACAUUAUUUUUGGUCUAAGUUCAGGAUACAUUGCUUUUGUAUGUAUGAAUUCAUGGGGUACAUUAUUUCCCUUAAUACUACUCAAUAAAAUUCACAAAAAUAUGUGUAGUGUGCAUGAUUUUUUAUUGUAGAAAUUGUUUGUUUUUUUUAAGUCUCAUAAUUCAUGAAAUUUGUACAUAUAUGAUCCCAUAAAUUUUUUAAUUUUAUUAAAUUUCUGUUAGACUUGAUCGAUUGAUUGAAUCUCAUAAUACUAGGAUUUUGAAUUACAUAAAUUCUUGGAUUUGAAUCCCUUAAAUGUUGGACUGCAAUCAAUAUUUUAAAUUACAGUUUUUUGUUUAAGAUAUCAAAAAGAUGACAUGGGAAUAUAGUAAUACUAAAAUGCUGAGGUGUACAAAGUCAAGGGACUUUGAUCAAAACAUAAAAAACAAUAAGAUUUCAAUCUAACAAUUGAAUUGACUAGGGACCGGAACCAAAAUGACCCUAGAUUUUUAUUGAGUUUAAUCUUAAUCAAAAAAAGACUUCUUGUAUCACAGAAAAUACAAGAACCAUUAUUUGAAUGAAAUAAAAGCUAUGGGAUGGAGAUAUAAAUGGAUCCUUUUAUUCACAAUCGGAUUAUAUUUAUUUGAUACACUGUUGUCAAUAUGAAUGUUGAGAAAAGACUACAAAAGAAAAAACAAUUUAUAAAUAUAACUAAAAAUUCCAAUUUCAAUCAAUUAGAUAAUUAGAAUUAUAAGAAGAAAAAAAACAGAAAUCUCAGUUUUCAGUUUAAAAAAAAAUGAAAACAAAAACUGAAAACUGAAAACAAAAUGGUUAUCAAAGCCGUCCAAAUAAUAGAAGUUUGUUUCCACUCUUUGUUUAAGCAUAGAUGCCAAUUUUUGUUUAUCAUUUUUUUAACCUCUAUUUUUUGUUACAGUAGAAGCCCUAGAAGGAAAUCGAGCACUGGACUUACCAAACUCUUAACUUAUUUCUACACACCAAGAGCUUGAUUUCGGUUCUUAUUUAUACUAUUUAAGCUAUAAGCCGUGAUAAGAAUUAGAGAACUAUCAUUUGUUGUGAGCUUCAAUUGGUUAGCACUUUGUAUGUUUUCAUUAGAAUUUAUAUUUCACUUAGACUUUCUUAUUAAAAAAGGGAUCAUUUGGUGACUUCACCAUGACAGUCCAAUUUUAUGGGGGCCAUGAGUACUCACAAAGGUAUUUCAGCCUCCCCCUAUAUCUACCGUCGCGUGAUUCACCAUUGCCGGGAAUCGAACUCAAGACGUGUUGUAUAGAAUACAAGCCUAAAAUUCGUUUCUAACCACUGAGUCACCCCGCGUUUGAUUAUAUUUCACUUAGACUUAUCUUGCGGUAUAGCAUGUCAUCCCCGCCCAAGUUUUUCUGUUCGCAUUGAGUUUGGGAUACCAAAACUUGCCAAACAAAGUAGAUUGAUUAGUAAGCGAAGCUAAUUAUUCGACUAAACAUUGUUUAGAAUUUUAAUUAAAAGAAACAAUAUGAAUCUGUUUUUUUUUUUUUUUUUUGACAAACUAUAACGUUAAGGAGUUAAAUUGUUAGUUGUUAAGAGUACAGGGAUAGGUGAGGAUCGAACCUCCACCAGAGUGCAUAGACAUUAUUGGUUCUACAACUGCGGUAAAUCACAUAAAACAAAACGUAAUACUUUGAGGAUGGAAGACACUUCGUGGAUAGCGGGCAAUCAACACUAUCAGUCGCUAUCCAAAACUUGGAAUUAUGUUUAUUGUCCGAAGGAUUUUUCUUCCAUUAAAUUGCUAAGGAAGAUGAGGAUGGGUGGAGUGUCUAAAUGUCAAGGUUGAUAAGAAAGUGUAUGGUGUUCAGCAUGCGAUUGAGAUUUGUUGAGUGGCACAACAAACCACAUAAAAUUUUCUAAAUGAUAAGCAAUGAUAAGCUUGAGUAUAAUUUUUUACCACGUAUUUAUCUUUAAAAUCAUUAUAAUUAGAUUUUCUCUUAAUUAAUAUAGACCGUUAGAUUGACCCAAGUUUUUUUCCUCUUUUCUUUCCCCUCGUUUUUUUCUUCUCUGAUUUUCCAUUCACCGUGUAGCAGUCGUUCUUCCCCAACUAAGUUUCUUAUUUUUCUUCACAAAAAAAUUGUAGAAAAUAUUAAGAAAAGAAAAGUCAUCAAUAUCAGACUCGAUCAGGUAAUCGUUCCAACCUUCCCAGCAACUCUCAGUCUUAACAAGGCACCAAAUUUUCUCCGCCACCUAACUCGUCAUUCAUUCAUGGGUGUUUCAAGCUUGGUGAAAAUUGAUAGAGUUCCAUGUGUGUACAGGGAUGUGAACAUAUUGGCCACUCUCUAAGAAUGAGUCAUUGGAAAAGUUGAAGGAAAGAUGUAACCGAUGAAAUUAAUGGAUUGGAAUUACAAUGAAGUCUGUGUUGGUUUAUCACAAAGAACCCAGAAACAAAAUUUUAAAAGCAAACAAUUACAACUUCUCAAAUAUUAUGUAACAAACUUUCAAUGAAAUGUUGCUCAUAAUUGAAAAAAGGUUGACGAAGGACGGAGUUGGGAUUAUUUUAGAUGGGGAAGAGUUAAAAGAAGGAAGCACCAUUUAAUUACUAAAAGUAAUUGGAGAAAUGGUAAUUCAAUGGUGGGCGUUUUUAAGGUGUGGACCUUGUGUCACACCCCGAUCCCAACAUACAUUGAGGAUCGACACCUGACAUGGGGACCUAGGGGACAUAAAUCUUACGUAAGAUACAGAAUGAAAUACUAUAAAUAAUAUCCCAAAAUGAAUAUGAUAGUGGGUUCACCCCCUAUAAAAUAUAUACAAGUUUGUACAUUCACAAAAAAAAAAAAAAAAAAAACACACACACACACACACAAAACUCUUGCUAGGCCAAGACUUGCCCAUGGUUCUCAAAGGAAAGUCCUAAAAGAAAUAGUACAAUGAAGGAUAAAGGGGUAACCUAAACACUCCAAGUCUCUGAUCUCUGCACUGCUACCCCCACCGGCUCCUCGUAAUCUACCUCAGACCUGUCACUUGUACAAACAGUGCCUACAUUGUGGGAAUGGUGCACCGGGCAAACAAAAACCCAGAUAAGCUGCAAAACUCGUGUGGUAGCCGGCCUGGGACAUGGGAGGGGGCCGAGUCUUUCAGAAACCCUUGGGUCAUUGAUCUUCAAGCUUACAUGGAUGGGAUUGUCUCGACGUUGCUUUAGGAAGUCUCGACAGUCGUGAAAGACGGCUUUCGAUCCUUCCACUCCUUCUGUAAGAAGGUGUCUUCCUCCACUCCUUCUGCUUCGGGUUGAAGCAGCUGGGUUGAGAGAAGUCUCAUGUUGGUCGCGAUUUCGAUGAGUAGCUCGCUCCUCAACAGGAAUACCCAUGUCGAGGGAAAAUGAGCCUCUGUGUUGGAGGCACCCAGUUGAUGGUUGACUUCCACAGGGGUGAUGAGCUCGUGUGUUUUAGUAUAUCUAGCCUCGUGGAGCAUCUCGAAGACCUUUUCAUACUGCUCUUGGAGGAUCUCAUUCUUCAUCGCUAUCUUGUUGUUCUGAGCCUCCAGCUCAUCGACUUUAGCCUGAAGAGCAAACUUCUUUUGUUCCUUCUUUCGUUGUUUCGCACCAGGUGUAAGAGGGGUGUCAUUCUGUGUGCCGUGGCUUCCUUCGCUCCCCAUGUUAGAGAGGGAUGCCUGGUCAAAAGAGAGAGUACGAAUGGUGGAAACCAGCUUGGCAAAGCUAAAGAGAGUGGGAAUAAGUGUCGUUCCCACAGACGGCGCCAAAUGUUGAUGCACAAAAUCAGUGAGGACUUUGGUACAACAGAAAGUGUUAAGUUUGUGUCCUUCGCUAGAUUGGUCCGGUCAUUAGUGUGGAUAAGUAUGUAAAUGGAUAGGGACAGGGAAGCAAACACAAGAUGUAUGUGGUUCACCCAGAUUGGCUAUGUCCAUGGAGUGGAAGAGUUCUCAUUAAUUGUGAAGGGUUUACACAAGUACAUAGGUUCAAGCUCUCCUUUAGUGAGUACAAGUGAAUGAUUUAGUACAAAUGACAUUAGGAAAUAUUGUGGGAGAAUGAUCUCCUUUUAUAGAAUAGUUUCUAGCUUUGUUCUGACAUUGACACGUGUCAUGCUGUGAUUGGCUUUUGAUGUUGACAUGUGUCGCAUUGUGAUUGGCCUCCUGGUUUGAGGGAAACUCUUCUGGGUCCUUGACAGUAUAACGUUGACAGGUGCUCAGUAGUUUCGGGAUUGGUCAAGUAUGGUACAAACAAAGUCACUGAAAACUUCGAAGGAGUCACCCAGACAUCCAACGACUUUUCUAAAUCAAAUCUCAGAGAUUCCCAAAACUAUCGUUCACAAAUACACUAAAAACUAAGGCUAGAGUGACACAGUUUGGCCAAAGCCUACAUAAGUAACCAAAUAAGAAGUGGCCCCCCCAUAGCGGAUUAAUCAAGUAGAGCCACUCCUGAGAAAGUAACCAAGUAGGUAGUGACCCCAUCACGAAUUAACCAAGCAGAGUCACUCCUACGAAACUGUUAGGUAGUGAUCACCCAUCGCGGAUUAACUAAGCAUGAUCACCCCUAAGUACGUAUGGCCAUACCUAAGAAAUAAGGAUCGCCCAUCGCGGAUUAACUAAGCAUGAUCACCCCUAAGUACGUAUGGCCAUACCUAAGAAAUAAGGAUCGCCCAUCGCGGAUUAACCAAGCACAAUCCAAAAAUAUUAUGGGUCCCCUAUCGCGGAUUAACCAAGCAGGACCAUCCAUGUACCACUGCUACAUGGUGCAGAUUCGGUGUCACCUAACCCCGUGACACUAGGGUAACGGUCCUCUACUAGCCCUCACGUUUUUCAAACAUUUCAAAUAUAUAAUUUAAAACACAAUUCAUAAACAUUUCGAAUAGGGAAGUCACAUAGUGUUUAAUAAUGUAGGUCAAUGGAAAACUUUAAAAACAAUUAUUUAGCAUAAAACAUAUUUUAGAAAUCCAUGCUGUAUCCACAAAGUAUACUAGCACGGGAGAUUUUCAGGGUAAUAACUCUAUCACAUAUAUUAAAGUCACUCACCUGGAGUCCGCACUAACGCACCCUAGCACGAAUAUCAAGAUGUCACGUACUAUCAUUUGUAACAUCCCACAUCAACCAACAGAGAGGGGGUGAUGUGUCUUAUAUGUACAUGCCCACCUCUAUAGCACGAGGCUUUUUGGGAGCUCAUUGGCUUCAUAUUCCAUCGGAACUCCAAAGUUAAGCGAGUUUGGGCGAUAGUAGUCCAAGGAUGGGUGACCCACUGGAAAGUUCUCGUGUGAGUUCCUAGAAACAAAACCGUGAAGGCGUGGCCAGGGGGGCCAAAGUGGACAAUAUUGUGUUACGACGGAAUUAAGACUGAGAUGUGACAGAAUGGUAUCAGAGCCGCUCUGCCGCGUGGUGCAAGUGUGCCGAAGAGGACAUCGAGCCCCUAAGGGGGGUGGAUUGUAACAUCCCACAUCGACCAACGAAGAGGGGGUGAUGUGCCUUAUAUGUACAUGCCCACCUUCAUUUAGCACGAGGUCUUUUGGGAGCUCACUGGUUCCGGGUUCCAUCGGAACUCCGAAGUUAAGCGAGUUCGAGCGAGAGCAUUCCCAUGAUGGGUGACCCACUGGGAAGUUCUUGUGUGAGUUCCCAGAAACAAAACUGUGAGAGCAUGGCCGGGGCCCAAAGCGGACAAUAUCGUGUUAUGGCGGAGCCGAGAUUGGGAUGUGACAUCGUCACCUAAGACAAAGUACAAGUCCACAUUUAGAGUUCUUCGAGUAUUCACAUAAUCAAAAAUUUACAUACGCACCCUACAACUAAUGAAGAGAAAUCGAGACACGUUGACAAAAAGUCAACCGUCGAUCAACGGUAGGGUCCACAACCCUACGUAACUUAAUCCGUAAGAUCCAGCCACUGUAUUUGUGAUUCAUAAGUUCCUAAGGUCCUCAAAUCUUACGUACAAUAACAUACUAAACUUUAGUGACGAUCUAAUGGUCGAAUCAUCAUUUACUAUAAUGUUCAAAUGACGCAAAUUCGUCAAUCGGAUGUCAAAUAUGGAAUCGGUCAUCGAAUUUAGCCUAGGAAGAUCAAGUGGUGUCUCAAGCCACGCACCACCAUGCGCAGCAGUUGGCAACCCAGAUUCGUCGAAAAAAUCACCUGAUUCCAAAAUGAAUGUCGUGAGACGUGGAGUAAAUUGUAUACCUGUGAGAAGCCCAAUUUGGCCAGGAAGUGGCCUGAAAUCACUUUAGACCGUCGGAAACCCUAAAAUAGGUGAAUCUCGAUUAGUCAUCUCUGGUAUUCCACCGUCCUCAAACUUGUUUAGGGUUCUCAAAAAAAUGCUAAUGAUGAUGGUGAUUGAAGGAGAACGUUUCAGAAAUAGUGAAUCGCCGGCGAGGGUUUCACGGAAUCGACAUGGGUGUUCCUCGUGGAACCAAGACCAAAUCUCAACGGUUUUGGCUAGAAAUGGAUGCUGGGAUGUCGUGGUGAGGUUUGGUAUUGAUGGGAGGUCGAAGAAAGUCAAAAAAAUCGACGAAAAAACUGUCGUCGGAGUCACAGGAAACGUGUUAGAAAAAUGAGUCGCCGAGUUUGAAACGGGUCGAAGGCUUUUGGGACAGCUACUUAAUCUCUCUUCUCUGAUUAGUCACUCCACUCACUCUCUCAUUUGAUUGGUCCAGCCUUCCCACAUGGUGGGAGUUCCCUCAUAUAGUAACCCAAAAUUUACUAUUUAAAUUUGGUAUCAAACGUCCGUAACUUUUUUGUUAUAGUUCCGAUUCACAAACGGCUUUCGCCUACGCGCUCGUAUGAUCGAAUUAUACUUGAAAACAUUAAUUGUGACCUUAAAAAGGUCUACAAGUUUUAAAAGAUUAAUUACAAAAAUUCACACCUUGUAACUAUACGAUUCAAAUUCUAAAAUUAACGGAAUUAAAAUAAACUAAAAAUAAUGUAAACACGAAAUACAGACUUUAAUAAUGAAAUACGUAAUUAAUAGUGGAAUUCUGGGGAUGGGAUUUCACACCUUGCGUCCGGACCUUGAGUGCGGAUCAGAAUCCAAAGGUCGUGAUCUGACGAGCUCAUGUAUAGAACAGAGUUGUUGUGACCCAAUGCAAUUCAAAACUUUUAUGUUUUUUUAUUUACUGGGUACGUUUUUGUAGGAGGAAAAGGGGAAGUCGAGGGAUUCUUUGCGCAAUAAAGAGGGAAAGAGAGAAAAGGGGAGCUAAGAGGUUCUUCGCGCGUUAAAUUUUUGCUUCUGAUUUUGCAACCUAGAAAUAAAGUAUUUUCUUUAUGGUUUAUGGUUCAAGAAUAUAAUGGAUGCAACCUAAAAAUGUUUAUUUUUUUAUUUUUUACUUUUUUUCUUCUUAUGUUGGCUUUUGGUUUAUUCUUAUAAUGCACUAUAUAUUAACUAAAUUUAUAAACAUUUUGUAUCUUUGUUGCAGUCAAAUUAAUCAUAUGGGUUGGCAUGACGAAGUUCGACUGAGACAUACAGAUGUUUUGCAAUCUUAAGUCUAACCUGACACACCCCGACCUCAAUAUCCAGUGGACACCAAAAUUGAGGUGUGAUGGCCAUCAUCCGGAUGGGUGACGAAACCAUUAUAUGCAUGAAAACAUAAUUACCCAAACACGUCUUAUUAAAAUAUUGAGUAAAUACCAUACAAGAUAGAAUACGUCAGAGCUGUUGCAAAAUACCUCAACGUCCGAUGUAAUCACUGAUAGAAUUACUGAAUCAUGUAUAAAUGGAAAGCUGAUAAAUACAUGUAAUUUGAGUGGAUACUUACCAGCAGCAUGGAUACAAUAUCAUCCACCAGUCGUAACUAGUGAAAGUUGGAUAAUAUAAUCAUGUCAUUGCCGAGUAAUCUCAAGGCAAUGACAAGAUGAGAAUGUAACUGAGUAAUCAUAUCAUUACUAAAUAAUCUCAAAGUAAUGACAAGCUAAGAGUAUAACCGUAUAAUCAUGUCAUUACCUCGUAAUCUCAAAAUAAUGAUAAGCUGAGAGUAUAACUGUAGUACCUCUUAUUAGUGCAAUGCAUGAUAUGAAUUCCAUCUCACAUAUAUAUGCAAGCCAUAAUCAAACCAAUAAACAUCCAACAAAAGCCACAAUCCUUUUAACAUUCGACCACAAGAUCAAUUUUCAUAUUUCCCAAACCUAGGUUCCAAAGCAUUGUUUCGAAUUAUUAAUACAAGAAACCACCACCACCUCAAUCAACUCCUAUUCACAAGUGUAAGCAAUUACUAAAUGCAUCACUUUCGACUCUAGUCUUAAUUAGAUUACUUGGGAUACUCACACCAUCAGAUCCAAGUACUAUUUUGAUAAACUUUAAAUAGCAUGGUUAAAAUAAAUGAAACACUUUUAGAAAAUAAGUGAAGAUGUUGUUUACAAAUAUAGAUGCAUCUGUAUAUAAAAGCUUUGGCGGUUGAUCCGUAUACACACUUCCAGAGAUAUAAGCAAGUUCAUUGGAAUAUACAUACAUAGUUAAUGUAUUACAAUAUAAUUAAUAAGAAAACAAUUGCAUCCCUUUCAGAUUAUAUAUAUAUAUAUAUAUAUAUAUAUAUAUAUAGACACACACAUACAUACACACAGGCCCUUUAUGCAAAGGAAUUUCCAUUUUUUUUCAAAAAUGGGGAUUAGUUGUGGGGCCCACGCUGCAUUGAACUUUAACGAUCCGAACAGUCUAUUUUGUAAGUCUCGAUUCAUAGAUCAUCCUUGUAAAAAUUCAAUUCAAUCCGAACCCAUUUGCCUAUUUAAUUAUCAAGAUAAAAUUUUAUUGUUUCUUAUAUAACAAAGUAUUCGUUAAUUUCUUUGAACUCAAUUAGAUAUCUUAAACAUUUCCGAUUUGGUUAAUAUUGUGUAAGGAUGAUCUAUGUGGUGCAACUUGAAAAAUAGACGAUUACGAUCGUUAAAGUUCGAUGUGGUGAGAACCCUACAAUUAAUCUUCAUUUUUAUAAAAGAAUGGGAACCCCUUCCCUUAAAGGUUUCCUAUGUAUAUAUUUGUUCUCCAGACAUAUGCAAAAGGUAAUGUAAAACCAAUGAGAACUUAAAUAGAUAUUCCAUACAUAGGACAAUUCCAUAUAUGCUUUUUCAACAUUUAUAUCGAAAAGCCAAAUUGUUUUGAGGAAAUUAAUUGUAGCAAUGAUCCCUUAACUUUUAUCUUAUUGGAGCAAUGGUCUCUCAACUAAAAAUUCAUAACCAUUGGUUCCUUAACUCCACACAACGUGUAGUUAUGGUCAUUUUCAUUAACUCCGUCAGAACUUUUGUUAAAACAAGUAAUGUUAGAAGAAUCAUUGCUACAAUUAAGUUAAAGUUGGGGACCAUUGCUCUAAUUAAAUUAAAAUUGAGGGAUCAUUUCUCCAAAUUGCUUAAAGUUCAAGGACCAUUUCUACAAUUUUCUCAUCUAGUUUCCCAUAUUUACCCCAUGAUUCAGCUUCACAUGCAUUGCACAUGACUCAUUUUGAAAUUUUUUUUAACGAAAUUGAUGAAAAUGACCAUAAAUGCACGUUUUGAAGAGUUAAGAGACCAAUGGUCGUGGAUUUUAGUUGAGGGAUCAUUGCUCCAAUUUAGUUAAAGUUAAGGGACCCUUGCUACAAUUUUCUCAAAUGUUUUGUAUGCGAAAAUAGGCAUUUGUAAAGUUUGGCUUGUUCAUGGCAUUAUUACUUUAGUCUAAAGUAAGGCUGGAAAUGGCACUGUAGAAAUGAAUAGUGUUCCAAUCCGAAUUUCAGUUUAAUUACAACAAUGCCAUUGCUCUUUGUGUUGCCUUUAGGUGAGCAGCCCGGCUUGCAGCCAGGCCCAAAUGUAUUGGUUUUAGCUGAGAAGCCCGGCCCUUAGUCAAGCCCAAAAUUUUAAAUUACAGUUUUGCCCAUACAAAAUAACAAUCCGAUUGUAUCGAGAAGGACAAUUUUGUCCUUUCAGUUUUGGGUGAGAUAGGGGGUAACAGGGUAAGUUUCAUUUGCUGUCGUUGAAUGAGGGUUUCGAGGAUGAGGGCUCUGUGUGUGUGGGUGUGUGAGAGAGAGAGAGAGAUAGAGAGAGAUAGAGAGGGAUAUGGCGAUGGAAGGAGAGCGAGGGGGAAGGGAAGGGUUCUCGGCACUGUUGCUGCAUGUGAAUUUCACAAGUGGGAGAGUGGGUAUGGUCAGAGAAGACCAUAUAGGUCGUUGGGAUUUCAGGGAAACGGGGUAGGGGUCAUGAAUGAACCCUGCUGAGAGUGGGUACUGGAUCUUGCGCUGCAUGCCUCAAAUCAAAGAUAAGUUCGUUUUUUUUAUUGUAUUUUUUAUGGUAGCUUAGCUUUUGGAAUUGUUUAGUAUGUUAGGUCCGAUUUUGGGGGAUUUAUCUUUUUAGAGAGAGAGAUGGACAGGGAGAUAGAGAUAGAGAGAGAGAGAGAGAGAGAGAGAGAGAGAGAGAUGAGGAAGCAUGACUGUGUGCAAUUUUUUAUGUUAAUUAAUGGGUUGGUGCGCAGGGUGAGUGACAGAGUGACAGAGUGAAGGAGGGACGUGUGGGAGGGUAUGAGUUUUCAGUUCUUUCUUUUGAUUCAACAGGUUAUACACUGUUUGAAAAACCUUUUUUUUAUUAUUUUGUUCUCGUUUGCUUUGUUAAAACCAUCAUUUGAAUUUUUGGGUUUCAUUGUGCUUAUUUCUCUGCUUCUUCAUAAUUUGCUGGUGUUUGCUUCUCAUCCCUCUGUUGGUAGAUCUUUUUCUCAUUUCUUGGUUCCUUAUGUAUUCUUUGGUACAAAUCUGUUUACUUUUUGGCUGUGUGAUAAUCUUAGCAGGUGAACUAUAUGAACGUUUUUUUGAAACGAGUUAAGAAGAUCCAGCUGAAAAGAGCAUACAAGAUAGAGAACUGGUAUGCUGCUCGCCAGGGAAAGGCUGCUGGAAAGGUUGAGACGGAUGCCUCUUUCAGAAACCAGGUCAGUUUCCUGCUGCUCGGCGUCUUAAUGUAUCCAAAUUGUUUAUCUUUUGAUGAAAUUAGCUGGCUAUAUUUUCUAUUUUAUUUAUCUGCAUAUUAUUUUGGUUUGUUGAAAUUUUGACUAUAGUCAUUGUCACAUGGGCGCCUAGCCCAACCCAAAUUAGUUGAGGAUAUUUAAAUCUUCACCAUGGUAUUAUAGUACUCACUCACAGUUGUGAAUACUAAGGUGCAUGCAUGGCAUGAAGAAGUGGACCGUGCACGCCAAGGUCAGAGGGAUGCAGAAGGCAAGCUUUUUUCUUUGGAGGUAAGUAUCCUUUGUUUAUUGCCCAACAGUGUUGUUAUUAUCAAUUUGUAGCUUUGCGUUCUGAAUUUUUUGCUUUGUCAAACAACCUUCUUGAAAUGCUCGAUUUCAAGCCGAAGUCCAAAAAAUGAAAGUUGAGAUGGCUUCCAUGAAGAGGGAUGUAGAGCAUUACUCGCGCUAGGUGAAAUCUGCUUCCUCUCUUUUCGUAUAUCUUCAUAUGAAGAGUUUUACUAAGUUAUAUUGAGAACUAUGUUAUUUAUAGGUUAUAUUUUCCAUUUUGCAGGAACACAUGGAGCUAAGGAAGAGCUAUCGUGAACUCACUGAUCUACUGGUAAUGUCACUCAAACUGCUUUAUUUGUGCAUGCUGCUACUAUGCGCUUGAAUGCAUUUUAUUACUGGCGGGAUGCGAAGAAAGCUAGAUAUAUGUGCUGGAUCGCUUGAUUAAUGUUAGGGUUUUAACAACUAAUUGUUAGCAGCUAGAAGCCCUGGUUAGAUUAAUGCUAAUUUGAUUUUCCUUACAGUACUUGAGUGCCAGUUUCAUAUUGUUUGUUCCCUGUUGGAUACCUGCUGUACAGUUUCAUUUCUGUUUCUUCAUAACUUUCUUGGCCCUGGGAUAUAUGCAUAUUGAGUACAAUGAAUAUCCAUUGUUCUCUAACUGUUGGGCUUUACUAUCUUUGUAGCAGCCUGCCUAACAUUUUUUAGGCUCUACACUCUACCAUCCAAUUUAUGAAAAAUUCAAAGAUUGGACGAUAUUGAUUGCAGAAAUGAAAAAAAUACUAUGAUAUUAGAAAGGUGAAUGUAAUUGUGUUAGAAUAAGCGUCUAGCAUGAUGGGUAAUAUUUUAAGUUUGUAUUUCUAAAAUUUUUUCGUUCUGGAGUAUGAUUUACCUCAAUUGUUUUGUACUUUAAUCUUUACUAAUUUUCAUUGUGGAGUAUGAUUUGCCUCAACUAACAACUUUUCAUUGUUUAACUUUUUCCUCCCUUAGAUAGUUGCAUAUGUUUGAUUUGUUAAUCUGCUUCUUACACAUGUUGUUUCCUAAUGGUGUAGGUGGGUUGUCGGAUGCAUGUGCAGAUUACUUGAAUAGACGAAGCUAAGAAUGACUUAGUAUUAAGUGAGACAGAAGCUUGGGUCAGUUGGAUUUUGACAUUUGAUUUAUUCAUGUUUUUUGUUGCUUGCAAUGUUCUCGCAUUGUUUGUUCUGAGAUUCUGUGAUCUUAUUUUUCAUAGGAACUGACAUUGGUUUGCCAUAUAAUGUUUCAGGAACUAAUACAACAACUAAUCACCUUGCUUAGCUCUCAAGACACAUACUUAACAGGUUAACAAACACUAACCUAUAAACUGAUCUGCUAAGCUGGACCAUUAACCUCUGUUUAUAUCCCUGCCACUCAUCUUUUGGCACUUAUCAAUAGCAAAAUCUAGAGUUGUUGAAACCCCAAUUUUAAUGAAUAUUAUUUUUAGUUGAUAAUUAAAAUUAAUUGAUGAUUAAUCUAUUCCAUUGUGCAUUAUUUUAUCGCCAAAUACUUUGAAUAUUCAUUAGCAAAAGAUAUAGGGUUCACUAUUUAAUGAAUAGAAUUUUGAUGGUGGAUUGCAUUUCCUGAGUUAUAAAUGUGGUGAAUCCAUUAUUUACUAGCUGAAUAAUCAUAAUGUUUUGGCCACUUACCUUGAAUUUUGUUCAAAUUGAAGAAGUCACAUGUUUCUUUCUGUUGUUGAGGUAAUCUCUCUGUUGAAAGCUUCUAUUUCUUUUUUUUUUUUCUUUUUUUCAUUUGGGUAGAUUUUUUUUUUUAUGGAUUUAUGUAUUUUUUUUCCAGAGAAUUCGAAAUGAAAUAAGAAUAGCGGAUUGAGCAUAAACAAAUUGAUGAAAUUUUUAUUUGAGUGUUUGUGUUAGUCCUUUUUUGAUUUGUUGAGGUUUGGAAUUAUUUGAGUUUUUUUGCUGUUAGUACUAUGAAGGAUGCUUGGCAAUCGCGAAAUGGGGGCUACCUCUUUGGAAAGAGAAGUCUCGCUAUCCAACCUCUCAUGAAUUACAAACAGGGUGAUUUCUUGCUGAAAAACCACUGAACCAGUAGAACUUUCCUCGGUUCUUCAAUUCGAUUCGAAUAAUUUUUUUACCCAGAAAAGCCAGCGUUUCCUGGUGGGUUUUACAGCUUUCUCAAUGUUUUUGUGAUUUUGGAUUUGCAAAUUUGUUUUCUGUUCAAAUUUCCUUUUGUGAUUUUGGAGGUUUUGUUUAUCGAUUCUCUCACUCAUCUCUCAGCUCUCUCUCACUUUUGAGGUACAUGCCGUUGGAUUCCGUUUGCUGCUGCUGAUCUGUAGGUAAAGCUUCAAUUACCAUAUAAAGUUUACAUUUUUCAUGAUUUCUUGAAUUUGGGUUUUAAACAAAGGAAAUAUUGCUAGAUUCUUAUCUUAUGUGCAAAUUACUGGCUAUUUGGAUUGGUGCCUGAGAUUUAGAGAAUGCCUCGCAGCUUUAAUUUCUUUUUCCUUCAUUAUUACUGUUUUCAAAAUUUUUAUUGCUGGGUAUUGAUAAUUUGUAGUAUGUGAGGGCUUCAAUAUGUUGGAAUUUUGAAUGGUUAUUGCUUCAUCGGAAUUUGGGUGGUCCAAAUUUUGAAUUAGAAGAAACCCAUUUGAUUAAUAUUUUUGGUGGAUUGGUUCUCUGUGUUUUCCUUGCUAUUUCUCCCCCAGUUGGAAAUUGGAAGCCCCAACUUUGAGCUCAGAGCUUGAAUUUCUCAAUCGUUCGUUUCUCUGCACUCUCAUCAAUCACUCUUGAUCCUCUAUCUAAAGAACUGGGUAAUUUUCCAGCUCUAUCAAGUAAUACUCCAUUUAAUUGCUUAAUUGAGGUUUUUUGUUUCUCUUUUUCGCUCUUUCAUCAGUUCAUUGACUUUGAUGUUGAGCUUAAGUAAAUGGGAGAUCAUUAAUUGGCAUUGUUCAAGAUAUAAUUCUGUGUUUUUGGAUUUGUGAAACGAUUUGCCUAAUGAUGAUAGUGGUUAAAAUAAAUUUUUCGUUAUGAAGAGAACAUUGUUCUUCAUUUGCCUACGGUUUUAACUACAAAGUUAAACUACUAUGCUUUUGUUCAAUUGACUGCAACUCAUGCCGCAGUUUGCUUCACAAACCUCUACGGUUAGCUUCCAUACAGUAUGUUGCAAGUUUGAGGAUAUCUUUACAUCUUAAUUUUUGCUCUCUCUGGUUGCUUCAAGUUUGUAAUUUUACGUGUUACAUUGCUACUUGAUUUGAUUAUAAAAAUGCAAAACAAAAUCCGUUUUGCUUUUAUUCAACUUAAAUGUAUCCUUUUGUUUGUUCAUAAUUGUGUUGAAUUUAUUCAACUUAAAUGUGUUUUAUUCAUCUAUUUACGCUUAAAACAACUGGUUCCCCUAGCAAUGCGCGGGCCUAAUUUCUAGUACAUAUACUAAAAGCCAGCAGAAAAUUACUGUUCAUCAUGGGAGAUAGAGCACUGUUCAUUAACAGUGAAAGGGCGAAAAUGCCCUCGGUUUCUUCUUUACUUCACGUACUGUUUACGAAUUGCUACAGUAUAAAGUCCGUUUUGUCCUUCCUGUCCACACAUCUUUCAUCGUCCGUUUCUCUUGCUUCGACCGUAUCUUUUUUGCUUUACCUUUCCUCUUCAUUUUUCGCAUUCGUUAGGCUGCGAUUUUCGGAGGUGGAUUGUUUGCCCUCCCAUUUCCAUGCUCUCCCCAUGCCUAUGUGGUCACAGUUAAACCACGUCAAUAUUUUAUAUUAAUUUUUUAUAAAAAUAAUAAAACAAAAAGUAAUAAGAAUAUAAAAUAUUGACGUGGCUUAACGUGGUCCGUGAUCACAGUAGGCAUGGAAAUGGUCCGCGACUUUCUCCCUUUUCGCCAGCCCCUCUUUUGCUCUCAAAUCCUUGCUCUUUCUUUUGCAAAAUAGUCUCAGAAGAGAUCCUGGGUUUAUCGAAUCCUUUGUUGUUCGGCGUUUUGUUCUCAUCUUGUGAUCGUCGGGUCAGCAGCUUUAAGGUAAGUUUGUUUUUAAUGAUUUAUCCUCAUUUUACGAUGUCUGGGCUAACAAAUUUAAGAUCUUUAUUUUUCUUUUUGCUGCGGAUCUGCAGGUUUUGACAAGUUUUUUGUGAAAUUGGUGCUGUCAGUGGGUGUUAACAUCAGGUACCCAUGUUCAGUUUUUCGUUUUGAUUUGAAGGAAUUUCUUGCGCAGAAGUGCUAGGGUUUCUUGGUGAGUUCUUCGGGUUGUGCAUAUGGGUAAUUUUCUUUUCGGUUUAACCCGCUGCUUCUGCUGCUCUCUCUCUUUCUCUCAUCCCUGCCUGCUCCUCUCCAAUUGUUUGCUGUUCUUAAAUAUUGUGUUCAUUGCCUGAUACAAGGAGCUGCAGCAAUCUGUUUUAUCCUACACGGGACAACGAGGCAAUGGCGUGACAACAGGUGAGCUUGGAUAUCCAAAGAAAGAGAACAGUUGGUUCAUCUGCUGGAGUCUGAAGCUCAGAGAAGUGGAGGAAAAUUGCAGGUGUGCGAGAAAUUUUAUUUUGCUGAUAGGACUCCUUAUUUACGGAUGCAUUUUGAAAUAAUUGAAAAGUUGGAUUUGAGUUAACAGCUAUAAAAAUGUAGACAUGAUUGCUGAGAUUAUGCUAUGAAAGUGGAAUAAAAAAAUGGUAGUUUAUAAUAUUGCGUACCAAUUUUUUUCUCUCUUUUUUACCAAAUGAUAAGGGUGGUGGCUCAGGCCGCCCCCCCUACGCGUCCCCACUCUUCGACAAGUUGAAAUCAUGGUGAUAGUUUAUGGGCUGUGGUCUUGGGAUUCUGCAAAUAGAUUAAAAAACAGACACUUAACUAUCUUGUUAUUAAACAUUUCUGCAUCAUUCAGUUGCUCUUGAUUUUCGUCUUUUAAGCGAUCUUAUUUCUGCGAUCUGACUUGAGGAGGGUUUUUAGACCUAUGGUUGUGGGUGUUUUGUCUGACCCCAUUAAAUUGGUUUCCGAGAUUUGUAGACUUGCGAUCGGCAGUCAAACAUUUUGUGAUUCUUGCUUUUUUUCCGACUGGGAUUGACGAAUUUUGGCCGAAUCUGUUUCCUGUUUUCUUCUCUGUUUGAGCGGCCGCUGCCUUUCGGUCGUUGAGCGCCGGCAGUCUUUAGAUCUUUGGCAAAUCAAUUUAAUACAACCGAGGUAUGUUUUAUAACUGCUGUCUUUCAAUUUUUGUUCUGUAUUUUUGUUAAUUUGGAUGAAGCUCUAAUAAUUUUGUUUUGGAUCAGUUGUGGUCCUCUGUUAGGAUUUUCCUGGCUAAGAGGGUAUUUGCGUUUUUGUUGCUUGGUUGGUCGAUCACAGAUUUACGAACAGCUGUGGUGGUCCUGUUAUUUUUUUGGUAUGUUUUUUCUCCUUUUUGGUUUUUUCCCGGUUUGAGCACCCAUUCAUGAAGAAUUAAAAUGUGUUUAUAGUUUUUCAGGAGAGAUUAGAAAAGUGAUUUCAAUUUGGGAAAAUUUAAUGUUGGUUAAAAUUUGUCUAUAAUUUUUGGGAAGGAAUGAGAGGACCCAUUGAAGUAUGUGUUGUGAUUAUUUUUUAUUCAUAUUUUUAACAAAUUGGGCAUGAAUUGGUAGGUUAACUGUGUGUGUUUAUUAUUUGAAUCGGCCAUGUUUGUCUUUCUAUGGUUCUAAAAAAUUUGUAAAGGCUGUUAACUUGGAAGAAAAUGGGAUCGAGGGUGAGGGGAAAACGGCAGAGAAAGCAUGGAAGAGAGAUUUGGGAUUAGGGGUAGGAAAACAGAUGAAAAGAAUAUGAUAGAGGAAUGAGUUCAGUUCAUUUUCACUAUUUUUUUUAACUGAUUUGGAUUUUGUUUGGGUUUGAGGCCAUCAUUGGCGUUAAGACGUUUAUUAUCAGAUCGUGUGUGUUUUUUGCUAACUUUUAUUGGUCAUUUUUAUGUUGUUCUUAUGAUUUUGUGUGGUAGGGUUUCUGAAUUUUAUCGUUAUUCAUUUGGUUUUUUGUGUGUGUUGGUUUGUUUAUUUUGCAGGUUGUGUUUGUGCUGGGACAACAUUUUCCACCUUCUGUUUGCACUGGGAUGAUUGCGUUUUAAAACUGUUGGGGUGAGAUUUACAUAUGGAAUCAUUCCAUUUUUUUUCUUCCAAAUAUGUGCAUUUAGUUCUUUUUAUUUUAAAUUUUAAAAAUUAAAUCGUUAUUUGAGUAAAAUGUUUUAUUAAUUUAUGUUAUGUGUUGUGAUCAGGAAUUCUGUUGGAUUUGCAAAUUUUGGUUUGAUGAGAGAGAUGAGGAGUUUUUUUUGUUUGAAUUUUUUAUUGGACCGAUUUUCAAUUGGAUUGCAUUCUGCCUUUUUGCACCAUUCUUAUGCAAGCAAUUCAUUGUUUUAAAUACAAUUUGAAGAGAGCUGGGUUGCGGGUUGGAUAUAAAAUGUUAAGGUGAGAUAAAAUCGAGAUACCAAGGGUGGAAGAAUGAUUCAGAAUUGGGGGAGGAAAACAGAGGGAAGAUGGAAGAGUAUAAGAGAAGGAUAGGGUUGACCUCAUUUAGAGUUUUUAUUUACUUUUUUUUUUAUUAUUUAUAAAUUGAUUCAGGACUAGCAUAUCAUUUCUAAAUUUCUAACAUUUUUGUUUAAUUUGACUCCAGUUGAUGGAAAACAGAGCUCUUACUCCUAUCAAUCAGUUGGUCCCGUACAUAAAUGCAGAAAAAUCAAGGUUCGAGUUUGCAGAGUAUGCAGACCAAGGUUUCCUGAAACUACUGGUGCUGUCACGCCCCAAUCCCGACCUAUGUCCAGGAUCGACACGUGACGUUAACAAAUACCCAUAUCUCUAACAUACCCCGCCUCCGGAAUAUGGGCAAAGCACAACUGCGUAAUAAUUUUUCGUAUACUUUAUGGCUGCAUCUAACAUCCUCGUUAGAUUAUCAUACCUUAUGGCUACAUCUAACAUCCUUGUUAGACUGCCUACGUACUCUCAAAAGGGAUCAAACCAUUCGUAGUUCACCACACUCCAAUCCACAAAAAUUUGCACAUGCACUGAUUAUAAAAUGGAACUGCACCUAUAGAAACCUAAUCAUAACCCGUGGGCGAUUUGCUCCCACAUAAGAAAGACGUCCACAGUACCAUGAAAUACUUCCACAUCUUUCCUUCCCAUUUACACAAUAUUUUAUUUCACCUCCCUGAUAAAUAUAGCAUUUACAUUACAUGUGGCAGACAAAUUUGCAUAUUCAACUAUAAUAAAAUACAAUCUUAGUAGGAAAAACCUACAAGACCACCACUCGUUUGAGCCAAACUUUAGCUUAGCACUCAACUGGUGCUCACACCAUGUGAGUGCACGAUCCUUUAAGAUGGAUGCGAUGGUUCUCUUUUGAGAUUAAUUUUGUUACAGGUAUAACAUAGUUGGCAACCGUUUAGAAAUAGAUGCCUCAUGUUCAAAACUCUCAUUACCAAAUGUUCUAACAAGUUAGUAGAGAAGGUAAAAGAACCCAAAUGGCGAGAAAUAGUGUCCUGAUGAAACAAAAGAUGUAACCCUCAUUCAAGCACGAACAUCAUUUCCUUGAGAAUCUGCGAUUUCUUCCCUCAUUUGGUCAAUAUAGCUUGUAUUCCAACUGCAACUUACUAAUAGCAUUUGUUCUCUCCUCGAAUGAAACCAUAACCAGCCAUUUUAAAUAAAGCUGAACAGUUUCACGUUGGGAAAAUAAAGAUUAUAACAUACAGGUUUUGGAUUAGAUUCCCAAACCAACAGAAAAUUAAGAUAGGAAUCUAUUUUGGGUUAACUGAGGUAUGAGUGGUAUACAAAUGAGAAAUUCCCUACAAAAGUCAAUAAAACCAGUUACAUAACAUGUUGAAUAUAAUACAACAUGAAAUAAGAAGCACCACUUGUUUAUCUGACUUUUUAUACAUGUAUUUUCCUAAGGGAUAAAAACGUGCGGGUUUUGGGAUCAAUCUGAAGAGGGCUUCACCACGAAUACAUAGCCUUUGACCGUGCAUGAUUUCGUUGCCGUAUGAGAAAGUUAUCAUUUUUUUUUUUUGUGAAGAAGAAUUAAGGGGGAGAAGAACAGCUGCCCCCUCUGUUUCUGCAUCUGCCCAGCGGGGAAAGAAAAAGAAGAGAAGCCCUUGGCUUCUAGAAUACUCCCUCCCCAAAAUUACAAUUUUGCUCUCUAACUUUGAUUGUUUAUAUCUUAUUCGUUAUAACUCUGUUUCACGAACAGCUUUUGCUUACAUGCUCACAUAGUCGUCAUCUAUUUAAAUAUAUCAAGAAAUACAAUAAAAUACAUCCUCGUAUAAGUAUGUUAACCAAUUAGGGCACUUUCGUCAUUUCCACUUAUCGAUAGAUUUUAACACGUUAAUUAUAAUAAUGUCCGGAAACAGCUUUAAAAUUUCCAAAUUCUAUUUCCAUAACCAUAAAUCGAUUUAUUAAUUUUUCAGGGUAUCACAGGUGCAUAUUCAGGCUUGCAUUGUAUAUUACUUUCCUAUUAAAAAUUUGUUUGGAAUUUGCUUUUCCCACAAAGGAGAAGAGCUGACAGUUACGCUGUGGGCAGAUGUUGCUCGAAGUAUUGCUUCUUUAUCCAUUGAAUCAUUGUCUCUGCCGAUCUUUGCGGUUUUCACAAGUUUAAAGGUCAAGCUGUACCUAGGUGUUUGACUUAAUUAAAAACUAAUCUAUUUAUUUCGGAGGCGGAGCAAAAUGCUAUCUGUCUUACCCCUCUUGGUGAUCUUAGUCGGAAAGAUCGGCUAGUUUGGGAUGUGAGUAAGAAUGGGCAGUACUCGGUUCGAUCGGGCUAUCAUUGGCUGCAAUCUAGGUCUGUUGGGUUCAGGGAUCAACGCCAGCUUGGUGCUUGCUUAGUUCCGAGGCAUUUGUGGCGCAUGGUUUGGUAGUUGAGUGGGCCUCAUAAGCUCCGUCAUUUCUUUUGGUUAUCUUUGCAUAAUGCAUUACCGUCAUUUCUUUUGGUCCGUGACCAGGCAUGAGGAGAGCAUGGAAAUGAGAGGGCAGACAAUCCACCUCCGCGACUUUCUCCCUUUUCGCCAGCCCCUCUUUUGCUCUCAAAUCCUUGCUCUUUCUUUUGCAAAAUAGUCUCAGAAGAGAUCCUGGGUUUAUCGAAUCCUUUGUUGUUCGGCGUUUUGUUCUCAUCUUGCGAUCGUCGGGGUAGCAGCUUUAAGGUAAGUUUGUUUUUAAUGAUUUAUCCUCAUUUUACUAAACUAUUUAUGGUAACUUAGUAUGGUAACUUAACUAAGUAAGUUUGCUUUUAGCCCAAGGGUUGGAGAUGGUCUUAGUAUGGUAACUUAACUAUUUAAUUCCAUCUCAUUAAACUAAAAAAAACAAUUACAUAAAAAUAAGGGAAACCUUGUCCAGAGAGACCUGAGAAAGUCCACCCCUAAGGACUUUGCGCCAGCACCCAGCGUAUUUAUCUACUCAAGUGAACAGUAAUAGACUGGAGUGAACAGUAAUAGGCCAAGGCAUCUCCACCCCUAAAAAAAUGCGCUGGCACCCAGUGCAUUUAUUUGGUGUGUUUUUUUUUUAAAGUUUAUUUCAGAUAAGAUUUUUAACCAAUUUCGGAUAAAAUUUCAAAUAAACUUAAAAAAAAACACUCUAAAAUAAAAUUACAUACUCAUCAAAUAAACUUAAAAAAACACACUAAAAUAAAAUUACAUAAACUCAUCAAAUAAAUUAAGGAUGAGCUUUUUGGUAUUUUUUUUUCACACAAAAAGUAUAUGAAAGCUUUGGUAGAAGGUCUAGAAAAUAUUGAAAUGUGGUGUAAGGUGGAAGAUGAGGGUUAGGUAUUUAUAGAAAAAAAAUAAUAACUUUUUUAAAAUUUUACUGUAUUUUAAAAAAAAAUCUGUAUUUUUUUAUAUUUUUAAUUAAUUUUAAUGUAGUUAAUUAAUUUGGACCGUUGGAUUUGAAAAAUAUUCAAAUCCAAUAGCCCAGGAUCGGCCACGUGGCCAACGCCAGCAAAUGGCCCAGCUUCUUGGUCAGCCUGUUUUGUGCUGGCCCAGAGACCAGUUUGGGCUGGGUGCCAGUCUGUUUUGUGGGCUGGAGUGAAUGGACAGGGUCCCAGCCUGUUUUUUGUGCUGAGUGCUGGCCUAAUCCACCACCGGUGGACUUGCUCUGAGAGAAAGUGACGACUUCUCCUCUCAUUCCACUCCAUACUUGAUCUCUAAAGUCCAUUUGGCAUGUAAUUGAUGUUCAAUUUCAAAUUUAGUGGUAGCAAUUAGCAAAGCUAAUGAAAGAAUCAAAUAAAAUGAAAGAAAAAGCAUCAUGAAAUAAAUCAAGAUGAAGAAUGAAAUUUUGGCAACUCGCCAUUCUCUUCUUUUAUAUAAAAGAUACAUCCUAUUUGUAGUGAAAACAGGUCCCGACAAACCCAGUUAUCCUCAAGAAGUAUUUUGUAUGACUUUAAAAACAUAAUCCGUGAAAUUAUCUCUUGGCUGAGAACAACAACAAAUCUUCAUGCAUAGCUUGUACAGAAAGACAUCAGGCAUACAAAAGAACACGCAAGCAUAAAAUAAACGACGCAGGGAAAACCAAAAAUACUAUAGAACACGUCGCUGUCAAAAGAACAUGAAUAAAUGAAAAUUACAAAACAAAGAAGUGAUGAGAAACCAAAGUACCCAUUUCAUAAUCUAGUUGCUUUUUAGUUUGCUUGCCAUUUUUAGUUCUUCAAUUUAGAGAGAAACGAUAAUUCAGCACAUGAAUAAAGUGAAAACGUAAAAGAUAUGUGGGAUAAGCUGACAGCCAUCCCUGAGUAAUGCAUUCACUUAUGAACCCCAAACACAACGAAACAAAAAUUCACACAUGAACUACAGCUCCGCUAUGUAACAAGAAUUAAAAGCAUCUCAAGACAAAAUGGCAAACUAUAAGAGCACUGUAAAAGUAAAAUUGCAAGAAAUCUAAUACUUGGAGGGCAAGUACUACUCAGACGAAAAUGAAAGAUUGAACUACCUCGCGUGGAACUGUGCCUUGGUUUUUUCCCAUGCUUACAGGAAGCUUUGCACUGAGCUCUUAUAGCCCAAAUUUUCUCUGAAAGAAAAAAACACAAUUUUGAAAUAAGAUUUUCAUAUUAUACCUUAAAGAGAAGAAUUAGAAAACAAAAAAGAGAACAAUGAGUACUAUUCAUCAUAUAUUGUUAGAGUGUGUGGUCCUUUGGUCCAAUGGUCCUGCAGCCAUAUUUACUUUAUAACUCUUUCUUUUAGUCUAAAAAACAUCUUGGAUCUCAAAUUAAUAUGAAUACGGAUUCAUACGCAUGCAUUGCAUUACAACCACAAUGCAAUAUCUCAUUAGAAAUCCCCACACAAAAUUUUUUUAUUUCUACUUUGAUUUUAGUUUAUAUUUUUUCUAAAGCACGAGGGAGCUAAUUUUUUUUUAAAUUUUUUUUAUUCCAAUAAUGUUAUAGGGUUGAAAGGAUAUUAUCAAUUUAAUUGAUUGUAUUUGAUUGGUGGAACUUCUAUAUCUAUAUUUCAGUUUUUCAAAUUCAGCACUGGGAGAGUCAUUCAUAAAAUGUUUGACAGUGAGAUUACCUCCAUGGAUUAUGCUCACAAUGGACAGCUCAUUUUCCGCAGUGAUGGGACAAUAUAUUUCAGUCAUUCGCCAUUCAAUCAAUUCAAACCGAGGAACAAGCAACAUCAAGAAGAGGAUCUGCCAUGUCAGGAUCACUGUCGUCCAAUUAAUACAAAAAAUCUAGAUAAAAACGAUCAAUUUACAUAAAAGCCUUUCAUUUUCUCAGCAACCAAGCAAAAGAAAAUACCUAUCCGUUAACACUCGAUUUGGGAGUAAAUGUUGCUGAAACUGGACUUCAAUCCCCUCAACCGCAACAACCGAAUCGAGGUGUGCAAGUCAUUGAAAAACUCACCCAAGAUUUCAAAAUCUGCAUAAAUAAAUAAAUAAGCACAUAAAUUAGCCAACCCUGUUAUGAUCCCACAUCGGGUACACAAGAAAUUGUGUAGUGGUACUUAAGUGCAAGGGGUCCUCCCACCUAUUGGACUAGUUUUUUGGAUUGGGCUCUUCCCUUGGGCUUGAGUACCUAACAUUGGUAUCAGAGCCUAGGUUCCCGACGCUGCGGGACUUGGCGAGUGGUGCAGCCUCGUGGUGCCGCCUUGAGAGUAUGGGCUCCUAAGGGUCUUGGCGACGGGCAAGGUAUGAAAUGCCGAUAUUAUCGCGAUAUUUCGCCGAUAAUAUCGGUUUUUUGAGUUACCGAUAUUUUAAUACUUAUCCACUGAGUUUUCGUCAAAAUAUCGCGAUAAUAUCAACAAUAUCGCGAUAUUACCGAUAAUAUCGCGAUAUUUUGGAGAUGUGCGAAUCGGAGAAGAACGCCGGAGCUUUUACAGCUCCGGCCGACUGUAAAAGAGCACCCUAGACUCCGAUCUAGGUAUCAAAAUGAAAUACAAGAUGAGAGGAAUGUUUUUAUAACUUCCGUUUGCCGUGAAACGGUCGAAGGUGUUCGGAAAGUUCGUCGACACCCACGGCCUCGCCAGAGAUGGGUGUGCCUAUUCCCGAGCCGAUUUCGUCCCAAAAACCUUGCAAAAACACGAGAUAGAACUUAAAUUUCACGUCUAAGCUUCAAUCUAGAAUAGAAUGAGGUAAACCCGAAGCUUACCUAACCGGAGAAAUUCAAGAAACUCGUCGGAGGGUUCCUGCGUCGCCGAGUUGCAGAGACGAGAAGGAGAGGGAGAAAGACGAGGUUGCUGAUGACGAUGGGUGUCUUCCUCAAGCAAGUGCGAUGGUGUGCGUGUGUGUAUGUGGGUCUCGGUGCAGAGAGAAAGGAGAGAGAUGAGAGUUUCGAGAGAGAGACGGCACCGACGAGAGCUAUUUGUUUUUUUUUAUCUUAAAAAGAGAGAGGUCUAAGAGAAAUGGGAAGAGAGGGCCGAGUGAAAUGAAAGGAGGUCCUUGAAUUAUUGAGAGAUAUCUCUGAGAGAGGCCUAGGAUUUCUAAAAGGUAAUCAUAAAUGGGAAAAAUGGGGCACAUCUUAGCCUUUAUUUUGGAAUCCUAAGAAGUUCACCACAUGGAUGCAUGACAUGUGUGCAUGCCAUGUUUGUUGAAUGGGAAAAGUCUGACACGGAAAGACAAAGAGUCGUUUGGGGCUCUGGGCUCGAGGCAAGACAGAAAGUGCUAGGGUUUUUUUCUGAAAUGAACAUAAGCUGCUAAAUUCGCAUAUAUUAUAGUUGUUGCUAAAGAUUGUCACUAGUGUGGACUUGGACGUGUUGGUCAACAUGUCCUCACAAUCCCCAAGUUCUCUGGUUCGAACCCUUGCGCCCAUCAAAUUUUCUUUCUUUUUGAUGCGCUUUUCCCAUGGCUCUAGGUCUUGAUUUCGAAUCCAAGUGAGCCCUUUCCUUUUUCUUUUUUGUUCUUUUUGUUUUAUUAUUUGUUUAUUUUAAUUUAUUUGUUUCUUUUAUGUUUUUCUUUUCUUUUAGUUUCUUUGUCUUAGGCGUUCGUUUUUAUUAAAGUAGGAUGUAAAAUCAAUUAUCUUAAAAUUAUGUGUUUUUAAAUUUUGGACUUGUUUGUUGGAUACUUUUUUUUCAUUUUAUCAUUCUUUUAUUAUGAAAAUAUGCUAAAAUAUGCUAAAAUAUCACUUAUGUUUUUGUGAAAAUAUGCUAAAAUAUUUAUAUAUAUGAUUUUGUUUUGAAUUCUUUUUGUACUAAUUCAUUAUAUAUAAAUGAUUAUGGUGUGUUUAAACUUCUUUAAUUAAUUACUACAUAUUUUCUAUACUCACAAUGUUUGCCAGCUCGCUAUAUAAUCAACUUAAAUCAGUUAAAUCCAUCAUGCAAUGCAUUUCCUUCCAAUUUUUUGUGAUAAACUUGUGAACACGGAAAAUUCCUGAAACGAAAGAGACAAGAACGAACGUGCACAAACAAAUAUUAUGUAUUUGAUGAUUUUGGGUUACAAUCUCUCUCUAUUUGAUCCUCUGAUUCAAUCUCCGUAAGGUGUGUAUUUGUGGAUGUGUGAUUGAUCCAAAGGGCCGUUGGGCUUGAUCUAAUGAUGAACGUUCUUCAAGGGCCGUGGACUUGAUCUUGAAGGUGGAUUUGAGCGGAUCUUCAAAGGGGCUUUUGGGCUUGAUCUUGAAGAACGGUUGGAUGUGUGGAUUUGUCGAAGUUGUUGAUCCAAAGGGCCGUUGGGGCUUGAUCUUGGAUGAACGGAUGAUGAACGAUGGUGCUUUCUUCAAGGGUCGUCGGGGCUUGAUCUUGAAUUGGUGGAUGGUUGAUCCAAGGGCCGUCGGGGCUUGAUCUUGGAAGAACGAUGAACGAAGAACGAAGAACACUUUCUUCAAGGGCCGUCGGGGCUUGAUCUUGAAUUGGUGGAUGAUUGUUGAUCCAAAGGGCCGUUGGGGCUUGAUCUUGGAAGAACGAUGAACGAAGAACAAAGAACGCUUUCUUCAAGGGCCGUCGGGGCUUGAUCUUGAAGGUGGAUGAUUGUUGAUCCAAAGGCUGUCGAGGCUUGAUCUUGGAAGAACGAUGAACGAAGAACACUUUCUUGAUUCUUCGGGAACCUGGACGCUUGAGAGCUUCGGAGUUUCAGAGCUUCAGAGCUUCAAGGUGUAAUAUGAAUUGGUCCCCCCUAAAUGAAUGAAAUGGGCUUGUAUUUAUAGAAUUUUCCAAGGCCUAAUUUUGAAUAUAAUAUCUCAGAUGAAAUAAGUCGUUUCUGCCAGGUGUUAACACGUGUCCUAUUUGAUGACUUUUCCAACUCAUUUCAAUUUUCGUUUAGUCACACGCUACGUGUAAAAUUUAUGUAAUACAUGAGCGUUGACACUUUGAUUUAUCGGUCAACAUUUAUUUACCGAAAUUUCGAUGUCUACAAAUGCCCCCACUUCAAGGCACGUCGUAUACCUGUGCUUGUCACGUGUAGGAGAUGCGUUUUGAAGUCCCUUACCGUAGAUGCCGAUUCAAGGGCCGUUGAAGCUUGAUCUUGAAUUGGGCUUGAGAUUUCUUCAAGGGCCGUUGAGGCUUGAUCUUGAAUUUUUGUUUGAAAUUUCUUCAGGGGCCGUCGAGGCUUGAUCUUGAAGGUUGAAAUUGGGCCACAAGGAGCUUCAUGUGGUAGAUGAUCUUUGGCUUUGGUAGUGGAUGAAUCGGCACGUAUUUUAUUGCGCUUGUUGACUUUCCACAGCUUUGAUCUUGAACUGGGUUGGAGGAUUUUCUGGAUUCCUCCAAUUGUUGAUUUUCCACAGCUUAUUCUUGAACUAGGUUUUGAUUCAAGGGUGGUAGACACUUGAUCUUGAAUCGGACUUGUGAUUUCCUCGAUGGCCGUCGAGGCUUGAUCUUGAAUUUGGUUGGAAACUUCUUCAAGGGCCGUCGAGGCUUGAUUCUUGAAGGUUGACUCGAACAUAUGGCAAGCAGGCACGAGGUGAAGGUGACGACUUGUUGCUUUGUUCAAUCUUUCUAAUUCACACCUGAGCAGUUUGGUCAACGGUAUGAUCCUCAAGAUUGAUGGGCUCUUCUUCCAGUUGGUGACUUGAUCUUUAAGGAUUUGAUUCAAGGGUGGUGAAUCGGCACGUGCAGCCCACAACGCCUAGUAAGCCGACCCAAGAAUUUGAGGGUCAAAACGGAUUCACCGUCAGAGUGAUUGCAACUUUGAUGAUAUGAGAUACUCUUGCUUUUGAAGAAGUAGUGGAUGAAUCAGCACGUGCUUUGUUGCGCUUGUCUCCACAUGCUUCAAGGUAUCAUCUUUAUUUCCUUUAUCUAUUCCUCAGGCAGAUGUGGCAUCUUCUCGAGUUCUUCAUCUCAGACUCUUUCUGCUGAGUUGACUGUUCAUGCUGCAUUCUUCUCUGCUUGUUCAUUCUGCACGUUGUCUCCACAUGCUGCAAGGUAUCAUUUUCACUUGCCUUAUCUGUUCUCCGGGCAAAUGUGGCAGCUUCUUUGAAAGUACAGUAGCAGCGGGAGGCGAGUACUCGAGAGCAGUGCUAGGUAGGCAAUCAGGGAAGGGUUCCAAGCAGUCGGUUCCUUACCCGAGUUUGAGUGGAAGUUCCGGCAUAUUGUUUUUUUUAUCCUUGUCUUUGUAGGUAAGAACAAGGACAAAGGAAAGGACAGGGAGAACGCAUGAUAUGAGAUACUCUUGCUUUCUACCCUGGUGAUAUGAGAUACUUUUGCUUUGGAGUCAUUGGCUUGCAGAGGUACCCCAAGGAAUAAGGAACACUGAAUGACUCGAGAGGCUUCGUUGGGAAAACAUCUUUGGAGAUGAAGAAAGACUUUGUGUGUCUGCCUUGCUAUGGAAGGCGAAGGUAGACAAUUAUAGGAAGUUCUUUGAUACCUGUAGAUGUACUAUUCUUUCACUCGUGUCGGCAACCAAUGCGUGAUUGAUCUAUAUGGCUUCACGUGCUUCCUUCUUUAUCAGAAAUCUUCGACAAACUGUCCGUAAUUUCCGCCAAGCUGAGUGUGCAUGUGAUAGGUGUUGACGCGGCUGAAAAAGACUGGCGCUUAUUCGAUAACUGGGAUCUGCGCUUCGACAAAUUACCCGUGAUUUCCGCAAAGCUGAGUUUGCGUGUGAUGGGUGCUGACGUGUCUGGAAAAGACUGGCGUCUCUUCGAUGUCUGGGAUCGGCACUUCGACAAAUUGCCCGUGAUUUUCGCAAAGCUGAGCUUGCGUGUGACGGGUGCUGACGCGUCUGGAAAAGCAAGAUGCUUCUUCGAUUUCUGAGCUUGCCUCUUCGAUUUUUGAAUGGCCUCUUCGAAUUCUGAGCUCGCCUCUUCGAUCUCUGAAAUCCCGUCGAGUGUUGAUUUUUUAUAGAGGCAUGCUGUUCGUUUCAAAGCACACUUGAAUUUUACUUGUGAAAACUCCCUUCUUGCACUUCUAAGAUCUUGAUUCGUCUGACCUCUUCUUCCUUCAACACUUUGAAAAUGUCUGGACCCUCCGACCGUCGUUUUGAUUUGAACUUUGGUGAAGAUGUAGUCCCGUCUUCUCCAGAUAACAUAUGGCGCCCAUCCUUCAUAUCCCCUACUGGUCCUCUUACUGUUGGGGAUUCGGUGGUGAAGAAUGAUAUGACCGCUGCGGUGGUGGCCCGAAACCUUGUCACUCCCAGAGAUAACAGACUACUUUCCAAACGGUCUGAUGAGUUGGCUGUUAAGGAUUCUCUGGCUCUCAGUGUGCAGUGUGCGGGUUCUGUGUCCAACAUGGCCCAACGCCUAUUUGCUCGAACCCGUCAAGUUGAAUCGUUGGCGGCUGAAGUGAUGAGUCUUAAACAGGAGAUUAGAGGGCUCAAGCAUGAGAAUAAACAGUUGCACAAGCUUGCACACAACUAUGCCACAAACAUGAAGAUGAAGAUUGACCAGAUGCAGGAAUCUGAUGGUCAGAUUUUACUUGAUCAUCAGCGGUUUGUGGGUUCGUUCCAACAGCAUUUGCCUUUGUCUUCUGGGGCUGUACCGCGUAGUGAAGCUCCUCAUGAUCAACCUCCAGCCCCUCUUCUUUCUGGAGUUCCACCGAGUGGUGUGACUUCAAACAGUCAACCUCCGACGUCUCUUUUCCCUAGAGCUCCACCGAGCACUGAGACACCACCUGAGCAAUAAAGACUCCCUCCCGUUUGUUUGCACAUUUGUAAAUUUUUUUUUUUUUUUUUUUUUUUUUUUUUUUUGGUAUGUAGAAUGCAAUUUUAUGUAAAAUUUCCAGAAAAAAUAAAUAAAAUGGAUUUUUAUUUCUCUUAAUGCUUUUUUUUUUUUUUUUUUUUUUGCUGUAUAUAUUAUACACACACAUUUAUACAUACAUAUAUACAUACAUAUAUAUAUAUUUUCACGUGGAGUGAUCCACCAUCCCAAAACCCAUUUUCCCUUUGUUUUUUUUUGCAUGGUGCUAGCCACCAAGAAUUCACCUUUUUUUUUUUUUUAAUUAAUUAAUUAAUUUAUUUAUUUAUUAAUUUAUUAUUAUUAUUUCUUUUUCGUCUGCUUUCACAUGGUGCUUGAUCCACCACUCUCUUUUCUUUUUUCACGUGGUGCCAGAUGCACGCCCCUUUUUUUUUCACGUGGUGACAGCACCACUCUGCUUUGCUCUACCACAUUUUUUUUUUUUUUGUAUAAAUUAGGAUGCUUGGCUGAGGGAUUUUGUAGGGAAGGACGAAGACGGACGGAGAGCCGGAGUUUGAGGAAGAGCUUCUCGGCCGGCUAGUCGUUUGACAGCGGUCUUUGAAGUUGGUGGCAGCUGCGAGGCAAGAGACGGAGGAGGACAGGGCAGCUGUGACGGACAGAGACGCCAUGGCAGGACCUCGAGGAGUUUUAAGAUACUGGUGCAGGUACUGGCGAGGUGAUUUUGACGAGAAAAGCAUGAAGAGGGCGUCGAGCACCAUGGGCCUGCAAUCCUUAAGGUUGAUCUCGUAGUCCUUGAGCUCUUGUUCAGGCAUGACGGGAUCCGCUGCGGUCUUUUUUAUCGGCAAUAAAGUUCUUUGCCUCAUAAAACAGCCCAGAACGCGAUAGAAGAGUUACGAACAAAGCACAAUGUGCAACUGUAGGUGUCUUGAUGCAGUUGAAGUAAAACUUCCCUUCCUCGACCAUGCGUGCUGCAACGCAAGCAUGAAGGACAGCAGCAUAGGUGAUUUCAUCGAUCUGUGUACUCGUUUCCUUCUCCAUUUGGCAGAAUAAAUCUACUCCGAUCUUUCCUUGUCCGUGUAAGCUGUACCCAGUUAUCAUCACUGUCCACGAAACAAGAUCUCUUGUACUUCGACCCUGGCAAAAACUUUUGCAGCUGAUUUGAUAAAUCCCGACUUGACAUACAUGUCCAUAAGAGCAUUCAGAACGGUGAGAUUCAUUCGAAUACCAUGUCGCAGCAAGAAUCCAUGAGUCUCUUUUGCCAUGUUUACCUGCAGACAUUCUUGCGCAUGCUGGGAGAACACUAGAGACCGAGAGCGGAUCAGGUUUCACCCCGUCUCCAACCAUCUGCCUAAACAGCUUAAGACCCUCAUUGAAGCAUCCCCUCUUCACAUUGGCAUGAAUCAUUUCUGUCCAAGAAAUGACAUCUUUCUCCGGUAUUUGGUUGAAAACUGCCCAAGCUUCGUCGACACAGCCACAGUCCAUGUAUAUUUUCAAGAUGGUAUUGCUCACCAACACAUCAUACUCCAAUCCACGUUCCUUGGCAACCCUGUGGACUUUUGUUCCAUCAAUCAACGAUCUCAACAUGCCACAGGCACCAGCCGCCGUCGCCACAGCCACAGAAUCUAUCUGUGCUCCGGACUCCACCAUUCUCUCAAACACAUGAACCGCCUUGCCGGGUUUACCUUCCGCAAUGUACAGCCUGGCCAGCAUUGUCCAUGAAACAGAGUCCGUAACCAGGGACUUGUCAAACAGCCCUUUCGCGGAGUCCGCGCUGUCGAGGCGACCGUACAACUCAAUGAGAGCAGCAACCACGUACCGGUCACCAGAGCAGCCGAGCUUGUGAGCGUGGGCAUGGAGUUGCUUGCCGAGGGAGAGAUCAACCGAAAGGCGAGAGGCAGACAAGACGCGAGGAAGAGUGUGUCUGUCGGGCGACGAACGCGCGGAUGAGCAUUUGGUGGUAAGUGGCGAGGGCGUGGUGGAAGUCGGCAUUGGCGAUAUGGGUCUGGAUAAGUCUGUUCCAUGCAAAGGUAUCUGAGUGGGGCAUUUUGUCGAACACCUUGUGGGUGACGGCCACCUUCGUGGUGGGUUUAGCAUUUCGGGAGUGCUUGUAGUGGGCUGUGUUGAUUGGGUUCUCGGUGACGAUCAAGCGCUGGAUUUGGGCGGAUGGAAGGGCUUCCAUUUCAGUUCAGUCGCACCCAAUUCAGCAUUGCCCGUACGGAUUCGAGCGCAGUUAUCGAGGAGGAGUUUCCUUAAGAAUAGAACCAAUCACCGACUCCUCAAACCCAUCCGGAUAUGCGAUUUUCAUGAGGUGCAAACAAGAACCCUCUGCCAUAAGUGGCAUGAUCACCCAAAGGUUUCUUUCAACGACAAAUGAACAAAACGCCCUCACGACAUUGGGAUGAUCUAUUAAUCUCAUCGUCUGCGCCUCCCUCCGGAUAUCCUCGAAAUUGCUAUUGCACCGAUCGAGAUCCAAGCACUUGACGGCGACGACUUCAUUGAAAGGGAGAUAGAUCGCUCUGUAAACCGUUGCGCUGGCGCCAUAUCCGACCUCUUCCAGAAGCUUGUAGUCGUUCGGAUUCGCCGAGUGAAGCCUCGAAUUGCUACCCAUCCUCCCCAUCUGUUCGAGGACUUGUGCUUCAGAUAUGUCGUUUUGAGGCUACGGGCUCUGCGUUUGGGCUGUGUGCCAGUUUGGGCUUAGUGUUGCUUUGGAGAGAUCUAGGUUUGGUUGAAGAGGUACGGUGAAGCCAUGGGCAAGGGAGAUGACGAAUUGGGCUUGGAGGCUGACACUUGGGCCUGGAUGGCCUCCUUUUGAGAGGCUUGCUGCUGAUGGAUAUACAUAUAUAUAUUUGUAUGUAUAUGUAUGUAAAAGAAAUCUUUUUUUUUUUUUUUAAUUUUUUAAUUUUUUUUUUUAUGUGACUGAACUCGAAAAAAUUGAACAUUCGAGCUGCCUACGUACCCCUCCAAAGAAGAGAUCAAGUCGCAACGUAGUUCAAAUACAUUUUUGGUAUUUUCUUUUUGUGUCGUUUGCAGUUUUAACUCAUGCAGGCAAGGAGUGUUGGUGUCGUUUGCAGUUCCAACUCUUGCAUACAAGGAGCGUUGGUGUUGCCUUUUAUGCUCGUGUAGGCCAGGAGCGUUGGUUCGUGCAGUUUAGGCUCGUGCAGGCGAGGAGCCUUUGGUGUCGUUCGCAGUUUCAACUCGUGCAAACAAGGAGCAUUUGGUGUCGUUCGCAGUUUCAACUCGUGCAGACAAGGAGCAUUUGAUGCCGUGUUGCAGUUUAGGCUCAUGCAGGCGAGGAGCGUUGGUGUCUUGUAGUUUAGGCUCUUACAGACAAGGAGCUUUGGUUCGUGCAGUUUAGGCUCGUGCGAACAAGGAGCAUUGUUGGUUCGUCAAGCGAUCCGAGAGAGUUGUUCCUCACAAUCUUCAUAGCAAGGAGCCUUGACCGCGUGAUUGAAGAAGUCUUCGGGUAAAAAGUCGCGCAUCGUGAUGGCAACAGACAAUCUUUGUGUCGUAGUUUCAUCAUCUUCAACACGUUCACGUUGCUUUGAAGGUUGACAAUAGCUGCUUUGCCCCCUUUUCAAUUGGCGGACUUGUGGAGGAGACGUAUGCUUCUUGUGCAAUUUCUUAGGAGUGACUUGAGUCCAUCCUUCAAUUUUGCUUGUCUUGGACGAUGCCCCCAGCGGUUGAGGUGAAAACUUUGAGUCGGAAGAGCCAGAAGUGAAGGUGGUAUAGUUUGACUUUGCCACUUCGUCAAGAUCUAGCUCGAUGAUUCCUUUCUGAGCCAGCUUCAUGAUGAGAUCUUUCAGCACGAAACAUUUUUCUGUCGGAUGACUGAUGAAGCGGUGGAAUUUACAGUACUUUGGACUGUCGGUGCGAUUCAUCUCUUCUGGCCGUUUGCACUCAGGCAAACCAAUCACCUUCUUUUCCAACAGGUCAUCCAGUAUGGCAACCACAUCAGAGUCGGGGAAUGGAUAAGUCUUCUCCUCAAGCUCCUUUAAAGUGCGUCUACGCAUUUCUUGAUCACGAAAAGCUUCGGUUUGAAUCGCCUUGCCUCGUGUGGAUAUUUUGACGGGAGAUGUGUUGACCGUCAUCGCUUCCUUGGUGGGUUUCCAUGCAGCCUUUUCCACCUUUGUCCCAAGAACUUUGUCGUUCUUGUAGUCGGCGAUUGGUUCUUUCUUCCCAUGAUGGGCGAUGCUCAACUCCAUGUCAUGGGCGCGAGUGGCCAAUUCCUCGAAGGUCCGCGGUUUAAUGCCUUGAAGGAUGUAUUGCAAACCCCAUUGCAUGCCUUGGAUGCACAUCUCGAUUGAAGAGGUUUCCGAGAGCCUGUCUUUACAGUCGAGGCUUAGAGUGCGCCAUCUGUUGAUGUAGUCAAUGACUGGCUCGUCCUUCCACUGCUUUGUGCUUGUUAGCUCUAGCAUGCUCACAGUGCGGCGAGUGCUGUAGAAGCGGUUGAGGAAUUCCCGCUCCAAUUGCUCCCAGUUGUUGAUGGACUCAGGCUCUAGGUCAGUGUACCACUCAAAGGCGUUUCCUUUUAGUGAGCGCACAAACUGCUUGGCGAGGUAGUCCCCUUCGGUCCCUGCGUUGUUGCAAGUUUCAACAAAGUGGGCAAUGUGUUGUUUCGGGUUUCCCUUUCCAUCAAAUUGCAUGAACUUUGGCGGUUGAUAACCCUUCGGCAUCCUUAAGGCGUCGAUUUUCUUUGAAUACGGCUUCGAGUACAACCCGGAGGUAUUUGAGCUCCCUUCGUACUGUGCCUUGAUGGUGUUGGUGAUCAUCUAUUGCAGCUGCUGGAUAGAAAGAGAUCCCAUGAGUGCCGCUGCUUGGUCUGGCUCCGGCUUUGCAUCGUUUUUCUCCACCUGAGGCUCAUCUUCUUCGUCAUCUCUUCUCUUUAGUGGAUCAUUCUCUGGGUCGGGUUUAUCGCCGUCCUGCGCCUUUAGUCGAUUGACGAGUGCUGCAAUUUGCAAGUCUUUUUUCUUCCACCGUUCGGGUCAGCCUUGCGAUUGCUUCAUUCAUCUGAGCCAGUUGUUCUUCAACGGAGGUAACGCCGAUAGUCAUGACUUGUGCGACCAAUAUACGUGACUUUCCUUUAGACAUCCAGGAUGCUGAUGAAGAACGUCGUUGGCUGCUUUGGGAUGUCAUCUUAUGUGCCUCAGCAUCAUGCUUCGGUGCCCCCAGCGAGGUCAGGUUGAUGACAGACUCGCACCUUGGAUGCUCCCCUUGCUCUUUUAGCGGCACCAAUUUUGAAGUAGCAUGUUGGGGAGCGGUUGUGGCGCCAAUGGAUUGUCUGUUUGCGGCAGAAGUGCUUAGGAUCCUUCCCUCAGUGGUUGCGAGAAUGGCUUGUCCUUUGCUUGAUGCCAUUGACUUUGAGGUGUGCUUGGAUUCCUUGAACGAAGAAAGAGAUGAGAGGUAGAGAUUGUCCCACCGGGCGUGCCAAUUUGUGAACACGGAAAAUUCCUGAAACGAAAGAGACAAGAACGAACGUGCACAAACAAAUAUUAUGUAUUUGAUGAUUUUGGGUUACAAUCUCUCUCUAUUUGAUCCUCUGAUUCAAUCUCCGUAAGGUGUGUAUUUGUGGAUGUGUGAUUGAUCCAAAGGGCCGUUGGGCUUGAUCUAAGGAUGAACGUUCUUCAAGGGCCGUGGACUUGAUCUUGAAGGUGGAUUUGAGCGGAUCUUUAAAGGGGCUUUUGGGCUUGAUCUUGAAGAACGGUUGGAUGUGUGGAUUUGUCGAAGUUGUUGAUCCAAAGGGCCGUUGGGGCUUGAUCUUGGAUGAACGGAUGAUGAACGAUGGUGCUUUCUUCAAGGGCCGUCGGGGCUUGAUCUUGAAUUGGUGGAUGGUUGAUCCAAGGGCCGUCGGGGCUUGAUCUUGGAAGAACGAUGAACGAAGAACGAAGAACACUUUCUUCAAGGGCCGUCGGGGCUUGAUCUUGAAUUGGUGGAUGAUUGUUGAUCCAAAGGGCCGUUGGGGCUUGAUCUUGGAAGAACGAUGAACGAAGAACAAAGAACGCUUUCUUCAAGGGCCGUCGGGGCUUGAUCUUGAAGGUGGAUGAUUGUUGAUCCAAGGGCUGUCGAGGCUUGAUCUUGGAAGAACGAUGAACGAAGAACACUUUCUUGAUUCUUCGGGAACCUGGACGCUUGAGAGCUUCGGAGUUUCAGAGCUUCAGAGCUUCAAGGUGUAAUAUGAAUUGGUCCCCCCUAAAUGAAUGAAAUGGGCUUGUAUUUAUAGAAUUUUCCAAGGCCUAAUUUUGAAUAUAAUAUCCCAGAUGAAAUAAGUCGUUUCUGCCAGGUGUUGACACGUGUCCUAUUUGAUGACUUUUCCAACUCAUUUCAAUUUUCGUUUAGUCACACGCUACGUGUAAAAUUUAUGUAAUACAUGAGCGUUGACACUUUGAUUUAUCGGUCAACAUUUAUUUACCGAAAUUUCGAUGUCUACAAAACUAAUAGAUAAUUGACUAAAUAAACAUCCUGCAAAGUUUCAAUAAAAAUUUCCAAGUUUUUCUUACAAUUUCUGUGGUUUCCAUAUUAUUUUUAUCGAUAUCGAUAAUAUCCCGAUAUUUCAAUCGAUAUUUCCGUGUUUUUGGACUACCGAUAUUUCCGAUAUCAUCGAUAUUUUAUACCUUGGCGACGGGGGACUUGCCGACUGGUGCCACCGUGGACGUUGGGUCUUUCGAAAUGUGGUGUAAUGUUAUGAUCCCACAUCGGCUACACAAGAAAUUGUGUAGUGGUACUUAAGUGCAAGGGGUCCUCCCACCUAUUGGACUAGUCUUUUGAGUUGGGCUCUUCCCUUAGGCUUGAGUACCUAACAAACCCAUAAAUCAAAGAAAUCAAAAUCCACCCAGAAUCAAAGAAAUCAAAAUCCAUCCAGAACCAAAGAAAUCAAAAUCACACACAGAUAUACAAGGUGUACAGUACUGACAUGCCUUAAAUGAUAUUAUUCACAAGAUUUAUAAAGCUCAUGUCGUAAUACUUGUGCAGAAUCUAUCAUUCACGGCGUCACUUUUGUGCAAGUUGUAAAUAAAAUUAUUCACAAUUUAAACAUUGUGUGUCGUAUUUGACAAUUUAUACUACGCACUUUCUUUUUCUUUUAAAGCUUUGCGUUAUGUCGUGAAGUUGACUUUCUAUAUAUUUGGGUUGUACCUUUUAUGGCGCAAAUAACACGUCGUAAAUAAUGGCUUUUAGCACAGAAGUUUUGUGGUAAAGAAGCCCGCGCACUAAUUCAUUCUCGCGCCUUCUCUUUUUUAUUUAGCCGCUUCUUUUUUUAUUUUUUAUUUUUUUUGUUAAAUUCCCCUCAAAUGUUAAAAGAAAAAUUAAUGAAAUAUUUGAAAACUUUGAGUUUUAACGAUAAGGAUAAAAUAAAAGGUAAAAUGAAUAGUACCAAAAUUGACUUUUUAGUGUUAAAAUAUGAUUUUUCGUUAAAGUGAACAGUGCCGAAAGUUUUUCGUUAAAGUUCAAUGUUAAAAGGUUUGUAUUUUCUUGGUAAACUUGAAAGACAAACAUUGCAAUUGCAUUUUCAUUUACCCAAUAUUAAUUGUCGAGAGCCCACCCCCUUCCCUUCUCACUGACAUCGUAACUCUCUCCUCUCCAUCGAUCUCGCUCCAUCUGCUCGCCGUCGCUCUAUAUGCUCGUCAUCACCGUCGAUUCGUCUGCUCGUCGUCACCGUCGCCCAUCUGCUUUCCGUCACCGUCGAAGUGCCCCGCCAUUCAAGAUCUGAAAUCCCCAAUACAGGGUGCUUUGCGGCAUUUCGUUCUCCAAAACUUUAGGUAUGCUCUCAAUCUGUAUCAACCCUAUCCUGUCCCCUCUAGAUUUUUGUUUAGUCUCAACUUUAUGGUGCUUUUCUUAGAUUUGUUCUAUCACUGUAAUUUUAAGGGAUUUUAGGUAAUAAAUUUGGUUGAGAAUCUCAGUUAGGUUUGUAAUUGUUUUCUUGGUUGCCUGGGUUUGAGGAUGAUUAAUCCACUUUCUGAAGUUUAAUUACUUUGAACUUUGAUUUGUGGGAAACUGCAAUCAAAAUGUUGCUAUGGCUUUAUAGUUAGAAUCGAUUGUGAGUCUUUGCACCACAUCAAGCAAUACCCCGGUGUUGUAAUUCCGAGGUUUGUAAUUGCCGCUGUUAAUGAUGGUUUGGUCCAUCCUUUUUAGGGAGAUGACUUCAAUGAUUGAAACUAGUUUAUCAUUAUUUCAGAACUCUGUAAUACGAGACAUGAUAUUCCAAAAAAUAUUUGCAUGAAUAUAUGUGCAUUGACUGACUAUUUUUCAGUCUUUGAUAGUGGAGAUAACUCUUUCAGGUCAUAUGUAGUUCUUACAGAAAUUGUAUGGUAUUUUGGUUGGUUUUGUGUUCUGGUUGUAGCAAACUGGUGGAUGCCCUGAGAUGAGUAGUUAUCUACAAAGUGGAUGGAUCCUGAAGAGUACAAAGUCUAAGGCAUUUUAUGUAAAGGUAAAUCCUGUUACUUUUAAUUACUUAUAUGUGAAUGCCUGCCAUUUGAAGUAAAAAUUCUUUUAGCCAUUACAUUCUUCAUAAAGAUCUUUAUAUGCUCAAAAGAAGGAUUUUUUUUAGAUGCCAUGUAACUGGUGGUGGCUAGCCUCUUCUUUUUAAGACUCUAGUGUGUUUCAAUUACACUAGUCAAUCGUUCUUAUGUGUAUUAUGUUUUGUUGAUAAGAUGGCCAAGACAAAGUUGUAGAGCCCUAGUAGCAGGGUGCUGUUGGCAUUUAUAUUUUUCUUUUGAAGGGGUGUUUAUUGCUUUUAUACUUUCAUUGUUUACUCUCAUACAUACAAUACUGAAAAAUAAGCAUGUAUUGACGCGUAAUUUUAGAUCCAUAUUUAUACAUAAUUUUGAUUACAUGUCCAAAUUACCCAAGAUUCUUUUUCCUUUACAAAUUUGUGGAGUGCAUUACAUGGAUAUGAUUCAUGUAUGAAAUACACAUGACUCUCACUAAUUUAAGGGCAGCAUCAUUGACUGUACAGUUUUCAAUUCUUUAUAAUCAUGAGUAUAGACAUUUUUUAAUUCUUUAUAAUCAUGAGUACAACAAUAGUUUCUAUAACAAAAUUCUGUUAAAUAUGUAAUAUCAGUAUUUGUUUUCCAGGUUCAUUAGUUGAGGAUGAUUUUUCCAAGAAAGAAAAGAUCGCGGCUUUCAGGCCGAUCUAAAGAACAUUAUGUUGAUAUUGCACCUGAGAUCUUACAAGAAGAGGACGAAGAAGUACCAGAUGACCUAUUUACAGAGGAGUCGAAUCAAACUAAAAGAAAGAGGGGUCCUACUAGAAUGAAGACAAUUUCCACAAAUGAUGGUCAACGAAUUGAGAUUGAAUGGAAUGAAAACGGCCAGUUUAUUGGUGACGGAUCUAUUGACUUAUCUUCUUACAUGGGUUCUUUGGUCCGAGAGGUUGUCCCUAUAACAUUUGAUACUUGGAAGGAUGUUCCUAAGAAAACAAAGGACAUCCUAAUCAAGGUAAUAUGCAGAUAAGUCAAUUCUGAUCCCUCUACUUCAAGGUGAACAAUUUAUAGUUUAUAAAUUUUACUUGUGUUAAUAUAUAUUUUUUGGUAAAUGUUAUGGAUAUUUUAUCAAAUCAGAGAGUAAAUUCGUAUUAAGUGAAGAUUGGCAAAGAACAUAUUGUUUUGAAAGGAUGAAUAAUGUUUGCAGAUCACAUAUAUCAGUAGUUGUGAAGUCCAUAAGAGAAGCAAGAAAUUGGAAAGCAAGGCUUCGUCUAAAACCAAAUAAUGUCAAAUUAAUUCAAGAUUGGAAGACUUCCCUUGCAAAGUGUAAGCUCAUUUUCCUUUUCUUUUAUUUCUAAGAUUAGUUAUCUUCUUUUGAGUUCAAAAUUGGGUCAGAGAAAUCAAACUGAUAGUAGUUAAAAGUCUAUUUCAACACCAAGCCUUGUCUACACAAGAAUUUGGUGUUAGUUAAACAUGUGUAUGAUUCUAUCUUGAUUGCAUGUUAAUUUAGUUUGAAGAUAGAUUUGGUACAUGCUAGCUAAUUGAUACGUGAUAUGAAUCUUUGGUUUCCUUUUGAUAGGACAAAAGCGAAACAUUCAGAGAGAUGAAGUCUAAGCAACUCCGCACACAUGUAGUCGCAAGGGAUAUGGUAGGUUGGCGGAGGAUUUGGUAAUUACAUUUCAUUCUAGUGCCUUCUUUUCUACAGGACAAGAACAAUUUACUAAUUUUAUUCUGUGUUCUACUGUGUGUUUACUACAUUUAUGUUUCUAUUUUGUAGAAAAGAAAAAGUGUAGACCCUUCUCUAGUUUCUAGAGGUGAUGUUUGGAUUGCAGCACAUACUAAAAAGGGUGGUGGACCAUCCAAUUUGCUUGCUGCAGAGACUAUUGUAAGUAAUUUUUAACCAUUUAUUUCUUCUUGUUUGUUGAUAUGCAAUGAUGAAUGAGGUCUUAACUUUGAUGUGCAACGUUAGGAAAAAAAUUAAGCAAUAUGGAAAUGGAUCAUCAUCUGGUUUUCGAGGUGACGUUCUUUCCAAAGUUUUUGGUGCUGAGCGACAUGGUCGUGCAAGAGGAGUUGGAGGUGGUGUUCCUCCUACAAAGCUUGGAAUAUUUUCACAACAAAAAUUGCGUAAUCACCAAAUGGAUGAAAAGGUGCACAAUUUAACUAAUCAGGUCAGAGCACUGACAGAAUUGGUGUAUCUUUUUAUGAAAAAUCAGGUUAGUGAUUUAAUAACAUUGGUAUCAUAUUGAAUAUUUGUGAAAUCAGUUUUAGUGACACAUCAAAUCACAGGGUAAUGAUCUACCAAGUGAGGCAUCUCCUGACACACAGGUUGCAGCUCCUGAGGCACAUGUUGAUACUGUCGCAAGAACUGAAACUUGUCUUUCCCAUUGCGCAACAAAUGAAUCGUGGUGGCGAGGUUGAUACACUUUUUCAAUGAGCCUUCUAACUAUUAAUGCUCAUUGACUCUGUUAAAAGCUCUGCCAUUUUCAAUCUAACUAGACACUAGAAAUGAUCAUUGACUCUGUUAAAAGUUAUGAUGUUUUGGUCCUUCUCCAUAGUUGCGCAUCUACUGAUGUCUAUUUUUUUUCAAAUACUGCAGGUUAUUUCUGAAAACAUUGAAACAUCGUGGUGUACCAGAUGGUUUGAUUAUAAGACACCUUCCUUUUGGUCCACCAACUUAUUUAUAACUGCUAAAUGGUACGUAGUGUGAUAAUUUUCAAAUAUUUUGAUAUUAAGACAGGUGUAGGACAACAUAGAAAUUCUUAGGGCCUUCAGCAACAAAAUUAUGAAAAAGUGAGUGAGAUACAAUUAAAAAAAUGAAAGAGAAGGAUCAUGAUUCAUGAUCUAAAGGUUUGAAUAGGGUAGAAAGGAUUUAGUUUCGUUGUUAAAAUCGAUUGUGAGUCUAUUGUUAUUGUAUUGUCAAUUUGUUUAUUUACUUGAACUUCCUAGUAUCAAUUUGGUUCGAUAUAUCUAGCACCACCAUAGAUAUAUCUAGUAUCAAUUUGGUUAGAUAUUGUCAAUUUGUUAUUGUAUUGUCAACUAUAGAAUGUGCAUCAGUUGUAAAAGGAACAAAACAAUUCAGAUUUUUUGUUUAUGUCCAAACUUAGAAUUGUAUUGUAAUUGACAAUUUCUACUAAUUAAUUUAAAGUAUUUGGAGUUUAAUAUGUUUAUGAUCAAUAUUGUUAUCCUUCUAUUGUAUCAGUUUAGAUGUUAUGAAGUGAGGUCUGUCUAAAAAUGAUAUGCUAAAUAUAGAUGUAAAUUACGGCAUCUAAAAUCAGCAAUAAUUGUUGAUGGUAGUCUUUUUUUACGAUGCACGAUGUAUGCCGUAAUCACCUUCACAAUAUUACGACACUCAACAAAUGCUGUAUCAAAUAUAAAUUACUGCACACAAGUAUGUCGUAAUUGUUUUUCAGUAUUACGACACCCUAUUAACGCUGUAACUAAUACCAAUUAAGGCGCGUAGGACAUGCCUUAAGAACAUUUAUGGCGUGUUUUACUUAAAUUAUUCACUACUAUUAGAGUACGUCGUAUUUGUCAAAACAUCUUUUACAACAGGGGCUUUUACUGCUUGGAGGCUCACGUCGUGAAUUUCCAUUUACGGCACCCUUUGUGCGCCGUAAAAGGCCAAUUCUAUUGUAGUGAUCCAUGGGUACAUUUUUAAUCUACAUGUUUCGUUUUAAUAUAUCUAUUGCUAUAAUAUGUUUUGGUUGGUUCAAAUUCGUUUUACAUAAAUAUAUGGGUACAAAGUUUUUGGAGAAUAUUAUGUAAAAUGGUUUUUAAGGUUGUUGCAUUUUAUGUACCCACAUAUGCAUGUCUAUAAAACAAUGUGGUAUGAUGUACAUUCUUUUCCUUGAGUUUUUAAAUGUACCCAUGAGUUUUCUUGUAAAUUCAGUAUGUAUCCAUAUGCUAUUUAUGUUAUGGGUACAUAAAUUAUUUUUGGUCUAAGUUGGUGGGUACAUUGCUUUUGUAUGUAUGAAUUCAUUGGGUACAUUAUUUCCCUUAAUACUACUCAAUAAAAUUCACAAAAAUAUGUGCAGUGUGCAUGAAUUUUUAUUGUAGAAAUUGUUUUUUUUUAAUUUUUAAUUUUUAAGUCUCAUAAUUCGUGAAUUUUGUACAUAUUGAUCCCAUAAAUUUUUGAAUUUUAUUAAAUUUCUUUUAGACUUGAUCGAUUGAUUGAAUCUCAUAAUAAUCCCUUAAAUGUUCCAAUCAAUAUUUUAAAUUACAGCUUUUUAUUUAAGAUUUCAAAAAGAUGACAUGAAAAUAUAGUAAUACUAAAAUUUUAUUUUAAAUUACAUUUGUGUAACAAUCAAUGGUAUGUUAAAACUGGGCAAAAAAAAAAGGUAUAUUAAAAAAUUAUAAUUUAUUCUUUUUUUCAUAACUGUCUUCUGCUUAGAUUAAAUUUUUACCAAUUUGGGGGAAUUAGUUCUUACCAAUAUAUAUGCACAGUAUUUGCUUUUUACCUGGGCUUAACACAUGAUUAAUUACUUUCCUACCUGCUAACGCGUUGAUUUGCGCAUCCAAAGUAUUAUCAAAGUCACUGCCACCAAAAAGGUGCCCACUCCACAACCUUUGGUUGAACCAAAGAACAUCACAACAAUAAGGAAAUCGUUAAAUCUAUCUCCGCAACAUUUUUAUUAAUCAUUAGAUAGAUUAAACGAUUCCCCUGUUCAUAUUGUGUUCUUUUGUUGAACCAAACCAUGUCAACAAAAUAUAUCUAUGGUUAAGCAUCUAGAUUCAUGCUUUUGGAUGUGCAUCUUAAACCCCUCAAUGAAUAGCCAAGCAAUUUAUCAUGUGUUUACAGUAGGUCAAAAGAAGAAAGUGUUUGUCUAUAUAUUGGUAGGAACCAAUUCCUCUGAAGAGGAGAGAUGGAAGUGAUGAUAAUACUUUAAAUAAUCAAAGCCCAAACAUUUUAUCAAAUUUCAUCUCUGUACUCCACGGAGACACUAAAUGAGACAUAUCUGGUCCAUCUCUGAACAUCUUUUCUUACCGUUCUUACAAUAGAAAGGGCACAAAAUUGACUUACACAGUCUUGCACAAUACUCACUUUGCUUCAACCCAUAUUUCACUUUGUCAAAUCAUACACGUUCCUGCAAUAGGUGAACUCAUAUGUAUCUACCACUUCUUGCUAAUUUUAAUUUUUCCAUUCCCAUUUUUGCUACAAGUUUCACAUAAAUUUUUUAUUGCACUUGUCAAUUCUUUAUACUUUUUUAUUGUAUUUUUUUUUUGUCUUUUUUUUGUAUUAAACAAUUACAUGUCCUCCAAAAGUUUUGCUUAUUGCCCUAUUUCAUCAAGCUCGGUAUAAAUAGAUCUUAAUUUUUUACUACAGUUAAAUACAUGGACAUGCCUCCACAAAUACAAAUUAGUUCUUGCUUAAAUACUUUGUGUGUUUACAUAGAAAAUGUUCCCAUCGUCUACCAAAAUCCUCCACACAUGAAAACAAAAAUUCUUACUCAAAAAUACAUAUUACAAUACCACCAUAUCUGUUGUUUUUUAUUAAAUUAACACACUGUUUUCAAUUUUAUCUUUAACACAAAAGAAAAUGCUCUUACACAAUAUGCUUGUUUACAUUUUAUAACUUAUCUACCACAUGUUAAUCGCAAUUAUAUAAAUAGGAAAACACGUGUCAAUAGAAGUGUGAUGCAUGCUACUUCGUUAACAAUAGUGGCAACUAAACAAUUAAAUAAUUUGUUUCAAUUAGUUAGUACAUUUUAUAAAUUUCUUAAUUAGAACUGUUUCAGUAUAUUCAAUACAUUUUUAAACAACUUUCCAGUUAGUUGCCCAAACUAAUUAUUCCAGCUUAUUCAUAGUAUAAUACCAACAAUUUAACAACCAAUGAUACUUCGUUUAACAUAAACUUCAUUUGGAAAAAACAAAAAAAUAUCUUUUUCUCUGCUGAAAAAUCCAACAGAGUUAUUGAUGCAGAUCAGUUAUACCAACAAAUUACCAUAGUUUACCCAAUGCUAUACAGGUUUGACUUUUGUUUAUAUUCUUGGAUCUGUUGCUUGGUUGUAUAAUUUGGUUGUGUGUUUUGUUUCAGGACAAUUUGUUCUUCGUUUCUUGAGGCUUUUGUGUGUAGAUUUGAAACCGUUUAGCUUUCAAGCCGUGUAUACUCAAGGUAAAUAAUUUCGUUUUUUUCUUUGUAACCUUUUUUGUAAGAAAUUUUUAUUUAAUGUUGUGAGAGUUGUGUUUUCUAGAGUAUGAAAAUUGAAUCUUUGUGAUCUUAUAUCCUUAGAUAUGUUUCUUGGUUAUAUGAUUUGGCUGUGUGCAUUGUUUCAGGACAAUUUGUUCUUCGUUUUUUGGGGCUUCGGUGUGUAGCUUUGAAGCCUUUUGUAGUCAACAUAAAUAAUUUUAUUUUUCUUUGUUUCUAGUCUUCUUUGAAAGAAUUUCUUAGUUAAUAUUCUGAGAAUUAUGUUUACUAUAGUAUGAAAAUUGAAUCUUUGUGAUCUUGUAAGUGAUGUAACGUCAUUGCAACAUGUAUGACUGCCAUUAUCGAACAUGAAGAGCUUUUUGAUUUUUGUACUCCGUCCUUUCAUACGAUCUGACUCAAAAAUUGUUUCAUCACAGGUUCUAACAUGAUUUUUGCGACGUCUUAUGAAAAUACAAUGUCACUUCUGGUAUUCCAACUUAAACAAAUUACAAGGGAUGUCUAGUUUUAAACCUGCAGUUAGUAUAUACUAAAACGACGGUUUUGGCCCUGCUCUCGACUUCUUCAGAAACCUCGAGAAACUUCAAACUGAGAAAGCUUCUCCCUUCCAUCUCUGCUACGCGAUCUCUGCUUUGCGAUCUCUGCUUCCUCCGUGAUUUCUUCCCUCCUGAUCGACAUCUAUUCGAAUUGAAAACCUUCUGGAGCUCUCUUCCCCAAAUUUCAGCAGCAACUUUGCUCCAGAUCUUUCCAAUUGAAAUUCCUCUCCUUCACAUUUUGCAUAUUGAAUUUCGCAUCAUUAUCAUCUCCCUAGAACCUAGGAGUUUGGUUCGGUUUCGAGUUUUCCGACGGAAAUCCGGCGACAGCGGCCAUCGAGGUUGGUCUGAAACUAUUCCUCAUCACCACAAGUACUUUCUACACCUAUUACACUUUAGAAAAAAUUUCAUGAUUUGGUGGAAUCCAAUUUAAUGAUUAGAAAAAUUUUCAUUAAUUUUCUGGGUUCGUGGGUUGGAGGUGGAUUAGAAAUUUUUUCAUUAUUUUUCUGGGUUUGUGGUUUUUUUCCAAAACGUUUUUCCUUUCUACUAAUCCAAGUUCCUUCACAUCAAUCUCUCUGUUUCGUUCUUGAUCUUCCGCGAGUAGAAUACCUCUCCUUGCUCUCGAGCGCGUGGGCAGUCGCUCCAAGGCAGCCCAUGACGUCAUUUUCCGAUUCGACUCGGAGGAGGUUGGCUGCUCUUCUUGGCUGAGCUUCAUGGCUGGCCGAAUUCCCCUAUUCCCUUCCUCUUAUACUCUUUUGUAUUCGUUCACCAAAACAAUAGGAAAACGUCUCCGUCUGUUUGAUUGACGGCGAAGAAAAAAAGACGGAGAUAAAAGCCUGACGGAAGCUGAAAGCUUGGACUCUGUUUGUAUUUUUAAUGGAUUUUCAGAACACAGGUCAAGAAUACUGCGAUUUGAGAAAGAAAGAAAGAACCACGUUGACAUAAUAUAUUCACAAUAGGCGUACAUAAAGCUUUACUGUGGUUCCAUUUUUUUGCAUAUUUCAAAGGCUCUGAAUUGUUAAGGGAAUUAGCCUUUUGUUUUAGGAAGAACUUGGAACCCCCUCCGUCCAUUCUAUUCCCGAUGGAAUUAACACUUAGAUAGUACUAUGACAAUGUGUCAUUAAUUGAUGCAUACCUGUAUAAAUUUAGGCCAAGUGUUUUAUACACAAAUUGAUACAGAUUAAGCUUCUGGGUCGAAAUCAUAUACCGGUGAGCUAACUACACAAUGAUACAUUCUUAUCUGUUAAUUAUCUUUGGUUACCAGCUAUCCAUGUUGCUGACAUAUUAAACUACACAACAUCUAUUGUAAUUUAUGUCUUAUUAGUAUCAUCACUUUUGUUCUUUAUUUCAAUGUCUAACAUAAUGAUCUGGUUUCAAUUUGCUACAGGCAUUAUUUCCAGACAAUAGCUAUGGUUUUGAUUGUAGCGGUGACUGAAAAAUUAUUCCGAAACUAACAUUUGAGGAAUUCAAGGUUUGUUAGUUAAUUUGUACAUCAGAAUACCAUGACAAACUAUGAAGUUGUAAUUGUUGACCUUACAAUGUAUCUUUUUUGGUUUGGAGCAUUAGACUUAUAUGUGUUGCUUUCACUUCAUGAAGGCUAACUCUUUAUUUUAG
rnacentral:lncRNA from 1 species